CGCGGUGGGCACAGGCCCAGGGAGGCGGCUUCCCCAGGUCCAAGUCAGGCUGGAGUACUUACCUGGGGUUCGAGAUCAACAACGGCGGGGGGGUCGAGCGCGUCCGGGCCGUCGGGGAGGCGCUCCUCGCGACCUUUCCCAUGAAUCCGCAUGCCUACGCGAUCUACAUCAGGGCUCUGGCCGCUCUGUCCCGGCAUGUUGAAGCCAACGCCCUGGCACGCCGUGGCAUCAAGGAGCUGUCCGCCUUCUGUCGCGGGCAUGAUGAGUUCAUUUGGAGGUUUAUGGCUGGGUAUCUGAAGAGGCUCAGGGAGAGGCGGAGCACCGCGUGGGACGAGGAUAUGUUCAGUGAUAAGCUUCUUUUUUUGUUGAGAUAUGUUGAAUGGUUCUUUUGUAUGUUGAAUGGAAAAAAAUUAUAUGAGACCAGGUCUCACGGUUAGCAGGUGAGACCCGUCCUAAUAGAUGACAUGUGGCAUUCACAAAUCAUAAAGCAUCUAAUCUCUCUUCCUCCUGAUUUUAAGUGAGGGGUGGGGGAUGCUUUAUGAUUUGUGAAUGUCACGUGUCAUCCAUCAGGAUGGUUAGUCUUUUUUUAGGGUGAAUUAUUAAUAUAUAUGCACAAGUAAUAGAUUAUCGCCGUGUUUACUGUUCGUUGCUUUUUUUCUCCUUCCCGAUCUCAGAUCUCUAUUGACAGACCGAAGCUAACGGGGUCUAAGAAAUAUUUUUUUCCUUAACCUUUCACACAAUGAAACAUAACUCGAUUUGAUGCCAUGUGUUUAGUUGCCCAUGUUUUGAUCAAUAUUGGCAAGCAAACUUAACUGACGCUGUAUAAAGAGCAUAGGCAUGGCCAACCCAAGCAAGACUAAUGUUUGGGUCAUGAGAAAAAAACAAUAGCAUUCGUUUUGGUCAUCAACCGAACAUACGCUUUGCCAUCACUUGUUCACCUCUUCACCCCCACCAUAAGAAGAAAAAUGAAGUAGUACUUGUUUCCAGCAGAAGUUUUGGCGGCAAUUUGCCUAAAUUUACUACAUAAAUUUCAACAACGAUUAAAUAGCAUACAAAGCAGAAUUAUCACAACAUCAUAACGGCAUCAGACUGACAUAAUUAGUUUCCUGCAAGAUCAGACUAACAUAAUUGGCUCAAACAACCCAUGGAUCGUGGAUCCAUGUCCAGAGUUGACUAGCACAAUGUGCUGAGAACAAAUGGAACUGCUUUUUGGGAAUAUUAGAGAACUGAGUGGCAUUUUGGAAAGAGGUCAUAUUCUAGUGAUAUUUUUAGAGAAUAGCCAAAAUACAGUGGCAUUUUGGAAAGAGGUCACAAUGCAAUUUCCUGUAGUUCUUCACCCCACAUAUAUAUGGAAGGAAAACAGUAAUAGUGCAUAUGUGCAGCUGAUGUACACAACAAGAGUACAGUAUAUCGCAACGCGGCCAGCAACUCUCCCGUGACAUGUCAUAUGAUAUCUGUUACUACAGUCUACAGCUAUGGCUUCUAGUAGAUGAUAUCAUAAUGCCCUGGUCUAUACAGUAGUGUCACAGUAGGAACCGAGGAAUCUGGUGACUCGUAGAUGAUGUGGAUGUUAGGCUCCUCAAUCGGUGAAACGUCAAUGUUAACAACUCGGAGUGGCACCUGUAGGACAUUGGUGAGCGCAGUGAGAUUCACUUGUUGUGCAUCUUUCUUCACUGGGAGAACCUCCUCCAGGCAGUACUGCAGUUCAAAAACACGUAAGGCAUCUGACAGUGAGGAUUUCACAUCAUUUCUUUUACAUAAAAUUCCAGUUGCUGGUACAAGUAUUAUGAUGAAAUUUUGCUCCUACUAUGCAGUUCCAUCACACGGACAGAUCAUAACUAGCAGACAAGAAAGGCAAUACCAUUUGCUUCUAAUGUACUCCUACAUAUGACACUCAAUUAUGCAUAGAAGAUUACUGCACCAUCUAAGGAAAUACUCACCCCUAUUGCAUCAGGCAUUCCUUGACCAAGUUCGGUUAUGUAUGUUUCAACCUUAGUGCAUAUCUCAAUAGCUGUCACAAGUCAAAGAUACAAAAGUACUAAACACAAAACAAAAAUAGUUGGAGUCAGAAAAUUAGAGUAAGUUGGCAAGAUAACUAAGAAAAUUGUUGUAUAUUCUCACUGUUCGCAAACUUCUGCUCAUUUUGACUCUCCUGGAAAAGCCACUCUUGAUAGCCACUGCAACAAAAUUUAUAACAUAAGUACGCAACACAGUUUAUUGUUGCGACAAUGUUAAUGCAAACUCACCUUACUGACAGUUUUUGUUUUUGUUCCAUACAUUCCAGUAUGAAGCCCACAAAAGCCUGGACGAAUUACAAUAUAAUUAAUAUAUAACUUAAGUGCACUUGGCGGUUCAAAACUAAAAUAUUGGUGGAUGAAACAAUGCAGGAAGCCUUACAUCAUGAAGAUCUGAAUAUGAACCAGGCAAAUGAAGCCUUUGGAAUUUCUCCCACAUAGGUUCAAGUGCACCAAGUAAACGUAGCUCCUCCUCGUGAGAUACUUUCACAAGCUGCUCCUAUAGACCCAAAGGACAAAAUGUAAGCAUCACCAAGCACCAAGAACUUUAAGGUGCAGAACUGGAAGAAAUUUAGCAACAAGAUACUAGUGUACCAGGUAUGAGUAUAUGAAUGAUCUGUAAAAGCAACUCCCGUCUCCAGGUACUUUCCGAUAUUCAGAGUAAUUAGCCGAAAGCUUCUGCAGAAUCGCACACAAUAGAUGAGAAUAUAUAACAAACAAGUGAGGACACUAGUCAAGUAGAAAUAUAACAGCUCACAAGUCAUAUUACUUUUGCCUUAUCUUUCAUAAUUUCAUUUUCAAACUCAUGCGGUAGAGAUGAUAAAGGUUCCUGCACCGAAACAAGAUUUCAAUUAGUAAAACCAAUGUUAUUUCCCAAAUUGAAAUCUCUAGCCUCAAUGAUAAAAUCAGAGAAUAUCCUAUUAAAGUUAACCUUUUGAAGAAUUUUUUUGCAGCCAUUUUGUGAUGCCUGCAAAACCAUAGAAAACUGAAGGUGCAGAGAGGUUAAGUGUAACGCCCUCGAUGCGGCUAUAUCUCCCACAUGUCGAAGCACGACUUAGAGGCAUAACCGCAUUGAAAGCAAUGUCGCAAGUGAGGUAAUCUUCACACAACCCGUGUAAUACAUAAGGGAAAAAGAUACAUAGUUGGCUUACAAUCGCCACUUCACACAAUUACAUGAAUAAAGCAUUACAUCAAUCAGAUACAAUCAAGGUCCGACUACGGAACCAAAAUAAAAGAAGAACCCAAAUGCGACACGGUCCCCGAUCGACCCCAACUGGGCUCCACUACUGAUCCACUAGAACGAAAUAAAACAAAGAACAAGAUCUUCAUCGAGCUCCUCCUGAGCUUGGUUGCGUCAUCUGCACGGACUCAUCGGCACCUGCAAGCUGGUUUUGGAAGUAUCUGUGAGCCACGGGGACUCAGCAAUCUCGCACCCUCGCGAUCAAGACUAUUUAAGCUUAUAGGAAGGGUAAAAGGUAUGAGGUGGAGCUGCAGCAAGCGACUAGCAUAUAUGGUGGCUAAACAUACGCAAAUGAGAGCGAGAAGAGAAGGCAAAGCACGGUCGAACAACUAUGAUCAAGAAGUGAUCCUAGAACAACCUACGUCAAGCAUAACUCCAACACCGUGUUCACUUCCCGGACUCCGCCGGAAAGAGACCAUCACGGUAACACACGCGGUUAAUGCAUUUUAAUUAAGGUCAACUUCAGGUUCUCUACAACCAGACAUUAACAAAUUCCCAUCUGCCCAUAACCGUGGGCACGGCUUUCGAAAGUUCAAAUCCCUGCAGGGGUGUCCCAACUUAGCCCAUGACAAGCUCUCACGGUCAACGAAGGAAUAGACCUCCUCCCAAGACAUUCCGAUCAGACUCGGUAUCCCGGUUCUACAAGACAUCCUCGACAAUGGUAAAACAAGUCCAGCAAGACCACCCGAUGCGCCGACAUCCCGAUAGGAGCUGCACAUAUCUCGUUCUCAGGGCACACCGAAUAAGCUAAGCGUACGGGAGCCAACGUAACCCAAGUUGCCAAGGGACGGCCCCGCACGGUGCUCUGGGUUGGACCAACACUUAAACAAGCACUGGCCCGGGGGUGGGGGUUAAAAUAAAGAUGACCCUCGGGAUGCGCGACUCCCAAGGGAAAAAGGCUAGGUGGCGAAUGGUAAAACCAAGGUUGGGCCUUGCUAGAGGAGUUUUAUUCAAAGCGAACUGUCAAGGGGUUCCCAUUAUAACCCAACCGCGUAAGGAACGCAAAAUCCGGGAACAUAAAACCGAUAUGACGGAAACUAGGGCGGCAAGAGUGGAACAAAACACCAGGCAUAAGGCCGAGCCUUCCACCCUUUACCAAGUAUAUAGAUGCAUUAAUUAAAUAAGAGAUAUUGUGAUAUCCCAACAAGUAAACCUGUUCUAACAAGGAACAACAUCUCCAUGUUCCAACAAGGAACAAACUUCAAUCUUCACCUGCAACUAACAACGCUAUAAGAGGGGCUGAGCAAAGCGGUAACAUAGCCAAACAACGGUUUGCUAGGACAAGGUGGGUUAGAGGCUUGGUUCAACAAUAUGGGAGGCAUGAUAAGCAAGUGGUAGGUAUCGCGGCAUAGGCAUAGCAAAAGAGCGAGCAACUAGCAAGCAAAGAUAGAAGUGAUUUCGAGGGUAUGGUCAUCUUGCCUGAAAUCCCGCAAGAAAGAAGAACGAGUCCAUGAGGAAGACUAACGAGCGUAGACGAACGAAUCCUCACACACACGACGUUAUCGGAACCGACCCGAAGAAGCAACACCGGAAAGAAGCAAACAACAUAGUAAACAACCAACACAUCAACAUGGCAUGAUGCGCAAUCAAGUAUGAUGCAUGUCCGGUUUAAUGAAGCAUGGCAUGGCAAAGUGCACAAACAAUCCUACAAAUUAAGUGGAGCUCAAUAUGCAUCGGGGUGCAUAUUGCCAAAACACCACAUAACGUAUUUAGUUCGAUCUUGUUUAUGUACCCAACAAUAUUAACAUGGCAAGAGGGUGAAGCAAAAGCAAAACUACCUAUCUAGUCAAGUUUAAAUGAGGCCGGGAACAACAGACAACAAAUCUGGAAACUCCUCAUGAGCAUAUUUUGGUUAUGGUACUGUUCUGCCCUAAACCAUAUUUUAUAGUUGUUAAACAUGCAAAAUGAUGCCACCAUGAUAAACUAGGCAUUUUUCCACCCCAUUUACAUAUAAAGUUUAUUAAAUACCGAGUUACGGUUAUUUAGUUAUGAAACAAAACAUUUUAACAAGUUAUUUAAGCAAAUUUAAUCAAACAUCAGUUUAAACAUUUUAAACAUAGAUGAAAGUGGCAUAUUAUGGACCUACACAAAAUUCUAAGCAUUUUUCAUUUAUAAUUUAUUUAAUUCUGUUGCAUGGUCAAUUAGUUAUUGAAUGCAUGAACAUGAGGGGUUUUUCUGCAAAUCUGUCACCCUCAGGAUAAAUAGACAAAUCGUUCGCAGGAAAAAAAUAGUGACUCGGGCCGAAACUGAGAGGGGCUGGGGAGCUGCUCACAUCGGGCUUGACUGGGCCAGCUCGGAUCUGGAAGGAAGCGGGCCGGCUUGGGGCGGUAGCUGGUGGCCCAGGAGGCGAAGGAGCCGGGCAGGCCGCGGUCAACGCUCGAACGAGCGAGCCGCUGCUGCUCUUGUUUCGUUUCUGAAGAACAGAAACAACAGCAGGCCAUGGCGAUGCAGAAGACGGACGGCGCGGCAACGGGGCUCCGGCUAGCUGAGGAGUCCGGCAACGAAGGGGAUGGUCGGGACCCGACGGAUCCGAGGAGACGAGGUAGCCGGAGUUGGAGCUCCAUGGCGGCAGUUUCUCUGCAAAACGGCGGCAGUGCAACACAAAUCAGAGAGAGGGAGAUGAGAUGAGGGGACCGGAGGAAGGCGAGAAAGGGAACCAGGGCGGCGCUCAACUGAGACGGCGGCGGUGGAGAUGCCCGGGACCCUCCUGGUCCAGAACGAGCGAGGCAGGAGGACUCAGGCGCGCUGGCGACCUGCUAGUCGGGUGCUGGUCGCGGCAGAGGCUCGGGGCAGGGGAGGAGCACGGCGAAGUCCCUUCGGCGGCCAUGGCGCCUAGCGUGCUCCUUCCCAGGGCGUAGCUGCUCCUGCAGCAGAUGGGCAGAAAGCAAAGGGUUCAGAGAGGGAAACGAGAGGAGCAUGGGAAGGAGAAGAAGGGGGCGUCGGUGCUCAUCUCCGGCGAAGCUUGCCGGCGGUGACGUGGCACAAGGCGAAGACUCGGGCUCCUGCUGAGACAAGGGAGGAGGAAGGGCCUCGAUCCAAUCGGGAUCGAGCUCUGGCUGGCUGCGCGAAGGAGAGAGGAGAUCCAGGAGAGGAGUGGCGGUUGCGGGUUGGCUCGGGUGGAGUGGAUCGGGAAGGUGGAGGCUGGUUGGGUGGCUGAGGAAAUCGAGGAGGAUUUGGAAUGAGCGGCGGCGGCGAGUGAGGGGAUGGAUGGGACAGCCGUCCGAGAUUUUAGGGUUAGGUUGUUUAUAUAGGUAGGGGAAAUAGGGUAAGGGGGUAUUCGGUCCGUCCGAUCGUAAUCAGGCGGUCGAGAAUUAAUUGGUUAGGAAGUCCAAUUAACAAAACGGAGACGUUUUGUAGAUGUUUGGGGAUGAUCCGGACCCAACGACGACGACUGCCCGGGUCGGGUCCGGGGAAGUUCCGGACGCGCGCGUGAGGGAUUCGAAGCACUGUGCAGAGAGGGUUUCGGGGUCUGGCGGUUGUCAGCGGACUGUGCAGAAACUUUGGGCUGAGAGAAGAGAAGAGAGAGAGACCCGGCGACAGUUUCCGGAGACCGAAAACAUCCGACGUUAGACCGACUAUAAUGUCGAUAUAGUUAUCCGUUGGGCUAUCAAACGAACUCCGAAUGCGAUAAAACUUGGCAGGCGGCCUACCUACAACAUAACAACACCACAUGCCAACUUUCAACCCAUUCCGAGAACAUUUUUCGGCCACUUAAAAAUAAUAUUUCGGACGUGCCGCGGGCGCGUGCAAGUGUAUCUGGGCUCAGAACUGACAACGGAUGGCACUGGGGGAACCCGGACGGAUGCAGGUUUUGAAAACAUGAUGAUGCAAUACACAUGAUGACAUGAUAAGAUGCGACACGCAAGCAAAUGACAAGGCAACAACAACGAAACACCGGAAGACACCUGGCGCAACGGUCUCGGGGCGUUACAUUAAGAAAGGAAUGUUGAAGCAUAGUUAAUUAAACCAAGCAUUUGAAAAGAAACCCUUACAUCAUCACAAGCCUUGUGCUCGUCUCUCCAAGAAGCCCUCACAGCAUCAGAUGCCUCGUGACUCCAGAAAGGAGCUUCCAGAAUCUGAAAACAAAACAAACGUAAACUUUUGUUUUAUUUACAGAAGAAUUGUGAACAGUUUGCAGGAUGCCUAGUUUCAAUGUGAGUUGGAUUGUAGUCACUGUUUACAUUUGCGGCCUUGGCUGUAGGAGACCCAACACUUUUAUAAGAAAAGCGGAAACUUGAGAAAGCGAAGAACUGUAAAUAUUGGUGUGCUACAAACUUAUGUUUGAGCAAAGCGAAACUAUUCAUUAAUAACACACAACUCGACAAAUAGAAGUACACACAUUUCAAUAUGGAAUAUACAGGGGUGCAGAAGCAAGACAAUUUUUUUAAUAUUUUUCCACCUUAUGCCUGAAAGAGGCGAUCAUGUGGGACUUUAACAGCCCUAAGAUUUUACAAGCCUUGAAGUUGAAGAAAAGAAGACUGGUCAUGUAAAUGAAGAAGCACCAUUGACAUCCCCAAUGGACUAAGCAAGAAAUUACAGAAACCACCAAGCGUAGCUGAUCUUAUAAUAUCUGGUGUGGACUCACAUUUUGUUUUGACAUCUACGAGAUGGUGAAUUUUAUACAACCAACAAAAAAUUUCACCUUAUACCUAAAAGAGCCAAGCAUGCGGGACUUCAAGAGCACUAAGUAUUUCAAGCAUAGAAGAGGGUUCACGAAGAAAGUAAGCAAACCAUUGUAGAGUAGCUUAUCUGAUAACAGUAUCUGUUAUUGAUAACUAAGACUCGAUUGUAAACAUCGGCUUUGUAAAAAAUGCAACAACAAAAAAGUAGCCAUUGCAUAACUGGGCAACAAAUGUAAUAUUUAACAAAGAAAUUGGUGGUACGAUUCAUAUUAAGUUUAUAUGGAAUUCUAAAAAGUUUGGAUAAUAAAUAUCUGACAUCUAAAUUAGCAAGAUUUGUGACAAACAAAAUUCUCAGCUAGACCUUCACAGGUACAGACAUUUUCAUAGGGCCGGGGAAUUGCCCCCUUUUUGAAAAGAAAAGGGUGCAGACUAUUCAUGUUUCUGUUACUGCCUAUCUAUGCCAAUAUUCUAUUCUUCUACACUUGGCUAAUUUAUAAUGCUAAAAUUCAUAUAAAGACAAAAGAUAACAUGGACUGCUAAAUGUGAAAUCCAUAAGAAGUGACUAUGAACAAAUGCCAUUUAGCAUUAGUACAAUUGCUACACUUUAAAGACGACCCGCGCUAUGCAGUGGCAAAUCUAGCAGGACAUUGGAGGGUAGGCUUAAAACAUAAAUUUCCUAAGUCUAAUUAGCAAAUGCAGUGCAAUUGUUGCAUGUAAAGCAUCAGAAUAUAUUUGUCAAGCGGUAUGUUUAGCUUAAAUAUGAUUUUGAAGGAUAGGCUUAAGCCUAUUGGAGCCUCCCUAGUGGAAUCGCCAUUGGCACUAUGUAGACUUCCAAGAAAAAGGAUGCAGAGAUAGAAGUCAUGGGUUUGCUCGAGCAAAGCCAAAACUUUUCAUCGAUAACACAACUCCACACACAGAAGCACGCAAAUUUUAAUAUGGAUUUUUUUGUGGGAAAUUUCAAUAUGGAAUAUAAAGAGGCACAGAAGCAAGAUAUACUCCCUCCGCCCCACGAUAUAAGAUCGUUUUCCAAGCUAGGGAGUAAAUUUUAAUUUAUUUUCCAGCUUAUGUCUGAAAGAGGCAAUCAUAUAGGACUUUAACAGUGCUAUGAUUUUACAAGCCUUGCAGAAGACCGACCAUGUAAAUCAUUGGCAUCCCCAACAGAGUUAACAAGAAAGUAGGGAAAGCAUAAUGUUUGCAGGGUAUUAGACAAGUAUACGACGAUGCAGAAAAUCAAAAUUGAUGAAUCUUUCUAAGCAUGGAUACCUACAAGAACCUAAAUCCGUGAAUCUUUCCAAGCCAGUGCACUGUUAAAAUUGCAACCAUAAUCAAAGAUUCAAACACAUAAGUCCAAGAUCAAUCUUUCAUGGUCAAAACAUCCACAGAAAUGAUUCCCAAAUCGAGAACGUACUAGGUUUCUUGCAAAUUCCCAAAUCAAGAACGCAUUGGAUUUCUUGCAAUACCUGAUUAUACAUCCACUCAGAGGGUGGAUCCCUGUAGAGAUCCCUGUAGUUGGAGGCGUCCAGAGAGCUGGAGGUCGAGGCGCCGCCGCACGUACGGUCGCUGCCGAUCCAGCUGUCCGAGGAGAAGGAGGAGGCGGAGGAGGACGCUCCCAUGGUGCUGCUCGACGGUCCCGAGAGGAAGGAAGCGGCGGCGGGGUUCUUGUACCUGCCUGCGGGCUCGUCUUCGUCAUCAGAUCCCCAGGCGGAGGACGAGGCGGAGCCCUCGUUGGCGACGACCGAAGUCCCCGGGGGCUGACCGGACGGGCGAGUGCUGAGAGGGGAGCCGGGCCCGGAUUAGCGGUCGUCGGAUUCUUGAGGAGUCCUGGAGGGCUCAGCCCCAGCUCCGCCGCAAUUGGGAUCGUCGGCGUCGGGAGAGCCGCCGGAGCCGGCCAUUCUAUGCGGUUGGGGGAGGCGGGAAACGGAAAGGGCAAGGGGACGGGAAGGUAGGUGAACAGGAAGACAGCGCGAGAUUUUGCGAGGGUGGCAAGGGGAGGCCCUAUAUGACGCUCUCCCAACAGAGAGCCCCAACGCACCAACGGCUGGGCCGGCCCAUUUACAAAGGACUGUACCAACGGGGUCCGUUCUGUAGCAAAGAUUCACUGUAGCGUUUUGCGCUUGCUGUACCAGUGUACACUAAAAAACAAAGAGCUUGGUGUACCAGCGGUUUUCCAGAAAAAACGUUCGUUUUCUUGAAGUAACAUCGAAAUUUUUUAUUUGAUUUUUUAUGAAAAAAUAAAAUCAGCUUUAGAAAAAAUGAGAACAUUUUCAAAACAUCAACUUUUUUUAAGAAACAGGGAGAAUUUUUCAAAACAUAAACAUUUUUUGAAAUUCUUGAACGUUUUUCAAAAAAUGAGAUUAUUUUUUAUUUGUGAACAAAAUUUGAUACUGAAACCAAAUUUUGAAAUUCCAAACAAUGUUUUAAAGACACGAACAUUUUUUUAAAUUCCCAAACAUUUUUUUAGAAACACGAACAUAUUUUUAACUUGUGAAAGAAAAUGAAAACAGAACAUUUUUUGACAUCCGAACCUUUUUUUUUUAAAAAAACAACUUCUCUGCACCGUCACAUAGUCAAGCUAAUGUCAACCACGUUGAAUCAUCACCUCUGCUGGCCGGCUUGAAACUCGACAUCAUCAUGUCAACUAUUGGGGAUACACAUAACAAGUAGGCGCAUGAAAUGAUGAGGGCACCACGACCAUCGACAAGUCUCCAACAAUUAUAGGUCCAAUCACAAGAAGUCGCGCCAAACUAAUAAGUGACCAGGUGAACGCUAACUUAAGUUUACCUUAUAACCUUGAUGACACAACUAUGCUUUCAUCCCCAUUAUUGUUGGUUGAAGUUAGGUAUCACAUGGAAGAAAUCCAACAAAAUAUCACUACAGGAAUCAGACACUUUGCCGCCUGCCAUGGCUGACGGCAAAGGCAUGCCUGGCGAAUGGCAAAGGCCUUGGCCGUCAGCCAACAGACGGCAACAGAUCCAGCUGAAUAAGCUACGACAAAUGGCUCUUUGUUGUCGGCUGGCGGACGGCAAAGAUGAAAUAGUAUUUGCCUGGCGGACGGCAAACGGCGGACGGCAAAGAUGCAAAGAGCCUGGACGACACACGUGGCAAGUUAGGUCCGUUAGGGGGUUGCUGGCAGACAACAAAUAUGCAAAGGUCUUUACCGUCUGCCAGCAGACGGCAAAGCAACCAUAUAGGCCAGCCCAGUGCCCCAGGUUGCACAGGUAGCUGCCAUGUGGCAGCUUUGCCGUCUGCUGGAAGACGGCAAAGAGCCUCUAUAGCCCCUGUUUUUUUUGUUUUUUCUUAAAUUCAUUCAAUUUCACAGAAUUUUACAGAUAUAUACAUAUAUAUAGACACACACACACAAACACACACACAUUUGAAGAUAUAUAUAUAGAGAGAGAGAGAGAGACACACACACAAGCAUACCAACACAUAUCCAACACAUCCAACAACAAGUUUGCAACAACACAUAUCCAACAACAAGUUUGCAACAAGUUUCGGAGAACAUAAAAGAAGCACAAGGAGAAGAGUAGACUUCAUGAACACAAGCUCCUCAUGUAAAGCAAAUCUGUAAAUUAGGAAAGAUGAAAGUUAGAAGAAGAAGAAGAAGAAGAAGACUGACUAGAAGAAAAAGAAGAAAAAUAAGAAAAAGAAUUUAUCUUCUCUUUCUUAGUCUCCUCUCCUCUUCUUUAUCUUCUUCUUCUAACUAAGGUAGGAAAAAUGACAUUUUUUAGCUAAGCUAGGUAAAAAUGCUAAGUAUGUAGGUCAUUUUAGAGCUAAGCUAGUUAAAUAGGUCAUUUGGAGCUAACCUACUAAAAUGUAUCAUAUUGGAGCUAACCUAGAUAAACUUGGUCAUUUUUAAGUUAACUAAGCAUAUUAUGCCAUUUUUGACAUAAGUAAGCUAAUUAUAGGUCUUUAUUGAGCUAACCCAGGUAACUAAGCAUAUUAGAGCUAAUUUAGCAUUUUAGAGCUAACUUAGGUCAUUUUGGAGCUAACUUAGGUAAAAUUGAUCAUUUUGAAGCUAAUUAGGCUUAUUAUGUCAUUUUCAAGGAAAAUGAUCUAAUUAUAUGACAUAUAUGAUGUUAGCGAGAUUGUUAUGCCAUUUCAAACCUAAGUAAGCUAAUUAUGCCAUUUUUUACAUAUGUAAGCUAAGUGUAUGUCAUUAUUCAGAAAACUUAGCUAACUAAGCAUAUUAGAGCUAACUUAGGUCAUUUCGGAGGAAACAAAGCUAAGUAUAGAUCAUUUUGGAGCUAAGUAAGCUAAUUAUGUCAUUUUGGAGGAAGAUUAGCUAAGUCUAGGUCAUUAUGGUAAGCAUUUUGGAGGAAAUAAAGCUAAGUCUAUGUCUUUAUGCAUUUGGUAAGAAAAACACUAGAGAAAACUUACCGUCAUCACGGAGGUGGAGGACCGGUCGGGUUUGCGCCAGUGCCAGACGGAGAAGGACCGAUCGGGGUCGGGGUUACGCCAGUGCGAGACGGCGAAGGAUCGGUCGAUGCUUGCCGGGAGGCAUGCUGCACCAAAGACCAUUUGCAAUGUCUCGUUAGCAUGAUGCAAUUGAAAUGUGAAUACUAGUAAUUAAUGACCAUUCAAAUGAAACGCACCGUGUCCGCUAUAGCAAUCUGGGGCAUCAAUGAAGGGGUAUGACCAUUUUUCUCGCACACAGACUGCACAUUUUGUUUUCACGAGUCAGUCAUAUUACUUAGUAAUGAAACAAACAUUACGUGCAUGAUUUGGCUAAUAUGCAGGAGAAACUUACCAUGAGGAGCUCAUAUAAGACCCGGUGAGACGCGUCAUUCCGGUUCCUCUCAGCCUCCAACAGACUAGCUGUCCUCUCCUCCAGCUCUAUCUCCCUCUGCUUAGCCUGCCUGUUUGCCUCCGCCAGAAGCUCCUAGGCCCUAGCCUCGAUGGCGAGCUCCACUGGUCGUGGUCGAGGCGAUAUCUCAAGAAGAGACCUCGCAUGGAGCUUCUUGAUAUCCGGGAGACUUCUAGUACAACAUAUCAGUCCAUCCCCAAUGGCUACCGAGCCAUGUUUCCUCCCGUCACCAGAUAGAAUCACAAGCUCUAGAUCAAAAGGACUCUAGCUCGGGUUGAAGUCAUCCCCUUUCGUCGCCUUCCCAAAGUCUUUGUACCUCGCGAGCUUGUUGUGGGAGGAGAUGUUGGUGAAGCUCUCUCGAUGAUCGAGGUCAUCCUUAGAGAAUGCCUUGGCCUUCUUGAACGGGGCAGUAUGGGCCAUGGCAUAGAGGUCGUACAAUGGUGGCACGUCCUUCUUGUUGUGUUUCGCCUAAAAGAGAAGAACAACAUAUUAGUUAAGGGCUCAAGCUAGCACGAAGAAUGAAAUUGCAUGAAUCGUUAAGGGCUCAAAUGUGACGCCCCCGAUUCAAUCGUACACUAAUCAUACACGCAAACGUGUACGAUCAAGAUCAGGGACUCACGGGAAGAUAUCACAACACAACUCUACAAAUAAAAUAAGUCAUACAAGCAUCAUAUUACAAGCCAGGGGCCUCGAGGGCUCGAAUACAAGAGCUCGAUCAUAGACGAGUCAGCGGAAGCAACAAUAUCUGAGUACAGACAUAAGUUAAACAAGUCUGCCUUAAGAAGGCUAGCACAAACUGGGAUACGGAUCGAAAGAGGCGCAGGCCUCCUGCCUGGGAUCCUCCUAAACUACUCCUAGUCGUCGUCAGCGGGCUGCACGUAGUAGAAGGCACCUCCCGAGUAGUAGUAGUCGUCGUCGACGGUGGCGUCUGGCUCCUGGGCUCCAACGUCUAGUCGCAGCAAUCGAGCAUAGAAAGGAGGAAAAGGGGGAGCAAAGCAACCGUGAGUACUCAUCCAAAGUACUCGCAAGCAAGGAGCUACACUACAAAUGUAUGCAUUGAUAUCAAAUGGAAUAAGGGUAUCAUAUGUGGACUGAACUGCAGAAUGCCAGAAUAAGAGGGGGAUAGCUAGUCCUUUCGAAGACUACGCUUCUGGUAACCUCCAUAUUGCAGCAGGAGAAGAGAGUAGGUGGUAAGUUCACCAAGUAACAUCGCAUAGCAUAAUCCUAACCGAUGAUCUUCCCCUCGUCGCCCUGUGAGAGAGCGACCACCGGUUGUAUCUGACACUUGGAAGGGUGUGUUUUAUUAAGUAUCCGGUUCUAGUUGUCAUAAGGUCAAGGUACAACUCCAAGUCGUCCUGUUACCGAAGAUCACGGCUAUUCGAAUAGAUUAACUUCCCUGCAGGGGUGCACCACAUAACCCAACACGCUCGAUCCCAUUUGGCCGUACACACUUUUCUGGGUCAUGCCCGGCCUCGGAAGAUCAACACGUCACAGCCCUACCUAGGCACAAUAGAGAGGUCAGCACGCCGGUCUAAAUCCUAUGGCAUAGGGGUCUGGGCCCAUCGCCCAUUGCACACCUGCACAUUGCGAACGCGGACGGAAGCAGACCUAGCCUAGAAGGCAUUCCAGUCCAAUCCGGUGCACGCCGCUCAGUCGCUGAUGUCACGAAGGCUUCGGCUGAUACCACAACGUCAAGUGCCCAUAACUGUCCCCGCAUAGAUGGUUAGUGCAUAUAGGCCAGCGGCCAGACUCAGAUCAAAUACCAAGAUCUCGUUAAAUGUGUUAUCUUGAAAUAACCGCGAACGCCGACCAGGGCUAGGCCCACCUCUCUCCUAGGUGGUCUCAACCUGCCAUGUCGCUCCGCCACAAAGAUCCACUCGCGAGUACUCCUAUGAGCCGACCCGUCUUUUAGUCACAAUAGGUAUCAUGUAUAAAGUAUAGAGCAUAUACCCGUGAUCACCUCCCGAGUGAUCACAGCCCGAUAGUAUAGCAUGGCAGACGGACAAGAAUGUAGGGCCACUGAUGAUAAACUAGCACCCUAUACUAAGCAUUUAGGAUUGCAGGUAAGGUAUCAAUAGUUGUAGCAACAAUGACAGGCUAUGCAUCAGAAUAGGAUUAAGGGAAAGCAGUAACAGGCUACACUACUCUAAUGCAAGCAGUAUAGAGGAGAGUAGGCGAUAUUUGGUGAUCAAGGGGGGGGGGGCUUGCCUGGUUGCUCUGGCAAGAGAGAGGGGUCGUCAACAUCGUAGUCGUACUGGGUAGCAGCGGCGUCGGUCUCGGUGUCUAGCGAGAGAAGAGGGGGAAGAAACAAUAAAUAUUUAAGCAAACAGAUGCAUAGCGAUGCAUGACAUGAUAAGUAUCGGAACUAGGGGUGCCCUAACGCGGUAUGAGGUGAUACCGGCGAAGGGGGAAAACAUCCGGGAAAGUAUCCCCGGUGUUUUGCGUUUUCGGACAGACGAACCGGAGGGGGAAAGUUGCGUGUUUGCUAUGCUAGGGAUGCGUGGCGGACGAACGGGCUGCGUAUCCGGAUUUGUCUCGUCGUUCUGAGCAACUUUAUUGAGCCAGGGGCGGAGCGGCGCGUACGGUCGCGGGCAGAGGCGAGGACUCUGGCGGACGGCAGGGCAAGCAAUGUGGGAGGUCUACGCGGGCGCGGCGACGUCCCGGCCUCACGUAAGCGGGCACGCACAGGUUGUGGCCGGGAGCGGCCAGGACGAACCGAGCGCUGGCAGGGUCACGGCGAGCGACGCGUGGGUGUUGCAUCCAGUGAGACCGAGCACGGGGGGAGGGGGGCUUGCCACAGCGCGGGCGGGAGCGCGUGCGGGCGCUGGCGAAGCGGCAUGGCAGAGCAGAGGCGAGGCGACGCCAGCGGCCAUGGCGUCCGCGAGGUCGCGCGGUAGCAGUAGUGUAGUAAGGGGGCGGUGGAGACGAGCGCGGUGGCGGGGCUCACUAUGGGCGUAGGGAUCGUGGCAGCGAUGCUCGGGGAGGAAGCCGGGGACGUCGUCGGCAUGGAAGCAGUCCGGUGNNNNNNNNNNNNNNNNNNNNNNNNNNNNNNNNNNNNNNNNNNNNNNNNNNNNNNNNNNNNNNNNNNNNNNNNNNNNNNNNNNNNNNNNNNNNNNNNNNNNNNNNNNNNNNNNNNNNNNNNNNNNNNNNNNNNNNNNNNNNNNNNNNNNNNNNNNNNNNNNNNNNNNNNNNNNNNNNNNNNNNNNNNNNNNNNNNNNNNNNNNNNNNNNNNNNNNNNNNNNNNNNNNNNNNNNNNNNNNNNNNNNNNNNNNNNNNNNNNNNNNNNNNNNNNNNNNNNNNNNNNNNNNNNNNNNNNNNNNNNNNNNNNNNNNNNNNNNNNNNNNNNNNNNNNNNNNNNNNNNNNNNNNNNNUCCUUUUCUUUUAUUUCUUUUCCUUUUCUGUUUUAUUUAGUUUAGGGCAUUUAGGUAUUUUGUAAAAUUGUGUUUACUACACAAUAAAUCCCCGGGCAUUUAUUUGCACACCCUGAACAUUUUUGUUUUAAUUUUUGAAAACAUUUAUUGUUGACCUUAAUUUGAGUUUGAAUUUGACGUGGUGACGUGGCACCAUUAGCGUGGAAUUAUUGUAGCUUGAUUACCCGGGCAUUACAAAACUCCUCCACUACAAGAAAUCUCGUCCCGAGAUUUAGGAGGUAGAAGGAAACAGUGCGGGGUAUUCAUCACGCAGGCGGUCCUCGCGUUCCCAAGUGGCUUCGUCUUCAGAGUAAUUCGACCACUGGACUUUGAGGAACUUGAUCGCCUUCUGACGUGUGCGGCGUUCAACUUGGUCAAGAAUGCGGAUCGGAUGCUCUUUAUAGGAGAGGUCCUGUUGCAAUUCGAGCACUUCAUGAUCCACUGCUCGUAUCGGAUCCUUGAAGCAACGGUGGAGUUGUGACACAUGGAACACAUCGUGAACCUGGGAAAGGUUCGGCGGAAGCUCCAGUUGAUAUUCCACCUUUCCACGCUUUCGAGAAUAGUGAAGGGCCGAUAUAGCGAGGAUCUAGCUUGCCCUUGAUCCCGAAGCGGUGAGCACCCUUCAUUGGUGUAACUCAAAGAUAAGCCUUUUCACCAGGUUGAUAGAUCAUGUCUUGGUCAUACUGACUUUUCUGACGUGACUGAGCAGUCUUGAGAUUCUCGCAAAUAAUGCGAACUUGUUCUUCGGCCUGUUGGAUAAUAUCCGGACCGAAGAGUGGACGUUCCCCAGUUUCUGACUAGUUCAGAGGGGUUCGACACUUUCGUCCAUAUAGCACUUCAAAGGGGGACAUCUUCAGACUAGCUUGAUAGCUAUUAUUAUAAGAGAACUCGGCAUAUGGAAGAGAUUCCUCCCAUUUCUUGCCGAAGGAAAUUACACAAGCUCGAAGCAUGUCUUCGAGAACUUGGUUGACACGUUCAACCUAUCCUUGUGACUAAGGAUGAAACGCCGUACUGAACGACAGGUGAGUUCCCAUAGCUUCUUGGAAACUUGCCCAAAAUCUUGAAGUGAAUAAGCUACCACGGUCUGAACUGAUAACCAGUGGAAUACCGUGAAGUGAAACAAUUCUGGACAUGUAGAGAGUAGCAAGCUGACUAGCAGUGACUAUCUCUUUGACCGCCAUAAAAUGUGCAACUUUAGAAAGCCGGUCAAUGACGACAAGAAUAACAUCAUUACCUUUCUGUGAUUUGGGAAAUCCAGUGACGAAGUCCAUUUCAACAUGGUCCCAUUUCCAUUCAGGAAUAGAGAUAGGUUGCAGAGUUCCAGCAGGCCUUUGAUGCUCUGCUUUGAUACGGCAGCAAACGUCACACUCAGCAACAUAACGAGCAAUGUCCUACUUCAUAUUAGUGUUGGAAAUAUGCCCUAGAGGCAAUAAUAAAAUGGUUAUUAUUAUAUUUCCUUGUUCAUGAUAAUUGUCUAUUGUUCAUGCUAUAAUUGUGUUAUCCGGAAAUCGUAAUACAUGUGCGAAUACAUAGACCACAACACGUCCCUAGUGAGCCUCUAGUUGACUAGCUCAUUGAUCAAAAGAUAGUCAUGGUUUCCUGACUAUGGACAUUAGAUGUCAUUGAUAACGGGAUCACAUCAUUAGGAGAAUGAUGUGAUGGACAAGACCCAAUCCUAAGCAUAGCUCAAAGAUCGUGUAGUUCGUUUGCUAGAGCUUUUCCAAAUGUCAAGUAUCAUUUCCUUAGACCAUGAGAUUGUGCAACUCCCGGAUACCGUAGGAGUACUUUGGGUGUGCCAAACGUCACAACGUAACUAGGUGACUAUAAAGGUGCACUACGGGUAUCUCCAAAAGUGUCUGUUGGGUUGGCACGAAUCGAGACUGGGAUUUGUCACUCCGUAUGACGGAGAGGUAUCUCUGGGCCCACUCGGUAAUGCAUCAUCAUAAUGAGCUCAAUGUGACCAAGUGGUUGGUCACGGGAUCAUGCAUUACGGUAUGAGUAAAGUGACUUGCCGGUAACGAGAUUGAACGAGGUAUUGGGAUACCGACGAUCGAGUCUCGGGCAAGUAACGUACCGAUUGACAAAGGGAAUUGUAUACGGGAUUGAUUGAAUCCUCGACACCGUGGUUCAUCCGAUGAGAUCAUCGAGGAGCAUGUGGGAGCCAACAUGGGUAUCCAGAUCCCGCUGUUGGUUAUUGACCGGAGAGUCGUCUCGGUCAUGUCUGCGUGUCUCCCGAACCCGUAGGGUCUACACACUUAAGGUUCGGUGACGCUAGGGUUGUUGAGAUAUUAGUAUACGGUAACCCGAAAGUUGUUCGGAGUCCCGGAUGAGAUCCCGGACGUCACUAGGAGUUCCGGAAUGGUCCGGAGGUGAAGAUUUAUAUAUAGGAAGUCAAGUUUCGGCCAUCGGGAAAGUUUUGGGGGUAAUCGGUAUUGUACCGGGACCACCAGAAGGGUCCCGGGGGUCCACUGGGUGGGGCCACCUAUCCUGGAGGGCCCCAUGGGCUGAAGUGGGAGGGGAACCAGCCCCUAGUGGGCUGGUGCGCCCCCCUUGGGCCUCCCCCUGCGCCUAGGGUUGGAAACCCUAGGGGUGGGGGGCGCCCCACUUGGCUUGGGGGGCACUCCACCCCCCUUGGCCGCCGCCCCCCUUGGAGAUCCCAUCUCCUAGGGCCGGCGCCCCCUAGGGGUCCUAUAUAUAGUGGGGGGAGGGAGGGCAACUGCACCCUAGCCCCUGGCGCCUCCCUCUCCCUCCCGUGACACCUCUCCCUCUCGCUAAGCUUGGCGAAGCCCUGCCGAGAUCGUCGUUGCUUCCACCACCACGCCGUCGUGCUGCUGGAUCUCCAUCAACCUCUCCUUUCCCCUUGCUGGAUCAAGUUGGAGGAGACGUCUUCCCAACCAUACCUGUGCUGAACGCGGAGGUGCCGUCCAUUCGGCACUAGGUCAUCGGUGAUUUGGAUCACAACGAGUACGACUCCAUCAACCCCGUUCUCUUGAACGCUUCCGCUCGUGAUCUACAAGGGUAUGUAGAUGCACUCCCCUCUCCCUCGUUGCUAGAUGACUCCAUAGAUUGAUCUUGGUGAUGCGUAGAAAAUUUUAAAAUUCUGCUACGUUCCCCAAUAGUGGCAUCAUGAGCUAGGUCUAUGCGUAGUUUCUAUGCACGAGUAGAACACAAAGCAGUUGUGGGCGUCCAUAUUGUCAAUUUACUUGCCGUUACUAGUCUUAUCUUGAUUCGGCGGCAUCGUGGGAUGAAGCGGCCUGGACCGACCUUACACGUACGCUUAUGUGAGACUGGUUCCACCGACUGAUAUGCACUAGUUGAAUAAGGUGGCUAGCGGGUGUCUGUCUCUCCCACUUUAGUCAGAUCGGAUUCGAUGAAAAGGGUCCUUAUGAAGGGUAAAUAGAAAUUGGCAUAUCAUGUUGUGGUUUUGGCAUAGGUAAGAAACGUUCUUGCUAUAAAACUAUAGCAGCCACGUAAAAACUUGCAACAACAAUUAGAGGACGUCUAACUUGUUUUUGCAGCAUGUGCCGUCUGAUGUGAUAUGGCCAAAAGGAUGUGAUGAAUGAUAUAUGUGAUGUAUGAGAUUGAUCAUGUUCUUGUAAUAGGAAUCACGACUUGCAUGUCGAUGAGUAUGACAACCGGCAGGAGCCAUAGGAGUUUUCUUAAUUUAUUUAUGACCUGCGUGUCAACAUAAACGUCAUGUAAUUACUUUACUUUAUUGCUAAAGCGUUAGCCAUAGUAGUAGAAGUAAUAGAUGACGAGACAACUUCAAGAAGACAUGAUGAUGGAGAUCAUGAUGAUGGAGAUCAUGGUGUCAUGCCGAUGACAACAAUGAUCAUGGAGCCCCGAAGAUGGAGAUCAAAAGGAGCAAAUGAUAUUGGCCAUAUCAUGUCACUAUUUGAUUGCAUGUGAUGUUUAUCAUGUUUUACAUCUUAUUUGCUUAGAACGAUGGUAGCUUAAAUAAGAUGAUCCCUCGUAAUAAUUUCAAGAAAGUGUCCCCCCUAACUGUGCACCGUUGCGAAGGUUCGUUGUUUCGAAGCACCACGUGAUGAUCGGGUGUGAUAGAUUCUAACGUUCGAAUACAACGGGUGUAAGCCAGAUUUACACACGCAAUACACUUAGGUUAACUUGACGAGCCUAGCAUGUACAGGCAUGGCCUCGGAACACGGAAGACCGAAAGGUCGAGCAUGAGUCGUAUAGAAGAUACGAUCAACAUGAAGAUGUUCACCGAUGUUGACUAGUCCGUCUCACGUGAUGAUCGGACACGGCCUAGUUGACUUGGAUCAUGUUUCACUUAGAUGACUAGAGGGAUGUCUAUCUGAGUGGGAGUUCAUUGAAUAGUUUGAUUAGAUAAACUUAAUUAUCAUGAACUUAGUCUAAAAUCUUUACAAUAUGUCUUGUAGAUCAAAUGGCCCAUGUUAUCCUCAACUUCAACGCGUUCCUAGAGAAAACCAAGCUGAAAGAUGAUGGCAGCAACUAUACGGACUGGGUCCGGAACCUGAGGAUCAUCCUCAUAGCUGCCAAGAAAGAUUAUGUCCUAGAAGCACCGCUAGGUGACGCACCCAUCCCAGAGAACCAAGACGUUAUGAACGCUUGGCAGUCACGUGCUGAUGAUUACUCCCUCGUUCAGUGCGGCAUGCUUUACAGCUUAGAACCGGGGCUCCAAAAGCGUUUUGAGCAACAUGGAGCAUAUGAGAUGUUCGAAGAACUGAAAAUGGUUUUCCAAGCUCAUGCUCGGGUCGAGAGAUAUGAAGUCUCCGACAAGUUCUUCAGUUGUAAGAUGGAGGAAAAUAGUUUUGUCAGUGAGCACAUACUCAAAAUGUCUGGGUUGCAUAACCGCUUGACUCAGCUAGGAGUUAAUCUCCCGGAUGAUGCGGUCAUUGACAGAAUCCUUCAGUCACUUCCACCGAGCUACAAGAGCUUUGUGAUGAACUUCAAUAUGCAGGGGAUGGAAAAGACCAUUCCUGAGGUAUAUUCAAUGCUGAAAUCAGCGGAGGUGGAGAUCAAAAAGGAACAUCAAGUGUUGAUGGUUAAUAAAACCACUAAGUUUAAGAAAGGCAAGGGUAGUUGCCGUGCCCGGUAAGCAAGCUGCCGGGAAGAAGCCAAAGAAUGGACCCAAGCCCGAGACUAAGUGUUUUUAUUGCAAGGGAAGUGGUCACUAGAAGCGGAACUGCCCCAAAUACUUAGCGGACAAGAAGGCCGGCAACACUAAAGGUAUAUGUGAUAUACAUGUAAUUGAUGUGUACCUUAACAGUACUCGUAGUAGCUCCUGGGUAUUUGAUACUGGUGCGGUUGCUCACAUUUGUAACUCAAAGCAGGAGCUGCGGAAUAAGUGGAGACUGGUGAAGGACGAGGUGACGAUGCGCGUCGGGAAUGGUUCCAAGGUCGAUGUGAUCGCCGUUGGCACACUACCUCUACAUUUACCUACGGGAUUAGUUUUAAACCUCAAUAAUUGUUAUUUAGUGCCAGCUUUGAGCAUGAACAUUGUAUCAUGAUCUCGUUUAAUUUGAGAUGGCUAGUCAUUUAAAUCCGAGAAUAAUGGUUGUUCUAUUUAUAUGAGAGAUAUGUUUUAUGGUCAUGCUCCGCUGGUGAAUGGUUUAUUCUUAAUGAAUCUCGACCAUAAUGUUACACAUAUUCAUAGUGUGAAUACCAAAAGAUGUAAGGUUGAUAAUGAUAGUCCCACAUACUUGUGGCACCGCCGCCUUGGUCACAUAGGUGUCAAACGCAUGAAGAAGCUCCAUGCAGAUGGACUUUUGGAGUCUCUUGAUUAUGAAUCAUUUGACACAUGUGAACCAUGCCUCAUGGGUAAAAUGACCAAGACUCUGUUUUCAGGAACAAUGGAGCGAGCAACCAACUUAUUGGAAAUCAUACAUACUGAUGUGUGUGGUCCAAUGAGCGUUGAGGCUCGCGGUGGCUAUCAUUAUGUUCUCACCCUCACUAAUGACUUGAGUAGAUAUGGGUAUGUCUACUUAAUGAAACACAAGUCUGAGACCUUUGAAAAGUUCAAGGAAUUUCAGAGUGAGGUUGAGAAUCAACAUGACAGAAAAAUCAAGUUCUUGCAAUCAGAUCGUGGGGGAGAAUACUGGAGUCAUGAAUUUGGCACACACUUAAGGAAAUGUGGAAUAGUUUCACAACUCACGCCGCCUGGAACACCUCAGCGUAAUGGUGUGUCCGAACGUCGUAAUAGCACUCUAUUGGAUAUAGUGCGAUCUAUGAUGUCUCUUACCAAUCUACCGCUGUCAUUUUGGGGCUAUGCUUUAGAGACUGCCGCAUUCACUUUAAAUAGGGCUCCGUCAAAAUCCGUUGAGACGACACCGUAUGAAUUAUGGUUUGGGAAGAAACCUAAGCUAUCAUUUCUAAAAGUUUGGGGAAGCGAUGCUUAUGUCAAGAAACUUCAACCUGAAAAGCUCGAACCCAAAUCGGAAAAAUGUGUCUUCAUAGGAUACCCUAAAGAAACUAUUGGGUAUACCUUCUACCUCAGAUCCGAAGGCAAGAUCUUUGUUGCCAAGAAUGGAUCCUUUCUAGAGAAAGAGUUUCUCUCGAAAGAAGUAAGUGGGAGGAAAGUAGAACUUGAUGAAGUAUUGCCUCUUGAACCGGAGAGUGGCGCAGCUCAAGAAAAUGUUCCUGAGGUGCCUGCACCGACUAGAGAGGAAGUUAAUGAUGAUGAUCAUGAAACUUUAGAUCAAGUUGCUACUGAACUUCGUAGGUCCACAAGGACACGUUCCGCACCAAAGUGGUAUGGCAACCCUGUCCUGGAAAUCAUGUUGUUAGACAAUGGUGAACCUUCGAACUAUGAAGAAGCGAUGGCGGGCCCAGAUUCUGACAAAUGGUUGGAAGCCAUGAAAUCCGAGAUAGGAUCCAUGUAUGAAAACGAAGUAUGGACUUUGACUGACUUGCCCGAUGAUCGGUGAGCCAUAGAAAAUAAAUGGAUCUUUAAGAAGAAGACAGACGCGGAUGGUAAUGUAACCAUCUAUAAAGCUCGGCUUGUCGCUAAGGGUUAUCGACAAGUUCAAGGGGUUGACUAUGAUGAGACUUUCUCACCCGUAGCGAAGCUGAAGUCCGUCCGAAUCAUGUUAGCAAUUGCCGCAUUCUAUGAUUAUGAGAUAUGGCAAAUGGACGUCAAAACGGCAUUCCUUAAUGGUUUCCUUCAGGAAGAAAUGUAUAUGAUGCAGCCGGAAGGUUUUGUCGAUCCUAAGAAUGCUGACAAGGUGUGCAAGCUCCAAUGCUCGAUCUAUGGGCUGGUGCAAGCAUCUCGGAGUUGGAACAUUCGUUUUGAUGAGAUGAUCAAAGCGUUUGGGUUUACGCAGACUUAUGGAGAAGCCUGCAUUUACAAGAAAGUGAGUGGGAGCUCUGUAACAUUUCUCAUAUUGUAUGUGGAUGACAUAUUGUUGAUGGGAAAUGAUAUAGAAUUCUUGGAAAGCAUAAAGGCCUACUUGAACAAGUGUUUUUCAAUGAAGGAUCUUGGAGAAGCUGCUUACAUAUUAGGCAUCAAGAUCUAUAGAGAUAGAUCGAGGCGCCUCAUUGGUCUUUCACAGAGUACGUACCUUGACAAGAUAUUGAAGAAGUUCAAUAUGGAUCAGUCAAAGAAGGGGUUCUUGCUUGUAUUGCAAGGUACGAGAUUGAGCACGGCUCAAUGCCCGACCACGGCAGAAGAUAGAGAAAAGAUGAGUGUCGUCCCCUAUGCCUCGGCCAUAGGGUCUAUCAUGUAUGCUAUGAUGUGUACCAGACCUGAUGUAAACCUUGCCGUAAGUUUGGUAGGAAGGUACCAAAGUAAUCCCGGCAUGGAACACUGGACAACGGUCAAGAAUAUCCUGAAGUACCUGAAGAGGACUAAGGAUAUGUUUCUCAUUUAUGGAGGUGACGAAGAGCUCGUUGUAAAGGGUUACGUCGAUGCUAGCUUCGACACAGAUCUGGAUGACUCUAAGUCACAAACCGGAUACGUGUAUAUUUUGAAUGGUGGGGCAGUAAGCUGGUGCAGUUGCAAGCAAAGCAUUAUGGCGGGAUCUACAUGUGAAGCAGAGUACAUGGCAGCCUCGGAGGCAGCACAAGAAGCAAUCUGGGUGAAGGAGUUCAUUACCGACCUAGGAGUCAUACCGAAUGCGUCGGGCCCGAUGACUCUCUUCUGUGACAACACUGGAGCUAUUGCCCUUGCCAAGGAGCCCAGGUUUCACAGGAAGACCAGGCAUAUCAAGUGUCGCUUCAACUCCAUUCGUGAAAGUGUUCAAAAUGGAGACAUAGAUAUUUGUAAAGUACACACGGACCUGAAUAUGGCAGAUCCGUUGACUAAACCUCUCCCUAGAGCAAAACAUGAUCAACACCAGAACUGUAUGGGUGUUCGAUUCAUCACAAUGUAACUAGAUUAUUGACUCUAGUGCAAGUGGGAGACUGUUGGAAAUAUGCCCUAGAGGCAAUAAUAAAAUGGUUAUUAUUAUAUUUCCUUGUUCAUGAUAAUUGUCUAUUGUUCAUGCUAUAAUUGUGUUAUCCGAAAAUCGUAAUACAUGUGUGAAUACAUAGACCACAACACGUCCCUAGUGAGCCUCUAGUUGACUAGCUCGUUGAUCAAAAGAUAGUCAUGGUUUCCUGACUAUGGACAUUAGAUGUCAUUGAUAAUGGGAUCACAUCAUUAGGAGAAUGAUGUGAUGGACAAGACCCAAUCCUAAGCAUAGCUCAAAGAUCGUGUAGUUCGUUUGCUAGAGCUUUUCCAAAUGUCAAGUAUCAUUUCCUUAGACCAUGAGAUUGUGCAACUCCCGGAUACCGUAGGAGUGCUUUGGGUGUGCCAAACGUCACAACGUAACUGGGUGACUAUAAAGGUGCACUACGGGUAUCUCCGAAAGUGUCUGUUGGGUUGGCACGAAUCGAGACUGGGAUUUGUCACUCCGUAUGACGGAGAGGUAUCUCUGGGCCCACUCGGUAAUGCAUCAUCAUAAUGAGCUCAAUGUGAACAAGUGGUUGGUCACGGGAUCAUGCAUUAUGGUACAAGUAAAGUGACUUGCCGGUAACGAGAUUGAACGAGGUAUUGGGAUACCGACGAUCGAGUCUCGGGCAAGUAACGUACCGAUUGACAAAGGGAAUUGUAUACGAGAUUGAUUGAAUCCUCGACAUCGUGGUUCAUCCGAUGAGAUCAUCGAGGAGCAUGUGGGAGCCAACAUGGGUAUCCAGAUCCCGCUGUUGGUUAUUGACCGGAGAGUCGUCUCGGUCAUGUCUGCGUGUCUCCCGAACCCGUAGGGUCUACACACUUAAGGUUCGGUGACGCUAGGGUUGUUGAGAUAUUAGUAUACGGUAACCCGAAAGUUGUUCGGAGUCUUGGAUGAGAUCCUGGAUGUCACGAGGAGUUCUGGAAUGGUUCGGAGGUGAAGAUUUAUAUAUAGGAAGUCAAGUUUUGACCAUCGGGAAAGUUCUGGGGGUAAUCGGUAUUGUACCGGGACCACCGGAAGGGUCCCGGGGGUCCAUCGGGUGGGGCCACCUAUCCCGGAGGGCCCCAUGGGCUGGAGUGGGAGGGGAACCAGCCCCUAGUGGGCUGGUGCGCCCCCCUUGGGCCUCCCCCUGCGCCUAGGGUUGGAAACCCUAGGGGUGGGGGGCGCCCCACUUGGCUUGGGAGGCACUCCACCCCCUUUGGCCGCCGCCCCCCUUGGAGAUCCCAUCUCCUAGGUCCGGCGCCCCCCUAGGGGUCCUAUAUAUAGUGGGGGGAGGGAGGGCAGCUGCACCCUAGCCCCUGGUGCCUCCCUCUCCCUCCCGUGACACCUCUCCCUCUCGCUAAGCUUGGCGAAGCCCUGCCGAGAUCGCCGUUGCUUCCACCACCACACCGUCGUGCUACUGGAUCUCCAUCAACCUCUCCUUUCCCCUUGCUGGAUCAAGUUGGAGGAGACGUCUUCCCAACUAUACGUGUGUUGAACGCGGAGGUGCCGUCCGCUCGGCGCUAGGUCAUCGGUGAUUUGGAUCACGACGAGUACGACUCCAUCAACCCCGUUCUCUUGAACGCUUUUGCUCGUGAUCUACAAGGGUAUGUAGAUGCACUCCCUCUCCCUCGUUGCUAGAUGACUCCAUAGAUUGAUCUUGGUGAUGCGUAGAAAAUUUUAAAAUUCUGCUACGUUCCCCAUCAAUUAGACCACCAGAAUCUUUGACAAAUAUCCUGGUACAUCUUUGUACUACCAGGAUGGAUGGACAGAGGCGUUUCAUGAGCUUCUGUCAUAACCCUUUUAGUCUUAUCCAGGUUUUUCUUUGAACAUGGUACCACUAGGCGGCCUUUGAAGUACAAGGCGCCAUCAUCGGCGAUAGUGAAGAAUGAGGGCUUUCCUUCUGCUAGAUGGCGUUUAAUCUUAUGGAGUUCAGAGUCAUAACCUUGAAUAGUCUUUAUACCAGAUACGAGAUCUGGUACGAUAGCGAGGGUAUUUAGAGAACCCUUAGUAACAGCAAGAAGAUUCAUCUUUCGGAACUCUGGGGGAGGGGGAGCGAGUGCUCCAGGAGGAACAAUAUGAAGGUUCAUCUUUCUAAAUUCUUCGACAAGCGAGGGCUGAACUUUGUGAACCUGGAGGUGGUUGCAGUAAGACUUGUGGCUCAAGGCAUCAGCCAUUACAUUAGCCUUGUCAGGGGUAUAGGAUAUACCCACGUCAAAGUCUGCAACGGUCUCCAUCCAUCUCUGCUGACGGAGGUUCAGAUCUGGCUGAGUAAACAGAUACUUUAGACUUUGGUGGUCGGUGAAGAUCUCGCAAUGAUUACCGAGAAGGUAAUGUCGCCACUGCUUCAGUGCAUGAAUGACAGCAGCAAGCUCGAGGUCGUGAACUGGGUAGUUUUCUUUGUGAGGGCGUAGUUGACGAGAGGCAUAAGCAAUCACUCUGCGCUCUUGCAUUAGGACACAGCCUAAUCCUUGACGGGAACCAUCACAGUAAAUGACGAAGUCCUUCUUAGUAUCAGGUGGAGCAAGCACUGGGGCAGAAGUCAACUUGUGUUUGAGCGCCUGGAAACUUUCCUGACACUUGUCUGUCCAUUCGAACUUGACACCCUUAUGCAACAGAUUAGUCAGAGGCCUGGCAAUCUUGGAGAAGUUCUCGACGAAUCGACGACAAUAGCUGGCGAGACCGAGAAAACUUCGGACUUGCUUGACAUUCUUCGGAGGAGUCCAAUCGAGAAUAGCCUGAACUCGUUCAGGGUUGACGACAAUACCAUCCCUGGAGAUGACAUGCCCAAGAUAGGUUACUUCGGGGAGCCAGAAUUCACACUUGGAAUACUUAGCAUACGGUUGAUGCUCUCAAAGCUUUUCCAGCACAAGACGAAGAUGUUCAACAUGUUCUUCUUUGUUCUUGGAAAAUACAAGGAUAUCAUCCAGAUAAACCACGACGAACUUGUCGAGGUAAUCCAUGAAUAUAUAGUUCAUCAAACGAGAGAAGGUGGCUGGAGCAUUCGUUAAGCCGAAUGACAUGACGGUGUACUCGUAAGACCCAUACCGAGUCACGAAGGCGGUCUUUGGGAUAUCCUCUUCACGAACACGGAUCUGGUGGUAACCCAACCUCAAAUCGAGUUUGGAGAACACUGAUGAGCCAGCCAGUUGAUCAUAACGAUCAUUGAUCCGAGGAAGAUGAUAUUUAUUCUGAAUGGUAGCUUGGUUUAUAUGACGGUAGUCUUGGACUAAUCGGUUUGUCCCAUCCUUCUUCUUAACAAAGAGAGAAGGUUCUCCCCAAGGAGAGCAACUUGGGCGAAUGAAACCUUUGACAAGAGAUUUGUCGAUUUCCUCCUUAAGCUCAAUGAGUUCUUGUGGCGGCAUCUUGUAGGGUCGUUUGGCUAUAGGGGUGGUGCCGGGUUUCAAGUCGAUGAUGAAUUCAACAGCUCUAGCAGGGGGAAUCCCUGGAAGUUCUUUUGGGAAGACAUCUUGGAAUUCACGAACGACGGGAAUGUUUUCAAUGCCCUCGAGUGGUGCAGCGUUCAAUGCAUUCAAGGCAUAAAGACGUGCCUCGGCAUUCUGAACUAGAUGAGCUUGGUAAGCAAUUAUUUCAUCCGAAGGGUGUAGCAGAUGGACGACCUUAGAGGCGCAAACUAUAGAAGCAGUAUGCGCUUUCAACCAAUCCAUUCCCAGAAUGAGGUCGAUGCUACAGGACUUCAGUACGAUGGGAGAGGCAAGGAAUUCCAGUCCUUCAAUUUCAACGGGAACGUUGUGACUAACCAUAGAGGUUUGAUACUGGCCCGCAGGAGUGUGUACCACAAUCGCUGUGUUCAUCUCUUCGUAUUUAAUGCCAUGCAUGAAUGCAAACUCAGCUGAUAUGAAUGAAUGCGAUGCUCCUGUAUCAAAUAAAAUAGAUGCUGGUACUGAAUUUACGAGGAGUGUACCCAUCACGGUAGCAGGCUGGUCUAGAACUUCAUUGAGAUCAACGUGGUUGGCAUGAACACGACCAUAAGACUUGGCAUUGUUGUUGCGGGGCUGGUUGCUUCCACGGCCAGUUGCUGGGAGGGCCAGUUGAUUUUGGUUCUGGUUGCAUUCCCUAGCACGGUGCCCUGGUUGACCACACCUGAAGCACAAACCAUUAUUAGGAGUGGGAACAUGAGCUUGGGGUGGUGGAGCUGGAAGCCUUGGCUGCCUAGUUGGAGGAGUAGGCAGAUGAGGUGCAGCAUAGGACUGCCUUGGGGCAGGUGCAGUUGGCUGGUACAUGCUGUUGGGAACCCAUAUCUUACGACGGGCCCGAAGAUGAGCCCGUGUCAUGGUUGCGCCUGUGAGAGCUUUGGUAUUCCUGCAGACCAGUUUUGACAUUGAUGGCCUUGUUCACUAGGGUGGUGAAAUCAGCAAAGUCAUGCACUAGAAGUGCGAGUUUGAUAUCAGCUUGAAGGCCAUCAUGGAACUUCUCCUGUCUGCGUGCAUCAGUUGCAAUGUCUUCUUUAGCAUAGCGGGACAAGUCAAGAAACUCCCGCUGAUAAGCUUCAAUAGUUUUGUUGCCUUGGGUGAGGUUGCGGAACUCGCGCUUCUUACGGUCCAUGACUCCCUAAGGAAUGAAGCGAGCACGGAAAGCAGCUUGGAAGUCUGGCCAGGUGAUGAUUGUUCCAACCGGCAAGGUAUGCCUAUGGCUGUCCCACCAUUGAGCAGCGGGUCCUUUUAGGAAGAAGGAAGCAAAGGUGACAUAGCUGACAGGGGCUACAUCAGCAGACUCCAUCUCAUAGGUGAUGUCACGGAGCCAGUCAUCAGCAUCCAGAGGCUGAGUUGAGCUGCGGUACACGGUUGGGUUGAGGCGCAUGAAAUCCUGCAGAGUCACUUGGGUUGGCUGUUGGUUCAUAUUGGGGCGAGGAAACUGAGCCAUAAUAUUCUCCAUGAACUGGCGAUUCAGCUCAAACUGUUGCAUCAUCCCAGCCAUGUACUCAGGCGGGGGUGGGGGAGGGUUACCACGACCACGACCACCUGGUCUAACCAUCCUGCUAAUACAUAACAGGGGUAGUUCAGCAUUGAGAAUUUGCAAGGGCAAAAAUCAUUCAUGAUGAAACAUGCAUAAUGAAAGGAACAUGAUAGAUACCGCAUAGUAGUUGGCAUAUCUUACAAAAGUGAUCAUGCAUAGAGUUCGGCACACAUAGUUCGGUACACAGACUAAGAUCAUCAUAGGCGGCACGCAGGCUCGCGGCGAAUGCAUCCAACACUAACAAGCAAGCCUACAUCAGUCCCAGGAGGAACUGUGGAGGUAGGUGUAGCCUGACAGCUAGUAGUGACGCGAAGGGAAGACCUCCACGCGAGUAGCCUGGGGUCCAUGGAUACUCUGGUGUGGAACCCGAUGCACAGGUGGCAGGAGAGGACCAAGUGUGGGAGAGUAGCCUCCCACAUCUGGCCAGCCGACGCUCACGGUCCUGGCAGGGUAGAUCGCAGAACGCGACAGGUCACCAGAUCAGACAGAGGGGUGCAACAGCGUUAGAGCACGAUACAGGUGCUGACGGGUGGUGUACAACUGGUGGCGAAGAGCUCGGUUAGCUCUAUCCAGCCCAUCAGCAUGCAGAACCAGGUUUUGAUGGUAGAAGGGCUCUCGGGUGACAGUGGAGUAGGCGGCAGUGUAGUAUCCCUCCUCACCAACAUCGGAUGCGAUAGCAAUGUGCCUGAAGGGGGAGGUGUCCAACUCCUGAUACUCUCCACGAAGACGUGUCAGAGCAGCAUAAGCAGCAUCGUGGACCGCCAUGUCGAUAGUCACUCCAACACCGUGAGCAGUGUGCAUCACGGUAGUGGAGUCAUACUCCCGAGAGUAGAGGUGGACGAUGGCACGGUACUGCUCCUGGUUGAAGUCCUGGUACUCCUCAUAGACAGUGUACUCAGGGUGCCAGCGAUAACCCAGAUAGGUCAUCAUCUCAACCAACACAGCAGGUGAUCCUGAGGCACCAAUGGCCGUCGUGUGGCGCACGACCUGUCUCGUGGGUUCCAUCUGAAAACAAAGAUGUUUCAAAGGAGUCAACUGACAGUGUGGAUAAUGUUCAAUACACUACUCUAAAGAAUUGUUAGGGCUUAUCCAACUUUGGGGUGAACGUGGUCACGGGAUCCUAAUGUUAAAGUUAGUAAAAUCGUUUAACCCGAGAAGAAGAGAGUUCAGAGUCCCAGAGUCAGGAUCGAGGAGUAAAAGAUACUAAUACCACCCAGAUGGCAACGUGGGCUCGUAAGGCACACAACCAUGUUAGUAAAAGUUUUUGUAAUGUCUAGACUCAACUUCGGCCAAGGAGUGUGGAAGGGGGAUUCCUACAGGCAGUCGGCUCUAAUACCAACUUGUGACGCCCCCGAUUCAAUCGUACACUAAUCAUACACGCAAACGUGUACGAUCAAGAUCAGGGACUCACAGGAAGAUAUCACAACACAACUCUACAAAUAAAAUAAGUCAUACAAGCAUCAUAUUACAAGCCAGGGGCCUCGAGGGCUCGAAUACAAGAGCUCGAUCAUAGAUGAGUCAGCGGAAGCAACAAUAUCUGAGUACGGACAUAAGUUAAACAAGUCUGCCUUAAGAAGGCUAGCACAAACUGGGAUACGGAUCGAAAGAGGCGCAGGCCUCCUGCCUGGGAUCCUCCUAAACUACUCCUGGUCGUCGUCAGCGGGCUGCACGUAGUAGAAGGCACCUCCCGAGUAGUAGUAGUCGUUGUCGACGGUGGCGUCUGGCUCCUGGGCUCCAACGUCUGGUCGCAGCAAUCGAGCAUAGAAAGGGGGAAAAGGGGGAGCAAAGCAACCUGAGUACUCAUCCAAAGUACUCGCAAGCAAGGAGCUACACUACAAAUGUAUGCAUUGGUAUCAAAUGGAAUAAGGGUAUCAUAUGUGGACUGAACUGCAGAAUGCCGGAAUAAGAGGGGGAUAGCUAGUCCUUUCAAAGACUACGCUUCUGGUAACCUCCAUCUUGCAGCAGGAGAAGAGAGUAGGUGGUAAGUUCACCAAGUAACAUCGCAUAGCAUAAUCCUAACCGAUGAUCCUCCCAUCGACGCCCUGUGAGAGAGCGAUCACCGGUUGUAUCUGGCACUUGGAAGGGUGUGUUUUAUUAAGUAUCCGGUUCUAGUUGUCAUAAGGUCAAGGUACAACUCCAAGUCGUCCUGUUACCGAAGAUCACGGCUAUUCGAAUAGAUUAACUUCCCUACAGGGGUGCACCACAUAAGCCAACACGCUCGAUCCCAUUUGGCCAGACACACUUUUCUGGGUCAUGCCCGGCCUCGGAAGAUCAACACGUCACAGCCCUACCUAGGCACAACAGAGAGGUCAGCACGCCAGUCUAAAUCCUAUGGCGCAGGGGUCUGGGCCCAUCGCCCAUUGCACACCUGCAUGUCGCGAACGCGGCCGGAAGCAGACCUAGCCUAGCAGGCGUUCCACUCCAAUCCGGCGCGCGCCGCUCAGUUGCUGACGUCACGAAGGCUUCGGCUGAUACCACGACAUCGAGUGCCCAUAACUGUCCCUGCGUAGAUGGUUAGUGCGUAUAGGCCAAUGGCCAGACUUAGAUCAAAUACCAAGAUCUCGUUAAACGUGUUAUCUUGAAAUAAACGCGAACGCCAGGGCCAGGCCCACCUCUCUCCUAGGUGGUCUCAACCUGCCCUGUCGCUCCGCCACAAAGAUCCACUCGCGGGUACUCCUAUGAGCCGACCCGUCUUUUAGUCAUCACAGGUAUCAUGUAUAAAGUAUAGAGCAUAUACCCGUGAUCACCUCCCACGUGAUCACGGCCCGAUAGUAUAGCAUGGCAGACGGACAAGAAUGUAGGGCCACUGAUGAUAAACUAGCACCCUAUACUAAGCAUUUAGGAUUGCAGGUAAGGUAUCAACAGUUGUAGCAACAAUGACAGGCUAUGCAUCAGAAUAGGAUUAACGGAAAGCAGUAACAGGCUACACUACUCUAAUGCAAGCAGUAUAGAGGAGAGUAGGCGAUAUCUAUUGAUCAGGGGGGGCUUGCCUGGUUGCUCUGGCAAGAGAGAGGGGUCGUCAACACCGUAGUCGUACUGGGUAGCAGCGGCGUUGGUCUCGGUUUUUAGCGAGAGAAGAGGGGGAAGAAACAGUAAAUAUUUAAGCAAACAGAUGCAUAGCGAUGCAUGACAUGACAAGUAUCGGUGCUAGGGGUGCCCUAACGCGGUAUGAGGUGAUACCGGCGAAGGGGGAAAACAUCCGGGAAAGUAUCCCCGGUGUUUCGCGUUUUCGGACAAACGAACCGGAGGGGGAAAGUUGCGUGUUUGCUAUGCUAGGGAUGCAUGGCGGACGAAUGGGCUGCGUAUCCGGAUUCGUCUCGUCGUUCUGAGCAACUUUGAUGUACAAAGUUUUUCCAUCCGAGCUACAGAUUAUUUUAUAUUAAUUUUCAAAGUUUUAUUCAUUUUCUAAAUUUAAUUUAGGUUGAAAUAAUGUGAAUUGCUAGGUGCACCCAGCUCUAGGUACACAUAAGUGUACCAGAGGGGCUGACAUGUGGGUCCAAGGGUUCCCAGUUGACCAGUCAAACUUUGACUGGUCAAUAGGGGGUGGGGCCCCCUUGUCAUACACUGUUUUACUAACCUAACAGAUUAAAAAGACUAAUUAGGUUAUUAGGUUAACUAACAUAGGUUAAUUAAGUUAAUUAGCUAACUAAAUAGGAUUAAUUAAGUUAAUUACUUAAUUAAUUAAUUUUAUUAUUUAUUUUUUAAUUAUCAUUUUCGUUCUGGGGGCAUGGGGCCUGAAUGGCAGUGGCCCAUCUAGCCUAACGGGCGCUGAGCGCGUGGCUAAUGGGAAUGGCCCGAAUGGGCACAUGCCCGAGGGGCGCGGGGCACGCACACGGCGCACGCCGGUGGCCAGGGCCAGGGGAGGCGGUGGAGGGGCGGCCGCGGACCGGCUGGGCGGAGCGGGCGCAGGGGCGCGUGGCUGGAGGUGGUGGUGCCAGGGGGAGGCGCUCGACGGUGAGGCUAGGGGUGGAGCGGCGCGUGCGGUCGCGGGCAGAGGCGAGGACUCUGGCGGACGGCGGGGCGAGCGACGCGGGAGGUCUGCGUGGGCGCUGCGACGGCCCGGCCUCGCGUAAGCGGGCACGCACGGGUUGUGGCCGGGAGCGGCUAGGACGAACCGAGCGCUGGCGGGGUCACGGCGAGUGACGCGUGGGCGUUGCGUCCAGUGAGACCGAGCAGGGGGGGCUUGCCACGGCGCGGGCGGGAGCGCGUGCGGGCGCUGGCGAAGCGGCAUGGCAGAGCAAAGGCGGGGCGACGCUAGUGGCCACGGCGUCGGCGAGGUUGCACGGCAACAACAGUGUAGUAGGGGGGCGGCGGAGACGAGCGCGGCUGUGUGGCUCACUGUGGGCGUAGGGAUCGUGGCAGCGAUGUUUGGGGAGGAAGCCGGGGACGUCGUCGGCAUGGAAGCAGUCCGGUGGGGGAGGGGCCUGGUCGAGGCGGAGCGAUCCGGCGAGGUGGUCGCGAGGCCCAGCGGCGUCAGAGGCGGGGCGGUGUCGCACGUGCAGCGGUGGGGAUCGAUCCCGAUCCAAUCUAGAUCAGNNNNNNNNNNNNNNNNNNNNNNNNNNNNNNNNNNNNNNNNNNNNNNNNNNNNNNNNNNNNNNNNNNNNNNNNNNNNNNNNNNNNNNNNNNNNNNNNNNNNNNNNNNNNNNNNNNNNNNNNNNNNNNNNNNNNNNNNNNNNNNNNNNNNNNNNNNNNNNNNNNNNNNNNNNNNNNNNNNNNNNNNNNNNNNNNNNNNNNNNNNNNNNNNNNNNNNNNNNNNNNNNNNNNNNNNNNNNNNNNNNNNNNNNNNNNNNNNNNNNNNNNNNNNNNNNNNNNNNNNNNNNNNNNNNNNNNNNNNNNNNNNNNNNNNNNNNNNNNNNNNNNNNNNNNNNNNNNNNNNNNNNNNNNNNNNNNNNNNNNNNNNNNNNNNNNNNNNNNNNNNUUGUAUUUCCUUUUCUUUUAUUUCUUUUCCUUUUCUGUUUUAUUUAGUUUAGGGCAUUUAGGUAUUUUGUAAAAUUGUGUUUACUACACAAUAAAUCCCCUGGCAUUUAUUUGCACACCCCGAACAUUUUUGUUUUAAUUUUCGAAAACUUUUAUUGUUGACCUUAAUUUGAGUUUGAAUUUGACUCAGUUUUGACUCGGUUUCGGACUAGCGGUAGAUUAGCAAUAGUAACCAUGGUGACGUGGCACCAUUAGCAUGGAAUUACUAUAGCUUGAUUACCCGAGCGUUACAUCAAACCACAUACUGAUAACCCACAGGUAUAGGGGAUCGCAACAGUUUUCGAGGGUAGAGUAUUCAACCCAAAUUUAUUGAUUCGACACAAGGGGAGCCAAAGAAUAUUCUCAAGUAUUAACAGCUGAGUUGUCAAUUCAACCACACCUGGAAACUUAAUAUCUGUAUCAAAGUGUUUAGUAGCAAAGUAAUAUGAUAGUAGUGGUAACGGUAGCAAAAGGUAACGAUAGCAAAACUAAUAUUUUUGGUGUUUUGUAGUGAUUGUAACAAUAGCAACGGAAAAGUAAAUAAGCGAAGAACAAUAUAUGGAAAGCUCGUAGGCAAUGGAUCAGUGAUAGAGAAUUAUGCCGGAUGUGGUUCAUCACGUAACAGUCAUAACCUGGGGUGACACAGAACUAGCUCCAAUUCAUCAAUGUAAUGUAGGCAUGUAUUCCGAAUAUAGUCAUACGUGCUUAUGGAAAAGAACUUGCAUGACAUCUUUUGUCCUACCCUCCUGUGGCAGCGGGGUCCUAAUGGAAACUAAGGGAUAUUAAGGCCUCCUUUUAAUAGAGUACCAGACCAAAGCAUUAACACAUAGUGAAUACAUGAACUCCUCAAACUACGGUCAUCACCGGGAGUGGUCCCAAUUAUUGUCACUUCGGGGGUGCCGGAUCAUAACACAUAGUAGGUGACUAUAGACUUGCAAGAUAGGAUCAAGAACUCUCAUAUAUUGAUGAAAACAUAAUAGGUUCAGAUCUGAAAUCAUGGCACUCGGGCCCUAGUGACAAGCAUUAAGCAUAGCAAAGUCAUAGCAACAUCAAUCUCAGAACAUAGUGCAUACUAGGGAUCAAACCCUAACAAAACUAACUCAAUUACAUGAUAAAUCUCAUCCAACCCAUCACCAUCCAGCAAGCCUACGAUGGAAUUAAUCACGCACGGUGGUGAGCAUCAUGAAAUUGGUGAUGGAGUAAGGUUGAUGAGGACGAUGGCGACGGAUUCCCCUCUCCGGAGCCCCGAACGGACUCCAGAUCAGCCAUCCCGAGGGGUUUUAGGGCUUGGCGGCGGCUCCGUAUCGUAAAACGCAAUGAAUCCUUCUCUCUGAUUUUCCCUGAAAGCAAAUAUAUAGAGUUGGAGUUGAGGUCGGAGGAGCUCCAGGGGGCCCACGAGGUAGGGGGGCGCCCCCCCACCCUCGUGGCUAGGGUGUGGGCCCCCUGGUCUUCAUCUUUUGCAAGGAUUUUUUAUUAUUUCCAAAAAGACGUUCCGUGAAGUUUCAGGUCAUUCCAAGAACUUUUAUUUCUACACAUAAAUAACACCAUGGUAAUUCUGCUGAAAACAGCGCCAGUCCGGGUUAGUUCCAUUCAAAUCAUGCAAGUUAGAGUCCAAAACAAGGGCAAAAGUGUUUGGAAAAGUAGAUACGACGGAGACGUAUCAACUCCCUCAAGCUUAAACCUUUGCUUGUCCUCAAGCAAUUCAGUUGACAAACUGAAAGUGAUAAAGAAAAACUUUUACAAACUCUAUUUGCUCUUGUUGUUGUAAAUAUGUAAAGCCAGCAUUCAAGUUUUCAGCAAAGAUUAUGAACUAACCAUAUUCACAAUAACGCAUAGGUCUCAUGUUUACUCAUAUCAAUGGCGUAAUCAACUAGCGAGCAAUAAUAAUAAAUCUCGGAUGACAACACUUUCUCAAAACAAUCAUAAUAUGAUAUAAUAAGAUGGUAUCUCACUAGCCCUUUCUGAGACCGCAAAACAUAAAUGCAAAGCACCUUUAAAGAUCAAGGACUGACUAGACAUUGUAAUUCAUGGUAAAAGAGAUCCAGUCAAGUCAUACUCAAUGUAAACUAACAGUAAUGAAUGCAAAUGACAGAGGUGCUCUCCAACUGGUGCUUUUUAAUAAGAGGAUGAUGAUUCAACAUAAAAGUAAAUAGAUAGGCCCUUCGCAGAGGGAAGCAGGGAUUUGUAGAGGUGCCAGAGCUUGGUUUAGAGAUGAAUAAUAUUUUGAGCGGUAUACUUUCAUUGUCAACAUAACAACAAAGAGAUGGCAAUAUCUUCCAUGCUACACACAUUAUAGGCGGUUCCCAAAUAGGGUAAAGUUUAUACCCCCCCUCCACCAACAAGCAUCAAUCCAUGGCUUGCUCGAAACAACGAGUGCCUCCAACUAACAAAAGUCCCAGGGGGAGUUUUUUUGCAAUUAUUUUGAUUUAGUUUGCAUAAAGCAUGGGACUGGGCAUCCCGGUGACCAGCCAUUUUCUCAUGAGUGAGGAGCGGAGUCCACUCCUCUUGAGAAUAACCCGCCUAACAUGGAAGAUACGGACAGCCCUAGUUGAUACAUGAGCUAUUCGAGCAUACAAAACAGGAUAUUUAUUUGAAGGUUUAGAGUUUGGCACAUACAAAUUUACUUGGAACGGCAGGUAGAUACCGUAUAUAGGUAGGUAUGGUGGACUCAUAUGGAACAACUUUGGGGUUUAUGGGAUUGGAUGCACACGCAGUAUUCCCGCUUAGUACAGGUGAAGGCUAGCAAAAGACUGGGAAGCGACCAGCUAGAGAGCAAAAACAGUCAUGAACAUGCAUUAAAAUUAAUCAACACCGAAUGCAAGCAUGAGUAGGAUAUAAUGCACCAUGAACAUAAAUAUCGUAGAGGCUAUGUUGAUUUUGUUUCAACUACAUGCGUGAAUAUGUGCCAAGUCAAGCCACUCGAAUCGUUCAAAAGAGGAUACCAACCUAUCAUACCACAUGACAACCAUUUUAAUAGCAUGUUGGCACGCAAGGUAAACCAUUAUAAGCUCCUAGCUAAUUAAGCAUGACACAAGAAACUAUGAUCUCUAGUUGUGAUUGCAAACAUGUUUAUUCAUGAUAGGCUGAAUCAGGAACGAUGAACUAAUCAUAUUUACAAAAACAAGAGAGGUCGAGUUCAUACUAGCUUUUCUCAUCUCAGUCAGUCCAUCAUAUAUCAUCAUAAUUGCCUUUCACUUGCACGACCGAACGACGUGGAUAAUAAUAAUAGUGCGCGUGCAUUGGACGCUGGACUCUGCAAGCAUUCAAUAAAUAGGAGAAGACAAGGCAAUAUGGGCUCUUUUGUCAGAUCAACAAUAAUGCAUAUAAGAGCCACUUCAACAAUUUAAUCAUGGUCUUCUCCUAUCGACCCCCAAAGAAAAGAAAAGAAAUAAAACUAUUUACACGGGAAAGCUCCCAACAAGCAAAAGAAGAACAUGCAAUCUUUUUGGGUUUUCUUUUUAAUUACUACUACAAGCAUGGAAAUUAAAAGUAGCUAAAAGCUACAACUAAAUUUUUUGGUUUUUCUUAAGGCUUAUUAAACACACAAGAAGAAAGCAUAAAAAGGAAAAUAAACUAGCAUGGAUGAUACAAUGAAAAAGUAUGAGCACCAACAUCUAGCAAUGAGUGUGUGAACAUGAAUGUAAUGUCGGUGGGAAAUACGUACUCCCCCAAGCUUAGGCUUUUGGCCUAAGUUGGUCUAUGGCCACGGCUGGCCUGGCGGAUAUCCAUAAUAAUAGUUGGGGUCGUACUGCGAUGCAGCAGCUAUUGCCUCCUGAGCUGCAGCGUGGCGGUGAGCUGCCUCCGCCCUCCUCUCGUACUCAUCUGCCUCCUCUUUGGUAAUAAAAUGUCUUCCUUUUGCCUGAUAAUCAAAGAAGGCGGGAGAAGGGAGAGUAAUAUGGACAGCACGACAUCUGUCAAAGAUUAAGCGAUACUGGAGAGGUGAUUCAUUCCUCUCGACAAACUGGUGGUGAACCAUAGCAUUAAAGUCUAGGUAAGCAGGAGGCAAUUCAAUAUCAUCAUUACGUAUGGUUACACCAAGAAAAUCAGCUAAGUGGGUUGCAUAAAUUCCUCCAAAUAAAUCUCCAUUAAAUCUAUUAUGAUGCAACCUACAUGCAACAAUGGCUCCCAAAUUAUAAGAUUUGUCUCCUAACACAGCACUCCUAAGAAUAUUGAGGUCAGGGACACACAUAUGACAUGCUUCAUCUUUACCAUUUAUGCACCUACCUAUGAAGAGAGCAAAAUAAUGUAUAGCAGGAAAAUGAAUGCUCCCUAUGGUAGCUUGUGCUAUAUCUCUAGAUUCCCCCAUAGUUAUACUAGCAAGAAAAUUUCUAAAUUCAGAUUUACGGGGUUCACUAGCACUACCCCAUUGUGGAAGUUUGCAAGCAGCGGUAAAAUCCUCUAAGUCCAUAGUAUAAGAUUUUUCAUAAAGAUCAAACAGGACAGUUGGAGAAUUACGUGAAGAUGAAAAUUCAAACCUCCUCACAAAGGAACUAGUGAGAUAGUGGUACUAGCGGCAUUUUUCUGCCUCGAAGCUCACAAGAUCAGCAUUACGCAAAUAUGCGUUAAAUUAUUCCUUGAUUCCCGCUCGAUCCAUAAAGUUUUCUGAAGGCCAUUCACAGGGCCGCACUGGAGCGUCCCUUGGUGGCUCAUCGUCAGCAUCACGCAUUGCAAGUCUGGGUCCUUUCUUCCUUGAAGAACCACCUUGGUACAUUUUCCUAAGCAUAUUUCUUCCUCUGAAAAAUUUCUAAAAAUUUUAGUAACUUUAAACAAAAGUGAACCAAGCUUAAUAAUAUUGAUAGCAACUACUCCUACAAGUGCCUAGAGCCUAUAUCAUGCAUCAAAACUACUUUUGAGCAUAUAAAUUCGACAUGCAAGAUCAAGAACAGGGUCACCUAAGCAGCAAAAAAUUGCAAUGAAUAGAGCACUAGAACAAAAACUAAUUGGACCAAUGGAGGAGUCACAUACCAAGGAACAAUCUCCCCAAGCAGUUUUGUGAGAGGUGCUUUGAGCAAGGAGAUCGAAAAUCGCAGCAAAAUAAGCUAGAACUCAUGCUUGAGCUGGAUAUUGGUGUUUGUGAGAGGAAGAAGAAGUGUGUGGGUGCAGGAACAAGUGGAGGGGAGCCACCAUGGGCCCAUGAGGCAGGGGUGAUAUGUCUCCAACAUAUCUAUAAUUUUUUAUAGCUCCAUGCUAUAUUAUCUACUGUUUUGGACAUUACUGGGCUUUAUUAUCCACUUUUAUAUUAUUUUUGGGACUAACCUAUUAACCGGAGGCCCAGCCCAGAAUUGCUGUUUUUUUGCCUAUUUUAGGGUUUCGAAGAAAAGGAAUAUCAAACGGAGUCCAAACGGAAUGAAACCUUCGGGAACGUGAUUUUCUCACCGAACAUGAUCCAGGAGACUUGGACCCUACGUCAAGAAACAAAGGAGGAGGCCACGAGGUAGGGGGCGCGCCCUCCACCCUCGUGGGCCCCCUGUUGCUCCACCGACGUACUCCUUCCUCCUAUAUAUACCUACGUACCCCCAAACGAUCAGAUACGGAGCCAAAACCCGAAUUCCACCGCCGCAACUUUCUGUAUCCACGAGAUCCCAUCUUGGGGCCUGUUCUGGAGCUCCGCCGGAGGGGGCAUCCAUCACGGAGGGCUUCUACAUCAACACCAUAGCCCCUCCGAUGAAGUGUGAGUAGUUUACCUCAGACCUUCGGGUCCAUAGUUAUUAGCUAGAUGGCUUCUUCUCUCUUUUUGGAUCUCAAUACAAUGUUCUCCCCCUCUCUUGUGGAGAUCUAUUCGAUGUAAUCUUAUUUUUGCGGUGUGUUUGUUGAGACCGAUGAAUUGUGGGUUUAUGAUCAAGAUUAUCUAUGAACAAUAUUUGAAUCUUCUCUGAAUUCUUUUAUGUAUGAUUGGUUAUCUUUGCAAGUCUCUUCGAAUUAUCAGUUUGGUUUGGCCUACUAGAUUGAUCUUUCUUGCAACGGGAGAAGUGCUUAGCUUUGGGUUCAAUCUUGCGGUGUCCAUUCCCAGUGACAGUAGGGGCAGCAAGGCACAUAUUGUAUUGUUGCCAUCGAGGAUAACAAGAUGGUUUUUUUAUCAUAUUGCAUGAAUUUAUCCCUCUACAUCAUGUCAUCUUGCUUAAGGCAUUACUCUGUUUUCAUGAACUUAAUACUCUAGAUGCAUGCUGGAUAGCGGUCGAUGAGUGGAGUAAUAGUAGUAGAUGCAGGCAGGAGUCGGUCUACUUGUCUCGGACGUGAUGCCUAUAUACAUGAUCAUACCUAGAUAUUCUCAUAAUUAUGCUUAAUUUUGUCAAUUGCUCAACAGUAAUUCGUUCACCCACCAUAAAAUACUUAUGCUCUUGAGAGAAGCCACUAGUGAAACCUAUGGCCCCCGGGUCUAUCUUCAUCAUAUUAAUCUUCCAAUACUUAGUUAUUUCCUUUGCUUUUUCCUUUGCUUUUAUUUUACUUUGCAUCUUUAUCACAAAAAUACCAAAAAUAUUAUCUUAUCAUAUCUAUCAGAUCUCACUCUCGUAAGUGACUGUGAAGGAAUUGACAACCCCUUAUCGCGUUGGUUGCAAGGAGUUAUUUUCUUUGUGCAGGUACGAGGGACUCGCGCGUAGCCUCCUACUGGAUUGAUACCUCGGUUCUCAAAAACUGAGGGAAAUACUUACGCUACUUUGCUGCAUCACCCUUUCCUAUUCAAGGGAAAACCAACGCAGUGCUCAAGAGGUAGCAAGAAGGAUUUCUGGCGCCGCUGCCGGGGAGUCUAUGCAAAAGUCAAUAUACCAAGUACCCAUCACAAUCCUGAUCUCCUGCAUUACAUUAUUUGCCAUUUGCCUCUCAUUUUCCUCUCCCCCACUUCACCCUUGCCGUUUUUAUUCGCCCACUCUCUCUAUCCUCCCUCUCUUUCUCUAUUUGCCUCCUUUUGCCCGCUUGCUUUUUGUUUGUUUCUGUGUUGGAUUUCUUGCUUGUUAGGAUGGCUCUACCUAGAUUUGGUGAUCUUCACCUUAAAAGGUUAGAAGAGAUCGAAAGCAAUGUCAGGAGUUUUAUGGUUUUGUAAUUUGAGCAUAAUAAUUUCUUCAGAAAUGAGGUUAAUGAACUGAAAAGUUUUAUGAGUUUUAUAAAUAAAGAGCUCGAUGAUAUGUCUAAAGAAUUUGAUGGUUUAAGAUCCCAAAUUGCUCGUCUUGAUACUGAAAUUUGGGAUAAGCAAGCUACCUUAGUUAAUAGGAUGGCCGCUAAACCGGAUUUUUAUGAAAAUAAAGAUGAAGAACUAAAAGUUAUUGAUGUAUCCCCUAUUAAAUCUUUGUUUUGCAAUAUGAAUCUUAAUAAUGAUGGGACUGAACAUGAUCCACCUUUACCUAGAAGGCAUUCCAAAAAUUCAGAGUUUUUAGAUCUUGAUACUAAAUUUGAUGAAAGUGGGAUCGAAGAAAUUAAAACCCUAGAUAUUGCUAAACCCACUAUUUUGGAUUUCAAGGAAUUUAAUUAUGAAAAUUGCUCUUUGAUUGAUUGUAUUUCCUUGUUGCAAUCCAUGCUAAAUUCUCCUCAUGCUUAUAGUCAAAAUAAAGCGUUUACUAAACAUAUCGUUGAUGCCUUGAUGCAAUCUUAUGAAGAAAAACUUGAAUUGGAAGUUUCUAUCCCUAGAAAACUUUAUGAUGAGUGGGAACCAACUAUUAAAAUUAAGAUUAAAGAUCAUGAGUUCUAUGCUUUAUGUGAUUUGGGUGCUAGUGUUUCCACGGUUCCAAAGACUUUGUGUGAUUUUUUAGGUUUCCGUGAUUUUGAUGAUUGCUCUUUAAACUUGCACCCUGUGGAUUCCACUAUUAAGAAACCUAUGGGAAGAAUUAAUGCUGUUCUUAUUGUCGCAAAUAGGAAUUAUGUGCCUGUAGAUUUUAUUGUUCUUGACAUAGAUUUCAAUACUUCAUGUCCUAUUAUUCUUGGUAGACCUUUCCUUGGAACAAUUGGUGCAAUUAUUGAUAUGAAGGAAGGAAAUAUUAGAUUCCAAUUUCCUUUAAGGAAAGGCAUGGAACACUUUCCUAGAAAGAAAAUUAAAUUACCUUAUGAAUCUAUUAUGAGAGCCACUUAUGGAUUGCCUACCAAAGAUGGCAAUACCUAGAUCUAUCCUUGCUUUUUAUGCCUAGCUAGGGGCGUUAAGCGAUAGCGCUUGUUGGGAGGCAACCCAAUUUUGUUUUUAUUCCUUAAUUUUUGCUCCUGUUUAUUAAUAAAUAAUUUAUGUAGCCUCUGUUUAGGUUGUGUUUUUUGUGUUUAAUUAGUGUUUGUGCCAAAUAGAACCGUUGGGAUGACUUGGGGAAAGUCUUGAUAUCUUGCUGUAAAAAACAGAAACUUUAGUGCUCGCGAGAAUUGCUGCCAUUUUUAUUUUGAAAGUGAUAUUUAGUUAAUUCUUUUUGCAGAUUAUUAAUAGAUAAAUUCCUCACGUCCACCAAUUUAUUUUAGAAUUUUUGGGGUUCCAUAUCUUGCUCUAGCUACAGAUUACUACAGACUGUUCUGUUUUUGAUAGAUUCUGUUUUUCGUGUGUUGUUUGCUUAUUUUGAUGAAUCUAUGGCUAGUAAAAUAGUUUAUAAACAAUAGAGAAGUUGGAAUACAGUAGGUUUAACACCAAUAUAAAUAAAUAAUGAGUUCAUUACAGUACCUUAAAGUGGUCUUUUGUUUUCUUUCGCUAACGGAGCUCACGAGAUUUUCUACUUUAAGUUUUGUGUUGUGAAGUUUUCAAGUUUUGGGUAAAGAUUUGAUGGAUUAUGGAACAAGGAGUGGCAAGAGACUAAGCUUGGGGAUGCACAUGGAACCCCCAAGAUAAUCUAAGGACACCUAAAAGCCAAAGCUUGGGGAUGCCCCGGAAGGCAUCCCCUCUUUCGUCUACUUCUAUCGGUAACUUUACUUGGAGCUAUAUUUUUAUUCACCACAUGAUAUGUGUUUUGCUUGGAGCGUCUUGCAUGAUUUAAGUCUUUGCUUUUUAGUUUACCACAAUCAUCCUUUCUGUACACACCUUUUGAGAGAGCCAUACAUGAUUUGGAAUUUGUUAGAAUACUCUACGUGCUUCACUUAUAUCUUUUUGAGUUAUAUAGUUUUGCUAUAGUACUUCACUUAUAUCUUUUAGAGCACGGUGGUGGAUUUGUUUUAUAGAAACUAUUGAUCUCUCAUGCUUCACUUAGAUUAUUUUGAGAGUCUUAAAUAGCAUGGUAAUUUGCUUAAAUAAUCCUAAUAUGCUAGGUAUUCAAGAUUAGUAUUUUUUUUCUUAUGAGUGUUUUGAAUACUAAGAUAAGUUUGAUGCUUGAUGAUUGUUUUGAGAUAUGGAGGUAAUAAUAUCAAAGUUGUGCUAGUUGAGUAGUUGUGAAUUUGAGAAAUGCUUGUGUUGAAGUUUGCAAGUCCUGUAGCAUGCACGCAUGGUAAACGUUAUGUAACAAAUUUGAAACAUGAGGUGUUAUUUGAUUGUCCUCCUUAUGAGUGGCGGUCGGGGACGAGUGAUGGUCUUUUCCUACCAAUCUAUCCCCCUAGGAGCAUGCGCGUAGUGCUUGUUUUUUGAUGACUUGUAGAUUUUUGCAAUAAGUAUGUGAGUUCUUUAUGACUAAUGUUUAGUCCAUGGAUUAUACACACUCUCACCCUUCCAUCAUUGCUAGCCUCUUCGGUACCCUGCAUUGCCCUUUCUCACAUUGAGAGUUGGUGCAAACUUCGCCGGUGCAUCCAAACCCCGUGAUAUGAUACGCUCUUUCACACAUAAACCUCCUUAUAUCUUCCUCAAAACAGCCACCAUACCUACCUAUUAUGGCAUUUCCAUAGCCAUUCAGAGAUAUAUUGCCAUGCAACUUUCUACCAUUCCGUUUAUCAUGACCCAUUCAUCAUUGUCAUAUUGCUUAGCAUGAUCAUGUAGUUGACAUAGUAUUUGUGGCAAAGCCACCAUUCAUAAUUCUUUCAUACAUGUCACUCUUGGUUCAUUGCAUAUCCCGGUACACCGCCGGAGGCAUUCAUAUAGAGUCAUAUCUUGUUCUAAGUAUCGAGUUGUAAUUCUUGAGUUGUAAGUAAACAUAAGUGUGAUGACCAUCAUUCAUAGAGCAUUGUUCCAAAAAAAGGAAGGCCAAAAAAAGUCCAAAUAAAAAAAUAAAAGGGACAAUGCUACUAUCCUUUGCCACACUUGUGCUUCAAAGUAGCACCAUAAUCUUCAUGAUAGAGAGUCUUUUGUUUUGUCACUUCCAUAUACUGGUGAGAAUUUUUCAUUAUAGAACUUGGCUUGUAUAUUCCAACAAUGGGCCUCCUCAAGUGCCCUAGGUCUUCGUGAGCAAGCAAGUUGGAUGCACACCCACUUAGUUUCUUUUGUUGAGCUUUCAUACAUUUAUAGCUCUAGUGCAUCCGUUGCAUGGAAAUCCCUACUCCUUGCAUUAACAUCAAUCGAUGGGCAUCUCCAUAGCCCAUUGAUUAGCCUCGUUGACGUGAGACUUUCUCCUUUUUGUCUUCUCCACAUAACCCCCAUCAUAUUCUAUUCCACCCAUAGUGCUAUAUCCAUGGCUCGCGCUCAUAUAUUGCGUGAAAGUUUAUAGGUUUGAGAUUACUAAAUUAUGAAACAAUUGCUUGGCUUGUCAUCGGGGUUGUGCAUGAUGAGAGCAUUCUUGUGUGACGAAAAUGGAGCAUGACUAAACUAUAUGAUUUUGUAGGGAUGAACUUUCUUUGGCCAUGUUAUUUUGAGAAGACAUAAUUGCUUAGUUAGUAUGCUUGAAAUAUUAUUAUUUUUAUGUCAAUAUGAACUUUUAUCUUGAAUCUUUCGGAUCUGAAUAUUCAUACCACAAUUAAGAAGAAUUACAUUAAAAUUAUGCCAAGUAGCACUCCGCAUCAAAAAUUCUGUUUUUAUCAUUUAUCUAAUCGAGGACGAGCAGGAAUUAAGCUUGGGGAUGCUUGAUACGUCUCCAACGUAUCUAUAAUUUUUGAUUGCUCCAUGCUAUAUUAUCUACUGUUUUGGACAUUAUGGGGCUUUAUUAUCCACUUUUAUAUUAUUUUUGGGACUAACCUAUUAACCGGAGCCCCAGCCCAGAAUUGCUGUUUUUUUUGCCUAUUUUAGGGUUACGAAGAAAAGGAAUAUCAAAUGGAGUCCAAACGGAAUGAAACCUUCGGGAACGUGAUUUUCUCACCGAACAUGAUUCAGGAGACUUGGACCCUACGUCAAGAAACAAAGGAGGAGGCCAUGAGGUAGGGGGCCGCGCCUACCCCCAGGCGCGCCCUCCACCCUCGUGGGCCUCCCGUUGCUCCACCGACGUACUCCUUCCUCCUAUAUAUACCUACGUACCCCCAAACAAUCAGAUACGGAGCCUAAACCCUAAUUCCACCGCCGUAACUUUCUGUAUCCACAAGAUCCCAUCUUGGGGCCUGUUCCGGAGCUCCGCCGGAGGGGGCAUCCAUCACGGAGGGCUUCUACAUCAACACCAUAGCCCCUCCGAUGAAGUGUGAGUAGUUUACCUCAGACCUUCGGGUCCAGAGUUAUUAGCUAGAUGGCUUCUUCUCUCUUUUUGGAUCUCAAUACAAUGUUCUCCCCCUCUCUUGUGGAGAUCUAUUCGAUGUAAUCUUCUUUUUACGGUGUGUUUGUUGAGAUCGAUGAAUUGUGGGUUUAUGAUCAAGAUUAUCUAUGAACAAUAUUUGAAUCUUCUCUAAAUUCUUUUAUGUAUGAUUGGUUAUCUUUGCAAGUCUCUUCGAAUUAUCAAUUUGGUUUGGCCUACUAGAUUGAUCUUUCUUGCAACGGGGGAAGUGCUUAGCUUUGGGUUCAAUCUUGCGGUGUCCUUUCCCAGUGACAGUAGGGGCAGCAAGGCACGUAUUGUAUUGUUGCCAUCGAGGAUAACAAGAUGGGGUUUUUAUCAUAUUGCAUGAAUUUAUCCCUCUACAUCAUGUCAUCUUGCUUAAGGCGUUACUCUGUUUUCAUGAACUUAAUACUCUAGAUGCAUGCUGGAUAGUGGUCGAUGAGUGGAGUUAUAGUAGUAGAUGCAGGCAGGAGUCGGUCUACUUGUCUCGGACGUGAUGCCUAUAUACAUGAUCAUACCUAGAUAUUCUCAUAACUAUGCUCAAUUCUGUCAAUUGCUCAACAGUAAUUCGUUCACCCACCAUAAAAUACUUAUGCUCUUGAGAGAAGCCACUAGUGAAACCUAUGGCCCACGGGUCUAUCUUCAUCAUAUUAAUCUUCCAAUACUUAGUUAUUUCCUUUGCCUUUUCCUUUGCUUUUAUUUUACUUUGCAUCUUUAUCACAAAAAUACCAAAACUAUUAUCUUAUCAUAUCUAUCAGAUCUCACUCUCGUAAGUGACCGUGAAGGAAUUGACAACUCCUUAUCGCGUUGGUUGCAAGGAGUUAUUUGCUUUGUGCAGGUACGAGGGACUCGCGCGUAGCCUCCUACUGGAUUGAUACCUUGGUUCUCAAAAACUGAGGGAAAUACUUACGCUACUUUGCUGCAUCACCCUGUCCUCUUCAAGGGAAAACCAACGCAGUGCUCAAGAGGUAGCAGGGGGCGCCGCCCAGGGGGUAGGGCGCGCCCUCCACCCUCGUGGCCAGGUGCUUUCUCCUCCUGCUGUGUUCUCAGUGCCAGAUAUUCUCAAAUAUUCCAGAAAAAUCCUUUUUAAAUUUCAGGGCGUUCGGAGAACUUUUAUUUUCGGGGUAUUUUUAUAUUGCACGGAUAAAUCAGAUAACAGACGGAAAAUACUUAUUUUUAUUUUAUUGAAUAUAAAUAACAGAAAGUAAAAGGAGGGUACAGAGAGUUGUGCCUUCUAGUUUCAUCCAUCUCACGCUCAUCAAAAGGAAUCCACUAACAAGGUUGAUCAAGUCUUGUUAACGAACUCAUUCCGAAUAACAUGGAACUGGAGAAAUUUCGAAUAACACUAUGUUACCUCAACGGGGAUAUGCACAUCCCCAAUAAUAAGAAUAUCAUAUUUAUUUUUGACAGUAGGUAGAGGAAAUUCAAAACCUCCAAUAAUAAUCGAUGGGAUUUUCCAAUAGAGUUGAUACUAUGAACUUGAGGUUGUUUCCUCGAAAAGUGUACUGUAUGCUCAUUACAAUUAACAUGAAAAGUGACAUUGCCUUUGUUGCAAUCAAUAACAGCCCCUGCAAUAUUCAAAAAGGGUCUUCCAAGAAUAAUAGACAUACUAUCGUCCUCGGGAAUAUCAAGAAUAUCAAAGUCCGUUAAAAUAGUAACAACCAGAACAGGCACAUCCUCACAAAUAUUGACAAGCAUAGCAGUUGAUUUAUCAGCCAUUUGCAAAGAUAUUUCAGUAGGUGUCAACUUAUUCAAAUCAAGUCUAUGAUAUAAAGAGAGAGGCAUAACACUAACACCGGCUCCAAGAUCACAUAAAGGAGUUUUAACAUAGUUCCUUUUGAUGGAGCAUGGUAUAGUGGGUACUCCUGGAUCUCCAAGUUUCUUUGGUAUUCCACCUUUAAAAGUAUAAUUAGCAAGCAUGGUGGAAAUUUCAGCUUCCGGUAUCUUUCUUUUAUUUGUAACAAUAUCUUUCAUGUACUUAGCAUAAGGAUUCAUUCUAAGCAUAUCAGUUAAUCGCAUACGCAAAAAGAUAGGUCUAAUCAUUUCAGCAAAGCGCUCAAAAUGCUCAUCGUCCCUUUUCUUGGAUGGUUUGGGAGGAAAAUGCAUGGGUUUCUGAACCCAAGGCUCUCUUUCCUUUCCAUGUUUCCUAGCAACAAAGUCUUUCUUAUCAUAACGUUGAUUCUUCGAUUGUGGGUUAUCAAGAUCAACAACAGGUUCAAUUUCUAUAUCAUUAUCAUUACUAGGUUGAGCAUCAUCAUGAACAUUAUCAUUAACAUUAUCACUAGUUUCAGGUUCAUUACCAGAUUGUAUUUCAGCAUCAGAAAUAGAAAUAUCAUUUGGAUUCUUAGGUGUUUCAGCAAUAGGUUCACUAGAAGCAUGCAAAGUCCUAUCAUUUUUUUCUUCCUUUUAGAAGGACUAGGUGCAUCUAUAUUAUUUCUCUGAGAAUCUUGCUCAAUUCUCUUAGGGUGGACUUUAGGAUACAAAGGUUCCUGAGUCAUUCUACCAGUUCUAGUAGCCACUCUAACAAGAAAAUCAUUAUUCUUACUAUUCAAUUCAUUGAGCAAAUCAUUUUGAGCUUUAAGUACUUGUUCUACUUGAGUGGUAACCAUAGAAGCAUGUUUACUAAUAAGUUUAAGUUCACCUUUGACAUUAGCCAUAUAAUCACCCAAGUGUUCAAGCAUAUCAGCACUAUGUUUUAAUUCUCUACCAAAAUAAGCAUUGAAGUCUUCUUGCUUAACCAUAAAUUUAUCAAACUCAUCUAAGCAUGGGCUUGCAAACUUAGUAAAUGGGAUAUCAGCUUUAUCAUAUCUAUAGAGAGAAUUUACCUUUACUACCUGUGUCGGGUUAUCAAGACCAUGUAUUUCUUCAAUAUGAGAUGGAUUAAAAUUAUGCAUUUCUUUGACAGGCGGUAAAUUAAGACCAUGCAUUUCUUCAAUAGGAGGUAAAUUCUUAACAUCUUUAGCUUUAAUACCCUUUUCUUUUAUGGAUUUCUUUGCCUCUUGCAUAUCCUCAGGGCUGAGAAGUAGAACACCUCUCUUCUUCGGAGUUGGUUUAGGAAUAGGCUCAGGAGCUGGCUCAGGAAGUGUCCAAUUAUUUUCAUUUGUCAACAUAUUAUUCAAUAGAAUUUCAGCUUCAUCCAGUGUUCUUUCCCUGAAAACAGAACCAUCACAACUAUCUAGGUAAUCUCUGGAAGCAUCGGUUAGUCCAUUAUAAAAGAUAUCAAGUAUUUCAUUUUUCUUAAGAGGAUGAUCAGGCAAAGCAUUAAGUAAUUGGAGAAGCCUCCCCCAAGCUUGUGGGAGACUCUCUUCUUCAAUUUGCACAAAAUUAUAUAUAUCCCUCAAAGCAGCUUGUUUCUUAUGAGCAGGGAAAUAUUUAGCAGAGAAGUAAUAAAUCAUAUCCUGGGGACUAUGCACACAACCAGUAUCAAGAGAAUUAAACCAUAUCUUAGCAUCACCCUUUAAUGUGAACAGAAAUAUUUUAAGGAUAUAAAAGUAGCAAGAUUUCUCAUCAUUAGUGAACAGGGUGGCUAUAUCAUUUAAUUUAGUAAGAUGUGCCACAACAGUUUCAGAUUCAUAGCCAUGAAAAGGAUUAGAUUCAACCAAAGUAAUUAUAUCAGGAUCAAUAGAGAAUUCAUAAUCCUUAUCAGUAACAUAGAUAGGUGAAGUAGCAAAAGCAGGGUCGGGUUUCAUUCUAGCAUUAAGAGAUUGCUGCUUCCAUUUAGCUAAUAACCUCUUUAGAUCAUAUCUAUCAUUGCAAGCUAAAAUAGCUAGAGCAGCUUCUUUUUCCAAAACAUAACCCUCAGGAAUAAUAGGUGAUUCAUAUUUAUUAGGGGGAGAGUCUUCAUCAUCACUUUCGUUAAUAUUACCAGUUUCAAUAAUUUCAUUCUCUCUAACCCUAGCAAGUUGUUCAUCAAGAAAUUCACCAAGUGGCACAGUAGUAUCAAGCAUAGAAGUAGUUUCAUCAUAAGUAUCCUGCAUAGCAGAAGUGGCAUCAUCAAUAACAUGUGACAUAUCAGAAUGAAUAGCAGAAGCAGGUUUAGGUGUCGCAAGCUUACUCAAAACAGAAGGUGAAUCAAGUGCAGAGCUAGAUGGCAGUUCCUUACCCCCCCUCGUAGUUGAGGGAUAAAUCUUGGUUUUUGGAUCUCUCAAGUUCUUCAUAAUGAUAAGUAGAUAUAAAUCCCAAGUGACUCAAAGAAUAGAGCUAUGCUCCCCGGCAACGGCGCCAGAAAAUAGUCUUGAUAACCCACAAGUAUGGGGGAUCGCAACAGUUUUCGAGGGUAGAGUAUUCAAACCAAAUUUAUUGAUUCGACACAAGGGGAGCCAAAGAAUAUUCUCAAGUAUUAGCAGCUGAGUUGUCAAUUCAACCACACCUGGAAACUUAAUAUCUACAGCAAAGUGUUUAGUAGGAAAGUAAUAUGAUAGUAGUGGUAAUGGUAGCAAAAGGUAAUGAUAGCAAAAGUAAUAUUUUUGGUGUUUUGUAGUGAUUGUAACAAUAGCAACGGAAAAGUAAAUAAGCGAAGAACAAUAUAUGGAAAGCUCGUAGGCAAUGGAUCGGUGAUAGAGAAUUAUGCCGGAUGUGGUUCAUCAUGUAACAGUCAUAACCUAAGGUGACACAGAACUAGCUCCAAUUCAUCAAUGCAAUGUAGGCAUGUAUUCCGAAUAUAGCCAUACGUGCUUAUGGAAAAGAACUUGCAUGACAUAUUUUGUCCUACCCUCCCAUGGCAGCGGGGUCCUAAUGGAAACUAAGGGAUAUUAAGACCUCCUUUUAAUAGAUUACCGGACCAAAGCAUUAACACAUAGUGAAUACAUGAACUCCUCAAACUACGGUCAUCACCGGGAGUGGUCCCGAUUAUUGUCACUUUGGGGCUGCCGGAUCAUAACACAUAGUAGGUGACUAUAGACUUGCAAGAUAGGAUCAAGAACUCUCAUAUAUUGAUGAAAACAUAAUAGGUUCAGAUCUGAAAUCAUGGCACUCGGGCCCUAGUGACAAGCAUUAAGCAUAGCAAAGUCAUAGCAACAUCAAUCUCAGAACAUAGUGGAUACUAGGGAUCAAACCCUAACAAAACUAACUCGACUACAUGAUAAAUCUCAUCCAACCCAUCACCAUCCAGCAAGCCUACGAUGGAAUUACUCACGCACGACGGUGAGCAUCAUGAAAUUGGUGAUGGAGUAAGGUUGAUGAGGAUGAUGGUGACGGAUUCCCCUCUCCGGAGCCUCGAACGGACUCUAGAUCAGCCCUCCCGAGAGGUUUUAGGGCUUGGCGGUGGCUCCGUAUCGUAAAACGCAAUGAAUCCUUCUCUCUGAUUUUUUUCUUCCCGAAAGCAAAUAUAUAGAGUUGGAGUUGAGGUCGGAGGAGCUCCAGGGCCCCCCCUGGUCUUCAUCUUUUGCAAGAUUUUUUAUUAUUUCCAAGAAGACGUUCCGUGAAGUUUCAGGUCAUUCCGAGAACUUUUAUUUCUGCACAUAAAUAACACCAUAGUAAUUCUGCUGAAAACAUCGUCAGUCCGGGUUAGUUCCAUUCAAAUCAUGCAAGUUAGAGUCCAAAGGGCAAAAGUGUUUGAAAAAGUAGAUAGGACGGAGACGUAUCACAUACCCAGCGAUCCCCGUACUCAAACAGGUUUGAGCUCCCUCGAUGGUGUGGCACACCUCACAUUUGGGCACACUUAUCCCUAGCCUUAUUGUGUUCGGCUAGCCAUUGGGGAGAGCACCACUCAUCCACCAACGCCUCCCAACAGUCCAUCAUAUCCGCACACCAUCUCAGGGGCACCUAAGUUUGGCAAAGAGAAAUUUCAGCGCUACACCUACGAAUGAAAUCAAGGAAACUAAGUACAAGGCCUUAAGAAUAGGUAAUUACCUUCAUGUACUUCUCCUUACUCAGAUACUUGCCGCGGCACUUCUUCUUGGCCCUCCUACUGUUAGUCGAGGCGUAGUAGUCUCGAACAGCCUGCACCCUAGCCUCAUGUCGUAAGUUCUGAAGUAGGCGCUUGCACUCGGCUUCAAGAAUCCUAGACGCCUCCACCUUGUGUUCCUCAGAACACCUGUAGAAGGUAUGCAAUCGAACAAGACAACACCGAUUAGUACAAUCACUAGGUAAUGUUGAUUUUGAAGGAAAUAUGCCCUAGAGGCAAUAAUAAAGUUGUUAUUUAUUUCCUUAUAUCAUGAUAAAUGUUUAUUAUUCAUGCUAGAAUUGUAUUAACCGGAAACUUAGUACAUGUGUGAAUACAUAGAACAACACAGUGUCACUAGUUUGCCUCUACUUGACUAGCUCGUUGAAUCAAUGAUGGUUAUGUUUCCUAACCAUAGACAUGAUUUGUCAUUUGAUUAACAGGAUCACAUCAUUAGAGAAUGAUGUGAUCGACUUGACCCAUCCGUUAGCAUAGCAUGAUGAUCGUUUAGUUUGUUGCUAUUGCUUUCUUCAUAACUAUACAUGUUCCUAUGACUAUGAGAUCAUGCAACUCCCGAAUACCGGAGGAACACUUUGUGUGCUAUGAAACGUCACAACGUAACUUGGGGAUUAUACAGGUGCUCUACAGAUGUCUCCGAUGGUGUUUGUUGAGUUGGCAUGGAUCAAGAUUAGGAUUUGUCACUCCAAUUGUCGAAGAGGUAUCUCUGGGCCCUCUCGGUAAUGUACAUCACUAUAAGCCUUGCAAGCAAUGUAGCUAAUGAGUUUGUUAUGGGAUGUAGCAUUACAGAACGAGGAAAGAGACUUGUCGGUAAUGAGAUUGAACUAGGUAUUAGGAUACCGACGAUCGAAUCUCGGGCAAGUAACAUACCGAUGACAAAGGGAACAACAUAUACCAUUAUGCGAUUUGACCGAUAAAGAUCUUCGUAGAAUAUGUAGGAGCCAAUAUGAGCAUCCAGGUUCCGCUAUUGGUUAUUGACCAGAGACAUGUCUCGGUCAUGUCUACAUAGUUCUCGAACCCAUAGGGUCCGCGCUUAAAGUUUGGUGACAGUCAGUAUUACGAGUUUAUGUGUUUUGAUGUACCGAAGGUAGUUCGGAGUCCCGGAUUUGAUCACAGACAUGACGAGGAGUCUCGAAAUGGUCGAGACGUAAAGAUCGACAUAUUGGAAGCCUAUCUUUGGACAUCGGAAUGGUUCCGGAUGAAAUCAGGAGUAUACCGGAGCACCGGGAGGUUACCGGAACCCCCCGAGGGGUGUAUGGGCCUUAUUGGGCCUUAGUGGAAGAGAGGGAGAAGAAGCAAAGGAAGGGGGCACCCCCCAAGCCCAAUCCAAAUUGGGAGGGGGCCGGGCCCCCUUUCCUUCCUUCUUCCUCCUCCUUCCUUCUCUCCUAAAACCAAACAAGGGAAGGGGUGAAUCCUACUCCCGGUGGGAGUAGGACUCCCUUGGGCGCGCCUAGAGAGGCCGGCCCCUCCCCCUCCUCCACUCCUUUAUAUACGGGGAGGGAGGCACCCCAUAUGGACACACAAGUUGAUCACUGAUCUUUUACCGUGUGCGGUGCCCCGCUCCACCAUAAUCCACCUCGGUAAUAUCGUAGCGGUGCUUAGGCGAAGCCCUGUUUCGGUAGCAACAUCAUCACCGUCAUCACACCGUUAUGUUGACGAAGCUCUCCCUCGAAGCUCUACUAGAUCGUGAGUUCGCGGGACGUCACCGAGCCGAAUGUGUCAGAUUGCGGAGGUGCCGUACCUUCGGUGCUGGAUCGGUCGAUCGUGAAGACGUACGACUACAUCAACCACGUUGUCAUAAUGCUUCCGCUUAUGGUCUACGAGUGUACGUAGAUGAUACUCUCCCCUCUCGUUGCUAUGCAUCACCAUGAUCUUGCGUGUGUAUAGGAUUUUUUUUGAAAUUACUGCGUUCCCCAACAGUGGCAUCCGAGCUAGGUUUAUGCGUAGAUGUUAUAUGCACGAGUAGAACACAAAGGAGUUGUGGGCGUGGGUAUAUACUUAUUGCUUGCCGUCACUAGUUGAUUCUUGAUUCAGCGACAUUGUUGGAUGAAGCGGCCCAGAUCGACAUUACGCGUAUGCUUACGCGAGACUAGUUCUACCGACGUGCUUCACACACAGGUGGCUAGUGGGUGUCUGUUUCUCCAGCUUUAGUUGAAUUGGAUUCAACGAACAUGGUUCUUUCUGAAGAUCAAAAACCAAUCACUAUACCACGUUCUGGUUUUGAUGCGUAGGUAAGAACGGUUCUUGCUCAGCCCAUAGCAGCCACGUAAAACUUGCAACAACAAACUAGAGGACAUCUAACUUGUUUUUGCAGGGCAUGUUGUGAUGUGAUAUGGUCAAGACAUGAUGCUAAAUUUUAUUGUAUGAGAUGAUCAUGUUUUGUAACAUAGUUAUCGGCAACUGGCAGGAGCCAUAUGGUUGUCGCUUUAUUGUAUGAAAUGCAAUGCCAUGUAAUUGCUUUACUUUAUCACUAAGCGGUAGCGAUAGUCGUAGAAGCAAUAGUUGGCGAGAUGACAAUGAUGCUUCGAUGGAGAUCAAGGUGUCAAGCCGGUGACGAUGGUGAUCAUGACGGUGCUUUGGAGAUGGAGAUCAAAGUCACAAGAUGAUGAUGGCCAUAUCAUAUCACUUAUAUUGAUUGCAUGUGAUGUUUAUCCUUUAUGCAUCUUAUUUUUCUUAGUUCGGCGGUAGCAUUAUAAGAUGAUCUCUCACUAAAUUUCAAGGUAUAAGUGUUCUCCCUGAGUAUGCACCGUUGCUACAAUUUGUCGUGCCGAGACACCACGUGAUGAUCGGGUGUGAUAAGCUCUACAUUCACAUACAAUGGGUGCAAGCCAGUUUUGCACACGCGGAAUACUCGGGUUAAACUUGACAAGCCUAGCAUAUGCAGAUAUGGCCUCAGAACACUGGAGACCGAAAGGUCGAGCGUGAAUCAUAUAGUAGAUAUGAUCAACAUAGUGAUGUUCACCAUUGAAAACUACUCCAUCUCACGUGAUGAUCGGACAUGGUUUAGUUGAUAUGGAUCACGUGAUCACUUAGAUGAUUAGAGAGAUGUCUAUCUAAGUGGGAGUUCUUAAGUAAUUUGAUUAAUUGAACUUUAAUUUAUCAUGAACUUAGUACCUGAUAGUAUUUUGCAUGUCUAUGUUGUUCUAGAUAGAUGGCCCGUGCUGUUGUUCCGUUGAAUUUUAAUGCGUUCCUAGAGAAAGCUAAGUUGAAAGAUGACGGUAGCAACUACAUGGACUGGGUCUGUAACUUGAAGAUUAUCCUCAUUGCUGCAUAGAAGAAUUACGCCCUGGAAGCACCACUAGGUGACAAACCCGCUGCAGGAAUAACGCCAGAUGUUAUGAACACGUGGCAGAGCAAAGCUGUUUUCUACUCAAUAGUUCAGUGUGCCAUCCUUUACAGCUUAGAACCGGGACUUCAACAACGUUUUGAACGUCAUGGAGCAUAUGAGAUGUUUCAGGAGUUGAAGUUAAUAUUUCAAGCAAAUGCCCAGAUUGAGAGAUAUGAAGUCUCCAAUAAGUUCUACAGCUGCAAGAUGGAGGAGAAUAGUUCUGUCAGUGAACAUAUACUCAGAAUGUUUGGGUACCACAACCACUUGACUCAACUAGGAGUUAGUCUUACUGAUGAUAGUGUCAUUGACAGAGUUCUUCAAUCACUGCCACCAAGCUACAAGAGCUUCAUGAUGAACUAUAAUAUGCAAGGGAUGGAUAAGACGAUUCCCAAGCUCUUCGCAACACUAAAGGAUGUGGAGGUAGAAAUCAAGAAGGAGCAUCAAGUGUUGAUGGUCAACAAGACCACCAGUUUCAAUAAAAAGGGUAAAGGGAAGAAGGGGAACUUCAAGAAGAACAGCAAGCCAGUUGCUGCUCAAGUGAAUAAACCCAUGUCUAGACCUAAGCCUGAGACUGAGUGCUUCUACUGCAAAGGAACUGGUCACUGGAAGCGGAACUUCCCCAAGUAUUUGGCGGAGAAGAAGGAUGGCAAAGUGAAAGGUAUAUUUGAUAUACAUGUUAUUCAUGUGUACCUUACUAAUGCUCGCAGUAGUGCCUGGGUAUUUGAUACUGGUUCAGUUGCUAACAUUUGCAACUCGAAACAGGGGCUACGGAUUAAGUGAAGAUUGGCUAAGGACGAGGUGACGAUGCGCGUGGUAAAUGGUUUCAAAGUCGAUGUGAUCGCUGUCGGCACGCUGCCUCUACAUCUACCUUCGGGAUUAGUAUUAUACCUAAAUAAUUGUUAUUUGGUGCCAGCGUUCAGCAUGAACAUUAUAUCUGGAUCUUGUUUGAUGCGAGACGGUUAUUCAUUUAAAUCAGAUAAUAAUGGUUGUUCUAUUUAUAUGAGUAAUAUCUUUUAUGGUCAUGCACCCCUGAUGAGUGGUCUAUUUUUACUAAAUCUUGAUAGUAGUGAUACACAUGUUCAUAGUAUUCAAGCCAAAAGAUGCAGAGUUGAUAAUGAUAGUGCAAUUUAUUUGUGGCACUGCCGUUUAGGUCAUAUUUGUGUAAAGCGCAUGAAGAAACUCCAUUCCGAUGGACUUCUGGAAUCACUUGAUUAUGAAUCACUUGGUACUUGCGAACCAUGCCUCAUGGGCAAGAUGACUAAAACUCCAUUCUCUGGAACAAUGGAGCGAGCAACAGAGUUAUUGGAAAUCAUACAUACUCAUGUAUGUGGUCCAAUGAACAUUUAAGCUCGCGGCGGAUAUCGUUAUUUUCUCACCUUCACAUAUGAUUUGAGCAGAUAUGGGUAUAUCUACUUAAUGAAACAUAAGUCUGAAACAUUUGAAAAGUUCAAAGAAUUUCAAAGUGAAGUGGAAAAUCAUCGUAACAAGAAAAUCAAGUUUCUACGAUCUGAUCGUGGAGGCGAAUAUUUGAGUUAUGAGUUUGGACUUCAUGUGAAACAAUGCGGAAUAGUUUCCCAACUCAUGCCACCUGGAACACCACAGUGUAAUGGUGUGUCCGAACAUCGUAAUCGCACUUUACUAGAUAUGGUGCGAUCUAUGAUGUCUCUCACUGAUUUACCGUCGUUUUGGGGUUACGCUUUAGAGACAGCUACAUUCACGUUAAAUAGGGUACCAUCUAAAACCAUCAAGAUCACACCUUAUGAACUAUGGUUUGGCAAGAAACCCAAGUUGUCGUUUCUUAAAAUUUGGGGCUGCGAUGCUUAUGUGUAAAAGCUUCAACCUGAUAAGAUCGAAUCCAAUCGGAGAAAUGUGUCUUCAUAGGAUACCGAAAGGAGACUGUUGGGUAGACCUUCUAUCACAAAUCCGAAGGCAAGAUAUUCGUUGCUAAGAAUGGAUCCUUUCUAGAGAAGGAGUUUCUCUCGAAAGAAGUGAGUGGGAGGAAAGUAGAACUUGACGAGGUAAUUGUACCUUCUCCCUUAUUGGAAAGUAGUUCAUCACUGAAAUCAGUUCCAGUGAUUCCUACACCAGUAAGUGAGGAAGCUAAUGAUGAUGAUCAUGAAACUUCUGAUCAAGUUACUACCGAACCUCGUAGGUCAACCAGAGUAAGAUCCGCACCAGAGUGGUAUGGUAAUCCUAUUCUGGAAGUCAUGUUACUUGACCAUGACGAACCUACGAACUAUGAGGAAGCGAUGAUGAGCCCAGAUUCCGCAAAAUGGCUUGAAGCCAUGAAAUCUGAGAUGGGAUCCAUGUAUGAGAGCAAAGUAUGGACUUUGGUUGACUUGCCCGAUGAUCGGCAGGCCACAGAGAAUAAAUGGAUCUUCAAGAAGAAGACUGACGAUGACAGUACUAUUACUGUCUACAAAGCUCGACUUGUUGCGAAAGGUUUUCGACAAGUUCAAGGAUUUAACUACAAGACCUUCUCACCCGUAGCAAUGCUUAAGUCCGUCCGAAUCAUGUUAGCAAUUGCCGCAUUUUAUGAUUAUGAAAUUUGGCAAAUGGAUGUCAAAACUGCAUUCCUUAAUGGAUAUCUUAAAGAAGAGUCGUAUAUGAUGCAACCAGAAGGUUUUGUCGAUCCAAAGGGUGCUAACAAAGUGUGCAAGCUCUACCGAUCCAUUUAUGGACUGGUGCAAGCCUCUCGGAGUUGGAAUAUACGCUUUGAUAGUGUGAUCAAAGCAUAUGGUUUUAUACAGACUUUUGGAGAAGCCUAUAUUUACAAGAAAGUGAGUGGGAGCUCCGUAGCAUUUCUAAUAUUAUAUGUAGAUGACAUAUUGUUAAUCGGAAAUGAUACUGAAUUUCCAAAUAGCAUAAAAGGAUACUUGAAUAAGAAUUUUUCAAUGAAAGACCUCGGUGAAGCUGCUUAUAUAUUGGGCAUCAAGAUCUAUAGAGAUAGAUCAAGACGCUUAAUUGGACUUUCACAAAGCACAUACCUUGAUAAAGUUUUGAAGAAGUUCAAAAUGGAUCGGGCAAAGAAAGGGUUCUUGCCUGUAUUACAAGAUGUGAAGUUGAGUUAGACUCAAUGCCCGACCACUGCAGAAGAUAGAGAGAAAAUGAAAGGUGUUACCUAUGCUUCAGCCAUAGGCUCUAUCAUGUAUGCAAUGCUGUGUACCAGACUUGAUGUGUGCCUUGCUAUAAGUUUAGCAGGGAGGUACCAAAGUAAUCCAGGAGUGGAUCACUGGACAGCGGUUAAGAACAUCCUGAAAUACCUGAAAAGGACUAAGGAUAUGUUUCUUGUAUAUGGAGGUGACAAAGAGCUCGUCGUAAACAGUUACGUCGAUGCAAGCUUUGACACUGAUCCGGAUGACUCUAAGUCACAAACCAGAUACAUGUUUUUAUUAAAUGGUGGAGCUGUCAGUUGGUGCAGUUCCAAGCAGAGCGGCGUGGCGGGAUCUACAUGUGAAAGGAAUACAUAGCCGCUUCGAAAGCAGCAAAUGAAGGAGUCUGGAUGAAGGAGUUAAUAUCCGAUCUAGGUGUCAUACCUAGUGCAUCGGGUCCAAUGAAAAUCUUUUGUGAAAAUACUGGAGCAAUGCCUUGGCAAAGGAAUCCAGAUUUCACAAGAGAACCAAGCACAUCAAGAGACGCUUUAAUUCCAUCCGCGAUCAAGUCAAGGAGGGAGACAUAGAGAUUUGCAAGAUACAUACGGAUCUGAAUGUUGCAGACCCGUUGACUAAGCCUCUCUCACGAGCAAAACAUGAUCAGCACAAAGACUCCAUGGGUGUUAGAAUCAUUACAAUGCAAUCUAGAUUAUUGACUCUAGUGCAAGUGGGAGACUGAAGGAAAUAUGCCCUAGAGGCAAUAAUAAAUUUGUUAUUUAUUUCCUUAUAUCAUGAUAAAUGUUUAUUAUUCAUGCUAGAAUUAUAUUAACUGGAAACUUAGUACAUGUGUGAAUACAUAGACAAACAGAGUGUCACUAGUUUUCCUCUACUUGACUAGCUCGUUGAAUCAAUGAUGGUUAUGUUUCCUAACCAUAGACAUGAGUUGUCAUUUGAUUAACGGGAUCACAUCAUUAGAGAAUGAUGUGAUUGACUUGACCCAUCCGUUAGCGUAGCACGAUGAUCGUUUAGUUUGUUGCUAUUACUUUCUCCAUAACUAUACAUGUUCCUAUGACUAUGAGAUCAUGCAACUCCCGAAUACCGGAGGAACACUUUGUGUUCUACCAAACGUCACAACGUAACUGCGUGAUUAUAAAGGUGCUCUACAGGUGUCUCUGAUGGUGUUUGUUGAGUUGACAUGGAUGAAGAUUAGGAUUUGUCACUCCGAUUGUCGGAAAGGUAUCUCUGGGCCCUCUCGGUAAUGUACAUCACUAUAAGCCUUGCAAGCAAUAUAGCUAAUGAGUUAGUUAUGGGAUCUAGCAUUACGGAAUGAGUAAAGAGACAUGACAGUAACGAGAUUGAACUAGGUAUUGGGAUACCGACGAUCGAAUCUCGGGCAAGUAACAUACCGAUGACAAAGGGAACAACGUAUACCGUUAUGCGGUUUGAGCGAUAAAGAUCUUCGUAGAAUAUGUAGGAGCCAAUAUGAGAAUCCAGGUUCCGCUAUUGGCUAUUGACCGGAGACAUGUCUCGAUCAUGUCUAAAUAGUUCUCGAACCCGUAGGGUCUGCACGCUUGACGUUUGGUGACGAUCGGUAUUACGAGUUUAUGUGUUUCGAUGUACCGAAGGUAGUUUGGAGUCCCAGAUUUGAUCACGGACAUGACAAGGAGCCUCGAAAUGGUCGAGACGUAAAGAUCGAUAUAUUGGAAGCCUAUGUUUGGACAUUGAAAUGGUUCAGGGUGAAAUCGGGAGUAUGCCAGAGCACCAGGAGGUUACCAAACCCCCCCCCCGGGAGGUGUAUGGGCCUUAUUGGGCCCUAGUGGAAGAGAGGGAGAAGAAGCAAAGGAAGGGGGCGUGCUCUAGAGCCCAAUCCUAACUGGGAGGGGGGCCGGCCCCCCUUUCUUUCCUUCUUCCUCCUCCUUCCUUCUCUCCUUAAACCAAACAAGGGAAGGGGGAAUCCUACUCCCGGUGGGAGUAGGACUCCCUUGGGCGCGCCUAGAGAGGCCGGCCCCUCCCCCUCCUCCACUCCUUUAUAUAUGGGGAGGGGGCACCCCAUGGACACACAAGUUAAUCAUUGAUCUUUUAGCCAUGUGUGGUGCCCCCUCCACCAUAAUCCACCUCGGUAAUAUCGUAGCGGUGCUUAGGCAAAGCCCUAUUCCGGUAGCAACAUCAUCACCGUCAUCACACCGUCGUGUUGACGAAACUCUCCCUCUAAGCUCUUCUAGAUCGUGAGUUCGAGGGACGUCACCGAGUCAAACAUGUGCAGAUCGCGGAGGUGCCGUAUCUUCGGUGCUGGAUCGGUUGAUCGUGAAGACGUACGACUACAUUAACCGCGUAGUCAUAACGCUUCCGCUUAUGGUCUACGAGGGUACGUAGAUGACACUCUCCCCUCUCAUUGCUAUGCAUCACCAUGAUCUUGCAUGUGCGUAGGAGUUUUUUUGAAAUUACUGCGUUCCCCAAUAGAUUUUUAAUUCUAUAAAGGAGAAAUUACCCAAAACCGCCGCCUCACAAUGUCGGCCACCAUCUCGCACAAGACACCGUCGACCCUCCCCUCCGGCGGGGCCGAGGGAGCCACAUACAGCUCCCAGCUUAGUGCUAGCUGUGGAACCUGAACCUCACUGGGCAACGUGACUCACCUCGGGAAGUGGUGCCGGCAAAGCACACCAAGGACCUGGUUGGGCCUGCGGACACCAUCGGCGUGUAUCCAACCCCUGCAGUAUGACAAGGCCAACACAUUAGAUAUUAAUUUGAAGAAACAUGAAGGACAAAGGUUUAAAAAGACUAAAUGCACUUUCUUCUCCCCGUUAGGCUGAAUCAACCACCUUUGAUCACGGGUCACUGGCACAGCCGGGAGCUUCCUACCACCACACUGGUAGACCCUCUUGCCCUGCUCAACUAGCUCACCCUCGCUAAAACUAUCGUCAGACCAGGUCUCCUCGCCAUCAGCAUGGCCACUAGUCUCCGGAGUCACGUGGGACAAAGACUUCGGGGCCCGAGUCUCAUGGGACAAAGACUCUGUGCCCGAGUCUCGUGGGACGAAGGCUCAGCGACCCGAGGCUCGUGGACCGAAGUCCAAGACAGGUCCAAGUCUGACGGGUCCACCUGAGACAGAGCACUCCAGUAGUCCGGAGAAUCAGCUAGGGUGGCGGUGUGGGAGGCACAACAUCCUUCCUACCUCUCCCGCCGCCACGUCCACAUCUAGCUGCACCCCUCUUCGUCUUCCCCCGACCUCUCCCGACCGAAGAAGAAGCGCCCACCGGUGUGUGCAUGAUGUCUACCAGCGCUCUCCGAAGGUGCUGGGGUGGAAUAAUAGCACCCCUCCCAGCACAUGCCGAGGAAGAAGGAGGCUUGGAGCGCUCUCGACCCGCGCCCACCAUCUAUCAACACCUACAAUGACAAAGAGUAAACGAAAUUAGUACAACAUAAACAUAAUAAAAUAUUUGGUGGGUGAAAACAACACCUAAAAAAUCAACUAACUAAUUAACUAAGUAAGUAAGUAAUUAACCUAAAAAAUAACUAACUAACUAAUUAAAGGCUUUUUCUUAAGGCCAAAAGUGGUCUUUAAUAGGUUAAAAUUAUUUUAGUGUUUCAAAAAUAUUUGAGAAAAUUUAGGGAAGCUCAUUGGACAUAUAUUGUCCAUAUAUAAGAGUUUCAACACACGGUCAUGUUCAAAAUAUUGGUCAAAUCCAUCAAAAACCAUUUUCUAAUAUUUCAAGCUUUUGGAAUAUUUACAAAUGAAAUAUUCUCUAUAAAUUUCAAGAAAAUUCUAGCAUGUCAAAAAUGCGAUAUUUGGUUAUCUUGCCAAGUAUCAUCUCUUGGAGAACAAGAUGACAUCACCAGAACCCCUCAAAACCAUUUAUGUCUAUUGCCAAACAUUUCCAAAUGCUCUCAAACUAGGUGGUAAACCUUAGAUCUAUCUACUAUUUGACCCUGUUAAAUCUCAUGGCAAGGAGUUUUCAUUUACUUGCCGAAAACAUCAUCAAACACCUUCUGUAAUUUUACCAAAACCAUAGUUUUUACCCCUUCCACUAUUCUCCAUGAGCUCAAUUUUUUACCAUAGCUGACCCCGAUCAUCUUUUUUUGACUAUGGCAAUUAUGGAAUCUUGAAAGUGCAUGUGCUCACGUGCCAAUAGACACUUUUUGGCACCAUGUUUCAGUCUAUUGUCAUUCAGAUAUCUUGGAAGAUUAGGCCUCCCAUAGGGAGGAACUAGACUUUUCUAAUCAUACCAACUCUUCAGUUAAGCCAAGCAAGCCUAAAGCACUUGUUAGGGCAGUCUAAACUACUAGUAUUUGCAUAGACAAGCUAUAAAAGAGUUUAAAAAGUUCUAACUGAUUAGACCAAGAUAUUAGCCAUGUUCUCUAAUUAAUUAUAGGACAUUUAUUUCUUAUGAUGAUAUACUCAUUUUGGGUGUACUUCUGAUACCGUCGAAUGUUGUUUCGAGGAAACAAAUUAAAGUAAAGGGAUUCUUUCUUUGUGUGAAGUCAAAUUGAAAUAAGAAUGUUUUUUUCUUCAGAAAGAUAAAUAUCACAACAUUGUCAGGUCCCAACAAGCAGGAGCUAGGUGCUUAAGAUCGCCCUGCCACUAAUUAUUAGCCAUUAGCUAUAUUUGAGUGGAGUGAAAUUCCGUGUUAGUGGGAAGCACCCUUCGGGUCCCUCCAUUGUACCGCCUCACUUUUAUGGGUUUAAUCACCACCUCCCCUUUAUGCAAAAUUCUACCUUUCCCAGUUGCUACCUGUCCAUGCCCAUGGCCAAAUAAUUCUAGAAACCAUUAGCCAACUAAUUGACAAAUGAUGACUAAACCUGCCUUUUCUUUUUCUUUUCUGAUUUUCAAGAAACAAAAGAAAAGGGAUGCAUAUGCAUCCUAAUCCUAAUCAUUUACAUGGUUGUUUUCUAGGAGUAGUUAUUAGUAAAACUAAAACUAGAUAUGGUAAUUAUAUACUUCCAUUCUACUAGGACUAGGAGAGCAACCCAAUAACAAUUGUGUCCAUCCUAGCACACGUUUUCAAGAGUUGUUACUCGACACGACACUCCAAGUAGCAUGCAAGAAAAUUGCCCAGAAAAAUAAAGCCUUCUCUGAACCAAACUAUCUAUAUCAUCCAGUACAACAGGAAUUACAGAGGGACUCGUUAUUUUUAGUUUUUUCAUCACUGGUUAACCGAACUAACCUAAAUAACCUACAAACUAAUUAACCUAACUAACCUAACUAACCUAGUCUAAAGAUAACUAACCUAGAAAAUCAAACUAACCUAACUAACAGUACUAACUAACCUAAUUAGUAGCAGUAGAAAAAAAGAAACUAACAGUACUAACUGACCUAAUUACUAGCAGUAGAAAAAAAGAAAAAAAACAGGGUGGAGCUCACCGGAGUGGGUCGGCGGGGCACCGGGGCGGCGGGGUGUCGGGGCGGCUAGGGAGUCGGGACANNNNNNNNNNNNNNNNNNNNNNNNNNNNNNNNNNNNNNNNNNNNNNNNNNNNNNNNNNNNNNNNNNNNNNNNNNNNNNNNNNNNNNNNNNNNNNNNNNNNNNNNNNNNNNNNNNNNNNNNNNNNNNNNNNNNNNNNNNNNNNNNNNNNNNNNNNNNNNNNNNNNNNNNNNNNNNNNNNNNNNNNNNNNNNNNNNNNNNNNNNNNNNNNNNNNNNNNNNNNNNNNNNNNNNNNNNNNNNNNNNNNNNNNNNNNNNNNNNNNNNNNNNNNNNNNNNNNNNNNNNNNNNNNNNNNNNNNNNNNNNNNNNNNNNNNNNNNNNNNNNNNNNNNNNNNNNNNNNNNNNNNNNNNNNNNNNNNNNNNNNNNNNNNNNNNNNNNNNNNNNNNNNNNNNNNNNNNNNNNNNNNNNNNNNNNNNNNNNNNNNNNNNNNNNNNNNNNNNNNNNNNNNNNNNNNNNNNNNNNNNNNNNNNNNNNNNNNNNNNNNNNNNNNNNNNNNNNNNNNNNNNNNNNNNNNNNNNNNNNNNNNNNNNNNNNNNNNNNNNNNNNNNNNNNNNNNNNNNNNNNNNNNNNNNNNNNNNNNNNNNCGACGAGGGUGUUGGGGCGGCCGGGGGUCGGGAGCGUUGGGGGCGCGGGACGGUGGGGGGUCGCGGGCGUCGGGGUGGCGCGGGUGAGGUGAGGGAGAGAGAGAGGGCUGGGGCACGGGGCCGCCCGUUUUUUAGUUAGGUUUAAUUUCUUUGCCGUCUGCUAGCAGACGGUAAAGAGUGUAGAUAGUGGGGUGGGGCCGGGGGGAAACGACCAUUAGGUUGGCUAGCAGACGGCAAAGCUUCUAUGCCGUCUGCUAGCAGACGACAAAGAGCUGGCUGACGACAAACAUGCUCUUCGCCGUCAGCUUUCUGUAUGCUGAUGGCAAAGACCUCCUUUGUCGUCAGCUAGCAGACGUCAAAGAACUGGCUAACGGCAAAGAUCCUGAUUCCAGUAGUGUAUGAGCUCUUUAAGAAAACAAGUUUCAAGUGAAGCUAAUGUUGUCAGUUUUUACCUCUGAUGUUUCGUGGUGGCACACCCGUAUGGUGGAGAGACGGGGCCAUAGGGGUAAAUCAACAGAAGCUAAAUCAAAUUAUCUUUCCAAUGCAAAAAACUUCACAUCAUUUGGAGUUGUGAGUCAAAAGUACUAGUCAUUCUCGUGGAAGGUGUCUAGACUGUCAGGACUUCGUGAAUUUUCGAUGAGCUCUCCAACAACUCCCAAAGUUGACUGCUUAUUCCCCCAAGGAAGCCAUGCAAACAUGCUUACUUUUGAAACCAUUUUCACACCUAGCUAAGGGGGUUGUCCCUGCUAUAAGACCCCAUCUCCCCCAUCCUCUUAGGAACCUUUUGUCAAACCAUUCAGCUACAAGCUUAUGCAGCAAGACUGCUAGAGAGAUCUGAGAGAUCUUGCUACCUUUGCUCUUAUGAGUUCAUUCGGAUUCACGAGAAGGAGCCUUUGGUUCCCCCUAGUUCGUGCUCUACGGUUCCGGCCGUUUUGUGUGGAUUAGUCCCAGUUUGUGGUUCUGCGAUUGUUCAGAUAGCGGGUUGGAGUUCUUGUAGCUUCUGUCAGCCAUCCCCAACAUAUGGGUUGCAUCCAACCUUGACAGAUAUAAAGCUAGUUAUCCCGGCUGGUUGCAGCUAGUUAUCCCUCCCGAUUCGAUCCUACGACGUGAAGAUCAGGCCACCCUCGGUCCUGAACUCGUUCAUCGAGUUCCCACGUAUCAUCUGGCAUCAGAACCUUCGUUGACACGGUAGGAUCUAUUAUCCAAGUUUAUCUUGCUAUCAUCCCUUUAGAUAUAGUGUUUUUCAUGCUAUAUUUUCUGUCCUAGAAGUCCAAAGCCCCACAAAAAAUACAAGCCUUGUUGGUGUUGAGAUCUUGUUGUUGCAUACCUUGCAUGUUCUUCAUCUUUUAUAUCUGCACCAAGUUCAUCUUCAUAGUUGCUUUCAGAUUUGGUUGUUGUGCUUUGGUAAAAGAGAGAAAAAAGAGUGGCAAAAAAAUCAAAGAGAGAAAAAAAGAGUGGCAAAAAAAGUCAAGAGAGAAAAAGAAAGUGUUGUGUAAGAUCCAAAAGUUUCAGCUUGGUAGAAAAAUUUCAGAAGCUUGUGUGUUGUUCAAUCUUUGUGCAAAAGUGCAGUAGAUCUAUAUGCAUAUUUUCUUGGUUUGCAUCAACUUGACUUCAGCACAAGCCCCUUUUUGUUUACCCCACCAAGCUCCACCAAAAACCGAAGCUAUUUCUUUGAUCCCUGUCUUUCAAUCGUUUUAACACAUCCGGGAGAAGCACAAUCUGAUGUGAACUCAUAAGAACUUUGGUCAGUAAGAGGUCAGGUUGUGUGAUUCCACAAAAUUAUCCUAUUCCACUUUUGGCCUUACUAACAUGGUAGGAUCUAGAUCGAGUGUUCAUGGAGAAAACCAUGGGUAAGAAGAUGCCCCGGUCACAUGUACUGAUUUUCAGGAAUUGGAUUGAAACCUUGGAAGGAUGUUUCACGAGCGACCUCCAGCAGGUGGCGAUAGGGUUCAGCACCGACAACACCCUAUUAACCCACUUGAGGAAGUUGGGGAUGAGAAUUCCGUGCAUGUUGCUGUUGACGGUGUCUUGGAGGAUGAUAACAACAGCUAUGGUGGACAUGUGGUUGCUGCUUGUGAGCGUGGUGCUGCUGCUCAUGGAGGGCAGCGAGGAGGACAACUUCGAGGGCGAGGCCAUGCUCCUCGUGGGCACUACUAUGACCCUCAUAAGCGUGUUGUUUGUGGUCAUGGAGAUGAUUAUGAUGGUGUCCCAUACCGUCGUGCUGCUGAAGAUGGGCGUCAUGCAGAACAUCGUGACCGAGUUGGUCGAGAUGACAUAGCAAGAAUCAAGUUGCACGUCCCCAAGUUCACAGCAAGGGAAGACCCCGAUGCAUAUUUUGAUUGGGAAGAGCAGUGUGAUCAGAUUUUUCGUAUCCAUAACCUUGUUGAUCCGAAGAGAGUAAACCUUGCUUGUGUUGAGUUUUCUGGUUAUGCACUCACUUGGUGGAAUCAACUACAAGAAAAUCAGCUGCUGCUAGGCCAUGACCACAUUGACACUUGGGAAGAGAUGAAACAAGCCAUGAGGAGAAGGUUUGUUCCUUCACAAUAUCAAAGACAUCUCCGAAACAGACUGCAGCACCUCAGCCAAGGUACGUGCAUGGUGGAUGAGUACUAUAAAGAGAUGGAAUUACUGCUCGUUUGUGCUCGUAUUCAUGAGGAUGAAGAGUCAAAGAUGGUGAGAUUUCUACAUGGUCUCAACAAUGAAAUUUCCGAUUUUGUGAAGAUGUUUCCCUAUAACACUCUACAAGAUAUUCUGGAGAAAGCAAAGCGCACACAGAGGAAGGUGCAGCGGAGUGGUCAUGGACGGAUAUCUCAUAAGCACACCACUACACCAUGGUAAAGGUUGCUACCAAGUUCCUCUCAUGGUGGUUCUCAGUUUUAGCAUACUUCACACCCUACUGCCACCCGGCGAACAACGGCUUCAUUGGCAUCAUCACCGGCUCCUAAGAAUGUUGACAGGCGUGCUCCUUCUGAAGGAAAUAUGCCCUAGAGGCAAUAAUAAAGUUGUUAUUUUAUAUUUCCUUAUAUCAUGAUAAAUGUUUAUUAUUCAUGCUAGAGUUGUAUUAACCGGAAACUUGAUACAUGUGUGGAUACAUAGACAAAACACAGUGUCCCUAGUAAGCAUCUACUAGACUAGCUCGUUAAUCAAAGAUGCACUACUGCAGGUUGCUGCUAACGCGACACUACGAUCAGAGACCCUUCGACGAAACUGUGUGCGAUGCCAUAAUCGCAAAUGGUGGUGUAAAAUAACCGUCAAAAAGGUGCAAAACAUUUGCGAUGGAGGAUGCAUCAAACAUGAUUCAGAUUUUAGUUGCGUGUGCGAUGCAGGGCACAUGGUUCAGCUCAAUUAACUAUUUGCAAUAUACAACAUACGGUUCACUCGGAUGAACUGUUUGUGAUUAGGCAACACAAAAGAAACGGGCAGCCAGAUGAAGGUGUGUGCGAUAUACGGCAUGCGGUUCACUCGGAUGAACUAUUUGCGUUGAGACAAGAGAAUAGAAACGGUUCAAUAUAGCAAGAUGUGUGUGAUACGCGGCAAACAGGUCUGUCAUCAGAAAUAUGUGCGAAUACUGAUAAUAACACAAACGAUUGCUUCUAAUAAGACGUAUGUGAUAUACUUUGUCUACACAACAUCUAUUGGCCAUUGGGGGACGGGCGGUCAUCUGGAUACGCCAUAAGGGCGAAGAGGCAUCCUAUCAGCAAGGACUAGCUGUUCCACCAGUAGCUCAUGUAAGAAAACUCUCAAGUUAAGUGUGCUCAAGCUAGAGCGGCCAUUAGAUGGAUGACUGGAUGGGAAGUUGUGUUGAUGUUAAAUUAACUGAUAGGAUGGGUCAUAUCUGUCAAAUUAAAUGACUGAUACAACCCAUCCCAUGAGUUAAUUUAACCUUGAGGUCCUUGUUUUUUAUUUUUUAUUUUUAAACACAUGUUAAAGAAGGUCUACCGUAUUAAUUUUUGACAAUGUGCAAUACAUGGCAUAUCGUUGAUCCAUCCGACCUGUUUGUGAUGGAAUAGGCCGUGUGUGUUGUGGGCAAACGCUUGCUAGUAUUCAACCAUUUGAGAUUGAUGAAUUCAUCACCGACGAGUUCCCUAGUGUGGUCCAUGUUCAUCUGAUCAUCAUCUACUUCUUAUGCUAGCUCGGUGUUCCUUCUAUGCUAAGUUUCCAUUAAGUGAUGGCGUUUUAUGAACACGCCACCGCUUCCCGCCAUUUCCUCACCUAUUUCCUGCCACCCAACGAUAUUGCGCAUAGGCGGCGUGCGACGCAAGGAGGCGACAUGCGCAACCUAUAGCAUAUCCACCUUUUCCAAGCAUGCCAACCCACCAAAGCGCUGCCUCUGCCAUCAACCUCGUCGACGAGGAAAACAAGCAGGCGCCACGGCCCGUCGAGGCCGAGGUGCUCCCCGGCAACGCGAUGGACGAGUCGUGAUGCGCUUCAUCGCCAGGGUUGGCCGAACCUUUGGCGCAUGGUGCUUGAGCGCCGCAGAUCAAGAUUGGCAUGUUAACACCGACAGGCUGCAGCUCACCGCACAACAUGAUCGAUGGUGUGCCGCAGAUCAAGCUAGGCGCGUCCGCGCCGAUAGGCGGUGGCUCGCCGCACGGCGAGACCAUUGGAGCACCGCAGAGCGAGAGGCGCGGCGCGCCGCACAGCAGGAGCGGAUCCAUCAAUGCUUGCCUGCUGUAGACACGACGUCGUAGCUGGGUACACGUCCCGUCAAUGAUGGAAAUAUGCCCUAGAGGCAAUAAUAAUGUUAUUAUUUUAUUUCCUUAUAUCAUGAUAAAUGUUUAUUAUUCAUGCUAGAAUUGUAUUAUCCAGAAACAUAAUACUUGUGUGAAUACAUAGACAAACUAAACGUCACUAGUAUGCUUCUACUUGACAUGCUCGUUAUUCAAAGAUGGUUAUGUUUCCUAACCAUAGACAUGUGUUGUCAUUUGAUUAAUGGGAUCACAUUAUUAGGAGAAUGAUGUGAUUGACGUGACCCAUUCCAUUAGCUUAGCACCCGAUCGUUUAGUAUGUUGCUAUUGUUUUCUUCAUGACUUAUAGAUGUUCCUAUGACUAUGAGAUUAUGCAACUCCCGUUUGCUGGAGGAACACUUUGUGUGCUACCAAACGUCACAACGUAACUGGGUGAUUAUAAAGGAGCUCUACAGGUGUCUCCAAAGGUAAAUGUUGGGUUGGCAUAUUUCGAGAUUAGGAUUUGCCACUCCGAUUAUCGGAGAGGUAUCUCUGGGCCCUCUCGGUAAUGCACAUCACAUAAGCCUUGCAAGCAUUGCAACUAAUAAGUUAAUUGCGAGAUGAUGUAUUAUGAAACAAGUAAAGAGACUUGCCGGUAACGAGAUUGAACUAGGUAUUGAGAUACCGACGAUCGAAUCUCGGGCAAGUAACAUAACCGAUGACAAAGGGAACAACGUAUGUUGUUAUGCGGUCUGACCGAUAAAGAUCUUCGUAGAAUAUGUGGGAGCCAAUAUGAGCAUCCAGGUUCCGCUAUUGGUUAUUGACCGGAGACGUGUCUCGAUCAUGUCUACAUUGUUCUCGAACCCGUAGGGUCCGCACGCUUAAGGUUUCGAUGACAAUUAUAUUAUGAGUUUAUGAGUUUUGAUGUACCAAAGUUAGUUCGGAGUCCCGGAUGUGAUCACGGACAUGACGAGGAGUCUCGAAAUGGUCGAGACAUAAAGAUUGAUAUAUUGGACGGCUAUAUUCGGACACCGGAAGAGUUCCGGGUGAUUUCGGAGAAAANNNNNNNNNNNNNNNNNNNNNNNNNNNNNNNNNNNNNNNNNNNNNNNNNNNNNNNNNNNNNNNNNNNNNNNNNNNNNNNNNNNNNNNNNNNNNNNNNNNNNNNNNNNNNNNNNNNNNNNNNNNNNNNNNNNNNNNNNNNNNNNNNNNNNNNNNNNNNNNNNNNNNNNNNNNNNNNNNNNNNNNNNNNNNNNNNNNNNNNNNNNNNNNNNNNNNNNNNNNNNNNNNNNNNNNNNNNNNNNNNNNNNNNNNNNNNNNNNGGGCCUUAUGGGCCCUAGUGGAGAGAGAGAGGGGCAGCCAAGGUGGGCCGCGCGCCCCCUCCCCCUCUGGUCCAAAUUUGACUAGGAGAGGGGGGCGGCGCCCCCCUUUCCUUCUCCCUCUCUCCCUUCCUUUCCCCCUCCUAGUAGGAGUAGGAAAGAGGGGAGUCCUACUCCUACUAGGAGGAGGACUCCUCCUCCUUGGCGCGCCCUAGGGCCGGCCGGCCUCCUCCCCUUGCUCAUUUAUAUAUGGGGGCAGGGGGCACCCCUAGACACACAAGUUGAUCCACGUGAUCAUUUUCUUAGCCGUGUGCGGUGCCCCCUUCCACCAUACUCCUCGAUAAUACUGUAACGGUGCUUAGGCGAAGCCCUACGACGGUAGAACAUCAAGAUCGUCACCACGCCGUCGUGCUGACGGAACUCUUCCCCGACACUUUGCUGGAUCGAAGUCCGGGGAUCGUCAUCGAGCUGAUCGUGUGCUAAAACUCGGAGGUGCCGUAGUUUCGGUGCUUGAUCGGUCGGGCCAUGAAGACGUACGACUACAUCAACCACGUUGUCAUAACGCUUCCGCUGUCGGUCUAUGAGGGUACGUAGAUCACACUCUCCCCUCUCGUUGCUAUGCAUCACCAUGAUCUUGCGUGUGCGUAGGAUUUUUUUUGAAAUUACUAUGUUCCCUAACAGUCAGUACCCCCAUUCCUUGGUAGGAGUGGGCAGAGGCCCUCAGCGCCAUACUUGCACCAAAGGCCGGCCGCGCCGUACUUGCACCGGACGCCCGCCACGCCGUUCGCAUGGGUGCCACCGUUCGCCUUGUCCGCGGCCCGCUGGAUGCCAACACGCUGGUCCGUAGGCUCAACCGCCUCCUUGGCCCAGGUGUCCACCUGGGUGCAGUAGAGGAACAUGGCCGUCACAUCCUUGAGCUGGUGAUCUCCGAUGAAAUAGCCAACUUGGAGCUCGAGGUCGCGCUCCAGAUGUACCGCGAGCGUGUCGACCGCUUGGAUGAAUUCCUGCACGAGUUCAGGCAGAGCCAAGAGCUACUGUUGGCAAGGGCUGCUAGUCAUGGUCUCAUGGAUGCGUUUUAUUUUGAAAAGUUGUUUUGACGUGGAUAGCUAUGUAUUCACAACAAUCAUAGUAUUGCUCUAUUUCAAUGUGUGUACUCUGUUUUCCAUUCUUAUAUGUUCUGUUUCAAUGUGUGUAUAUAUGCUUUUCAUUCUGUAUAUGUGGAUCAUAACAGCUAGAUUCAAAUUAGUAUACAAAAACAGAUAGAAAAAUGGAAUUCAUAAUAUAUAUAUAUUAAUUGUUCAUUAGUUCAUCACAGAAUAUAUAUAUAUAAUAUCAUCACAUAUACGUGAUGAUACUUAACUACUAGGUACAAUGCAUAAAAUUGAAAACAAACAAUACUAAAACUAAUAAUCCCUCCUGGGGCUAGUAUUCCGGCAGCCCCUCGCCAGCAGCUCCCUAGUGCGCGGCGUCUUCCUAGUGCGGAGGCAGUACUCCACCUCCUUCGCCUCACAGCACUUGACGUACCGAUCUGCCUCUUGCUGGCGGACGCGCACGGCCGAUCUUGUCAUUUCGUUGGGCACCCACCAGAGCUCCUCGUAGGUGGCACGCUGGAGCUUAUCGGCCCACCUCCAUGCCGCGACGAGGCGCCCAACGCUAUGACCUUCCUCGCGAAGUACCCGUCUUCGUACACCUCCUCGGCAUGAUGACGCGCCCGCCCCCAAAGCUCCGCCGCCUCCUUUUUCCAGGCGGCAUCACGGGCCUCACAGCCUGCCUGAUACCUGGCUUCCUCCUCUGCCAUCUCCUUCUUGAAUGCCACUUGCCUGGCUUUCUCAGCCGACGGCAGCGACUUCCAUAGACAAAGAUUGUACUGGCCCCAAAACCAAUCCAAAGUUGGGGGUCCGGCGCAACCUCGUCAGGCGGCGCGUAGGGGUCCUCGUCGCUGCUAAUCGAGUGAGCGUCCUCAAGGGGCAGCAACUCCUUGUCAGCGUGUGGGCAGACCGGCGGCGCCAUGGUAGAGAUUUGUGUGAGAGAGAGAGGGCAAGCGAGGGGAGGAUGUAGAUGAGAAUGCAUGCGGGACGACAUGAGCAAGGUAGUAUUUAUUGGCGGCAGAAAUCUAGAUCGACGGGGACAGCACACACGCCGGUCGCCGGAAUUUACGAGUACUAUAGUUUGAAUUACACAUGAUUCCUGCAGCAAAAUCCGUGUGAUAGCUCACGGUUUCCAAUACAGAACCGUGUAUAAUUAAUGAUCCCCGCCACUCACCUACCAAACCUCGAGCCGUGAGAUAGAGUGCCAAUCGUGUGCGGGCUGGUUGUCUUGUCACAUCUUUACAUUUUCGUUUUUGAACACCAGAUAUUUACAUCGUCUGAUGCAUUUUUAACUUGCACACAAGUACACAAAAAUAUGAUUUUUCAAACCAUUAUGGUUAGGCGUUGCAUGUAGAUGUAGUUUAAAUUUUAAUUUCGGUCAUUAAAUGGUUAGAAAAUCACUUAAAUGUCUUUAAAAGGUGAAAUGACCCCUGAAAUUUUCCAAAUUUUCACAUGACAGUUGUAUUAGUGCACGUUAAGUGUAGAAAAAAAAAUUGAAGACCGUAAGAGGAAGCUAUCUCCCGUUCUUCAUCAAACAUGCAUUGUUCCCUCUUGGAACCACGAAUGUUCUAGUGAGUUGCUCCGGUUUGUGAGGGGUGUGUGUCCAAACUUUCGUCAAACAGGCCAAUUUAUUUACCACAUCAUCUUGGUGGCAUGACAUUAAAUCAAGCAAAGUUUCAUAAUUUUCUGAUCAUUUUUUAAUUUUUUGGAAUUAAAAAUGCCAUGGCACUCCAUGCAUGUGCCCAUGCCUUGAGACCAAUAUGUUUGAAAAUUCCUUCUAAUUUACUGCACAUGGAAUUAACUAGCACACAAGUACACAAAAAUAUGAUUUUUCAAACCGUUUUGGUUAGGUGUUGCAUGUAGAUGUAGUUCAAAUUUGAAUUACGGUCAUUAAAAUGGUUAGAAAAUCACUUAUAUAUCUUUAAAAGGUCAAUGAUAUCUCAAUUUUUCCAAAUUUUCACAUGACAGCUGUAUUAGUGCACGUUAAACAUAGAAAAAAAAUUGAAGGUCGUAAGAGGAAGCUAUCUCCCGUUCGUCAUCAAACAUGCACUGUUCCCUCUCGGGACCACGAACCUUCUAGUGAGUUGCUCCGGUUUGUGAGGGGUGUGUGUCCAAACUUUUGUCAAACAUGCCAAUUUUUUACAACAUCAUCUUGGUGGCAUGCCAUUAAAUCAAGCAAGGUUCAUGUUUUUUUGAUCAUUUUGUAUUUUUUUGGAAUUAAAAUGCCAUGACACUCAAUGCAUGUGCCCAUGCCCUGAGACCAAUAUGUUUGAAAAUUCCUUCUAAUUUACUGCACAUGGAAUUAACUCGCACACAAGUACACAAAAUAUGAUUUUUCAAUCCGUUUUGGUUAGGCGUUGCAUGUAGAUGUAGUUCAAAUAUGAAUUACGGUAAUUAAAUGGUUAGUAAAUCACUUAAAUGUCUUUAAAAGAUCAAAUGACCCCUGAAAUUUUCCAAAUUUUCACAUAACAGCUAUAUUAGUGCAUGUUAAACAUAGAAAAAAAUUGAAGGCCGUAAGAGGAAGCUAUCUCCCGUUCGUGAUCAAACAUGCAUUGUUCCCUUUCGGAACCACGAACCUUCUAGUGAGUUGCUCCGGUUUCUGAGGGGUGUGUGUCCAAACUUUCGUCAAACAUGCCAAUUUCUUUACCACAUCAUCUUGGUGGCAUGACACUAAAUCAAGCAAGGUUUCAUGUUUUUUUGAUCAUUUUUUUUAUUUUUUUAGAAUUAAAAUGCCAUGGCACUCCAUGCAUGUGCCCAUGCCUUGAGACCAAUAUGUUUGAAAAUUCCUUCUAAUUUACUGCACAUGGAAUUAACUCACACACAAGUACACAAAAAUAUGAUUUUUCAAACCGUUUUGGUUAGGCGUUGCAUGUAGAUGUAGUUCAAAUUUGCAUUACAGUCAUUAAAUGGUUAGAAAAUCACUUAAAUGUCUUUAAAAGGUCAAAUGACCCCUAGAAAUUUCCAAAAUUUCACAUUACAGUUGUAGUAGUGCACGCUAGACAUAGAAAAAAAUUGAAGGCCGUAAGAGGAACCUAUCUCCCGUUCGUCAUCAAACAUGCAUCGUUCCCUCUCGGAACCACGAGCCUUCUAGUGAGUUGCUCCGGUUUGUCAGGGGUGUGUGUCCAAACUUUCGUCAAACAUGCCAAUUUCUUUACCACAUCAUCUUGGUGAAGGAAAUAUGCCCUAGAGGCAAUAAUAAAGUUAUUAUUUAUUUCCUUAUAUCAUGAUAAAUGUUUAUUAUUCAUGCUAGAAUUGUAUUAACCGGAAACAUAAUACAUGUGUGAAUACAUAGACAAACUUAGUGUCACUAGUAUGCCUCUACUUGACUAGCUCGUUAAUCAAAGAUGGUUAUGUUUCCUGACCAUGAACAAAGUGUUGUUAUUUGAUUAACGAGGUCACAUCAUUAGUUGAAUGAUUUGAUUGACAUGACCCAUUCCAUUAGCUUAGCACCCGAUCGUUUAAUAUGUUGCUAUUGCUUUCUUCAUGACUUAUACAUGUUCCUAUAACUAUGAGAUUAUGCAACUCCCGUUUGCCGGAGGAACACUUUGGGUACUACCAAACGUCACAACGUAACUGGGUGAUUAUAAAGGAGUACUACAGGUGUCUCCAAAGGUACAUGUUGGGUUGGCGUAUUUUGAGAUUAGGAUUUGUCACUCCGAUUGUCGGAGAGGUAUCUCUGGGCCCUCUCGGUGAUGCACAUCACAUAAGCCUUGCAAGCAUUACAACUAAUAUAUUAGUUGUGAGAUGAUGUAUUACGGAACGAGUAAAGAGACUUGCCGGUAACGAGAUUGAACUAGGUAUUGGAUACCGACGAUCGAAUCUCGGGCAAGUAACAUACCGAUGACAAAGGGAACAACGUAUGUUGUUAUGCGGUCUGACCGAUAAAGAUCUUCGUAGAAUAUGUAGGAGCCAAUAUGGGCAUCCAGGUCCCGCUAUUGGUUAUUGACCGGAGACGUGUCUCGGUCAUGUCUACAUUGUUCUCGAACCCGUAGGGUCCGCACGCUUAAGGUAAUGAUGACAGUUAUAUUAUGAGUUUAUGCAUUUUGAUGUACCAAAGAUUGUUCGGAGUCCCGGAUGUGAUCACGGACAUGACGAGGAGUCUCGAAAUGGUCGAGACGUAAAGAUUGAUAUAUUGGAAGCCUAUGUUUGGAUAUCGGAAGUGUUCCGGAUGAAAUCGGGAUUUUACCGGAGUACCGGGAGGUUACCGGAACCCCCCGGGAGCUAUAUGGGCCUUAGUGGGCUUUAGUGGAAAGGAGUAAGGGGCAGCCCACGGUGUCUGUGCGCCUCCCCCCUUCCCCUAGUCCUAUUAGGACUAGGAGAGGUGGCCGGCCCCCUCUCUCUCUUUCCCCCCUCAAGGAAUCCUAUUCCAACUAGGAUUGGGGGGGGGGGAAUCCUACUCCCAGAGGGAGUAGGACUCUCCUGGCGCGCCCUCCCUUGGCCGGCCAGCCUCCCCCCUCUAGUCCUUUAUAUACAGAGGCAGGGCACCCCAAAGAACACACAAGUUGAUCCACGUGAUCUAUUCCUUAGCCGUGUGCGGCGCCCCCAGCCACCAUAGUCCUCGAUAAUACUGUAGCGGAGUUUAGGCGAAGCCCUGCUGCUGUAGUACAUCAAGAUCGUCACCAUGCCGUCGUGCUGACGGAACUCUUCCCUGACACUUUGCUGGAUCGGAGUCCGGGGAUCGUCAUCGAGCUGAACGUGUGCUCGAACUCGGAGGUGCCAUAGUUUCGGUACUUGAUCGGUUGGAUCAUGAAGACGUACGACUACUUCCUCUACGUUGUGUCAUCGCUUCCGCAGUCGGUCUGCGUGGGUACGUAGACAACACUCUCCCCUCUCGUUGCUAUGCAUCACAUGAUCUUGCGUGUGCGUAGGAAUUUUUUUGAAAUUACUACGAAACCCAACAGUGGUAUCAGAGCCAGGUUAUUUAUGUUGAUGUUAUAUGCAUGAGUAGAACACAAGUGAGUUGUGGGCGAUAUAAGUCAUACUGCCUACCAGCAUGUCAUACUUUGGUUCGGCGGCAUUGUUGGACGAGACGACCCGGACCAACAUUACGCGUACGCUUACGCGAGACCGGUUCCCCCGACGUGCUUUGCACAUAGGUGGCUUGCGGGCGACUGUCUCUCCAACUUUAGUUGAACCAAGUAUGGCUACGCCCGGUCCUUGCGAAGGUUAAAACGGAGUCUAUUUGACAAACUAUCAUUGUGGUUUUGAUGCGUAGGUGAGAUUGGUUCUUGCUUAAAGCCCGUAGCAGCCAUGUAAAACUUGCAACAACAAAGUAGAGGACGUCUAACUUGUUUUUGCAGGGCAUGUUGUGAUGUGAUAUGGUCAAGGCAUGAUGCUGAAUUUUAUUGUAUGAGAUGAUCAUGUUUUGUAACCGAGUUAUCGGCAACUGGCAGGAGCCAUAUGGUUGUCGCUUAUUGUAUGCAAUGCAAUCGCGAUGUAAUGCUUUACUUUAUUACUAAACGGUAGUGAUAGUCGUGGAAGCAUAAGAUUGGCGAGACGACAACGAUGCUACGAUGGAGAUCAAGGUGUCGCGCCGGUGACGAUGGUGAUCAUGACGGUGCUUCGGAGAUGGAGAUCACAAGCACAAGAUGAUGAUGGCCAUAUCAUAUCACUUAUAUUGAUUGCAUGUGAUGUUUAUCUUUUUUAUGCAUCUUAUCUUGCUUUGAUUGAUGGUAGCAUUAUAAGAUGAUCUCUCACUAAAUUAUCAAGAAGUGUUCUCCCUGAGUAUGCACCGUUGCCAAAGUUCGUCGUGCCCAGACACCACGUGAUGAUCGGGUGUGAUAAGCUCUACGUCCAUCUACAAUGGGUGCUAGACAGUUUUGCACACGCAGAAUACUCAGGUUAAACUUGACGAGCCUAGCAUAUGCAGAUAUGGCCUCGGGACACGGAGACCGAAAGGUUAAGCGUGAAUCAUAUAGUAGAUAUGAUCAACAUAACGAUGUUCACCAUUGAAAACUACUCCAUCUCACAUGAUGAUCGGUUAUGGUUUAGUUGAUUUGGAUCACGUGAUCACUUAGAGGAUUAGAGGGAUGUCUAUCUAAGUGGGAGUUCUUAAGUAAUUUGAUUAAUUGAACUUAAACUUAUCAUGAACUUAGUACCUGAUAGUAUCUUGCUUGUUUAUGUUGAUUGUAGAUAUAUGGCUCGUGCUGUUGUUCCGUUGAAUUUUAAUGCGUUCCUUGAGAAAGCAAAGUUGAAAGAUGAUGGUAGCAAUUAUACGGACUGGGUCCGUAACUUGAGGAUUAUCCUUAUUGCUGCUCAGAAUAAUUACGUCCUGGAAGCACCGCUAGGUGCCAGGCCUGCUGCUGGAGCAACACCAGAUGUUAUGAACGUCUGGCAGAGCAAAGCUGAUGACUACUCGAUAGUUCAGUGUGCCAUGCUUUACGGCUUAGAAUCGGGACUUCAACGACGUUUUGAACAUCAUGGAGCAUAUGAGAUGUUCCAGGAGUUAAAAUUAAUAUUUCAAGCAAAUGCCCGGAUUGAGAGAUAUGAAGUCUCCAAUAAGUUCUAUAGCUGCAAGAUGGAGGAGAAGAGUUCUGUCAGUGAGCAUAUACUCAAAAUGUCUGGGUAUAAUAAUCACUUGAUUCAAUUGGGAGUUAAUCUUCCGGAUGAUUGCGUCAUAGACAGAAUUCUCCAAUCACUGCCACCAAGCUACAAGAGCUUCAUGAUGAACUAUAAUAUGCAAGGGAUGAACAAAACUAUUCCCGAGCUCUUCACAAUGCUGAAAGCUGUGGAGGUAGAAAUCAAAAAGGAGCAUCAAGUGUUGAUGGUUAACAAGACCACUAGUUUCAAGAAAAAGGGCAAAGGGAAGAAGAAGGGGAACUUCAAGAAGAACAGCAAACAAGUUGCUGCUCAGGAGAAGAAACCCAAGUCUGGACCUAAGCCUGAAACUGAGUGCUUCUACUGCAAGCAGACUGGUCACUGGAAGCGGAACUGCCCCAAGUAUUUGGCGGAUAAGAAGGAUGGCAAGGUGAACAAAGGUAUGUGUGAUAUACAUGUUAUUGAUGUGUACCUUACUAGAGCUCGCAGUAGCACCUGGGUAUUUGAUACUGGUUCUGUUGCUAAUAUUUGCAACUCGAAACAGGGACUACGGAUUAAGCGAACACUGGCAAAGGACGAGGUGACGAUGCGCGUGGGAAACGGUUCCAAAGUCGAUGUGAUCGCGGUCGGCACGCUACCUCUACAUCUACCUUCGGGAUUAGUAUUAGACCUAAAUAAUUGUUAUUUGGUGCCAGCGUUGAGCAUGAACAUUAUAUCUGGAUCUUGUUUAAUGCGAGACGGUUAUUCAUUUAAAUCAGAGAAUAAUGGUUGUUCUAUUUAUAUGAGUAAUAUCUUUUAUGGUCAUGCACCCUUGAAGAGUGGUCUAUUCUUAUUGCAUCUCGAUAGUAGUAAUACACAUAUUCAUAAUGUUGAAACCAAAAGAUGCAGAGUUAAUAAUGAAAGUGCAACUUAUUUGUGGCACUGUCGUUUAGGUCAUAUCGGUGUAAAGCGCAUGAAGAAACUCCAUACUGAUGGACUUUUGGAACCACUUGAUUAUGAAUCACUUGGUACUUGCGAACCAUGCCUCAUGGGCAAGAUGACUAAAACACCGUUCUCCGGUACUAUGGAGAGAGCAACAGAUUUGUUGGAAAUCAUACAUACUGAUGUAUGUCGUCCGAUGAACAUUGAGGCUCGGGGCGGAUAUCGUUAUUUUCUCACCUUCACAGAUGAUUUAAGCAGAUAUGGGUAUAUGUACUUAAUGAAACAUAACUCUGAAACAUUUGCAAAGUUCAAAGAAUUUCAGAGUGAAGUUGAAAAUCAUCGUAACAAGAAAAUAAAGUUUCUACGAUCUGAUCGUGGAGGAGAAUAUUUGAGUUACGAGUUUGGUGUACAUUUGAAAAACUGUGGAAUAGUUUCGCAACUCACGCCACCCGGAACACCACAGCGUAAUGGUGUGUCCGAACGUCGUAAUGGUACUUUACUAGAUAUGGUGCGAUCUAUGAUGUCUCUUACAGAUUUACCGCUAUCAUUUUGGGGUUAUGCUUUAGAGACGGCCGCAUUCAUGUUAAAUAGGGCACCAUCAAAAUCCGUUGAGACGACACCUUAUGAACUAUGGUUUGGCAAGAAACCAAAGUUGUCAUUUCUUAAAGUUUGGGGCUGCGAUGCUUAUGUGAAAAAGCUUCAACCUGAUAAGCUCAAACCCAAAUCGGAGAAAUGUGUCUUCAUAGGAUACCCAAAGGAGACUGUUGGGUACACCUUCUAUCACAGAUCCGAAGGCAAGACAUUCGUUGCUAAAAAUGGAUCCUUUCUAGAGAAGGAGUUUCUCUCGAAAGAAGUGAGUGGGAGGAAAGUAGAACUUGCUGAGGUAACUGUACCUGCUCCCUUACUGGAAAGUAGUACAUCAUAGAAAACUGUUUCAGUGACACCUACACCAGUUAGUGAGGAAGCUAAUGAUAAUGAUCAUGAAACUUCAGAUCAAGAUACUACUGAACCUCGUAGAUCAACCAGAGUAAGAUCCGCACCAGAGUGGUACGGUAAUCCUGUUCUGGAAGUCAUGCUACUAGAUCAUGAUGAACCUACGAACUAUGAAGAAGCGAUGAUGAGCCCAGAUUCCGCAAAGUGUCUUGAAGCCAUGAAAUCUGAGAUGGGAUCCAUGUAUGAGAACAAAUUAUGGACUUUGGUUGACUUGCCCGAUGAUCGGCAAGCAAUUGAGAAUAAAUGGAUCUUCAAGAAGAAGACUGACGCUGAUGGUAAUGUUACUGUCUACAAAGCUCAACUUGUCGCGAAAGGUUUUCGACAAGUUCAAGGGGUUGACUAUGAUGAGACUUUCUCACCUGUGGCGAUGCUUAAGUCUGUCCGAAUCAUGUUAGCGAUUGCCGCAUUUUAUGUUUAUGAAUUUUGGCAGAUGGAUGUCAAAACUGCAUUCCUGAAUGGAUUUCUGGAAGAAGAGUUGUAUAUGAUGCAACCGGAAGGUUUUGUCGAUCCAAAGGGAGCUAACAAAGUGUGCAAGCUCCAACGAUCCAUUUAUGGACUAGUGCAAGCCUCUCGGAGUUGGAAUAAACGCUUUGAUAGUGUGAUCAAAGCAUUUGGUUUUAUACAGACUUUCAGAGAAGCCUGUAUUUACAAGAAAGUGAGUGGGAGCUCUGUAGCAUUUCUGAUAUUAUAUGUGGAUGACAUAUUACUAAUUGGAAAUGAUAUAGAAUUUCUGGAUAGCAUAAAGGGAUACUUGAAUAAGAGUUUUUCAAUGAAAGACCUCGGUGAAGCUGCUUACAUAUUAGGCAUUAAGAUCUAUAGAGAUAGAUCAAGACGCUUAAUUGGACUUUCACAAAGCACAUACCUUGACAAAGUUUUGAAGAAGUUCAAAAUGUAUCUAGCAAAGAAAGGGUUCUUGCCUGUGUUACAAGGUGUGAAGUUGAGUAAGACUCAAUGCCCGACCAUUGCAGAAGAUAGAGAGAAAAUGAAAGAUGUUCCCUAUGCUUCAACCAUAGGCUCUAUCAUGUAUGAAAUGUUGUGUACCAUACCUGAUGUGUGCCUUGCUAUAAGUUUAGCAGGGAGGUACCAAAGUAAUCCAGGAGUGGAUCACUGGACAGCGGUCAAGAACAUCCUGAAAUACCUGAAAAGGACUAAGGAUAUGUUUCUCGUAUAUGGAGGUGACAAAGAGCUCACCGUAAAAGGUUACGUUGAUGCAAGCUUUGACACUGAUCUGGACGAUUCUAAAUCGCAAACCGGAUACGUGUUUACAUUAAACGGUGGAGCUGUCAGUUGGUGCAGUUCUAAACAAAGCGUCGUAGCGGGAUCUACAUGUGAAGCGGAGUACAUAGCUGCUUCGGAAGCAGCGAACGAAGGAGUCUGGAUGAAGGAGUUCAUAUCCGAUCUAGGUGUCAUACCUAGUGCAUCGGGUCCAAUGAAAAUCCUUUGUGACAAUACUGGUGCGAUUGCCUUGGCAAAGGAAUCCAGAUUUCACAAAAGGACCAAGCACAUCAAGAGACGCUUCAACUCCAUCCGGGAUCUAGUCCAGGUGGGAGACAUGGAGAUUUGCAAGAUACAUACGGAUCUGAAUGUUGCAGACCCGUUGACUAAGCCUCUUCCACGAGCAAAACAUGAUCAGCACCAAGGCUCCAUGGGUGUUAGAAUCAUUACAGUGUAAUCUAGAUUAUUGACUCUAGUGCAAGUGGCAGACUGAAGGAAAUAUGCCCUAGAGGCAAUAAUAAAGUUAUUAUUUAUUUCCUUAUAUCAUGAUAAAUGUUUAUUAUUCAUGCUAGAAUUGUAUUAACCGAAAACAUAAUACAUGUGUGAAUACAUAGACAAACUUAGUGUCACUAGUAUGCCUCUACUUGACUAGCUCGUUAAUCAAAGAUGGUUAUGUUUCCUGACCAUGAACAAAGUGUUGUUAUUUGAUUAACAAGGUCACAUCAUUAGUUGAAUGAUCUGAUUGACAUGACCCAUUCCAUUAGCUUAGCACCCGAUCGUUUAGUAUGUUGCUAUUGCUUUCUUCAUGACUUAUACAUGUUCCUAUAACUAUGAGAUUAUGCAACUCCCGUUUGCCGGAGGAACACUUUGGGUACUACCAAACGUCACAACGUAACUGGGUGAUUAUAAAGGAGUACUACAGGUGUCUCCAAAGGUACAUGUUGGGUUGGCGUAUUUUGAGAUUAGGAUUUGUCACUCCGAUUGUCGGAGAGGUAUCUCUGGGCCCUCUCGGUGAUGCACAUCACAUAAGCCUUGCAAGCAUUACAACUAAUAUAUUAGUUGUGAGAUGAUGUAUUACGGAACGAGUAAAGAGACUUGCCGGUAACGAGAUUGAACUAGGUAUUGGAUACCGACGAUCGAAUCUCGGGCAAGUAACAUACCGAUGACAAAGGGAACAACGUAUGUUGUUAUGCGGUCUGACCGAUAAAGAUCUUCGUAGAAUAUGUAGGAGCCAAUACGGGCAUCCAGGUCCCGCUAUUGGUUAUUGACCGGAGACGUGUCUCGGUCAUGUCUACAUUGUUCUCGAACCCGUAGGGUCCGCACGCUUAAGGUAAUGAUGACAGUUAUAUUAUGAGUUUAUGCAUUUUGACGUACCGAAGAUUGUUCAGAGUCCCGGAUGUGAUCACGGACAUGAUGAGGAGUCUCGAAAUGGUCAAGACGUAAAGAUUGAUAUAUUGGAAGCCUAUGUUUGGAUAUCGGAAGUGUUCCGGAUGAAAUCGGGAUUUUACCGGAGUACCGGGAGGUUACCGGAACCCCCCGGGAGCUAUAUGGGCCUUAGUGGGCUUUAGUGGAAAGGAGAAAGGGGCAACCCAAGGUGGCUGUGCGCCUCCCCCCUUCCCCUAGUCCUAUUAGGACUAGGAGAGGUGGCCGGCCCCCUCUCUCUCUUUCCCCCCUCAAGGAAUCCUAUUCCAACUAGGAUUGGGGGGGGGGGGAAUCCUACUCCCAGAGGGAGUAGGACUCUCCUGGCGCGCCCUCCCUUGGCCGGCCAGCCUCCCCCCUCUAGUCCUUUAUAUACAGAGGCAGGGCACCCCAAAGAACACACAAGUUGAUCCACGUGAUCUAUUCCUUAGCCGUGUGCGGCGCCCCCAGCCACCAUAGUCCUCGAUAAUACUGUAGCGGAGUUUAGGUGAAGCCCUACUGCUGUAGUACAUCAAGAUCGUCACCACGCCGUCGUGCUGACGGAACUCUUCCCCGACACUUUGCUGGAUCGGAGUCCGGGGAUCGUCAUCGAGAUGAACAUGUGCUCGAACUCGGAGGUGCCGUAGUUUCGGUACUUGAUCGGUUGGAUCGUGAAGACAUACGACUACUUCCUCUACGUUGUGUCAUCGCUUCUGCAGUCGGUCUGUGUGGGUACAUAGACAACACUCUCCCCUCUCAUUGCUAUGCAUCACAUGAUCUUGCGUGUGCGUAGGAAAUUUUUUGAAAUUACUACGAAACCCAACACUUGGUGGCAUGAUAUUACAUCAACCAAGGUUUCAUGUGUUUCUAAUUUUUUUUUUAUUUUUUGGAAUUAAAAUGCCAUGUCAGUCCAUGCAUACGUAUGCAUGUGUCCAUGUCGUGAGACAAAUAUGUUUGAAAAUUCCUUUUAGUUUAUUGCAAAUGGAGUUAACUCGCACACAAGUACACAAAUAUGAUUUUUCAAACCGUUUUGGUUAGGCGUUGCAUGUAGAUGUAGUUCAAAUUUGAAUUAUGGUCAUUAAAUGGCUAGAAAAUCAAUUAAAUGUCUUUACAAGGUCAAAUGACCCCUAGAAUUUUCAGAAAUUUCACAUUACAGUUGUAGUAGUGCACGUUAGACAUUGAAAAAAAUAUUAAGGCCGUAAGAGGAAGCUAUCUCACGUUCGUCAUCAAACAUGCAUUGUUCCCUCUCGGAACCACGAGCCUUCUAGUGAGUUGCUUUGGUUUGUGAGGGGUGUGUGUCCAAAAUUUCGUCAAACAUGCCAAUUUUUUUACCACACCAUCUUGGUGGCAUGACAUUACAUCAACCAAGGUUUCAUGUGUUUAUGAUUUUUUUUGGAAAUAAAAUGCCAUGUCACUCCAUGCUUAAUUGUGUCAUAGCCGUUAGACCAAUAUGUCUAAAAAUUCCUUCCAAUUUACUGCACAUGGAAUUAAAUUGCACACAAGUACACGAAAUAUGAGUUUUCAAACCAUUAUGGUUAGCUGUUGCAUGUACAUGUAGUUCAAAUUUCAAUUACGAUCAUUAAAUGGCUAGAAAAUCACUUAACUGUCUUAAAAGGUCAAAUGACCCCUGAAAUUUUCCAAAAUUUGACAUGACAGUUGUAUUAGUACUACAAAAUUUCUCAUUAAUUUAAAACACCAUUUGUUGCCACUUUACUCCAAAUUCAUCUUUCACAGCUAAUAAAAAAUAUCUACAACAUCACACACAGUUGUUUUCUAGGAACAGUUUGCGAUGAAAAUAUCUGGCUCUAUUUAAGUCUCCCUCCUUAAGCUUCGCCGGCUCGUCUGCUCCAGUGUCGGCAACCCCCAAAUCCACGAAUCCCGAUCCCCAUUCCCGCACCCCUUACUUACAAAGAUGACACCGUGGAAACGCUUCAUGAAGGCCCAUACGAUGGCCGCGUCGCCUCCGAGCGCGGCUUCCUGCACCAAGAGCGCCGCCACCUAUGCCGAGAGUGUCGCCACAUCCGCAUUGAGCGCGGCCGCUUCCGCUGACGGGGCAGCUGUAGCAGCCGAGACGGUUGCAGCUGCUGUUGCGACGUCGGCAGCAAACACCGAGAGCGCUCGAGCUGCCAUCUGUGUCGCCGAUGUCGCCCUGGCCUAGGUCGAGGCCAUCCACGCCAUGAUCGAGGAUGCACACGCCAAGAUAUUCCAGGCCACCUCAGACUCCAGCAUGCAACCCACGUCUAAAAAGGCGGCGGUGGCCAUGGAGCACCUGCUUCCUCAUGAGGUCGUCGAGCGGGAGUUGGAGAUGCAGGAGGCGGUGGAGAUCGAGGAGCGCCAGGAGGAGGAGUUGCGUGUGGCCGAGGUCGAGGUAGAGAAGAGUAUGUCCGUCGAGGAAUCGGCGGCGGAGUACCAACACGAGCUCUGGCGCAACCACUACUACGAGUACUACAACCUUGAGGGUGGCACCGAGGACGAGGACGAGGACGUGGUCGACUUCAGUAGGGGCGGAUGCAGAGUCCACCAACGGCAGCAUGUCGCCAGGACAAGUCAUUGACGUCUCAUCUCACACUGGCGAUGCAUAGGCUGGCGCGUUGGUGGAUUUGUUAAAAUUAUGCGUACUUAGGCUUUGUUUUUAAUGCUGGUAUUUUGUUAGAGCAAUGUUUAGGUCAACUGGCUCUGUUUAAUUACUAAAAUUGCUCGAUUCAGUAAGUGUGGUCUGUCUGCUGUACGCUCUUUUGUGUGCCCAAAUUAGCAAGCGAUGUUAAAUUAUGCAAUGACGUACCUGAGGAAAUUUCCACCAAAAUUUGAAUUAUCAAACUCAUCCCAUGUGUGUAAAGAAGAAGAAUCAUUUGCGAUGCACACAAUAAUUCAAAGUGAAUGGUCUGGCGGCACCGCAAAGUUUCCCUCCACAUUUCCAAAAUUUGGGCUACCGCUAAAAUAUCUACCCCGCCCUGCUUCCCCCCUUCCCCACCCCCUUUUCUCCCUGACCACAAGUCACAUUUCCCCUGUUUCCUCCUUCCUUCCUUCCUUUCUAAGCUAUAGCCGCUUCCUCGCUCUCGCCGUCUUGCAUCCUAUCGCCGGGGUCGCCAUGGUCUUAUUCAAAGACCUCUCCAGCGGUUCCUCCUCUGGUGACGACUCCUUCACCACCCGGGUAUGCCUCUCUUCUCUCUCUCGGGCUAUGACUUGGAAUGAUGGAUUUUUACCCGGUGGUCGAUUUGAGUCAUUUCUUCCUCUAGUAGCUCCCUAGGACCAUCAGUGGCAACGAAUGGAGCGGGGUGGCUGAAGAUCUAUCUGCUCGUUGUCAUCAUCAAUCUCCAUGCAUGAAGCUAGUUGCGUUUGAUUCUGUGGACAGUGGGAGGAAGUUUCUGGCAUGUGCAGAGAAGGUUAGACUCUCUUUCGUUGUUACAAAUCAUUUUUUUGAUGUGAUUCAGACACUGUCACGGUCCUAACCCAUUCACACACCUUUAGCCAAACGCAUCCUAAGAGAGUGUCACAGUUUGUACCUAGUAUCUUAAAUUGUUGCCAUCUCAUCAGUAGUGCCAUUAGAAAAUUAUUUGGCACCGCUUCAGUAGUUUGUGCAACCAACUUUGGUCCACACAUCCGAGGAGCCAAGCAGUAAAAUACUGAAUCUUUAUGGCACGAAGGAACAGGGCAUCGGAGCAACUACGUGCUCCGGAGUCUGGGUCCCUAAUUUUUUUUCCGCUACAUCGGCUCGCCAGUGUAGGGCACCAGUGCGAGAUGUAGAAACAGUUGUCUUUACCCCAGUUUUGGCAUACAUAGUGGAUGGCCUUAGUGCUAUUAGUUCUAUGUUACUAAAUUUGUGCAUGUACACACCUGUUAGUAUCAAUUUGCUGUCAUCCAAACACUGUCGCUAUGCUGUUGCAGUUAUAUUUACCUUCCUCAUAAAAUGUUCAAUUUGUUAUUUAUUGUACAUGAGUAAGAACUUGUAGUGUCGUUGUACUUAAUUAUAGCUUCUGAUGUUCCAGAAUUUGGUUGUUGUCUCAGUACCAAUUAUUUCAUUUGCACAUUGAUCUUUUUGAGAAGAUAUGUCAUAAUUAACAUGUUUCUUCAGUUUUUCAAAAUAAGCAUUGGUGAUUUUCUAUGUUGCUAUAAACCCAUUUACCCUACAAUUGUUACUAAUCUAGUUUUAAAUAUUAUAGGAUGCACAGAAGUGUUCUUACUUGGAGUGGGUUGAUCAAGAGUGGCCACAGUCCUUGAAGAUGUGCCUAGUGAAGCUCUGGAGCAUUUAUGAGGAAGAGAACAGAAUUAGGCUUAGAGAAAAUGUUGUCAACGCUAAAGAAUAUUUGAAGAUGCGGGAUAAACGUUGAAGGUGGAGAAAUGAGCUCAAAUUUUUUAAAUCAGACUUUGCUAAGAUGGUGUUGGCGAAGGAGGAGGCACUUUCCCAGUUGGCCCGUGCAAAACAGGUUCUUACUGAACUGAAAGCAGAGGUGGAUAAGAUGAGCCUGGAUGAUCUCGAUUAGGGAAAUGAAUAUAUUGUUCUUAUGAAGUUGAACUAGCUAUAUGUUGUACUGUGCUAUUUUCAUGUAGCUACCGUACUGUGAUGUUAUAAUAUAUUUAUGUGUGUGAUAUGAAAUUGGCAAACAACGAUUCGAUAUGGAAUGUGAAUUUGGGUAAUACUGGAAUUACUAAUUGUAAACUAAUAAACUCGUUAAAUGUGUCAUGGACCUUUGCAAACGGUUCUAGUAGUAAAAGCGCUUGCGAUGGAUAGCCCAAUGCUACACAGUUUUCUUCAUCAAAUCGUGUGUGAUAUAGUUGAUAAAAGCAAACAGUUAACCAAGGCAGACUGUGUGUGAUAGUUACACCUUUCACACACGAGCCUACACAUAAAACUGUGUGGGAUGUACGUAUGAACGGAAACGUUUUCCCUGGAUUGACUGUGUGCGAUGUACAUAAGAACAGAAACAUAUUCCUUGGAUUGACUGUGUGUGAUAUACAUACGAAUGGAAAUGUUUUUCUGGGAUUCACCGUGUGGGAUGUAUAUACCUACGGAAAUGAUUUUCUAGGAUUACCGUGUGGGAUGUACAUACCUACAGAAAUGAUUGGGUUUCGAUGCCUCACCUAAUCACACACGACCCCAGCCUGUGUCCCAAGAGGACCUAUCCCUGACGGUUUCUGGAUCGUGUGGGAAGGACCCCCCUAUCGCCCACACUUACUUGGCGACGGUUCCAAAUGUCAUCGCGGAAAGGGGUUAAAAACCGUUUGUUUAGGACCGAUGCGCACCAGUGAUGGUUAAAUUUCCUAACCAUAGACAUGUGUUGUCAUUUGAUGAAAGAGAUCACAUCAUUAGGAUAUUAUGUGAUGGACAAGACCCAUCCGUUAGCUUAGCAUAAUGAUCGUUAAGUUUUAUUGCUAUUGCUUUCUUCAUGACUUAUACAUAUUCCUUUGACUAUGUGAUUAUGCAACUCUCGGAUACCGGAGGAAUACCUUGUGUGCUAUCAAACCUCACAACGUAACUGGGUGAUUAUAAAGAUGCUCUAUAGGUAUCUCCGAAGGUAUUUGUUGGGUUGGCAUAGAUCAAGAUUAUAAUUUGUCACUCCGAUUAUCGGAGAGGUAUCUCUGGGCCCUCUCGGUAAUGCACAUCAUAAUAAGCCUUGCAAGCAAUGUAACUAAUGAGUUAAUUAUGGGAUGAUGCAUUACGGAACGAGUAAAGAGACUUGCCGGUAACGAGAUUGAACUAGGUAUGAAGAUACCAAUGAUCGAAUCUCGGGCAAGUAACAUACCGAUGACAAAGGGAAUAACGUAUGUUGUCAUAACGGUUCGACCGAUAAAGAUCUUCGUAGAAUAUGUGGGAGCCAAUAUGAGCAUCCAGGUUCUACUAUUGGUUAUUAAUCGAAGAUGUGUCUCGGUCAUGUCUACAUAGUUAUCGAACCCAUAGGGUCCGCACGCUUAAUGUUCGAUGAUUAUUUGUAUUAUAUGAGUUAUGUGAUUUGGUGACCGAAUGUUGUUCGGAGUCCCGAAUGAGAUCACGGACAUGACGAGUCUCAAAAUGGUCGAGAGGUAAAGAUUCAUAUAUAGGAUGAUAGUAUUCAGACAUCGGAAGUGUUCCGGGGUACCGGGUACGUAUCGGGUCACCGGAAGGGGUUCCGGGCUACCCCCGGCAAACUAUAUGAGCCUUAUGGGCCAAGAGGAGAAACACACCAGCCACAAAAGGGGCUGGUGCACCCCCCCCCCAUAUGGGCUGGCCAAAUUGGAGAAGGAAAGGGGAAGGAGGAAAGGAAAAAGGGAAUAGGAUUCCCCCUUCCCCCUCUUCCCUUCCUACUCCGAAUAGGAAUUGGAAAGGGGGGAGGCCAAAUUGGAAGGUGCCCAGGUAGGAUUCCUCCUACUUGGGGCACCCCCUUGGCUGCCUCUCCUCCCCUCCAACCUAUAUAUAUGAGGGGGGCACCGUUAGAACGCACAACAAACAUUGUUAGUCAUGUGCGGUGCCCCCCUCCACAGUUUACGCCUCCAGUCAUAUUCACGUAGUGCUUAGGCGAAGCCCUACGCGGAACACUUCACCAUCACCGUCACCAUGCUAUCGUGCUGACGAAACUCUCCCUCGACACUUUGCUGGAUCAAGAGUUCGAGGGAUGUCAUUGAGCUGGACGUGUGCAAAACUCGGAGGUGUCAUACUUUCCGUGCUUGAUUGGUCAGUGUCGGUGUCAAAACCGGCCGAUCUUGGGUAGGGGGUCUCGAACUGUGCAUCUGAGGAUUGAAGAUAAUAGGAGGCAGGGGACAUGAUGUUUACCCAGGUUCGGGCCCUCGUAAUGGAGGUAAUACCCUACUUCCUGCUUGAUUGACUUUGAUGAGUAUACGGGUUACAAGAGUUGAUCUACCUCUAGAUCGUAAUGGCUAAACCCUAGAUGUCUAGCCUGUAUGAUUAUUAUUGCCUCUAUGGACUAAACCCUCCGAUUUAUAUAGACACCAGAGGGGUCAAGGGUUGUACAGAGUUGGUUUACAGAGAAAGGAAUCUUCACAUCCGAACGCUAAACUUGCCAUCCACGCAAAGGAGAGUCCCAUCCGAACACGGGGGAAGGCCUUCUAUCUUGUAUCUUCACAGCCCAUCAGUUCGGCCCAUGUCACAUAGCCCGGACGCCCGGGGACCCCCUAAUCCAAGACUCUCUUAGUAGCCCCUGACCAAGCUUCAAUGACAAUCUGUCCGGCGCGCAGAUUGUCUUUGGCAUUGCAAGGCGGGUUUCUCCUCCGAAUACUUCAAAGUAGCUGAUCAAAAGAACUAUAUCCAGCUCUAUAUAAUAGUUACAACCCUGAACCACAAGGACAAAAUACUUAAACAAAAAAAAACAAAACAAGCCUAUUGGCAGCUUUUCCGGUGAGACAUUAUGUCCUCGCCUUAUUAUUAUUUCGAACCGUUUUUCAGCCUCCUCCUUCGUGUUUCGAGGCACGGUAUUCAUUGGCACGUCUUUUCAAAGCAGAGAUCGUAUCCCCUUAUUGCGGGAUUCUCAUCAAUACGGGUUUGGGUAAUCCAACCAUGCCAUUUGCACGACCCCUUGGGAAUAGGCGAGUUUUAAGGCUCGUGGGGGGCACUCGAUAUUCACCGCCUUUAUAAGAGGAUAUGAAUCGAUCUUUUUACCCCACACCUUUCUCCUUCCUCAGCCCUUCUGAUAACCCACAAGUAUAGGGGAUCAAUUGUAGCCUCUUUCGAUAAGUAAGAGUGUCGAACCCAACGAGGAGCUAAAGGUAGAACAAAUAUUCCCUCAAGUUCUAUCGACCACCGAUACAACUCUACGCAUGCUUAGCGUUCGCUUUACCUAGAACAAGUAUGAAACUAGAAGUACUUUGUAGGUGUUUUUGGAUAGGUUUGCAAGAUAAUAAAGAGCACGUAAGUAAAAAGUAGGGGCUGCUUAGAUAAAGAAACAAUAAAGUUAGUAUAGCGAGUGUGGAAAAGUGGUUGUAGGAGUUGCGAAAUUGUCCCUAAGCAAUUGACUACUUUGCUAGACCGAUAGCAAGUUUUAUGUGGGAUAGGCCACUGCUAGCAUGUCAUCCCUGACUUGGAAUUCUAUGCACUUAUGAUUGGAACUAUUAGCAAGCGUCCGCAACUACUAACGUUCAUUAAGGUAAAACCCAACCAUAGCAUUAAGAUAUAUUGGUCCCCCUUCAAUCCCCUAUGCAUCAAUUUCUAUGCUAGGUUGAAGCUUCUGUCACUCUUCCCCUCCAAUACAUAGUCCUAUCAACAUACAACUAACCCUAUGGUGUGAUCCACACACGUGCUCAUAUGAUGGGCACCAAAGGACAGCAAAAUAACCACAAGCAAAUUAAAUCAAUCAUAGCAAUUCAUCAACCACCGAUAGGACAACGAAAAUCUACUCAGACAUCAUAGGAUGGCAACACAUCAUUGGAUAAUAAUAUGAAGCAUAAAGCACCAUGUUCAAGUAGAGGGUCCAGCGGGUUGCGGGAGAGUGGACCGCUGUAGAUAGAUGGGGGAAGGUGAUGGAGAUGGUGGUGAAGUUGGCGGAGGUGUUGGUGUAGAUCGCGGUGAUGAUGAUGGUGGCCACGGCAGCAUUCCGGCGCCACCGGAAGAGAAGGGGAGAGGGGGACCCUUCUUCUUCUUCCUUGACCUCCUCCCUAGAUGGGAGAAGGGUUUCCCCUUUGGUCCUUGGCCUCCAUGGCAUGGGAGGGGCGAGAGCCCCUAUGAGAUUGGAUCUGUCUCUCUGUCUCUCUCUGUUUCUGCGUUCUCAGAUUCUGCCCUUUCACCGUUUCUUUUAUAUACGGAGAUCCGUAACUCCAAUUGGGCUGAAACUUUAACACGAUCUCUAUCUGUAAAUUAGCUUUCUUGCGGAGAAAGAAGGGCUCCAACCGCCUUACGGGGAGGCCACAAGGGUCCAGGGCGCGCCCCUACCUCGUGGCCCCCUCGGGCAUCGUAUCGCGUCAAUUCUUCUUCCCAAAAAUCACAUAUAUUCCAAAAAAAUAUCCGUCAGUUUUAACCCGUUUGAACUCCGUUUGAUAUGGAUUUUCUGUGAAACAAAAAACAUGCAACAGACAGGAACUGGCACUGGGCACUGGAUCAGUAUGUUAAUCCCAAAAAUAGUAUAAAAAGUUGCCAAAAAUAUAUGAAAGUUGUAGAAUAUUGGCAUGGAACAAUAAAAAAUUAUAGAUACGAUGGAGACGUAUUAGCAUCCCCAAGCUUAAUUCCUGCUCGUCCUCGAGUAGGUAAAUGAUAAAAAAAUUAAUUUUUGAUGUGGAAUGCUACCUAGCAUAAUCUUGAUCAUGUAUCUAAUCAUGGCAUGAAUAUUAAGACACGAGUGAUUCAAAGCAAUAGUCUAUCAUUUGACAUUAAGACAAUAAUUCUUCAAGCCUACUAAUAAAGCAAUCAUGUCUUUUCAAAAUAACAAGGCCAAAGAAAGUUAUCCCUAUAAAAUCAUAUAGUCUGGCUAUGCUCCAUCUUCACCACACAAAAUAUUCAAAUCAUGCACAACCCCGAUGACAAGCCAAGCAAUUGGUUCAUGCUUUUUAACGCGCUUCAGCCUUUUCAACCCUCACACAAUACAUGAGCGUGAGCCAUGGACAUAGCACUAUAGGUGGAAUAGAAUAUGAUGAUGGAGGUUGCAUGGAGAAGACGAAAAGGAGAAAGUCUCACAUCGACACGGCUAAUCAACGGGCUAUGGAGAUGCCCAUCAAUUGAUGUCAAUGUGAGGAGUAGGGAUUGCCAUACAACGGAUGCACUAGAGCUAUAAGUAUAUGAAAGGUCAAACUGAAACUAAGUGGGUGUGCAUCCAACUUGCUUUCUCAUGAAGACCAAGGGCAUUUGAGGAAGCCCAUCGUUGGAAUAUACAAGCCAAGUUCUAUAAUGAAAAUUCCCACUAGUAUAUGAAAGUGAUAACUCAAGAGACUCUCUAUACGAAGAACACGGUGCUACUUUGAAGCACAAGUGUGGUAAAAGGAUAGUAACAUUGCCCCCUUCUUCUCUUUUUUUUGGCGGGCUUCUUUGGCCCCCUUUUUUUCUUUAGGCUUCUUUGACCUCUCUCUUUUGGCGGGCAAUGCUCUAAUAAUGAUGAUCAUCACACUUUUAUUUACUUACAACUCAAUAUUACAACUCGAUACUAGAACAAAUAUAUGACUCUAUAUGAAUGCCUCCGGCGAUGUACCGGGAUGUGCAAUGAUCUAGCGUAGCAAUGACAUCAAAAAACGGACAAGCCAUGGAAACAUCAUGCUAGCUGAUACGUCUCCAACGUAUCUAUAAUUUUUGAUCGUUCCAUGCUAUUAUAUUAUAUGUUUUGGAUGUUUAUGGGCUUUAUUAUGCACUUUUAUAUUAUUUUUGGGACUAACCUAUUAGCCUAGAGCCCAGUGCCGGUUUCUGUUUUUCCUUGUUUUACAGUAUCGCAGAAAAGGAAAAUCAAACGAAGUCCAAUUGACCUGAAACUUCACGGAACUUAUUUUUGGACCAGAAGAAGCCCACGGAGUAUCGAAGAUGGACGAGGAGAGUCCUGGGCUACCCACGAGGGUGGGGGGCAUGCCCACCCCCCUGGGCGCGCGCCCCUGCCUUGUGGACAGCCCGGAGGUCCACCGGCGUACUUCUUCCUCCUAUAUAUACCCAUAUAUCCUAAAAACUUUGAGGAGCACAAUAGAACGGGAGUUCCGCCGCCAGAAGCCUCCUUAGCCAUCGAAAACCAAUCUAGACCCGUUCCGGCACCCUGCCGAAGGGGGCAAUGCCUCUCCGGUGGCCAACUUCAUCAUCCCAGUGAUCUCCAUGACGAGGAGGGAGUAGUUCUCCCUCGGGGCUAAGGGUAUGUACCAGUAGCUAUGUGUUUGAUCUCUCUGUCUCUCUCUUUCUCUCUCUCGUGUUCUUGAGGUGGUACGAUCUUGAUGUAUCGUGGGCUUUGCUAUUAUAGUUGGGUCUUAUGAUGUUUCUCCCCCUCUACUCUCUUGUAAUGGAUUGAGUUUUCCCUUUGAAGUUAUCUUAUCGUGCUGAGUCUUUAAGGAUUUGAGAACACUUGAUGUAUGUAUUGUGUGGGAUACCCGUGGUGACAAUGGGGUAUUCUAUUGAUCCACUUGAUGUAUGUUUUGGUGAUCAACUUGCGGGUUCCGCCCAUGAACCUAUGCAUAGGGGUUGGCACACGUUUUCGUCUUGACUCUCCGGUAGAAUCUUUGGGGCACUCUUUGAGGUCCUAUGUGUUGGUUGAAUAGAAGAAUCUGAGAUUGUGUGAUGCGUAUCGUAUAAUCAUACUCACGGAUACUUGAGGUGACAUUGGAGUAUCUAGGUGACAUUAGGGUUUUGGUUGAUUUGUGUCUUAAGGUGUUAUUCUAGUACGAACUCUAGGGUUGUUUGUGACACUUAUAGGAAUAGCCCAACGGAUUGAUUGGAAAGAAUAACUUUGAGGUGGUUUCGAACCCUACCACAAUCUCUUCGUUUGUUCUCCGCUAUUGGUGACUUUGGAGUGACUCUUUGCUGCAUGUUGAGGGAUAGCUAUGUGAUCCAAUUAUGUUAUUAUUGUUGAUAGAACUUGCACUAGUGAAAGUAUGAACCCUAGGCCUUGUUUCAAUGCAUUGCAAUACCGUUUGUGCUCACUUUUAUCAUUAGUUACCUUGCUACUUUUAUAUUUUCAGAUUACAAAAACCUAUAUCUACCAUCCAUAUUGCACUUGUAUCACCAUCUCUUCGCCGAACUAGUGCACCUAUACAAUUUACCAUUGUAUUGGGUGUGUUGGGGACACAAGAGACUCUUUGUUAUUUGGUUGCAGGGUUGCUUGAGAGAGACCAUCUUCGUCCUAUGCCUCCUACGGAUUGAUAAACCUUAGGUCAUCCACUUGAGGGAAAUUUGCUACUGUCCUACAAACCUCUGCACUUGGAGGCCCAACAACAUCUACAAGAAGAAGGUUGUGUAGUAGACAUCAAGCUCUUUUCUGGCGCCGUUGCCGGGGAGGUUAGUGCUUGAAGGUAUAUCUUUAGAUCUUGCAAUCAAGUCUUUUACUUUCUUGUUUUAUCACUAGUAGUUUAUAAAAGAAAAUUAUAAAAAAAGGGAAUUGAGUUUACCUCAUACGCUUCAUCUUUUUAAUAUCUUUCGUGAGUAUGAUGGGAAGGAAGAUUGUGCCAAAGUGUUAGAAGAAGAAUGCAUUAAAAUGUUUGGCACUAAAUCUUUGAAUGAUGAGCAUGAUUGCAAUGUUGUUAGUAUGAACUCCUUGAAUAUCCAUAGUACUAAUGAUGAUUGCACUAGUUAUGAUGAAAAUGUCUCCUAUAAACAUGCCAAUUUUUUGUGGAGUGCAUUGGGUUUGCAAGAACACACCAAAUAGGGAAGAUAGAUAUUGCAAGAGGCAUAAUCAUUUAGAAACUAAAUGAUUGCAAGAAAGGCUAGAUGUUUGUGCUGAAAAUUUAAACUUUCUUAGCUAUACUUGUGAACUUUGCAAUGAACGUGAUCAUUUCAGUACCCAAUGCAAAUUGUUUCAUGAUCGUAUCGUGUCCAAAAAUUGUGAUGACUUGAUUUCUCUUGCACAUCAUAAUGAACUUAGUUUGCUCUUGGGUUAUGAAGAAAUGAAACGUAUAACUAAGGUUAUUCCAGAAUUUUCCCUUUAUAGAGUUCUUAAUUUUGAUCUAGAAGAAAUUUAUAUGUAUUAUGCGGUGAAUUGCAUUGAAAAUCCUUAUAUUGCCAAUUACAUAAAGAAAAGAAAACAGAUAGAAGAUGAAGAGAAUACUAAUGAAAGGGAAGAGACUUCCUCAUAUCCUCCUAUUAUUUCUUAUGAUGAAUCGGGUAACGAGGAGGAGCCCUCUAUUCAACCAAUCUCAUUAAUAAGGAGCUCCAAAAAGAGAAUUGAACCCACACAUGAUGUGGUGAAGAAGAAGAAAAUAAAAAGGAAGAGAGGUAAAAAGAUAUCUCUCCCAAAUAAUGCUGCUCCUAUUACUGUUGUGCCUCAUGAAAAUAUAACUGUGGAAGAUGAUGCACUUGAUGAUGAUCUCGUUAUGCCUAUUGCUUGUUGUGAUGAUUAUGAUUGGGAAGAUAAUGAUACUUCUUAUGAUCUUGAAAAUCUUUUUGGCACUUGCUUGAAAAAAUAUGAUAAUUGCUAUACUAUUGGUGCUAUCCAUACUAUUGACGAUGAGAGUGAUUAUGCUUAUGAUAUGAAAAGGCCCAAGCUUGGGGAUGCUAUGUUUGAUGAAGAUGAUGUUUUUGAGAAUAUAGUUGCUGCAAUUAAUGUUUUUCCCAAGCUUGGGGAUGCUACAUUUAAUGAAGAUGAUAUUUUUAGUCUCCCAAGUUUUGAUAUGAAAAUUUAUAAUGAUGAUAGCAUGCCUCCUACUUAUGAUGAUUAUUGUGAUGAUACUUAUGCUAUAAAAGUAGUGAUUAUAUUUAUAAAACUUGUCAUUAUUAUGGUUACCCCUUUUCUGAACAUUACUCUUUUAAUGUGGAAACAAUUUAUAGUAUUCGAGUUUCUUAUGAUACUCCUACUAUUCCGAAUGAGAAGAAUUUUGCUUAUGUGGAGAGUAAUAAAAUUUAUAUGCUUGUAGAUCAUUAAAAUAAUGCUUUAGGUGAUGGUUAUAUUGUUGAAUUCAUUCAUGAUUCUACUGAAAAUUAUUAUGAAGGAGGAAUAUAUGCUUGUAGGAAUUGCAAUAAUAUCAAGUUUCCUCUCUAUGUGCUUAAAGUUUUGAAGUUAUGCUUGAUUUACCUUCCUAUGCAAGUUGAUUCUUGUUUCCAUAAGUUGUUUGCUCAGAAAAUCCCUAUGCAUAUGAAGUUGGUUAGACUUAAAUGUGCUAGUCAUAUUCUUCAUGAUGCUCUCUUUAUGUUUCAAUUCUUAUCUUUUAUGUGAGCAUCAUUGAAAUCAUCAUGCCUAGCUAGGGGCGUUAAACGAUAGCGCUUGUUGGGAGGUAACCCAACUUUAUUUUUGUUCCUUGCUUUUUGCUCCUGUUUAGCAAUAAAUAAUUUAUCUAGCCUCUGUUAUGAUUGAGUUUUUAUGUUUAAUUAGUGUUUGUGCCAAGUAGAACCUUUGGGAAGACUUGGGGAAAGUCUUGUUGAUCAUGCUGUAAAAAACAGAAACUUUAGCGCUCACGAGAAUUGCUGCCAUUUUUAUUUGGAAAGUGAUAUUUAGUUAAUUAUUUUUGAAGAUGAUUAAUAGAUAAAUUACUCAGGUCCGUCAAUUUAUUUUAGAUUUUUUGGGGUUCCAUAAGUUUGCGUUAGCUACAGAUUACUACAGACUGUUCUGUUUUUGACAGAUUCUGUUUUUCGUGUGUUGUUUGCUUAUUUUGAUGAAUCUAUGGCUAGUAAAAGAGUUUAUAAACCAUAGAGAAGUUGGAAUAAAGUAGGUUUAAUACCAAUAUAAAUAAAUAAUGAGUUCAUUACAGUACCUUUAAGUGGUGUUUUCUUUUCUUUCGCUAACGGAGAUUACGAGUUUUCUGUUAAGUUUUGUGUUGUGAAGUUUUCAAGUUUUGGGUAAAGAUUCGAUGGACUAUGGAAUAAGGAGUGGCAAGAGCCUAAGCUUGGGGAAGCCCAAGGCACCCCAAGGUAAUAUUCAAGGAUUACCAAGAGCCUAAGCUUGGGGAUGCCCCGGAAGGCAUCCCCUCUUUCGUCUUUGUUCAUUGGUAACUUUACUUGGAGCUAUAUUUUUAUUUACCACAUGAUAUGUGUUUUGCUUGGAGCGUCAUUUUAUUUUAUUUAGUUUUGCUUGCUGUUUGCAUAAAAUACCAAGAUCUGAAAUUAUUAAAUCUUAGAGUCUUCACAUACUUCCAUAAUUAUUUGACUACUCAUUGAUCUUCAUUUAUAUCCUUCGGAGUAGUUUGUUGUUGCUCUAGUGCUUCACUUAUAUCUUUUUAGAGCACGGUGGUGGUUUUAUUUUAUAGAAAUAGAUGAACUCUCAUGCAUCACUUAUAUUAUUUUGAGAGUCCUAAAUAUCAUGGUAAUUUGCUUUGGUUAUGAAUUUAGUCCUAAUAUGAUAGGCAUCCAAGAGGGAUAUAUUAAAAACUUUCAUAUGAAGUGCAUUGAAUACUAAGAGAAGUUUGAUACUUGAUAAUUGUUUUGAGAUAUGGAGAUGGUGAUAUUAGAGUCAUGCUAGUUGAGUAGUUGUGAAUUUUAGAAAUACUUGUGUUGAAGUUUGUGAUUCCCGUAGCAUGCACGUAUGGUGAACCGUUAUGUGACGAAGUCGGAGCAUGAUUUAUUUAUUGAUUGUCUUCCUUAUGAGUGGUGGUCGGGGACGAGCGAUGGUCUUUUCCUACCAAUCUACCCCCCUAGGAGCAUGCGCGUAGUACUUUGUUUCGAUAGCUAAUAGAUUUUUGGAAUAAGUAUAUGAGUUCUUUAUGACUAAUGUUGAGUCCAUGGAUUAUACGCACUCUCACCCUUCCACCAUUGCUAGCCUCUCUAGUACCGCGCAACUUUCGCUGGUACCAUAAACCCACCAUAUACCUUCCUCAAAACAGCCACCAUACCUACCUAUUAUGGCAUUUCCAUAGCCAUCCCGAGAUAUAUUGCCAUGCAACUUUCCACCGUUCCAUUUAUUAUGACACGCUUCAUCAUUGUCAUAUUGCUUUGCAUGAUCAUGUAGUUGACAUCGUAUUUGUGGCAAAGCCACCGUUCAUAAUUCUUUCAUACAUGUCACUCAUGAGUCAUUGCACAUCCUGGUACACCACCGGAGGCAUUCAUAUAGAGUUAUAUCUUGUCUUAAGUAUCGAGUUGUAAUUCUUGAGUUGUAAGAAAAUAAAAGUGUGAUGAUCAUCAUUAUUAGAGCAUUGUCCCAGUGAGGAAAGGAUGAUGGAUACUAUGAUUCCCCCACAAGUCGGGAUGAUACUCCGGACGAAAAUAAAUAAAUAAAAGAGGCCAAAGAAGCACAAAUAAAAAAAAAGAGAAAAGAGGCCAUAAAAAGAGAAGGCCCAAAUAAAAAAAAUAAAAAAUGAGAGAAAAAGAGAGAAGGGGCAAUGCUACUAUCCUUUUACCACACUUGUGCUUCAAAGUAGCACCAUGAUCUUCAUGAUAGAGAGUCUCCUAUGUUGUCACUUUCUUAUACUAGUGGGAAUUUUACAUUAUAGAACUUGGCUUGUAUAUUCCAAUGAUGGGCUUCCUCAAAAUGCCCUAGCACUACAAAAAAAGACACAUCCAUGACAUUUUGGGCCGAACGAAAUUUUUUCUGUCAUACAUAUGACACUUCUAUGACGAUAAUUGUGACAAAACCCGGUAUCAUCAUAGAUGUGGUGGGCUCCUACUUCUAUGACAAAAAAUCAUGACAGAAAAUGGGCUUUUCAUCCUGGGCAGGCCGGAGACGCAGCUGCAUGACAUUCUUUGGGCCGUCCAUGAUGGAAAAAACCGUGAUAGAAGCGAGGGGGAGGAAAAUUUUGAGGAGUUCCCGAUUACGGUGGGAGGUCGGGGGCCGAGCGAUUCGCGUUUCUCUCGUACACGUACGCGCGUGUGUGCAAGGCGUUGGCUCUAACUGAACCCGAGCGAGGCAUUGGGCUCUAACUGAACCCGAGCGAUUGCACUGCAGGCUACGCAUUACUGAACCCGAGCGAUCGAUCGAUGGCUGUUAACUGAACCCGAUCGAGCGAUUCCUUCGCUAUUGCUGCUAACGGAAGCCGAUCGAUGUUGUCUCUGGGAUGAACAGUGAGCGUUGCGGGGGGGGGUGGAUGAACAGUGAGUGGUGGCGUUGCCUCUAGAUGAACAGGACCCCGUGGUGUGGAGGGCUGGAUGAACAGUAGACGGUGGAGGGGUGCCCGUGGAGGGGUGGUUGAACAGGACCCCGUGGUGUGGACGGCUGGAUGAAUAGUAGAAGGUGGAGGGGUGGUUGAACAGUAGCCGGUGGAGUAGCACGCGGUGGAGGAUGGAUGAACAGGAGCCCGUGGAGGCUGGAGGAGAUCGACGGUAGCCCGUGGAGGCUGGAGGAGGUCGACGGUGGAGAUGAACAGUAUCCCGUGGAGUCCCGUUUUGUGGUAUGCCACACCCCUCCCGAUGAACAGGACCUCCGUUUCAACCGUAGGAGGUCCGUUUCAUCCGUUUUGUGGUACGCCACACCCCUCCCGAUCAACAGGACCCCCGUUUCGACCAUAGGAGGUCCAUUUCAUCCGUUUUGCGGUACGCCACACCCCUCCCAAUCAACAGGACCCCUGUUUCGACCGUAGGAGGUCCGUUUCCUCUGUUUUGCGGUACGCCAGACCCUCCCGAUCAACAGGACCCCGUUCAGGCCUUGUUUCCAUCGCAUGUUCCAUCCAAGCCCUCCUGAUGAACACGACCACGCAUUCCGUUCUGACCCAGCCGGUUGGCUCCCACGCGUUCCGUUGCCUCCCGAUGAACACGACGCAUUCGGUUGCCUCCCGAUGAACAUGAUGCAUUCCGUUGCCUCCCCAUGAACACGAUGCAUUCCGUUGCCUCCCCAUGAUCACGACGACGACGCUGUUUCUCUGUUCCGACCCAGCCAUGUACACGAGCCUUGGCCGUACGUAUGCGCGAGUAGGUGUUCGAGACCCCACCCGUAUGUACAAAUACGUGGCCGUAUUUUAUUUCUUGCACCCUGGCCGUUGUACGUACAUAUACAUGCUACGUGCGUGCCUCUACUACGACACGUACGCGCCUCUAGUACGACACGUGCAUGCCUCUACAUCCACCAGUAUAUAUGUACGUACACGUUCGCGACCAGAAUGACAACGCUACGUACACUUCGACCAGGUGGGUCCCGACUGUCAGGCACUUCCUUACGUGCGAAGAUGAAGCUGGUGGGUCCUAGCAGUCAGGGGGGCGGAUUGUUUUUUUUGCCUGGACACACUUCAUUGCGUGCGAAGAUGUAGCUGGUGGGUCCCAGCAGUCAGGGGGGCGAAUCAUUCUUUUGCCCGGACGCACUUCCUUGCAUGCGAAGAUGUAGCUGGUGGGUCCCAGCAGUCAGGGGGAAAUGUUUUUUUCAUGAAAUACGGUGGCCCAUCCGGUGGGUCCCCGCUGUCAGGUGGUGGAAUCAUUAUUUUGCGCGUAAUAAGGAGGCACUUCCUUGCUGCGGCCGUGGACCCAGCUGUCAGCCUCUCCAUGUAUAGUCCACGUCCGAUGGAAGUCAUUCCUUGACCACAUUGACCACGCCGCACCGAGAGCACCACGGCGGUGGACGAUGGCGAGGACUAGGAAGGGGACGACUCGGAGCCGGGGAAGACACAGCAGUGGAUGCCCACGCGAAGAGGAGUGCGAGGGUUCACUGGAUCGGCUGCGGUGUGAGGCUGCUGUCGUUGCAGAAUAACAGGGGGUGUGGGUGAGUAGAGGGAUGGCCUGGCCAGCGGUGGGAGUAGUAGGGGCGGUGAGGCCUCCGCGGCAUCACUGCCGGCCACGGGAGACAGGAGCACGCGACACGACCGGCGGUGGUUUGGGUAGCUGGAGCAAGAAGACCAGAGGUUGAAGAAGCACUACGGACGUUGGAUGAACAUCAUAUGGUAACAGUGUUGGGGAACGUUGCAGAAAAUUAAAAAUUUUCCUACGGUUUCACCAAGAUCCAUCUAUGAGUUCAUCUAAGCAACAAGUCAAGGGAGAGAGUUUGCAUCUACAUACCACUUGUAGAUUGCGUGCGGAAGCUUGCAAGGUGAUGAUGUAGUCGUACUCGACGUGAUUCGAAUCACCGAUGACCAAGUGCUGAACGGACAGCACCUCCGCGUUCAACACACGUACGGGACGGGAGACGUCUCCUCCUUCUUGAUCCAGCAAGGGGAAGGAGAGGUUGAGGAAGACAGCUCCACCGGCAGCACGACGGCGUGGUGAUGGUGGAGAGGCAGUACUCCGACAGGGCUUCGCCAAGCACACAACGGAGGAGGAGAGGUGUUGGGGAGGGGAGGGCUGCGCCUUGGAGGGUGGUGCAGCUGCCCACCCCUCACCCCUCUAUUUAUAGGGGGAAGGGAGAAGGGGGCCGGCCCCCUAGAACCCAUCUAGGGGGGGUGCGGCGGCCUAGGGGAGAGGGGAGAGGGUGGCUUGCCCCCCAAGCCAAGGGGGGCGCCCCCUCUAGGGUUCCCCCUCAACCCUAGGCGCAUGGGCCCAAGGGAGGGGGGUGCGGCCAGCCCACCAGGGGCUGGCUCCCUGCCCCACGCAGCCCAUGUGCCCCCCCGGGAGGGGUGGCCCCUCCCGGUGGACCCCCAGAACCCUUCCGGUGGCCCCGGUACAAUACCGGUAUGACCCCGAAACUUCCCGGUGUCCGUUUGACAACUUCCCAUAUAUAAAUCUUUACCUCCGGACCCUUCCGGAUCUCCUAGUGACGUCCAGGAUCCCAUCCGGGACUCCGAAAAACAUUCGGUGGUCACAUACUAGUCUUCCUAAUAACCCUAGCGUCACCGAACCUUAAGUGUGUAGACCCUACGGGUUCGGGAGACAUGCAGACAUGACCGAGACGCUCUCAGUCAAUAACCAACAGCGGGAUCUGGAUACCCAUGAUGGCUCCCACAUGCUCCUCGAUGUUGUCAUCGGAUGAACCACGAUGUCGAGGAUUCGAUCAAACCCUGUAUGCAAUUCCCUUUGUCAAUCGGUACGUUACUUGCCCGAGACUCGAUCGUCGGUAUCUCAAUACCUUGUUCAGUCUCGUUACCGGCAAGUCACUUUACUCGUACCGUAAUGCAUGAUCCCGUGUCCAACACCUUGGUCACAUUGAGCUCACUAUGAUGAUGCAUUACCGAGUGGGCCCAGAGAUACCUCUCCGUCAUACGGAGUGACAAAUCCCAGUCUCGAUCCGUGUCAACCCAACAGCUACUUUCGGAGAUACUUGUAAUGCACCUUUAUAGUCACCCAGUUAUGUUGUGACGUUUGAUACACCCAAGGCACUCUUACGGUAUCCGAGAGUUACACGAUCUCAUGGUCGAAGGAAGAGAUACUUGACACUUGCAAAGCUCUAGCAAAACGAACUGCACGAUCUUUUAUGCUAUGCUUAGGAUUGGGUCUUGUCCAUCACAUCAUUCUCCUAAUGAUGUGAUCCCGUUAUCAACGACAUCCAAUGUCCAUAGUCAGGAAACCAUGACUAUCUGUUGAUCACAACGAGCUGGUCAACUAGAGGCUCACCAGGGACAUAUUGUGGUCUAAGUAUUCACACGUGUAUUACGAUUUCCGGAUAAUACAGUUAUAGCAUGAAUAAAAGACAUUUAUCAUGAACAUUGAAAUAUAAUAAUACUUUUAUUAUUGCCUCUAGGGCAUAUUUCCAACAGUCUCCCACUUGCACUAGAGUCACCAAUCUAGUUACAUUGUGAUGAAUCGAACACCCAUAGAGUUCUGGUGUUGAUCAUGUUUUGCACGCGAGAGAGGUUUAGUCAGCGGAUCUGCGACAUUCAGAUCCGUGUGCACUUUGCAAAUCUCUAUGUCUCCAUCUUGAACAUUUUCACGGAUGGAGUUGAAACGACGCUUGAUGUGCCUGGUCUUCUUGUGAAACCUGGGCUCCUUGGCGAGGGCAAUAGCUCCAGUGUUGUCACAGAAGAGUUUGAUCGGCCCCGACGCAUUGGGUAUGACUCCUAGGUCGGUGAUGAACUCCUUCACCCAAAUCGCUUCAUGCGCUGCCUCCGAGGCUGCCAUGUACUCCGCUUCACACGUAGAUCCCGCCAUGACGCUCUGCUUGCAGCUGCACCAGCUUACUGCUCCACCAUUCAACAUAUACACGUAUCCGGUUUGUGACUUAGAGUCAUCCAGAUCUGAGUCGAAGCUAGUGUCGACGUGACCCUUUACGACGAGCUCUUCGUCUCUUCCAUAAACGAGAAACAUGUCCUUCGUCCUUUUCAGGUACUUCAGGAUAUUCUUGACCACUGUCCAGUGUUCCUUGCCGGGAUUACUUUGGUAUCUUGCUACCAAACUUACGGCAAGGUUUACAUCGGGUCUGGUACACAGCAUGGCAUACAUAAUAGAUCCUAUGGUUGAAGCAUAGGGGAUGACACUCAUCUCUUCUUUAUCUUUUGCCGUGGUCGGUGACUGAGCCGAGCUCAAUCUCACACCUUGUAACAUAGGCAAGAACCCCUUCUUGGACUGAUCCAUUUUGAACCUCUUCAAAAUCUUAUCAAGGUAUGUGCUUUGUGAAAGACCUAUGAGGCGUCUCGAUCUAUCUCUAUAGAUUUUGAUGCCUAAUAUAUAAGCAGCUUCUCCAAGGUCCUUCAUUGAAAAACACUUAUUCAAGUAGGCCUUAAUGUUGUCCAGAAAUUCUAUAUUAUUUCCCAUCAAGAGUAUGUCAUCUACAUAUAAUAUGAGAAAUGCUACAGAGCUCCCACUCACUUUCUUGUAAACGCAGGCUUCUCCAUAAGUCUGCAUAAACCCAAACGCUUUGAUCAUCUCAUCAAAGUGAAUGUUCCAACUCCGAGAUGCUUGCACCAGUCCAUAAAUGGACCGCUGGAGCUUGCAUACUUUGUUAGCGUUCCGAGGAUCGACAAAACCUUCCGGCUGCAUCAUAUACAGUUCUUCCUUAAGAUGCCCGUUAAGGAAUGCCGUUUUGACGUCCAUUUGCCAUAUCUCAUAAUCAUAGUAUGCGGCAAUUGCUAACAUGAUUCGGACGGACUUCAGCUUUGCUACGGGAGAGAAAGUCUCGUCGUAGUCAAUCCCUUGAACUUGUCGAUAACCCUUAGCGACAAGCCGAGCCUUAUAGAUUGUAACAUUACCAUCCGCGUCCGUCUUCUUCUUAAAGAUCCAUUUGUUUUCUAUCGCUCGCCGAUCAUCGGGCAAGUCUGUCAAAGUCCAUACUUUGUUUUCGUACAUGGAUUCUAUCUCGGAUUUCAUGGCUUCAAGCCAUUUGUUGGAAUCCGGGCCCGCCAUUGCUUCUUCAUAGUUCGAAGGUUCAUUGUUGUCUAACAACAUGAUUUCCAGGACAGGGUUGCCGUACCACUCUGGUGCGGAACAUGUCCUUGUGGACCUACGAAGUUCAGCAGUAACUUGAUCCGAAGUACCUUGAUCAUCAUCAUUGUUUUCCUCUUCAGUUGGUGUGGGCAUCACAUGAAUGGUUUCCUGCGCUGCGCCACUUUCCCGCUCAAGAGGUUGUACUUCAUCGAGUUCUACUUUCCUCCCACUUACUUCUUUCGAGAGAAACUCUUUUUCCAGAAAGCAUCCGUUCUUGGCAACAAAGAUCUUGCCUUCGGAUCUUAAGUAGAAGGUAUACCCGACAGUUUCCUUAGGGUAUCCUAUGAAUACGCAUUUUUCCGACUUGGGUUCGAGCUUUUCAGGUUGAAGUUUCUUGACAUAAGCAUCGCAUCCCCAAACUUUUAGAAACGACAGCUUAGGUUUCUUUCCAAACCAUAAUUCAUACGGUGUCGUCUCAAUGGAUUUAGACGGUGCCCUAUUUAAAGUGAAUGUAGCUGUCUCUAGAGCGUAUCCCCAAAAUGACAGCGGUAAAUCGGUAAGAGACAUCAUAGACCGCACCAUAUCCAAUAGGGUGCGAUUAUGACGUUCGGACACACCGUUUCGCUGAGGUGUUCCAGGCGGCGUGAGCUGUGAAACGAUUCCACAUUUCCUUAAGUGUGUACCAAAUUCGUGACUUAAGUAUUCUCCUCCACGAUCUGAUCGUAAGAAUUUUAUCUUUCGGUCACGUUGAUUCUCUACCUCAUUCUGAAAUUCCUUGAACUUUUCAAAGGUCUCAGACUUGUGUUUCAUUAAGUAGACAUACCCAUAUCUACUCAAGUCAUCAGUGAGAGUGAGAACAUAACGAUAUCCUCCGCGAGCCUCAACGCUCAUUGGACCGCACACAUCGGUAUGUAUGAUUUCCAACAAGUUGGUUGCUCGCUCCAUUGUUCCGGAGAACGGAGUCUUGGUCAUUUUGCCCAAAAGGCAUGGUUCGCACGUGUCAAACGAUUCAUAAUCAAGAGACUCUAAAAGUCCAUCGGCAUGGAGUUUCUUCAUGCGCUUGACACCAAUGUGACCAAGGCGGCAGUGCCACAACUAUGUGGGACUAUCGUUAUCAACUUUAAAUCUUUUGGCAUCUACACUAUGAACAUGUGUAAUAUUACGCUCGAGAUUCAUUAAGAAUAAACCAUUGACCAUCGGAGCAUGACCAUAAAACAUAUCUCUCAUAUAAAUCGAACAACCAUUAUUCUCAGACUUAAAUGAGUAGCCAUCUCGUAUUAAACGAGAUCCAGAUACAAUGUUCAUGCUCAAACUUGGCACCAAAUAACAAUUAUUAAGGUUCAAAACUAAUCCCGUAGGUAAAUGUAGAGGCAGCGUGCCGACGGUGAUCACAUCAACUCUGGAACCAUUCCCGACGCGCAUCGUCACCUCGUCCUUCGCCAGUCUCCGUUUAUUCCGCAGCUCCUGCUGUGAGUUACAAAUAUGAGCAACGGCACCGGUAUCAAAUACCCAGGAGUUACUACGAGUACUGGUAAGGUACACAUCAAUCACAUGUAUAUCAAAUAUACCUUUGGUGUUGCCGGCCUUCUUAUCCGCUAAGUAUUUGGGGCAGUUCUGCUUCCAGUGACCUUUCCACUUGCAAUAAAAGCACUCAGUCUCAGGCUUGGGUCCAUUCUUUGACUUCUUCCCGGUAACUGGCUUACCAGGCGCGGCAACCUCCUUGCCGUCCUUCUUGAAGUUCGUCUUACCCUUGCCCUUCUUGAACUUAGUGGUCUUAUUGACCAUCAACACUUGAUGUUCUUUCUUGAUUUCAGCCUCUGCUGACUUCAGCAUCGAGAACACUUCAGGAAUGGUCUUUUCCAUCCCCUGCAUGUUGUAGUUCAUCACAAAGCUCUUGUAGCUUGGUGGGAGUGACUGGAGGAUUCUGUCAAUGACCGCCUCAUCUGGGAGGUUAAUGUUCAGCUGGGUCAUACGGUUGUGCAACCCAGACAUCUUCAGGAUGUGCUCACUGACAGAACUGUUUUCCUCCAUCUUACAACUGUAGAACUUGUCGGAGACAUCAUAUCUCUCGACCCGGGCAUGAGCUUGAAAAACUAGUUUCAGCUCUUCGAACAUCUCAUAUGCUCCGUGGUGCUCAAAACGCUUUUGGAGCCCCGGUUCUAAGCUGUAAAGCAUGCCGCACUGAACGAGGGAGUAAUCAUCAGCACGAGACUGCCAAGCAUUCAUAAUGUCUUGGUUCUCUGGGACGGGAGCGUCACCUAGCGGUCCUUCUAGGACAUAUUGUUUCCUGGCAGCUAUGAGGAUGAUCCUCAGGUUCCGGACCCAGUCCGUAUAGUUGCUGCCAUCAUCUUUCAACUUGGUUUUCUCUAGGAACGCGUUGAAGUUCAUGUUGACAUUAGCGUUGGCCAUUGAUCUACAAGACAUAUUUGCAAAGGUUUUAGACUAAGUUCAUGAUAAUAAAGUUCUAAUCAAAUUAUGAACUCCCACUUAGAUUAGACAUCCCUCUAGUCAUCUAAGUGUUACACGAUCCGAGUCGACUAGCCCGUGUCCGAUCAUCACGUGAGACGGACUAGUCAUCGUCGGUGAACAUUAUCAUGUCGAUCGUAUCUUCCAUACGAUUCGUGCUCGACCUUUCGGUCUCCGUGUUCCGAGGCCAUGUCUGCACAUGCUAGGCUCGUCAAGUUAACCCUAAGUGUUUUCGCUGUGUAAAACUGUCUUACACCCGUUGUAUGUGAACGUAAGAAUCCAUCACACCCGAUCAUCACGUGGUGCUUAGAAGCGACGAACUGUAGCAACGAUGCACAGUUAGGGGAGAACACUUCUUGAAAUUUUAUAAGGGAUCAUCUUAUUUACUACCGUCGUCCUAAGUAAACAAGAUGCAUAAUACAUAAUAAACAUCACAUGCAAUUAUAUAGUUGUGACAUGAUAUGGCCAAUAUCAUAUAGCUCCAUUGAUCUUCAUCUUCGGGGCUCCAUGAUCAUCUUGUCACCGGCUUGACACCAUGAUCUUCAUCAUCAUGUCUUCAUGAAGUUGUCACGCCAACGACUACUUCUACUUCUAUGACUAACGUUUAGCAAUAAAGUAAAGUAGUUUACAUGGCGUUAUUCAAUGACACGCAGGUCAUACAAAAAAUAAUGACAACUCCUAUGGCUCCUGCCGGUUGUCAUACUCAUCGACAUGCAAGUCGUGAAUCCUAUUACAAAGAACAUGAUCUCAUACAUCACAAUUCAUCAUUCAUCACAACUUCUGGCCAUAUCACAUCACAUGAUCAAUCGCUGCAAAAACAAGUUAGACGUCCUCUAAUUGUUGUUGCAUCUUUUACGUGGCUGCAAUUGGGCUCUAGCAAGAACGUUUUCUUACCUACGAAUCACCACAACGUGAUUUUGUCAACUUCUAUUUACCCUUCAUAAGGGCCCUGUUCAUCGAUUCCGCUCCAACUAAAGUGGGAGAGACAGACACCCGCCAGCCACCUUAUGCAACUAGUGCAUGUCAGUCGGUGGAACCAGUCUCACGUAAGCGUACGUGUAAGGUUGGUCCGGGCCGCUUCAUCCCACAAUACCGUUGAGCAAGAAAAGACUAGUAGAGGCAAGUAAGAUGACAAAAUCCACGCCCACAACAAAAUUGUGUUCUACUCGUGCAAAGAGAACUACGCAUAGACCUAGCUGAUGAUGCCACUGUUGGGGAACGUUGCAGAAAAUUAAAAUUUUUCCUACGGUUUCACCAAGAUCCAUCUAUGAGUUCAUCUAAGCAACGAGUCAAGGGAGAGAGUUUGCAUCUACAUACCACUUGUAGAUCGCGUGCGGAAGCUUGCAAGGUGAUGAUGUAGUCGUACUCGACGUGAUUCGAAUCACCGAUGACCAAGUGCUGAACGGACAUCACCUCCGCGUUCAACACACGUACGGGACGGGAGACGUCUCCUCCUUCUUGAUCCAGCAAGGGGAAGGAGAGGUUGAGGAAGACAGCUCCAUCGGCAGCACGACGGCGUGGUGAUGGUGGAGAGGCAGUACUCCGACAGGGCUUCGCCAAGCACACAACGGAGGAGGAGAGGUGUUGGGGAGGGGAGGGCUGUGCCUUGGAGGGUGGUGCGGCUGCCCUCCCCUCACCCCUCUAUUUAUAGGGGGAAGGGAGAAGGGGGCCGGCCCCCUAGAACCCAUCUAGGGGGGGUGCGGCGGCCUAGGGGAGAGGGGAGAGGGUGGCUUGCCCCCAAAGCCAAGGGGGGCGCCCCCUCUAGGGUUCCCCCUCAACCCUAGGCGCAUGGGCCCAAGGGAGGGGGGUGCGGCCAGCCCACCAGGGGCUGGCUCCCUGCCCCACGCAGCCCAUGUGGCCCCCCGGGAGGGGUGGCCCCUCCCGGUGGACCCCCGGAACCCUUCCGGUGGCCCGGUACAAUACCGGUAUGACCCCGAAACUUCCCGGUGUCCGUUUGACAACUUCCCAUAUAUAAAUCUUUACCUCCGGACCCUUCCGGAUCUCCUCGUGACGUCCAGGAUCCCAUCCGGGACUCCGAACAACAUUCGGUAGUCACAUACUAGUCUUCCUAAUAACCUUAGCGUCACCGAACCUUAAGUGUGUAGACCCUACGGGUUCGGGAGACAUGCAGACAUGACCGAGACGCUCUCAGUCAAUAACCAACAGCGGGAUCUGGAUACCCAUGAUGGCUCCCACAUGCUCCUCGAUGUUGUCAUCGGAUGAACCACGAUGUCGAGGAUUCGAUCAAACCCUGUAUGCAAUUCCCUUUGUCAAUCGGUACGUUACUUGCCCGAGACUCGAUCGUCGGUAUCUCAAUACCUUGUUCAGUCUCGUUACCGGCAAGUCACUUUACUCGUAUCGUAAUGCAUGAUCCCGUGUCCAACACCUUGGUCACAUUGAGCUCACUAUGAUGAUGCAUUACCGAGUGGGCCCAGAGAUACCUCUCCGUCAUACGGAGUGACAAAUCCCAGUCUCGAUCCGUGUCAACCCAACAGCUACUUUCGGAGAUACCUGUAAUGCACCUUUAUAGUCACCCAGUUACGUUGUGACGUUUGAUACACCCAAGGCACUCUUACGGUAUCCGGGAGUUACACGAUCUCAUGGUCGAAGGAAGAGAUACUUGACACUUGCAAAGCUCUAGCAAAACGAACUACACGAUCUUUUAUGCUAUGCUUAGGAUUGGGUCUUGUCCAUCACAUCAUUCUCCUAAUGAUGUGAUCCCGUUAUCAACGACAUCCAAUGUCCAUAGUCAGGAAACCAUGACUAUCUGUUGAUCACAACGAGCUGGUCAACUAGAGGCUCACCAGGGACAUAUUGUGGUCUAAGUAUUCACACGUGUAUUACGAUUUCCGGAUAAUACAGUUAUAGCAUGAAUAAAAGACAUUUAUCAUGAACAUUGAAAUAUAAUAAUACUUUUAUUAUUGCCUCUAGGGCAUAUUUCCAACAAACAGGAGCUAGAAUCGUUCAUAUUGACUAAGUUGACAAAGCCCUCCGUCCCCGUCAACAUGGUAGGCCCACAAGUCAGCCUCCCACUAUGCUGGGUUCCAGCUGGGAGGGGGAAUAUUCAUUUUUUGUGCGUAAUAAGGAGGCACUUCCUUGCGUGCGAAGAUAGCUGGUGGGUCCGACAUGUCAGCGGGGGGCACAUUAUUUUUGCGAAAUACAGAGGCCCUUCCGGUGGGUCCCAGAUGUCAGGUGGAGGAAUCAUUAUUUUGCGCGUAAUAAGGAGGCAUUUCCUUGUGUGCGGCCAUGGACCCAGCUAUCAGCCUCUCCACGCACAGUCUACUUCCGAUGGUGUCGUUCGUUGACCACGUUGAUCACGCCGCGCCGAGCUCAUCCAAGGUGGUGGACGACGGCGAGGCCCCGGACAGCAAUGAGCCGGAGAUGGGAAGACGCGGGAGUAGAGUCGUAGACAGAGAGGUCUAUGAGGGUUAACUGGUUCUAGUGCGGUGUGGUUCAGCAGUCGAUGGAGAAGAACAGGAGGUGUGGAGGGGUGGAGGGAUGGCCUGGCCAACGGUGGAGUAGCGCUUCAUAGCGAAGCGUGCUAAGUAGAGCUGCUAGCAGCAGGAGGCUGGAGGUGGUCUCGGCAGCGCUGGAGGAAGAAGACGAGAGAUUGAAGAUGGAUGCCGGUCGUUGGAUGUAAAUCCAAUGGCUAACAUGUCAGAAUCAUUUGUUGACUAAAUUGACAACUUGCGUUGGCUUCGACCUAUUGGCCCACAUUUCAGCCUCCAAAAAUGUGGCACGUAUUCAACCAAUUUUUCAGAAUUUACAGUCUUUUUUUGCACGAUAGAAUUUACAGUAAAUUUGAUCUUCUUUUUUUGAAUUAGAGCCAUUAGCUAGGCUGGGUGAACAAAUAAUGUAGCGUCCAUGCGGCCCAUUUAUUUUAUUUCCUAAAAAAUUACAAGCCAUUUGCACUUUCUCAAAAUACACGAUUUUGCUGGGCUGAUUCUAAUUAUAAUGUUGGGUUGGGCCAGCAAUGUUAUCAAAAAUAAAAAGGGGCUGAGCAUUUUGUUAUAAAUAUAUUUAAAUAAUAAGUGAUAUUAUUACAUUCGUCCUUAAAUCUUACCAAGCUUUUGUACACAAUCACUAGGAUUUUCGUGCCAAAAUAAUCCAGGAUUUUAUUUGUUAAGAAAUUAUUUUUAUAAGUUAAUAAGAUGUGGGAUAUUGUUUUCUUACAUAUGCAUGUAUCUGUUAAAUAUAUGAUGAAAAUAAAAAAUAAUAUAUAAUAACAUAUAAAAUAUAUUGUUUAGAAAAACAGGGAGCAUCUCCCCAGUUCCAUUGCUGAGAACGAAACCACAACAUAUUCUGAUACAGCAGCUCAAAGAGCAGUUCGAAAGCAAAGGUAGAAAAGCUACAAACUAGGGGGUGGAUGAACAAGUUCUCUAAAUAACACAAAUCACCCGAGCGGUGCCAAAGGUAGAGCAGAUAGAGCACUCAAAUGACACAAGGAGGGUCCAACGAAGCCUUCAUGGUCUUCAGCCAAGGGGCCGUGUCAGCCUGCGGCGACCAGUAAGCAAGCGGAGACACCGGGCUGGAAGGCAUAGCAUGGUGGAUGUCCCCCUUUUUCGGCGCUAGGUGCCCAUCAUCUUCAUCAGAGAUCUUGAGACGAGCCCACGGGUCCAGCCCCAGAGCAGGUCGAGCCUUGUUCAGCCACAAGUGAUCGCCAAUGGUUUCUGGAGGGAUCUUAUUAGGGUUUCCAUGAAGCUCAUCAACUUGUCCUUGUCCGAUCCGGAGGAGAGAAUCGCCCAGUUCCUCACCAUGUUCCUGAUCAACCUCAAGACCUGCGGAAUGGAAAUCGUUACUGAAAAUCAUAGCAUUUCUAUAUUUCCAGAGGCACCAAAGGACAGAUGAGCUAACAUUAUUUAAAACUGAGCACUUUUUGGUAGCAAUCCAGAAUCUGCCCAUUUAGGGAACUUGAAGAAGGAGAGGAGAUACACUGGAAUGCUAGCCAAACAAGCUUGUAUGAGGAUCAAUCUACCUUUGUAAGAGAGAAGUUUGCCCCUCCACCCAGCAAUCCUUUUAAUGAUUUUAUCCAGAAGGGGUUGGGUAUCCUCUCUCCUCAGUUUAUCAUAGUGGAGAGGGAUACCUAGGUACUUAAUGGGGAAGUUACCUUUAUUACAGACUAGAAUAGAGAGGAAGUCAGCUAACUCCUGAUCAUCCAUGUUGAUAGGGAUGAGUUCACUUUUAGAGUAGUUGAUUCUCAUGCCUAAGACUUGUUCAAAACAGGUUAGAACAGUUUUCAGAUUGCUAGCAUGUGUGGAGUCAUUGUCUAAGAAAAGGAUGGUAUCAUCUACAUAUUGAAGGCAGAUGAUGCCACCAGGGAAGACCUCAGGACCGAGCCCUGCAAUCAGACUAUGAUCAGUAGCUUUGCUCAGCAUUUUAGUGAGAACAUCCACUACUAAAUUAAAAAAAAGUGGGGAGAUGGGGUCACCUUGCCUAAGGCCUUUACCAGCAAGAAAAAAAUCACUUCCAUAGUUAUUUAACUUGACCCCAACGGACCCCCCAUAAGUAAGUUGCUGGAUCCAACUAGUCCAUUUACCCCCAAAACCUCUAAGCUCCAGGAGUUCCAUAAGGAAAUCAAGGUCAACUUUAUCGAAGGAAGUCUAAACUAGAACUACCAUCUAGAGAAAAAUUCUCACAAACAGAGCCUUCAGAUCUGUUUUGGUGAGGGUAAAUAAAGGAAGAGCAUUCAAUGCCAUCAUUAAGAGAAGUAACAUCUACACCAAUCUUAGCAGCAAUGGCAUCGAAGGAAGGAUCAUUAAAGUUGGAGAAGGAAGUGUGUUUCAUACCCUGGGGUUUUUGCACUUCCAGGUUCUGAACCUCUUUGAGCUGUUGAGCCUUUUCAAUAAUGGUUCUCUUGUCACCAGCUACCCUAGCACUGGUUCUGGUGGCUUGAACAGGACCCCAUUUGGGAAGGUGCUUCUCCUUAGGAAGGGCAGGGAAGUCAGAGUUGUAUUUUGAGUCCAAAUUGUCUGGGAGUUCAGUUGUUUCAACAAGUGCCUCUUGAUCCUCUUGUAGAUCUACAGAACCUUGUAAUUCCAUCAGAUCAUCAUCUUCCAGGAGCUCCAUUUCCCUGAGGAUGUUGAAUCCAUCAGUUUCAUCAAGCACAGAAUUCAAGAUCUUUUCCUGGAUGCUGAGUUGAGGAGUGUAUGGAGAAUUAGGGAGGUGUGUCUUGAGGACUUGAGUGGGUGUAGUUUCUCCAAGCAUCUGAUUGUGGCCAAAAGACUGUCCUCUGAUGUUAGGGGCCCCAGAAUUGGCAGCAGACCCUUUAUCUGAUUCAGAUCUAGAGCUCCUGUUGGAUUCGGCAUCUUUAGUAAGAUUGGUACCAGUUUCAGCUGCAGAGACAUAUGUACCAGCAGAGAGGUUGGUGGAAGUGUCAGUUUCAGUGGGGGUUAAGGACUCCACCUCAAUGAGUAGCCUGUAGAUUUUGUUCCCAACUCCAAAAAGCCUUUCAGCAGGAAUUUUGGAGGGAUCUUUACAUAAGAUUUUGCUCCUAACAGUUUCAUAGAAUGACUUGAAAUUAUGCUGCCAAUCCACAUCCAGUAAGACCCCCAGAGUGGAAGUGAUUUGAUCAAGCAUAGUCCAGUCACACCACUUGGGGGUUCAAUUUCCUGAUCUUGAUCCAAGUUUCCUGGAGGUCCUCUUCAGCCUCAAUCCUGCCUUUCCAGACUUCAACAUUGACUACAACAUUGUCUUUUUUGAGAACAAAACAGGGGUAUCCAUCAACUUGAACUACAUCUAUUUCAGGAGGGAAUUUGACCAAGAAUGUCCACUCAUCUAUGGCAUUGAUUGGCCAGGGCCAGUUGGUUUUGUAAAUGUCUGCAAACGCAGUGGCAAGUUCCUGCUUGGUUACUUCACCAGCUUCUACCAGAAAAAUCCCCACAUUCUUCAGGGAGCCACGAUACUGAGCAUUUUCAUCAGGUGUGUCUAUGUGGUAGAACCCUAAUCCUGGAGCAGCACUUCCAACAUAUCUAGCAGAACUGUGGGUUUUCCUUCUGACAUGGCAAUUCUCAACUUCAUGGGUAACCAUUUUGCAGAUAAAACAACUCUUGGGCUUGACACAUUUAUCCAAAUGAUACCCUGGUUCCCCACAGUUGUAGCAGAUCACCUCAGAGUAUGCCAUAAGGCCCGAAGCAGGGGCAGGAGCAGUUUUCUGGAUGUCCCGUCUCUUCUUUUGUUGAUUCUUGCCUUGAGAUUUCCCACUGAUCUGAGAGUCAGAACCACCAGCAGAUUGAUCUUGGGCAAUUACAGGAGCCUGGCCAGAUUGUGCCCCCAUUUGGGGCGGAGGUGGGCCGUACCACUUCCCAACCGAUGCUCCCCCCCAUUAUGAUAGGGGAAAUUCAUCAGAGUUCCUGGUUCCUUCUCAUCCUACAGCCAGAUGUUGUCUCUCAGGAAGCAGAAAGAACCACUAGAUAGCUCAAUUGAAGCAGAUUGCAAGCCUAAUUUCAAUCUUCUGCAGGUUUGGGGGACACGUAAGGUAGGGGAUCCACCUGCUCCGGCUCCGGUGGCGUGAUGGUGGGCAUGAGUCCAGUCAAGCAUUCCCACCUUGCAGCAUGGCGUGGAUCUCCUGAAUUCACUUCUCCUUUCUCCCAUCGAAUGAACGCAAUCGGCGGCUCCCUGGGGUGGGGCAUCCUGUGCUUCUCCGAGAAAUCUCCUUCGAAGUAGAUCCGCAAGGCUAGAUUCAACAAAUCUCAAUCCACAUGAUCCUUACACAUCCGAGCAUACCUGCGCGAGUGAGAGAACAGAUUCGGUCCCUCCUCGGCUUCCUCCCUCGCAGCUUCCUCCUCUGCUUCCCUCCAUUCGCGUGUGCACUGGGUCCAGGAGAGAGCGUCGUCGUGGAUCUGUAUCUCCCGCUCCCUCCAUCUCCUCCCUCGAGUCUCCCGCAGCACCGCCGGCGCGACGGAGUUGAGCGGCUGGAGCAUCCGCAGGAAGGCUUUGUAGACAUGUGGGAGAUGCAUCUUGUACAUCUGCCUGUCUUCCAGCCAUUCCCCCGUGGAUAUGGUCGGUGACUCCAUGGGGCGCGCGAGCAGACUUGCUGACGGGGGAGGCGUGCCCGGAGUUAGGAGGCAGGGGGUGGCGGCGAGAUCUAUGGCGGUGGCGAGGGUGGAGGUAGUGGCGGGGGCGGCGGCGAGGGUGGAGGUGGUGGCGGGGGCGAAGGGGAUCGCGAGAGCGGUCAUUUAUUUGCCAAUUAUGUGAACUAAACAGUCAACAUAUAAAAUAAUUUAAAUAUAUAUAAUAUAGUUAGAAGGGAAACAUAAGUUGGACCUGGCGUUCUUAUUCUUAUAUAGAAAAAUAGAACAGACCUCUGCGUUUUCUUAAAAAAAUACAUAAAUUGGGCUGCCAAAAAUAAAACCUGGGAUGGGAGGUCCAUUGGCCGGUCGAUACAUGACGGCCCUAAGAAAAUACAAACAGGCCUAUGGACCUCCCAUCCGAGGUGGUGGGCUGCGCAUGUUAAAAAUGAAAGCCUAGACGGGGCAGCCCAAAACCACGUCCAACACUUGCCAAAACUCCGUCCCUCGUUUUCUCUGUGUUUCGCACACUCGACAUUGUGUGGCCAUUUUGACUGUGCAUCAUAUGAAGAUGUGAUAUGCAUGAAUGUUGAUCAGCAUGAUGUUAACUGGCUGGUAGUUCCAUUUUCGACCAUGAAUAAAACAUCCAACAUGAUGUUAACCCUGUUUGAAAAGGCCGUGUUAAUAUAAAUGCUCUGCCUCUGAAAGUUGCAGUUUCUUAUCUGAAACUGAACUUGCAGUUUCUUAUCUGAAACUGAACUUGCAGUUUCUUAUCUGAAAUUGAAACUUGCAGUUUCUUCUCUGAGAAUCACAUUGUCUGCACUUUUAUACUCCUAUGAAACUACAUUUAAGUGCUAAAAAUAGAUAUCUAGAAUUCAUAAAAUACUUCAUAUACUCAAUACUGCAAAUCUGAAAUUCAAAAGACAUUCAUAUCUAGUACUCUCAAAAUACACAACACAAAACACAAUUCACAACCUGCAAAUACCGAUAACCCUAAGCUCCUCCUAACAAUUCACAACCUUCCCGACUAUUGGGCUGGGGGGGCAGCCCCCUCCUAUUCCUUGGUGGAAGACAGCCGCCCCAUGAGACGAUGUGAACGGCGAGGGAGACGAUGGCGGGGAAGUGUCGUCGGGCCAACUGCUUUUCUCCUCUUGCAGUUGGGUUCGGUCGACGAAGACUCCACCGGCUCGCUCUGGCAGGACACCCACAAACUGCACCCUGUAGAUGCUCAAUCCUUCAAUCUCUGGUGGAUGCUCCAUCUGGGAUCGAUACUCCCACCACCGCUCCCUCACGGUCAGAUUCGGUGAAUCUGUUUGCUCCAUGGCCCAGAGGAGCAGCUCUAUGUACUCCGGGGUGACUCUGCGCGGGAGUAUCGCCGCCUUGUCGCUCUGUUGCAGAUAUUUGGCCAUGGAUGUCGCCGUCGCCGCUAGUUGGUCCUUGUUGUCAAACCAAGACUGUAUCUCCAACAUCCUAGCUAGCUUCACAGGGUCGCCGUCUGCGAUCCUCACGUAUCGGUUGUACUCCUCCAUCGAUCUACUUCUCCACAGCACCUUCACUCGCCGGCGGUGGUUUUUGAAUGGAAGAGGAGAGGAGCAGCGUUGGUUUUGGAUUAGAAUGGGAGAGGAGCGACGCUGGUUUUGGACUGGAACAGGAGAGGAGGGGCGGUGGUUUUGAAAUGGAAGAGGAGAGGAGCGGCGCUGCAUUUAGAUUAGAACAGGAGAGGAGAGGCGGUGGUUUAAGAGGAGAAGAGUGGAAGAGCGGCGCUGGUCUUGGAAGUAUUUUUUUGUUGUUUUGCGUAUUUUGGGUCAAAGUUUGACCACGUACUGUAUUUGACAAGAAAAAUGUGAACGCAUGUCACAAAAAAUUGUAUCGUUUGGUUCGUAUCUGAAUGUACUUUCAAAUUAUAUUAUUUUUGCAAUGUAUAACAUAUAUUUUAUGUGCGAAAAUCAUGGUCAAUUAUGACCCAGAAUAAAAGGGAGACUAGUUAAUGCGGGGUCGCUUUCUUAAUUGAAGGGUAAAUUGUUUUUGAUUUUGAUCUAGUCGCAGAGCGCCGGCCCUCUAGUCCAAUUCUAAAUCGCUACCGCACGCUCCUCUCCCUCUUCUCCAUUGCAAAACCACCUCCUCUCCUCUCCAUCAUCUCCAUUCCAAAACCAGCGUCUCGCCUCUCCCUCUUCUGAUCUUCUCCAUUGCAAAACCACCUCCUCUCCUCUCUAUCAUCUCCAUUCCAAAACCACCAUCUCACCUCUCAAUCUUCUCUAUUGCAAGACCACCAUCUCUCCUCCAUUUUCUAGACGCUUUGCUCCAUGGCACGGGCGCAAUCCAUGGAUACAAAAUUAGUAUACUGUAUACUAUUUAAAAGUCGAGGGCGGGGCUUUUCCUAUGCGGUAGGCGGCGGGGCAGUUCCGCCUAGUCGGUUCGACAGAGACACGAGAAGACGAGGGAGUAGGCUGCUACAAACAUAGGGAUGUGUGAUUUAACAGCGAGUUACUGCUGGACAGGUGGGGCCCUGUGAUUUGACUUGCCAUUAUCAUUUUAACUGCGGCGCUACGACCGGCGUGAGUCUCCCGAUUCCUGACCACCUCCAUACAGGUGCCUCUCCCAAUGCUCCACCAUGUAGUAGAGGCUGGCUAUUGCAUGAGAGCCCACUUCUCCACUUUUUCCUUGCCUCUCUUUCCUCCACAUAUGCAAAAAUGCCAUGUAAAGCGCACUAUUGUACUUACUUUUACUUGCUCCUACAGGUGCUUAAGCUUGCCACAUAGGCAUAAAGUCUGAUGUGGCAAGUUAAUCAAGAAGAGAGAGACUAGUUUGGUGACCCAAGGAAGAAACAGUGCUAAGCACGUGUACCUAGGUGAAAAGACAAUUUUGAGUCUAUAGCUAAUUAAAUGAAGAAAACUUAGCAACACCAUUUCAUUGGAAGAGGUCACUCCUUGGCAAAUGCAACAAAUACUAGUACUCCCUGUGUCCCAUAAUAUAAGAACGUUUUUGGCACUACACUAGUGUCAAAAACAUUCUUAUAUUACGGGGCGGAGGGAGUACGAAGAAAGAGAUAGAGAGGAGUAAAAAAGUACACUUAUAGCCAACCUUGUUGUAGUAUGAGUGACUAAGUGAUGACUAUGUAUGACAUGCCAACAUCAGAUAGCCUAACACACCGUGUUAAAUAUCCAAGGGCAUGACCGCGCGAGCGACGCGAUGGUCGUGGUAGGCGCACCAUGAUACGGGCUGCUGGCAGCCCUUGGAUCUGAGAUCAAACGGUCGCAUGCUAAGUUGCUAAAAAUUUGCAGAAUAACCCUCCAGUAUAGGAUAUUCACCCAUAGGUCUAGAAUCACGCCAUGCAACCGUUCGAUCUCAGAUCUAAGGGCUCUCGGAAGCCCAUGUCAUGGGAGAAUGGAAAGCCACUGAUGACCCACAAGUAUAGGGGAUCUAUCGUAGUCCUUUCAAUAAGUAAGAGUGUCGAACCCAACGAGGAGCAGAAGGAAAUGAUAAGCGGUUUUCAGCAAGGUAUUCUCUGCAAGUACUGAAAUAAGUGGUAACAGAUAGUUUUGUGACAAGAUAAAUUGUAACGAGCAACAAGUAGCAAAAGUAAAUAAAGUGCAGCAAGGUGGCCCAAUCCUUUUUGUAGCAAAGGACAAGCCGGAACAAACUCUUAUAAUAGGAAAAGCGCUCCCGAGGACACAUGGGAAUAUCGUCAAGCUAGUUUUCAUCAUGUUCAUAUGAUUCACGUUCGAUACUUUGAUAAUUUGAUAUGUGGGUGGACCGGUGCUUGGGUGCUGUUCUUACUUGAACAAGUAUCCCACUUAUGAUUAACCUCUAUUGCAAGCAUCCGCAACUACAACAAAAGUAUUAAGGUAAACCUAACCAUAGCAUGAAACAUAUGGAUCCCAAUCAGCCCCUUACGAAGCAACACAUAAACUAGGGUUUAAGCUUCUAUCACUCUAGCAACCCAUCAUCUACUUAUUACUUCCCAAUGCCUUCCUCUAGGCCCAAAUAAUGGUGAAGUGUUAUGUAGUCGACGUUCACAUAACACCACUAGAGGCUAGACAACAUACAUCUUAGCAAAAUAUCAAACGAAUACCAAAUUCACAUGGCUACUAAUAGAAAGACUUCUCCCUUGUCCUCAGGAACAAAUGUAAUUACUCACAAAGCAUAUUCAUGUUCAUAAUCAGAGGGGUAAUAAUAUGCAUAUAGGAUCUGAACAUAUGAUCUUCCACCAAAUAAACCAACUAGCAUCAACUACAAGGAGUAAUCAACACUACUAGCAACCUACUAGCACCAAUCCCGGACUUUGAGACAAGAAUUGGAUACAAGAGAUGAACUAGGGUUUGGAGAUGAGAUGGUGCUGGUGAAGAUGUUGAUGGAGAUUGCCCUCUCCCGAUGAGAGGAGCAUUGGUGAUGACGAUGGUGAUCAUUUCCCCCUCCCGGAGGGAAGUAUCCCUAGCAGAACAGCUCUGCUGGAGCUCUAGAUUGGUUCCGCCAAGGUUCCGCCUCAUGGCGGCGGAGUCUCGUCCCGAAAAGUUCCCUCUUAUUUUUUUUCUCAUUGAAAGACUUCAUAUAGCAGAAGAUGGACGUCGGAGAGCCACCAGGGGGCCCACGAGGUAGGGGGCGCACCCUAGGGGGGCGCCCCCACCCUCGUGAGCAGGGUGUGGGCCCCCUGGCCUUCAUCUUUGGCGAGGAUUUUUCUUUAUUUAUUUUAAGAUGUUCCGUGGAGUUUCAGGACUUUUGGAGUUGCGCAGAAUAGGUCUCUAAUAUUUGCUCCUUUUCCAGCCCAGAAUUCUAGCUGCCGGCAUUCUCCCUCCUUAUGUAAUCCUUGUAAAAUAAGAGAGAAUAGCCAUAAGUAUUGUGACAUAAAGUGAAAUAACAGUCCAUAAUGCGAUAAAUAUCGAUAUAAAAGCAUGAUGCAAAAUGGACGUAUCAACUCCCCCAAGCUUAGACCUUGCUUGUCCUCAUGUUUAGAGGUAGAGGCGUCGAUAAAAAUAAAAUACGGACAUGAAGACAUCAUGAUUAUUCUCAUAAUAGCAACAUAUAUAGAUUUUGUCAUAUGAUUACUUAUGUUCAAGUGAUGAUCUAUUCACAAUGCAAAAUUAUAAAUCAUAAACCUUAUUGGGCUCCGAAAAACCAUAAUCUCAAUCAUUGAAGCAAUUGCAAUUUAUCAUAACAUCGGAAAGAGUCUAUGUCAGAGCUAAAAAGAAAGUCCACAUACUCAACUCUCAUUUAGUCCUCCAUAAUUGCUAACACUCACGCAAUACUUGUGGUUACGGAGUUUUAAUCGGACACAGAGAAAGAUAUGGGCUUAUAGUUUUGCCCCACAACCUUUUACCUCAAGGGUAAUGUCAACAAUAAUGGUUCAUGCUCCCCUACAUCCAAUUAGAUAUAUAUAUCAUGUUCUUUCCAACAUGCUGAGCUUGCCAAAGGAUAAAAUGAAAAAGAAAAGGUGAAGAUCACCAUGACUCUUGCAUAAGGUAGAAGAUAAUAAUAAAGGAUAGGCCCUUCGCAGAGGGAAGCAGAGGUUGCCAUGCGCUUUUAUGGUUGGAUGCAUAAAAUCUCAAUGUGAAAGAACGUCACUUUAUAUUGCCCCUUGUGAUAUGAACCUUUAUUAUGCAGUCCGUCGCUUUUAUUACUUCCACAUCACAAGAUCGUAUAAAGCUUAUUUCUCCCACACCAAUCAAUCAUACAUAUUUAGAGCAAUUUUUAUUGCUUUGCACCGAUGACAACUUACUUCAAGGAUCUUACUCAAUCCAUAGGUAGAUAUGGUGGACUCUCAUGGCAAAACUGGUUUAAGGGUAUUUGGAAGCACAAGUAGUAUUUCUACUUGGUACUGAGAAUUUGGCUAGCAUGAGGGGGAAAGGCAAGCUCAACAAGUUAGAGGAUCCAUGACAACAUACUUUAUCUUAGAUAUAAGAAAAACAUAACUCAUUACGUUGUCUUCCUUGUCCAGCAUCAACUCUUUAGCAUGUCAUAUUUUAAUGAGUGCUCCCAAUCAUAAAAGAUGUCAAUGAUAAUAUACCUAUAUGUGAAACCUCUCUUUCCUUAUUACUUCCUAUUAAUUGCAACAAUGACCAAAGCUAUGUCUGCCAACUCCCAACAACUUUUAAUCAUCAUACUCUUUCUAUGUGAAGUCAUUACUCUCAAUAAGAUCAAUAUGAACUUUGUGUUUCUUUUUAUUCUUUUCUUCGUUCUUUUAUUCACCCAAGAUCAUGGCGAAAUAAUCAAGCCCUUGACUCAACACUAAUCUUUAUUAUAUAUAGCUCACCGACUAGAUUACAUAGAGAGAUCAAAAAGCAAAACUCAAAACUUGAUCAUGCCAUAAACUUUAUUCUACUAGAUCAAGAUACUACUAAUAGGAUCGAACUAAGAAAAAACGGUAAAGAUAGGAGUUGUGAUUCUGAUACGAUACCAGGGCACCUCCCCCAAGCUUGGCAGUUGCCAAGGGGAGUGCCCAUACCCAUGUGAUUAUAUCUCCUUUGUCGGUGAAGAAGGUGGAUGUGUUGUAGAUGAUGCGGGCCUUGCGUCCAUCUUCCAAGGCAUAGGUUCUCCAUCAUAGAAGGAUGAUCGAGUCUCCGGGAUCCUCAAAUCUGCAGCCAAACUCAUCCUUUUGAAUCUAUAUUCAUACUCGUAGUUUUGGUUUUGCAGGUCAUAGAUUUGGGCUUGGAGGUGCUCGAUCUUCUCAUGAAGCUUGAAGAUAGUCUCCCCGAUGUUGUCAGCAUCCAACUUGUGGUUGCUAGUGAACUCUGUGAUCAUCAUGUGGUUAGAGUUGAGUCCACGUUCCACCAUCCCUUGGCACUUGAAAACUUGUUGCUCCACUGCUUCGAGCCUCGUCUCCAUGCUUCCGGUCCCCUUUGGUCCCUCUUCAUCGCGGAUGUGCAGCAACCCAUCAUGCAACUCAAUGGUUUGAGGGUGUCGCAGCACCUCCACGAGGUAAGGGUUGAUGACCUUCUCGAAGAACUUGUCCUUGGAGGCUCUUGGGGCCGUCAUGAUAACCUAGAUCUGUCAGAAAAACAUCUCGAAACAAGAACAGAGGAGGUUUGCGUGAUACGGGAGUCAAAACCUUCGAGAGAAUAUAUAAUGAAUUUUUACCGACCAAAAUACGUAAUGUGCAAGAAAACGGAGUCCGGAAGGCACACGAGGUGCUCACGAGGUAGGGGCGCGCCCAGGGGGUAGGGCGUGCCCACCACCCUCGUGUCCUUCCCGGACUGCUACUUAUUUUUCUAUUUUCCUAAAUAUUCCAAAAUGGAGAAAUAUUGCCUUAAAAAUUGUUUUGGAGUCGGUUUACUUACCGUACCACAUACCUAUUCCUUUUCAGGGUCUGAAACGUUCCGGAAAUUGUCCCUUAUGUAUUCCUCCGGGGUUACGGUUUCAAUAAUAUUGGUUUCAACAUUUAUGGGAUUACCUGAGAUAUAAUGUUUAAUUCUUUGACCGUUUACCACCUUCGGAUUUGUGCCUUCAAAGUUGUUGAUUUUUAUGGCACCAAAACGAUAGACCUCCUCGAUAACGUCGGGGCCUUCCCAUUUAGAGAGAAGUUUUCCUGUAAAAAAUCUUAAACAAGAGUUGUAUAGCAAUACAUAAUCACCUACAUUAAACUCACACUUUUGUAUCCUUUUGUCAUGCCAUCUUUUAACUUUUUCUUUAAACAACUUGGCAUUUUCAUAAGCUUGGGUUCUCCAUUCAUCAAGUGAGCUAAUAUCAAAUAACCUCUUCUCACCGGCAAGUUUAAAAUCAUAGUUGAGCUCUUUAAUAGCCCAAUACGCCUUAUGUUCUAGUUCGAGAGGUAAGUGACAUGCUUUUCCAUAAACCAUUUUAUACGGAGACAUACCCAUAGGAUUUUUGUAUGCAUUUCUAUAAGCCCAUAAUGCAUCAUCAAGUUUCUUGGACCAAUUCUUUCUAGACCUAUUAAUAGUCUUUUGCAAAAUUAAUUUGAGCUCUCUAUUGCUCGACUCUACUUGACCACUAGACUGAGGGUGAUAAGGAGAUGCAAUUCUAUGAUUAACAUCAUAUUUAGCAAGCAUUUUAUGGAAAAGCACCAUGAAUAAAGUGUGAACCACCAUCAGUCAUUAAAUAUCUAGGGACUCCAAACCUCAGAAAAAUAACUUCUUUAAGCAUUUUAAUAUAAGUGUUAUGAUCAGCACUACUAGUUGGAAUAGCUUCUACCCACUUAGUAACAUAAUCAACAGCAACUAAAAUAUGUGUGUAUCCAUUAGAGGCAGGAAAAGGUCCCAUAUAAUCAACGCCCCAAACAUCAAACGGUUCAAUAACAAGAGAAUAAUUCAUAGGCAUUUCUUGAUGUCUACUAAUAUUACCAAUUCUUUGACAUUCAACACAAGACAAGACAAACUUACGGGCAUCCUUGAAGAGAGUAGGCCAAUAAAAACCAGAUUGCAAUACCUUAUGUGCAGUUCUAUCUCCAGCGUGGUGUCCUCCAUAAGCCUCGGAAUGACACUUGCGUAGGAUCUGUUCCUGUUCAUGCUCAGGUACACAACAUCUAAUAACACCAUCUACUCCUUCUUUAUAAAGAUGUGGGUCAUCCCAAAAGUAAUGUCUUAAAUCAUAUAAAGCAUUUUUCUUUUGCUGGUAUGUGAAGCUAGGUGGUAUAAACUUAGCAACAAUAUAAUUAGCAUAAUUAGCAUACCAUGGAGUACUACGAGAAGUACUUAUAACAUUUAAUUGUUCAUCAGGAAAGCUAUCAUUAAUAGGUAGUGGGUCAUCAAGAACAUUCUCUAACCUAGACAAGUUGUCUACAAUGGGGUUCUUAGCUCCUUUCUAUCAACAAUAUGCAAAUCAAAUUCUUGUAGCAAGAGAACCCAUCUAAUAAGUCUAGGUUUAGCAUCUUUCUUUUCCAUAAGGUAUUUAAUAGCAGCAUGAUCAGUGUGAAUAGUUACUUUAGAAUCAACAAUAUAAGUUCUGAACUUAUCACAAGCAAAUACAACUGCUAAAAGCUCUUUUUCAGUAGUAGCAUAAUUUCUUUGAGCAUUGUCUAGAGUCUUACUAGCAUAAUAAAUAACAUUUAAUUUCUUAUCAACUCUUUGCCCUAGAACAACACCUACAGCAUAAUCACUAGCAUCACACAUAAUUUCAAAGGGUAAAUUCCAAUCAGGUGGCUGAACAAUAGGUGCAGAGACUAAUGCUUUCUUAAGUAUUUCAAAUGCUUCUACACAAUCAUCAUCAAAGACAAAUGGUAUAUCUUUUUGUAAUAAAUUAGUCAGAGGCCGAGAAAUUUUUGAGAAGUCCUUAAUGAACCUCCUGUAAAAUCCGGUGUGACCAAGGAAACUUCUUAUACCUUUGAUGUCCUUGGGACAUGGCAUCUUUUCAAUAGCAUCGACCUUGGCUUUAUCAACUUCAAUACCUCUUUCAAAAACUUUGUACCCCAAGACAAUACCUUCAUUAACCAUAAAGUGGCACUUUUCCCAAUUCAAGACAAUAUUAGUUUCUUCACAUCUCUGCAAAACUCGAUCAAGAUUGCUCAAGCAAUCGUCAAAAGAGGAACCAUAGAUGGAAAAAUCGUCCAAGAAAACCUCACAAAUCUUUUCACAAAAGUCAGAGAAUAUAGCCAUCAUGCAUCUUUGAAAGGUAGCAGGAGCAUUACAUAAACCAAAAGGCAUACAUCUAUAAGCAAAAGUACCAAAAGGGCAUGUAAAAGUAGUCUUUGAAUGAUCUCUAGUCGACACAGGUAUUUGAGAGAAACCAGAAUAACCAUCUAGAAAGCAAUAGUGUGUAUGUUUGCAUAAUAUUUCUAGCAUUUGAUCAAUAAAAGGUAAGGGGUAAUGAUCUUUCUUAGUAGCUUUAUUUAAUUUGCGGAAAUCAAUUACCAUCCUAUAACCUGUGAUAAUUCUUUGUGGAAUCAAUUCAUCUUUAUCAUUAGGAACAACAGUAAUACCUCCCUUCUUAGGGACACAAUGGAAAAGACUUACCCACUGACUAUCAGCAACGGGAUAAAUCAUACCUGCCUCCAGAAGCUUGAGUAUUUCUUUUCUUACCACUUCUUUCAUUUUAGGAUUCAGACGUCGUUGAGGAUCACGAACUGGUUUGGCAUCUGCUUCCAAAUUUAUUUUAUGUUGACAUAGAGUGGGACUAAUGCCCUUAAGAUCAUCAAGAGUAUAUCCAAUAGCAGCACGAUGCUUCCUCAGAGUUUUCAAUAAUCUUUCUUCUUCAUGCUCUAAAAGGUUAGCACUAAUAAUAACAUGAUAUAUCUUCUUUUCAUCAAGAUAAGCAUAUUUAAGAUUAUCAGGCAAUGGUUUAAGCUCAAACACGGGAUCACCCUUGGGUGGAGGAGGAUCCCCUAAAAUUUCAACAGGAAAAUUGUGUUGCAGAAUAGGUUCCUGUUUAAAGAAUACUUCAUCUAUUUCCCUUCUUUCAUUCAUGAAUAUAUCAUUUUCAUGGUCUAGCAAAUAGUGUUCUAAAGGAUCACUAGGAGGUACGGCAAUAGAAGCAAGACCAAUAAUCUCAUCCUUACUAGGUAAUUCUUCCUCACGAUGUUGUUUACUAAAUUUAGAGAAAUUAAACUCAUGAACCAUAUCAUCCAAGCCAAUAGUAACAACAUUCUUUUCGCAAUCUAUCCUAGCAUUAACAAUGUUCAAGAAGGGUCUACCAAAUAUAAUGGGACAAAAGCUAUCUUGCGGAGAAGUAAGAACAAGAAAAUCAACAGUAUAUUUAGUUUUCCCACACAAGACUUCAACAUAUCUAACAAUUCCAAUUGGUGAAAUAGUAUCUCUAUUGGCAAGUUUAAUUGUGACAUCAAUACCUUCUAACUCAGCAGGUGCAAUUUCAUUCUUAAUUUCUUCAUAUAAAGUAUGCGGUAUAACACUAGCACUCGCACCCAUAUUACAUAAGCCAUGAUAACAAUGAUCUCCUAUUUUAACAGAAAUAACAGGCACGCCUACCACAUGUCUAUGUUUAUAUUUAGCACAAGGUUUAGCGAUUCUAGUAGUUUCACCUUCAAACUAAAUAACAUGCCCAUCAAUAUUAUCAGACAAGAGAUCUUUAACAAUAGAAAUAUUAGGUUCUACUUUAACUUGCUCAGGAGGUGUAUAAGUUCUAAUAUUGCUUUUUACGAACAACAGUUGAAGCUUUAGCAUGAUCCUUUAUUCUAACAGGGAAAGGUGGUUUCUCAGCAUAAGAAGUAGGAACAAUAGGAUCAUUAUAAGUGAUAGUCUUUUCUUCAACUUUAAUAGGUGCAGCUACUUUUACUUCUGUGGGAGGAUGAUUUUUAAACCACUUCUCCUUAGGGAGAUCAACAUAUGUAGAAAAAGAUUCACAGAAAGAAGCUACUAUCUCAGAGUCAAGUCCAUUUAGUGCUAAACUUACGAAAAAUAUCAGUAUCCAUAAAAGAUUUAACACAAUCAAACUUAGGUGUCAUACCUGACUCCUUACCUUCAUCGAGGUCCCAAUCUUCAGAGUUGCGUUUAAUUCUAUCCAAUAAAUUCCAUCUGAAUUCAAUUGUCUUCAUCAUAAAAGAGCCAGCAUAAGAAGUAUCGAGCAUGGUUGAUUAUUAUGAGAAAGCCGAGCAUAAAAACUUUGCAUAAUUAUUUCUCUCGAGAGCUCAUGAUUGGGGCAUGAAUAUAACAUUGAUUUAAGCCUCCCCCAAGCUUGAGCGAUGCUUUCUCCUUCGCGAGGCCAGAAAUUAUAUAUAUAAUUGCGAUCAUGAUGAACAAGAUGCAUAGGGUAAUACUUUUGAUGGAAUUCCAAUUUCAAUCUUUUAUAGUUCCAUGAUUUCAUAUCAUCACAUAGCCUAUACCAUAUCAAUGCGUCUCCCUUCAAAGAUAAAGGGAAGACCUUCUUCUUAGCAACAUCAUCGGGUAUACCUACGAGCUUAAAUAAUCCACAAACUUCAUCCACAUAUAUUAAGUGCUCAUCAGGAUGCUUUGUUCCAUCUCCUGUAAAAGGGUUAGCUAGCAGUUUUUCCAUCAUACCCGAAGGAAAUUCAAAAGGAGUUUUAUUUUCAAUAGGUUCAGUAGGUUGAGGAGAAACUCUUUGCUCUACUGGAUGGGGUGAAGAUACCCCGAACAAGCCCCUCCGAGAAUUACUUUCCAUACUAACAAGUGACAGUAAAUUUCAGCACACUAUAUAAAUUUUUCCUUACCAAAUUCCACCUACCAAAGGCGCUACACUCCCUGGCAACGGCGCCAGAAAAGAGUCUUGAUGACCCACAAGUAUAGGGGAUCUAUCGUAGUCCUUUCGAUAAGUAAGAGUGUCGAACCCAACGAGGAGCAGAAGGAAAUGAUAAGCGGUUUUCAGCAAGGUAUUCUCUGCAAGUACUGAAAUAAGUGGUAACAGAUAGUUUUGUGACAAGAUAAAUUGUAACGAGCAACAAGUAGCAAAAGUAAAUAAAGUGCAGCAAGGUGGCCCAAUCCUUUUUGUAGCAAAGGACAAGCCGGAACAAACUCUUAUAAUAGGAAAAGCGCUCCCGAGGACACAUGGGAAUAUCGUCAAGCUAGUUUUCAUCACGUUCGUAUGAUUUGCGUCCGAUACUUUGAUAAUUUGAUAUGUGGGUGGACCGGUGCUUGGGUGUUGUUCUUACUUGAACAAGCAUCCCACUUAUUAUUAACCUCUAUUGCAAGCAUCUGCAACUACAACAAAAGUAUUAAGGUAAACCUAACCAUAGCAUGAAACAUAUGGAUCCAAAUCAGCCCCUUACGAAGCAACGCAUAAACUAGGGUUUAAGCUUCUGUCACUCUAGCAACCCAUCAUCUACUUAUUACUUCCCAAUGCCUUCCUCUAGGCCCAAAUAAUGGUGAAGUGUUAUGUAGUCGACGUUCACAUAACACCACUAGAGGCUAGACAACAUGCAUCUUAUCAAAAUAUCAAACAAAUACCAAAUUCACAUGACUACUAAUAGCAAGACUUCUCCCUUGUCCUCAGGAACAAACAUAAUUACUCACAAAUCAUAUUCAUGUUCAUAAUCAGAGGGGUAAUAAUAUGCAUAUAGGAUCUGAACAUAUGAUCUUCCACCAAAUAAACCAACUAGCAUCAACUACAAGGAGUAAUCAACACUACUAGCAACCUACUAGCACCAAUCCCGGACUUUGAGACAAGAAUUGGAUACAAGAGAUGAACUAGGGUUUGGAGAUGAGAUGGUGCCGGUGAAGAUGUUGGUGGAGAUUGCCCUCUCCCGAUGAGAGGAGCGUUGGUGAUGACGAUGGUGAUCAUUUCCCCCUCCCGGAGGGAAGUAUCCCCGACAGAACAGCUCUGCCAGAGCUCUAGAUUGGUUCCGCCAAGGUUCCGCCUCGUGGCGGCGGAGUCUCGUCCCGAAAAGUUCCCUCUUAUUUUUUUCUCAUCGAAAGACUUCAUAUAGCAGAAGAUGGACGUCGGAGAGCCACUAGGGGGCCCACGAGGUAGGGGGCGCACCCUGGGGGGGGGCACACCCUCGUGAGCAGGGUGUGGGCCCCCUGUCCUUCAUCUUUGGUGAAGAUUUUUCUUUAUUUAUUUUAAAAUGUUCUAUGGAGUUUCAGGACUUUUGGAGUUGCGCAAAAUAGGUCUCUAAUAUUUGCUCCUUUUCCAGCCCAGAAUUCCAGCUGCCGGCAUUCUCCCUCCUUAUGUAAUCCUUGUAAAAUAAGAGAGAAUAGCCAUAAGUAUUGUGACAUAAAGUGAAAUAACAGUCCAUAAUGCAAUAAAUAUCGAUAUAAAAGCAUGAUGCAAAAUGGACAUAUCAGCCACUACCCUGCCGUUCGCACACUGACAGUUCGCUCCUACUCAUCCCCGCACGUCCUUCAAUACUACGGCGCUUUGCUCCUAGUCGUCCCGCCCAUUCACAUUACGGCAGUUCCACUAAUCCUAACACUCCUCCCAAAUCCAUGGCGUCCUAAAUCUCCACGAUUGGCGGUGAGUACAAGGUUAGAACCAUCACCGGCGAUGAGUUCGACGUCAUCUACACCCGUUCUUCCGUGAUGGUGAAAGGAUGCCUUUCUCGCUUCAGACGCAUGUUCGAAAACUCAGAUGAUGAGUGGGUCGCUGGGCUAGAUGUUGAGUGCACCACAGUCCUGGGACCAGAGAAGGAUCUAAAGGACGAAGAGAGGAAGAAGCCCGUCGUGAUCCAGGUUUGCGUACAUAACGUUUGCUUGGUCUACCACAUAUGCCAUGCCGGCAUUGAGUGUCAGGAUUUUAAGAACUUCCUCAAGGACAAAACCGUGAAAUUCGUUACUGUUGACUUUAAGAACGACAGGGAUGUCCUGCAUCGGAUAGGUCUCAUUGUAGGCAACCCCUUCGACCUCUAGAAGAAUCGGCUGGUGUCCUCUCGUCAGCCUUCAAUGCUGACCCUGGCAGGAGCCAUGGUUCAUCCUUCAUACGGUAAACUGGAGAAACCUUCAUACACGUUUCAUUGUCAUGCAUGGCAGCGGAAUGUACUAGAUAUAGACCACAUCCACUAUGCUACAAUGGAUGGCUACCUUUGCUUCAAUAUCUACAAGGGUUGGACGAAGAGCAACAGCCAAGUGUGCGGUUCAAGCAAAGAAGUAUCGUCCAAGAGGAAGAGGGACAAGGACGAAGUCGAGGACGUGGACGAGGACUCCGAGUAAGGUGGCAGUGUCGUUGCUCAUGGUGGUUCUAAUGCAGUGUCUACCGGAAUAGUUGCAAAGUUUAAUUUCAGGUGUGCUUAAUUUAAUUUGAGGGGUGUGUUGUGCUGAGCCCCCAGCAGAACUAUGUUAUGUUUCUUCUCGUUACUUUAACUCUUCAGUACGUACAUACUAGUAUUUCUUACAUUUCAUCUUUUAGUUGGUAUAGUACUACCACUCAUUUCUUCACAUUAUAUACAUACAAUAUAUAUGGCCAACAUCAUAUAGCCAGCAGUUUAGUUGUCAAAGAAUUUUAGGGUGCUUAGUUUUGUCAAAGAAUUCCAGGAUGCUUAGAGGGUGCUUGGAUCCAAGGGACUUAUUUUAGUCUGACUAAAAAUAGUCUCUUUAAGAGGCUAAAGUUCCAAGCACCCCUGACUAAAGAGGGGCUAAAACUAGUCUUGAGACUAUUUUUUUAGUCAGGAGUACCCCUAAUAAAAUGUGGAUUAGUCCUCUCUCUACUCAUUUAACUCCUCUCCUUUAACACAGGCGAGUUAUGGAUUGGAGGGUUUGGAGGAUAAUAAAUACUCAUUAACUUGAUUUUAGCCUUUUUAGUAUUUGGAUCCAAGCAUGGGUGAGGCUAGCAUGUUUUAGACCCACUACUUUUAGUCAUGGGACUAAAACGUAUCCAAGCACCCUCUUAGUUUUAUUUGAGGGGUGGGUUGUGUUGGACACCAUUAUUGUGACUAGCCUUUUAAUAGUACUAUAUGCAUAAUUUGGCGACAAGCACUCUCUAUAUGUACCACCUUUUUUUAAUUUCAAGUUUUGCUCCAUGGCGCAAUCCAUCGAUACUACUGUUGUACAAAAGUAUACAUUUUUUAAAAGGCUAGAGGGCGGGGCAGUCUAGCUUGGUCGGUUUCACGAUAGGCUAGGGCCUUUGUGAUUUGACGGCUCAUUACUACUGGAAGGCGGGGCCUUGUGAUUUGACUUCUCAUAUAAAUGCGCCGAUGACCUGAUCGAGGAGGAGCAAAGAAUCGUGCGGUAUACUCAAGUUUUCCACUGGAGUAGUACUGCGACGGAGGAGCACGAAACACGGCAGCCCAGUGCCAUAUGGCGAUAAAAAUGAUCUAAUUUGCUAGUCAUCUCAUUGUUAGCAUUGUUCUAUUCAUUCCCUAAAAAAACCAUUGUUCUAUUCAUGCCUCGCAGAGAACGUGACACGUGCGGCGAAACACCCAAAGCAAAAGAUGAAACACAGGAGCAAAAGAAGAAGGAAGAUUAUCACCCCAAAUGAUCUAAUUCGCCACGGAGUCGUAACUGCUUCUUCAUAUCCUACACGACCUCCAUCUCCUUGCGCGUCUCCUCUGCCAUCUUCUUCAUUCUGUCCAUGACGCAGGAUUUCUCGACACGAGCCUUCAUCAUCUGUUCCACGGCCGCAUUACGUACCUUGACAGCAGCCGGGUGCUCGAUGCGGAGCUUCACCAACUCCUCCAUUUGUUCCAUGACGAGGGCCUGCAACAUCUUCAUCGAGGAACUACUAUUCUCAUGCAGCUUCUUCCAGCCGGCGUUCUUCUCCUUCAACAGGUCGAUCUCUUGGCAGAGCUUCGCCUUGUCCUCCUGAAGUCGCAGGAUUUCGCCGGUCGCCUUCUUCUCCGAGGCAAUGCUCUUCUUCAGCAGCAUCACCAAGCCGGCGGUCAACUCCCCCUGCUGAUUGAGCUCAGCGGGCAUGUCAUCGAGGCUCUCCUUCAGCAACUCCAUCAAGCCUUGGAUGAACUCCUUCUGAUUAUUGAGGUGCUUAUUGAGCUGGUCGGGAAUGCCGUCGAGGGAUAAUGACUCCAGCUCCGCCGGCUCGGCAUGUUCGCCUCUGCAGCUAGGGCACUCCUAGGAGCCAUCGCCUGCCCGUGAGAGAUCUUUCGAGGUCUCUGCGUGGCGGCGAGCCCUCUCUUUUUUUCGCAGCCUUGGUUGCCGCUCCCUUGUUACGAGUAGUUCUCGACCUAGAGCUCUGCUCACCGGCCAUGGCAACGAUGGAUGAAGAAGAAGCACUUAUGAGGAGGAAAGGUAGAGUAAUUUUUGGUUAGGUAGUUCCCCUUUUUAUAACCUAAGUACUAGCACUAGUGCUAAUACCUGCAUAGUGGGAACACGUUCAGGUUUGGUACGUACUAGUAGGUGUGAGCAGGCUUUCGAAUGUGAUGGGAACAAGGUAAAGAUUAAUUGAUGGUUUUGAUUUCGAGGCCCGAAACGUCUCCCCAUGAGUUUAGCGGAACAUAAUUUUCAAGUACUACACUGCUCAAAUGCGUAAAUAUUAUGUUACUGUCAAAAAUUGGCACAAAAUACGAAGGAGACCAAUGGAAGUACUACUAGCAACCCACGAUUUAACUACUCGCAUGCGCGCAGUGGAGUAAUAAUGUCUUUCUUCCGCCCUCACGUCCACUCAAUUUGCAUGCGUUGUAUUAAUUGACCAUCAAUGAAGUGAACGACUUUACACGCGUCAAAUUAUCACAUGGGGUGGAUCUUGGUACAAAAUUGCACCCGCCUGUGUACCCGUGUGUGCAUGCGAGGGAAUGAGUGCGUGCGUGGCAUGCGUGCACAUCUUUGCUUCGUGCAUGUACCGCCAGUAUAGCUCAGGGAGGACGAGUACAUUCUUCUGGAACCAGCAGCACGUCACUGUGAUCAAUCCACGCAAGGAGGUCACGACAACGCCUCCACAUGCGCCAUGUGGCUUCAUGAACUGUAAGAGAGACACUGUGUAACGUGCCAUUGGUAUUCUAAUUUACGUGUUUUGCACAUACUCGAAGUACUCGUAAGGUACACGUGCAUUGCACGCAUCAGAUUUUGCAAUCAAAUUAUGAAUAAAUACCACACUAUAGCAUGUAAGCUCUGAGUCAUAUAUGCCUGAUGUAGCCCUUCGUUUAAUUCUUAUAGUUCAUCUCAUUCAAAAUCAAUUAGUUUUUAUAAAAAAGCUAAGAACGCGGGAAUAGGAAAAACAUGGGAUUAUAGUGGAAUGUCGUCUUGAAUCCUACAGGAUUGUACGAGUGUUUGAUUGUGCAUACAAAAAACGCAGAAUUCUUUCAAAGAGGUUUGAGUGGAUGGGAUGUUUCCUAUGAAAUCUAGUGCAAAUGAAUCAUAUGGAAAAAUUCCUAUGGUUUACAAUCCUACGAAUCAAACAACCAAGAUAGGAAAAAUUCCUAAUGAUUAGAAUCCUCCAAAAUUCCUUUGAGAAUCCUUUGAAUCAAAGAAGCCCUUAAUCUAUUUUAUGAUUCAUGGAAUUGUGCGUUGUAAAGCAUAAAGUAAAAACAAAUAAUGGCAAUUCAACUAGAAAAAAAGUUUGGGCAGUUAUGAUACAGAAGAUUCUAGAACAAAAGAGAACCAUUGUUGUUUUGAGGUUUGUGCAUUAUGCUUAAACUCAACCAUGGAGUCUGCUAGAUUGUACAUGUGGCAAAAUCUGGUGGGGGGCUAGAAGAUGGUGCGAGGGGUCGACUGGAGGGAGACUAUGAAGGAAUGCACAAGUGCGAGAUCGAUAUUUAGAGAGGGGGGGCGAACACGUGCGCUGUUGCGCGCAGUGGCGGAGCCAUGAAAAAUAAAUGAGCUAGGGGGGCAAGCAUUGCUAAUCCUUUACGAGGAGGGUCAAUUCAUGAAUUUAAACCAAUUUUAGCAGCAAUUGUCUAAUGAUCACAUUCUUAUUAGCCUCGAUAUAUAGUGAUGUUAGGGGGGAGGGGGCAGGGCCCUUACUGCCCCCUUCUUCGCCAUUGUGCACGCGUCUGAGAGAUGAAGCGAAAGGCAUGGAUGAUGAGAGGGGGACGUUGGAUAUAUAUUUAAUGUGGGUGUAUUAGCUAUAUAUGCUAAUCCUAUAUAGUGAGGUAUAGAUUGUUCGAUGUGGACGUGUGAAAGAGGGUGAGACCUCACUGGAUAUAUUGAUUGAUCGGUUUGUGUGGAAAACUAUGAAAGACCUAGCUAUAUACACACAUACAUAGAGGAACAUCGAUCGUUGCGCAUGCACGCGUGAGAGUGAUGUCUACUACACAACCUUCUUCUUGUAGACGUUGUUGGGCCUCCAAGUGCAGAGGUUUGUAGGACAGUAGCAAAUUUCCCUCAAGUGGAUGACCUAAGGUUUAUCAAUCCGUAGGAGGCGUAGGAUGAAGAUGGUCUCUCUCAAGCAACCCUGCAACCAAAUAACAAAGAGUCUCUUGUGUCCCCAACACACCCAAUACAAUGGUAAAUUGUAUAGGUGCACUAGUUCGGCGAAGAGAUAGUGAAACAAGUGGUAUAUGGAUAGUAGAUAAAGGUAUUUGUAAUCUGAAAUAAUAAAAACAGCAAGGUAGCAAGUGAUAAAAGUGAGCAUAAGCGGUAUUGCAAUGAUAGGAAAUAAGGCCUAGGGUUCAUACUUCCGCUAGUGCAAGUUCCCUCAACAAUACUAACAUAAUUAGAUCCCAUAACUAUCCCUCAACAUGCAACAAAGAGUCACUCCAAAGUCACUAAUAGCGGAGAACGAAUGAAGAGAUUAUGGUAGGGUACGAAACCACCUCAAAGUUAUUCUUUCCAAUCAAUCUGUUGGGCUAUUCCUAUAAAUGUCACAAACAACCCUAGAGUUCGUACUAGAAUAACACCUUAAGACACAAAUCAACCAAAACCCUAAUGUCACCUAGAUACUCCAAUGUCACCUCAAGUAUCCGUGGGUAUGAUUAUAUGAUAUGCAUCACACAAUCUCAGAUUCAUCUAUUCAACCAACACAAAGGACCUCAAAGAGUGCCCCAAAGUUCUACCGAAGAAUCACGACGAAAACGUGUGCCAACCCCUAUGCAUAGGUUCAUGGGCGGAACCCGCAAGUUGAUCACCAAAACAUACAUCAAGUGAAUCACGUGAUAUACCAUUGUCACCACAGAUAUCCACGGCAAGACAUACAUCAAGUGUUCUCAAAUCUUUAAAGACUCAAUCUGAUAAGAUAACUUCAAAGGGGAAACUCAAUUCAUUACAAGAGAGAAGAGGGGGAGGAGAAACAUAAGAUCCAACUAUAAUAGCAAAGCUCGUGAUACAUCAAGAUCGUGCCAAAUCAAGAACACGAGAGAGAGAGAGAGAGAGAGAGAGAGAGAUCAAACACAUAGCUACUGGUACAUACCCUCAGCCCCGAGGGAGAACUACCCCCUCCUCAUCAUGGAGAGCACUGGGAUGAUGAAGAUGGCCACCGGAGAGGGAUUGCCCCCUCCGGCAGGGUGCCGAAACGGGUCUAGAUUGGCUUUCGGUGGCUACGGAGGCUUCUGGCGGCGGAACUCCCGAUAUAUUGUGCUCUCAGAUGUUUUUAGGGUAUAUGGAGAUAUAUAGGCGGAAGAAGUACGUCAGGGGGCGCCCCCCUGCCUCGUGACCUCCUCGCAGAUCCCCCGACAUGCACUCCAAGUCUUCUGGGCUUCUUUCCUUCCAAAAAUGAGUUCCGUGAAGUUUCAGGUCAAUUGGAAUCCGUUUGAUUUUCCUUUUCUUUGAAACCCUAAAAUAGGGUAAAAACAGAAACUGGCACUAGGCUCUGGGUUAAUAGAUUAGUCCCAAAAAUGAUAUAAAAGUGUAUAAUAAAGCCCAUAAACAUUCAAAACAGUAGAUAAUAUAGCAUGGAUCAAUCAGAAAUUAAAGAUACGUUGGAGACGUAUCAGCAUCCCCAAGCUUAAUUCCUGCUCGUCCUCGAGUAGCUAAAUGAUAAAAACAGAAAUUUUGAUGUGGAAUGCUACCUAACAUAUUUAUCCAUGUAAUUCUCUUUAUUGUGGCAAGAAUAUUCAGAUCCAUAAGAUUCAAGACAAAAGUUUAAUAUUGACAUGAAAAUAAUAAUACUUCAAGCAUACUAACUAAGCAAUUAUGUCUUCUCAAAAUAACAUGGCCAAAGAAAGUUAUCCCUACAAAAUCAUAUAGUCUGGCUAUGCUCCAUCUUCACCACACAACGUAUUUUAAUCAUGCACAACCCCGAUGACAAGCCAAGCAAUUGUUUCAUACUUUUGAUGUUCUCAAACUUUUUCAAUCUUCACGCAAUAGAUGAGCGUGAGCCAUGGACAUAGCACUAUAGGUGGAAUAGGAUGGUGGUUGUGGAGAAGACAAAAGGAGAAGAUAGUCUAACAUCAACUAGGCGUAUCAAUGGGCUAUGGAGAUGCCCAUCAAUAGAUAUCAAUGUGAGUGAGUAGGGAUUGCCAUGCAACGGAUGCACCAGAGCUAUAAGUAUAUGAAAGCUCAACAAAAGAAACUAGUGGGUGUGCAUCCAACUUGCUUGCUCACGAAGACCUAGGGAAUUUUGAGGAAGCCCAUCAUUGGACUAUACAAGCCAAGUUCUAUAAUGAAAGAUUCCCACUAGUAUAUGAAAGUGACAACAUAGGAGACUCUCUAUCAUGAAGAUCAUGGUGAUACUUUGAAGCACAAGUGUGGUAAAAGGAUAGUAGCAUUGUCCCUUCUCUCUUUUUCUCUCAUUUUUUUAUUUAUAUAUAUUUUUUUAUUUGGGCCUUCUCUUUUUUUAUGGCCUCUUUUCUCUUUUUUUAUUUGGGCUUCUUUGGCCUCUUUGAUUUAUUUAUUUAUUUAUUUAUUUUCGUCCGGAGUCUCAUCCCGACUUGUGGGGGAAUCAUGGUCUCCAUCAUCCUUUCCUCACUGGGACAAUGCUCUAAUAAUGAUGAUCAUCACACUUUUAUUUACUUACAACUCAAGAAUUACAACUCGAUACUUAGAACAAGAUAUGACUCUAUAUGAAUGCCUCCGGCGGUGUACCGGGAUAUGCAAUGACUCAUGAGUGACAUGUAUGAAAGAAUUAUGAAUGGUGGCUUUGCCACAAAUACGAUGUCAACUACAUGAUCAUGCUAAGCAAUAUGACAAUGAUGGAGUGUGUCAUAAACGGAACGGUGGAAAGUUGCAUGGCAAUAUAUCUCGGAAUGGCUAUGGAAAUGCCAUAAUAGGUAGGUAUGGUGGCUGUUUUGAGGAAGGUAUAUGGUGGGUUUAUGGUACCGGCGAAAGUUGCGCGGUACUAGAGAGGCUAGCAAGGGUGGAAGGGUGAGAGUGCGUAUAAUCCAUGGACUCAAUAUUAUUCAUGAGGAACUCACAUACUUAUUGCAAAAAUCUAUUAGUUAUCGAAACAAAGUACUACGCGCAUGCUCCUAGGGGGAUAGAUUGGUAGGAAAAGACCAUCGCUCGUCCCCGACAGCCACUCAUAAGGAAGGCAAUCAAUAAAUAAAUCAUGCUCCGACUUCAUCACAUAACGGUUCACCAUACGUGCAUGCUACGGGAAUCACAAACUUGAACACAAGUAUUUCUCAAAUUCACAACUACUCAACUAGCAUGACUCUAAUAUUACCAUCCUCAUAUCUCAAAACAAUCAUCAAGUAUCAAACUUCUCAUAGUAUUCAAAACACUCAUAAGAGAAUUUUAUUAUUCUUGCAUACCAAGCAUAUUAAGAUUUUAAGCAAAUUACCAUGCUAUUUAAGACUCUCAAAAUAAUCUAAGUGAAGCAUGAGAGUUCAUCUAUUUCUUGAAAAUAAAACUACCACCAUGCUCUAAAAGAUAUAAGUGAAGCACUAGAGCAACAACAAACUACUCCGAAAGAUAUAAGUGAAGAUCAAUGAGUAGUUUAAUAAUUAUGCAACUAUACAAAGACUCUCUCUCAUUUAAUAAUUUCAGAUAUUGAUAAUUUAUUUAAACAGCAAGAAAAGCAAAAUAAAAUGACAUUCUAAGAAUGGCAAACAUCAUGUGAAGUAGCGAAAACUUAGGAUCAACCGAAACUAACCGAUAGUUGUUGAAGAAGAAAGGUGGGAUGCCAACCGGGGCAUCCCCAAGCUUAGACGCUUGAGAAUUAUGGAAAUAUUAUCUUGGGGUGCCUUGGGCAUCCCCAAGCUUGAGCUUUUGUGUCUCCUUAAUUCCUCUCAUAUCACGGUCUCCCUAAAUCUCAAAAGCUUCAUCCACACAAAACUCAACAAGGACUCGUGAGAUAAGUUAGUAUAAACCAUUGCCAAAACCUUAUCAUACUCUACUGUAGCAAAUCAAUAAAAUUAUUGUUCAACAUUGCAUACUAAAUGCCUCUGCAUAUUUAAUAGUCCUAUCCUCAAAUAGAAUUAUUAAAGAAGCAAACAUAUGCAAACAAUGCAAACAUAACAACAAUCUGCCUAAAUAGGAUAGUCUGUAAAGAAUGCAGCAACAUCCAUACUUCCCUAGCUCCAAAAAUUAUGAAAGAAAAUUCCCACUGUAGUAAAUUUAUCAGAGCUUAAUAUGCAGAAGGUUUCAACAUUUUAUCACAUUUUGACUUUUCUAGGGAAUUAUUGCAACAGCGGUAAACUUUCUGUUUUCAAACAACAACAUGUGGACUUCUGAAAUAGGCAUAGUAAAGGCUAUAAAUGCCACUUUUAUUGAAAUAAAAGAUGCAAAACAUUGUUCUAAAUAACAGCAAGCAAAUACUAACAAAAUAAAUUGACGCUCCAAGCAAAACACAUAUCAUGUGGUAAAUAAAAAUAUAGCUCCAAGUAAAGUUACCGAUGAACGAAGACGAAAGAGGGGAUGCCUUCCGGGGCAUCCCCAAGCUUAGGCUCUUAGCUAUCCUUUAAUAUUACCUUGGGGUGCCUUGUGCAUCCCCAAGCUUAGGCUCUUGCCACUCCUUAUUCCAUAGUACAUCGAAUCUUUACCCAAAACUUGAAAACUUCACAACACAAAACUUAACAGAAAACUUGUAAGCUCCGUCGGUAUAAGAAAAUAAAUCACCACUUCAAGGUACUGUAAUGAACUCAUUCUUUAUUUAUAUUGGUGUUAAACCUACUGUAUUAUAACUUCUCUAUGGUUUAUAAACUAUUUUACUAGCCAUAGAUUCAUCAAAAUAAGCAAACAACACAUGAAAAAUAGAAUCUGUCAAAAACAGAACAGUCUGUAGUAAUCUGAAUCAAACGUAUACUUAUGGAACUCAUAAAUUUCUCAAACAAAUUUCUGGACCUGAGGAAUUUAUAUAUUAAUCAUAUUCAAAAAGAAUUAACUAAAUAGCACUCUCCAAAUAAAAAUGGCAGCAAUUCUCGUGAGCGCUAAAGUUUCUGUUUUUUACAGCAUGAUCAACAAGACUUUCCCCAAGUCUUCCCAAAGGUUCUACUUGGCACAAACACUAAUUAAAAGCAUAAAACCACAUCUAAACAGAGGCUAGAUGAAUUAUUUAUUACUAAACAGGAACAAAAAGCAAGUAACUAAAAUAAAAUUGGGUUGCCUCCCAACAAGCUCUAUCGUUUAAUGCCCCCAGCUAGGCAUGAUGAUUUCAAUGAUGCUCAUAUAAAAGAUAAGAAUUGUAACAUAAAAAGAGCAUCAUGAAGAAUAUGACUAGCACAUUUAAGUCUAACAUACUUCCGAUGCAUAGGGAUUUUGUGAGCAACCAACUUGUGGGAACAAGAAUCAACUUGCAUAGGAAGGUAAAACAAGCAUAACUUCAAAACUUUAUGCACAUAGAGAGGAAACUUGAUAUUAUUGCAAUUCCUACAAGCAUAUAUUCCCCCCUCAUAGUAAUUUUCAGUAGCAUCAUGAAUGAAUUCAAAAAUAUAACCAACACCUAAAUCAUUCUUUUCAUGAUCUACAAGCAUAGAAAUUUUACUACUCUCCACACAAGCAAAAUUCUUCUCAUGAAUAAUAGUGGGAGCAAACUCAACAAAAUAAUUAUCAUGUGAGGCAUAAUCCAAUUGAGAACUAAAAUCAUCAUGAGAAGUUUCAUGGAUAUCAUUAUUCUUUAUAGCAUACAAGUCGUCACAAUAAUCAUCAUAGAUAGCAACUUUGUUCUCAUAAUCAAUUGGGACCUCUUCCGAAAUAGUGGAUUCAUCACAAAAUAAAGUCAUGACCUCUCCAAACCCACUUUCAUCAAUAUAAUCAUCAUAAAUAGGAUGCAUGCUAUCAUCAUAAUAAAUUAGCACAUCAAAACUUGGGGGACUAAAAAUAUCAUAUUCAUCAAACAUAGCAUCCCCAAGCUUGUGGCUUUGCAUAUCAUUAGCAUCAUAGAUAUUCAAGGAAUUCAUACUAACAACAUUGCAAUCAUGCUCAUCAUUCAAAUAUUUAGUGCCAAACAAUUUAAUGCAUUCUUCUUCUAACACUUAGGCACAAUUUUCCUUUCCAUCAUACUCACGAAAGAUAUCAAAAAGACAAACUCAAUUCCAUUUUUUUGGUAGUUUUCUUUUAUAAACUAGACUAGUGAUAAAAAAAGAAACUAAAAGACUCGAUUGCAAGAUCUAAAGAUAUACCUUCAAGCACUCACCUCCCCGGCAACGGCGCCAAAAAAGAGCUUGAUCUCUACUACACAACCUUCUUCUUGUAGACGUUGUUGGGCCUCCAAGUGCAGAGGUUUGUAGGACAGUAGAAAAUUUCCCUCAAGUGGAUGACCUAAGGUUUAUCAAUCCGUAGGAGGCGUAGGAUGAAGAUGGUCUCUCUCAAGCAACCCUGCAACCAAAUAACAAAGAGUCUCUUGUGUCCCCAACACACCCAAUACAAUGGUAAAUUGUAUAGGUGCACUAGUUCGGCGAAGAGAUAGUGAAACAAGUGGUAUAUGGAUAGUAGAUAAAGGUAUUUGUAAUCUGAAAUAAUAAAAAUAGCAAGGUAGCAAGUGAUAAAAGUGAGCGUAAACCGUGUUGCAAUGAUAGGAAAUAAGGCCUAUGGUUCAUACUUUCACUAGUGCAAGUUCCCUCAACAAUACUAACAUAAUUAGAUCACAUAACUAUCCCUCAACAUGCAACAAAGAGUCACUCCAAACUCACUAAUAGCGGAGAGCGAACGAAGAGAUUAUGGUAGGGUACGAAACCACCUCAAAGUUAUUCUUUCCAAUCAAUCCGUUGGGCUAUUCCUAUAAAUGUCACAAACAGCCCUAGAGUUCGUACUAGAAUAACACCUUAAGACAUAAAUCAACCAAAACCCUAAUGUCACCUAGAUACUCCAAUGUCAGCUCAAGUAUCCGUGGAUAUGAUUGUAUGAUAUGCAUCACACAAUCUCAGAUUCAUCUAUUCAACCAACACAAAGGACCUCAAAGAGUGCCCCAAAGUUCUACCGGAGAAUCACGAUGAAAACGUGUGCCAACCCCUAUGCAUAGGUUCAUGGGCGGAACCCGCAAGUUGAUCACCAAAACAUACAUCAAGUGAAUCACGUGAUAUCCCAUUGUCACCACAGAUAUCCACGUCAAGACAUACAUCAAGUGUUCUCAAAUCUUUAAAGACUCAAUCCGAUAAGAUAACUUCAAAGGGGAAACUCAAUUCAUUACAAGAGAGAAGAGGGGGAGGAGAAACAUAAGAUCCAACUAUAAUAGCAAAGCUCGCGAUACAUCAAGAUCAUGCCAAAUCAAGAACAUGAGAGAGAGAGAGAGAUCAAACACAUAGCUACUGGUACAUACCCUCAGCCCCGAGGGAGAACUACUCCCUCCUCAUCAUGGAGAGCACCAGGAUGAUGAAGAUGGCCAUUGGAGAGGGAUUGCCCCCUCCGGCAGGGUGCCGGAACGGGUCUAGAUUGGCUUUCGGUGGCUACGGAGGCUUCUGGCAGCGGAACUCCCGAUCUAUUGUGCUCUCGGAUGUUUUUAGGGUAUAUGGAGAUAUAUAGGCGGAAGAAGUACGUCAGGGGGGCCACGAGGGGCUCACGAGGGUGGAGGGCACGCCCAGGUGGGUGGGCGCGCCCCCUGCCUCGUGACCUCCUCGCAGAUCCCCCGACGUGCACUCCAAGUCUUUUGGGCUUCUUUCCUUCCAAAAAUGAGUUCAGUGAAGUUUCAGGUCAAUUGGACUCCGUUUGAUUUUCCUUUUCUUUGAAACCCUAAAACAGGGUAAAAAUAGAAACUGGCACUGGGCUCUGGGUUAAUAGGUUAGUCCCAAAAAUGAUAUAAAAGUGUAUAAUAAAGCCCAUAAACAUUCGAAACAGUAGAUAAUAUAGCAUGGAGCAAUCAAAAAUUAUAGAUGCGUUGGAGACGUAUCAGAGAGAUAAAGAAUGCCCGAUAUGAUGGAGAGGGGGAUGUGUGUGGGUGUGUGCCUUCAAUGGAGACCGACCUGAAGAAAAAGAUUGCAAGCGUGCGAUGGAUAAUGCCGACUGGUAGUGUGUGUGCAUGCAUGCACGAGAGAAAGUUAGUGGUACAAUUAUAAAGAGAAGACCACUGUAUGGGUGUAAAAGAAUAGGUGAGGUAAUAAUCAAUGUAAAGUUGAAUUCAAAUAUUUGAAUAAGAGAUCCUGAUGUUUGAAACCCAUGCAUGCAUGAAUAUAAUGGAGAUCUGCGCGGUGUGGUUUGGAAACGAGCAUGUUGUAAUGUAUACGCAUUGAACAAGGUCAGACUGAUUUGAAUUUGAGAUACUGAUGGUAGACAUCAUUUGGCCACGUCACAUCCAUGAAUGGACCCACUAUUCUAAUUGGAGAUGAUGGGCGGAUUUCGCAUCACAUAUCUAUAUCUAUACCCCUAUAUAUAUUAUUGUGUGCGGGUAAAUUUAACUUUGAAAGAUGGUCGUUGGAUGAGGCGAAUCCGAUGGUCCAAAGAUGGCAAAUUUGAGCACUACUAGCCGUUGGAUAUCAUCUAGAUUCCACCAGAUUUCGCCACAUGUAUAAUCUAGAAGACUCCAUGGUUGAACUUAAGCAUAAUGCACAAACAUCAAAACACAAGCACUUCUUAUUUGUUCUAGAAUCUUCCGUAUCAGAAUUGCCCAAAUGUUUUUUCUACAUGAUUUGCCAUUAUUUGUUUUUACUUUAUGUCUUACGAUGCACAAUUCCAUGAAUCUUAAAAUAGAUUAGCUUUCUUAUAAAAACUAGAUGAUUUUGAAUGAGAUGAACAAUAAGAAUUAAACGAGCAUCUACAUCAUGCAUAUAUGACUCAAAGAUUGCAUGCUAUAAUGUGGUAUUUAUUCAUAAUUUGGUUGCCAAAUCUCAUGCGUGCAAUGCACGUGUACCUUACUCUAGUCUAAAUGGUGUUUGUGUGUGUGUGUGUUGUGCGUGUUGAGGUGCAAAUUGUCUUUUUUGGGUACACGUUAAGCUUGUUCUUCCGAAAUUUCAAGCCGUGCCUUGUUAUGCUGAAAAUUCAAGCUAGCGUCUCUGUCUAUCGUGCUGCAAAACUCCCGCCUCUUCAACCCGCGUCUUGUUAGCCCGAAAUAUUUAAGAUAUAUCUUUGUCUCGUUGUGCUCCAACAACUCCCUCCAUCUCAACCCGCGCCUUGCUAUUCCGAAAUUACAACGCGCGCAAAAACUCCCACCUCCUGUGAAAUCCCGACACGCGAAAUGCCCGUGGUACCCUUGAACCGAAAGAAUCGCCUCAAAUUGGUGGGGGUACUUCCGUAACUUACCCCACAUUUCGGACAAGCGCGUCUCUAAGCCAUGGUUCCCCACUGCCAUCCCAUCCGCCCACCCAUUCGUACACCGAGGCCGCGAAAACCCGUGAUGAAACCCCACACCCUGCUCCGUUCGCCACCCAGCCGGAGCCUCUUCCCCGACGAUGUCGUUCACAGCAACACCUCGACGUCCCUCAUCCACCGUACCGGAUGAGGAUCCGUCGUCGAUCUCAUCGUCCCGCCGGUUCAGCACCCGUCCCCCACCUCCAAGGAGCUGCCCCGACGUUCCCCUCCUCUUUCAUGCCACCUCCAUUCCCACACCGCCGUCUUCACCUACACCAUCGGAAGAGCAUCAUCAUCACCAUUUCCUCAGAUGAAGCUACGGCCGAAUCGGUGCCACCAAAGAGGUUGUACACUAAUCACCGCAUUUUCUUCUUGAUUCGAUCUCACGGUGCUGCCAGCGCUCGGUCCCGAGCCGACACGGCACGACUCCAUCCACGCCGGCGUCGCCGGCCACUUCCUCCACGGCGUCGCUCCCUCAGCGGCGACGUCCACAUCAGUAGGAGCUGCUGCUACUUUAGCUCUUGCUCGUGCUGCUGCUCUGCUCUUGCUCUCGGUCCCCUGCCUGGUCUGCUCUUGCUAUUGNNNNNNNNNNNNNNNNNNNNNNNNNNNNNNNNNNNNNNNNNNNNNNNNNNNNNNNNNNNNNNNNNNNNNNNNNNNNNNNNNNNNNNNNNNNNNNNNNNNNNNNNNNNNNNNNNNNNNNNNNNNNNNNNNNNNNNNNNNNNNNNNNNNNNNNNNNNNNNNNNNNNNNNNNNNNNNNNNNNNNNNNNNNNNNNNNNNNNNNNNNNNNNNNNNNNNNNNNNNNNNNNNNNNNNNNNNNNNNNNNNNNNNNNNNNNNNNNNNNNNNNNNNNNNNNNNNNNNNNNNNNNNNNNNNNNNNNNNNNNNNNNNNNNNNNNNNNNGGGCUCGCCAGAGAGGUACCCUACUAUCUAUCUUAGGGUUCAGGAUGGGGGCGGUGGUCGCCGCCGGUGGCAGGGCGGUGGCCAGGGGAUCACCGAAGAAAAAGCUCGGCAUGGGGGGGGGCUAGAGGGAUGGCCGGGGCGGCGGCGGACCGGCGGUGGGGAGUAUUUUCGGGGCGGGCGGGGCGGCGCACCGCUGGCCGCGGGCGGCAAGGGGCUGCUGUUUGGCCGGUGGUGGCUGGCAGCUCAGGGGGGGUGGAGGUUGAAGAUGAACCGCAGGCCCUUGAUUUCGUAUCCAACGGCUGCAAAAUCGACUGACUAGAGAAGAAAAAGUCAGUCGACCGACGUGUAGCCUCACCUUGCUAGUGUGUUCAGUUUCGACAGCAAAAUUCAGUUUCGACAGUUAAGUUCAGUUUUGACAGUUAAGUUCAGUUUCGAUAGUUAAAUUCAGUUUCGAUAGUUAAGUUCAGAGAUGAGCGGCUGAUGUAUUUUACAUCUAGCACUUUGUGGUUAUGUAUUUUACGUCAUGUAUUGGAGAUGCUAUUAGAAUUCCACUUAGGUUAACGUUGUUCGUUGUCUCUCUUGUCCUGCUUCAGCCUCGGCGUCGUACAACUCACCGGAGCUGCUCCAACGACGAAACCCACCAUCACAGCGGAGCAGUACCUCGAGCUCCAUCUCCAGACGCCUAAGAUCUUCUUCCCCUCCUCCGACAGCCAAGUCAGCCGGAGCAUCCUCACCGGCCAACCCAAUCACGCUGAGAUCGACAUGGCUUCGCCAAAGAGGUUGUACACUUGUUGCAUCUCUUUUUUACUCUACAUGUUAUAUAUAUUAUCCACUGAGCACUCGUAGUAACGGGAAAUACAAUUAUUUUAUCCUACUAUAUGACAAGCAGUGAGGUACCAGGCAACUUAGCUAUCCAUGAUGGACUCUCUAGAACGCCAUCAUUAUUUAUCUCUGCGCGUUUGAGUUGUGCAUUUGUCGAUGGGCCUGGGAGUUGAGCUAGUAUGGAAGUGGCCUGGGUCCAAAGUAAUAGAAGUAGCACAAAAACAUUUUUUUAGUGUAGGAUUUUCCUUGCUCAAGCAUGCCUACUAGAAUCGCCAGUGCUUGAAAGGAAAAGUGAAUGAAAAACAUCGGAAUUGGAAAGUUUCCUAUGGUACUACUUUUCAUGAAUUUUGUGCAAAGGAAUGGAGCAAAGGAAAACUGUAGGAUUUGUUCCUUUAGUGUAUCCUUGAAAUAAAAACCAUAGGAAUUCUAAUUUUCACUUCUCCUCCUUUUCAUAUUCCUAUUCAUCAAGCACAAGACUAAGAGAUAGUAGCAUAAUAGCAUUAUAACCGUACAUUUUCUUGUGGUUUGACUUAAUCUCACCAUGCUUUUUUGCAUCCUGUGAUCUUCCAAUUGUUGUGAAUCAAACACCCAGAUUGGAAGAAAUCCUGUGUUUUUAAAUUCUCUGUUUUGCAUGUGCAUUCCUAUCCUAUUCCUGUCUAUUUCCUAUCCCUGCAUUGUUAGAAUCCUCAAAUUCAAACAAGCCCUUACUCAAUUACUUCUGUUACAGAUAUGUGUCAAAGAAAACCUUGUGUGGUUUGUCCCGCUCCUGCGGCGCUAUGUUCCACCCCAGCUCAGCUGCUCCAACGAUGGAAGGGUUCACCACAGCAGGGAUCCGCUCUCCAGACUGUCUUUCACCGCCUCAGAUCUUCUUCCCCGUCAUCGGCAGCCACGGCAACUGCAUUACCAUCAUCAACUAAGCAGAUGACCUUGAGGACUACAUGGGUCCGCAAGAGAGGUCGCACUCUUCCGUGUCUGCUUACGUUAUGCAUCGCUUAAUAUGAUGACAUGCUACAUUAUCGUCAUGUUCACCUAUUAGACUCCGAGUCAGGUCCAAACUAAUGCUGAAACUUGAGUUUUUAAAUGGUUGUGGGGUACAUAUUGGGGCAGCAAUUAGUACUAUCUUUCUACUAUCUGGUUAAUCUCCGGUGUCUACUAUGAGUUUCAUGUUGGGUGCAAACAAACAUUAAAGGAGCCAUUAUCUGUAUUUUUUAACUAAAGCUAUUAUCUGCCUGCUAUCAUUGGUUUUGGGUCUAUCCACAGUUUGCUACCAUCACUCUGGAUUUGUGCAUGCACUCCUUACAUAAUCUCACUAUGUUUUAUUCCUAUGCAUGCCAGUUAUUGUACACAAUGGAAUUGAUCAUGUAGAGCAAAAGAGACGAGCCUUGCGUGGAAAUAAAAUUUCAUGCAGACGUCGUUCCAUGGUGGGCGCAAAGGCAGCCCCCCUCCACCCAUUUCAGAUCGUAAUCAAGAGGAAGAUAACUGUUCUGAGGGGGAUUCAAAAGGAGAAGACCACUCCUAUUUACCCCAUAAGGUCUUCGCUCUAACUUGGCAUGCUGAUGUUGGUAAUAUCAUGCAUAUGGUACCUUGCAUUGCUUACUGUAUACAUUAAAGAUGUCAUCUGCUUAGUUUAAACAUGCUUUGUGUCAAUGCCAUCUGUUUAGUUUCUUUAUCGUAUAUGUGAAUCAUGCAAUGCCAUCUUGUCUAGCCAGGCAUCAUAUAUGUGAAUUUUGCAAUGCCACCCUGGUUAGCCAGUCAUCUUAUAUGUGCAUUAUAUCAUGCCAUCAUUUUUUUAUUAUGUGUUAAAUUUGUCAACAAUUUUAGUACAUUCAAUUACUCUUCCUGUGCAUCAGCCAUUUGGCACAGUCAUGGAAAAAUCUGGAGUGGAAACAAGGUCUUCAGAGCAGACAAUGCUAUCUGACAAAGCGCAUGUCUUGCUGGUUACCGAUAGCUCCUUAGAGGAGGAUUCAGAGACAGAUGACCAGUCAUAUCCCCCUCCCCGAGGUGCAUGACCUAACUUGGCAGGGUUAUGUUGCUCAUAUCGUGCGUAUGGUAUCUUGCAUUGCUAUGUCAUUUGCUUAGUUUAGACAUGCUUUGUGUGAAUGCCACCUGUUUAGUGUCUAAUUACCAUAUAUGUGAAUUAUGCAAUGCCAUCUUGUUGUAAGACAUUAUAUAUGUGAAUUAUGCAAUGUUAUCUUGUUGCAAGGCACUAUGUAUGUGAAUUAUGCAAUGCCAUGCUGUUUAGGCAAGCGUCAUAUAUGUGAAUUAUAUCAUGUCGUCCCUUUUUUGUAUUUCUCAUUGCUUUUGUCGACAAUGUUGUAUAUUCAACUGCUCUUCCUGUGCAUCAGCCAUUUGAAUUGGUGAUGGAGAAAUCUGGAGUGAAAACAAGGUCUUCAGAGCAGACAAUGCUACCUGCUGAAGCAGAUAUCUUACUAGUUACAGAUAGCUCUUCAGAGGAGGAUUCAGAGGCAGAUGACCAGUCCUAUUAUCCCCCUGAGGUGUAUGCUCAAACUUGGCAGGGUUGUAUUACUCAUAUAAUGCAUAUGUUGUAUUGCAAUGCUUAGUUUUUACAUCAUAUACACAAUAUUGAAUGCCAUCUCCUUAGUUGACACAUCAUAUAUGUGAUUGCCCUCUGCUCACUUCCUUAGUAUAUAAAUCAUAUAUUUGAAUUAUGUCAUGCCAUGAUGUUUACAUAGAUAGCAUGUAUCUGAAUUAUGGCAUGCCAACCCAUUUUCUAAAGACAUAAUAUAGUUAUAUCAUCUCAUCCUGUUUACAUAGUCAUCAUAUUUUAAAUUAUGUCAUUAUAUCCGUGAAUUAUAUCAUGCCAUCAUGUUUCCAUCGACGACAUGUUUGUGAUUUAUGGCACGCCAACCACUUUAAUAGACACAUCGUAUAGUUAUAUCAUGUCAUCCUAUUUACAUAGUUAUCAUAUUUUGAAGUAUGUCAUUCUAUCAUGUUUAGUUAGCCAUCAUACAUGUGAAAUUGUGUCAUGCUAUCCUGUUUAAUUAGCCAUCAUAUAUGUGAAAUCAUGUCCUGCUAUUCUGUUUGCUUAGACAACAUAAAUGUGAAUUAUUUCAUGCCCUGUUUUCUUCCCUACUAUCCAUUGCACCUGUCUAUGUUACAGUGUCUGUACAUUCAAUUACUUUUCUUGUUUAUCAGCCAUUUCAAUUGGAGGGAGUGAUGGCAGUAUCUGUGGGAGUAAAAACACGGCCUUCAGAAAAGAUCGUGCUACCUGUCGAUGCAGAUAGAACCAUGGUUGUACUUGCCCAAGAACCAGCCCCACCACACAUAACCCACAAUCAUGCAGAUUGUACCCCUACCCAGUUGGACAGAGAACCAGCUACACCCCUUCUAACCCCAACCCCAGCAAAUAGACACCCAGUUCUCGUUAACACAACACCGUCUCCACCACAGAGCACCCAAACACGAGCAGUUAGUAAGGCAACUGCAGUUCCCAAAUCACGAGGACCACCACUCCGAACCCGAAGUCAACGCUUAAAGCAGAAUAAGAAUUUUUCUCAGGUCAGGUUCCGUAGCUAUGGUUCAUAUUACUUUGCUCUUGCAUCACUGUAUUUACUGAUACCAACUAAUUUCAAAUUUGAAGGAUGCAAUUUAAACUCCAAUGGCGCAAUAGGUAUGUUUUAAACCUAUUUCUUCAACGUGUUUGGCUGUUUGCUGUUGUAACUUGCUCUAUGUUGAUUUCAGUUUCAAUUGAAUAAAUAGUUAUGUUCUCAUGCCAUGCUUUGUAGUUUCCCACACUUAUAUUCUGUCUAUGCUGCUUUGUCUUAAAUAGAUAUGAUUCGAACUGUAUCUAUCUUGAUUUGGCAACAUAAACUAGAAUGAUAUAGACCAUACAGUGACCAUACUACAUAGAUAUAUGUUUGUUUCAUGCUGUUAUCCUGUCCACCUUACUACUGAACUAGUUUACCAAAAUGAGUUUCAUAUACUACAUUGUAAACCUGAGAUGUGUUUGUUUGUUUCUCUUUUAGAACGCGGAUAAAAUAUUGGACAAGAGUAGCCUGUUAUGCAAUGGUGAAGGAAGUAAUGCAGAUAAGGUUCAAGAUAGUGAGACAUCCCUGGUGGUCUCCAAGAAAGCUGGUAAAAACUAUACUGAAGACACUGAGACAACCCCAAAGUCAUGUCUUGAUGUAGUGUUUGAGUUACUGGCUACCACUGCUGGCACCAGCUCUUCGAACUCGUUGCCUGAAUCAGUUCGGCUUCUUGAGUCUCAACUUCAAGUUGAAAGACAUCAAUCAGAUGUUAUGCGAUAGGAAGCUGAAGGACUAAGGAAGUCCCUGCAGAAUUCAGAUGCAUACUUUCUGGUGCAACAGCAAGCACUGGAGGACUUAAGCGCCAAACAAGAGAAAGUUAAUAAGCUUGCUAAGCAUCUUGCCAGCAUUAUGGGUACCCAGGACAUUGUUUCUUGAGCUCUUCUGAAGUGGUUUCAGUUCUGGACUUGUUUUGCUGCGGCGUUUAUAUGCUGCUGUGUUCCCUAUAUUUGCACUGGUGGUGAACUUUGAUGCCCAGUGGAUGUAAUAUGUGUAAUAGCCGUGAUAGCCUAGUGUAAGUUGCUUGCUUAUUUAUUUCCUUGUUGUCUUGUUUAUUUGUUUGCUUGUAGUCAGUGCAGUUCUUUUUCUGCGGUUUGCUAGUGGCUGCAAUAACCUAUUUUUUAAAACUAGGCCACAAUAACCAUGGGCUAAUAUUUACUGUAGUGACACUAGGCCUCCUAUGGGCCGUAGAAACAAUGGGCCUUCUACGGGCCGUAUGAACAGUGGGCCUUCUAUGGGCCAUAGAAACAAUAGGCCUUCUACGGGCCGUAGAAACAAUGGGCCUUCUACGGGCCGUAUCAUCAAUGGGCCUUAUACGGGCCAUAUGAUCGAUUGGCCAAACAUGGGCCAAACAGACCGCAUUCUGGCCGUAAACGGGCUAGAGUUGGAAUCGUCCGUUCAUGGGCCGACCAUAACGGGCCAUCGUUAAUAGGUCAUAUUUGACGACGCUAUGAAAACGGCCCAACGUAUUAACGGACCACAAACGGGGCGACUGUAACCACAGGCUGAAUUUGGUCCACAAGCAGAAAAUGACAGUAACGGGCUGUAAGUAAAAGAAUCCUGGAAAAUAGCCCAAGAAUAAAUGGGCUCUGAGAAGGCCGAAAGAUAACAUGGGCUGGAAACGUCCCAACGGAAUAAUGGGCCGUUAAUGGGUAUAAAGUGAUACACUAUUCUUUACGGGACAGUUUCACCACGGGCCGUUAAUGGGUGUAAAGUGAUACACUAUUCAUUACGGGCCAGUUUCACCACAGGCCGUUAAUAGGCCAAGAGUUACAUAGGGCCACAUAUGGGUCGAAGGACGUCAUGGGCCAUACAUGGGCCUGAAGUGAAAACGGGCUAGAAUCAUAUUGGAUGGCCCAGAUGACGCUACUGGGCCUAAUUCGAAUAGGGCGUAACGGGCUUUGGGUUAGCGGGCUGUAAAUGGGCUAUAUGCGAACAAGCCGUUAACAUGCUUUCCAUGGGCCGGCCCGCCACCUUUUGACCAAGUCAAACGGGCCGGCCUUUUCACAGGAAUGGGCCUCUGUUGGGCCAUGCCACGUGUCGACGUAUCAUAGGCACAUUCUGUCCAAUGAGUGGAUGACAUCUGUCCCAGCGAUGAGCCGACACGUGUUUCCUCCAGCCAAUGAUGAUUUUACACGUGGAAAAUCCCCAUUGGUCGGGGAUGUUAACGGGUUAUCGGAUCCAAAACCCGACCCAAUACCUUAACGGCGUUCCAUUACGAUGGAUGACACGUGUUGGUCACCCUUGACGAAAGCACUUCUGUGACGCGCGAUUUAUCGUCAUGGAAGUGGACACUUCCGUGAUGAUAAUUUUGGUAAUGUCAUGGAACACUUCUACGACAACACAGGUAUGACUAUCUUGAUUCUGUCAUAAAUUUGUCAUGGAUGUACAUGCAUGACAGAAAACGGGACCUAUUGUGACAAACAUGUAUCAUCACGGAAGUGUAUUUUUUUAUAGUGUAGGUGUUCGUGAGCAAGCGAGUUGGAUGCACACCCACUUAGUUUCUUUUUGAGCUUUCAUAUACUUAUAGCUCUAGUGCAUCCGUUGCAUGGCAAUCCCUACUCACUCACAUUGAUAUCUAUUGAUGGGCAUCUCCAUAGCAUGUUAAUACACCUAGUUGAUGUGAGACUAUCUUCUCCUUUUUGCCUUCUCCACAACCACCAUUCUAUUCCACCUAUAGUGAUAUGUCGAUGGCUCACGCUCAUGUAUUGCGUGAAGAUUGAAAAAGUUUGAGAACAUCAAAAGUAUGAAACAAUUGCUUGGCUUGUCAUCGGGGUUGUGCAUGAUUAAAAUACGUUGUGUGGUGAAGAUGGAGCAUAGCCAGACUAUAUGAUUUUGUAGGGAUAACUUUCUUUGGCCAUGUUAUUUUGAGAAGACAUAAUUGCUUAGUUAGUAUGCUUGAAGUAUUAUUAUUUUCAUGUCAAUAUUAAACUUUUGUCUUGAAUCUUAUGGAUCUGAAUAUUCUUGCCACAAUAAAGAGAAUUACAUGGAUAAAUAUGUUAGGUAGCAUUCCACAUCAAAAAUUCUGUUUUUAUCAUUUACCUACUCGAGGACGAGCAGGAAUUAAGCUUGCGGAUGUUGAUACGUCUCCAAAUUAUCUAUAAUUUUUGAUUGUUCCAUGCUAUUAUAUUAUCUAUUUUGGAUGUUUAUGGGCUUUAUUAUGCACUUUUAUAUUAUUUUUGGGACUAAACUAUUAACCUAGAGCCUAGUGCCAGUUUCUGUUUUUUCCUUGUUUUAGAUUAUCGCAGAAAAGGAAAAUCAAACGGAGUCCAAUUGACCUGAAACUUCACGGGACUUAUUUUUGGACCAGAAGAAGCCCAUGGAGUAUCGGAGAUGUACGAGGAGAGUCCCAGGCUGCCCACGAGGGUGGGGAGCGCGCCCACCCUCCUGGGCACGCCCCCUGCCUCGUGGACAGCCCGGAGGUCCACCUACGUACUUCUUCCUCCCAUAUAUACCCAUAUACCCUAAAAACUUCGAGGAGCACAAUAGAUCGGGAGUUCCGCCGCCAGAAGCCUCCGUAGCCACCGAAAACCAAUCUAGACCCGUUCCGGCACCCUGCCGGAGGGGGCGAUCCCUCUCCGGUGGCCAUCUUCAUCAUCCUGGUCCUCUCCAUGACGAGGAGGGAGUAGUUCUCCCUCGGGGCUGAGGGUAUGUACCAGUAGCUAUGUGUUUGAUCUCUCUCUCUCUCUCAUGUUCUUGAGGUGGUACAAUCUUGAUGUAUCGCGAGCUUUGCUAUUAUAGUUGGAUCUUAUGAUGUUUCUUCCCCUCCACUCUCUUGUAAUGGAUUGAGUUUUCCCUUUGAAGUUAUCUUAUCGGAUUGAGUCUUUAAGGAUUUGAGAACACUUGAUGUAUGUCUUGCGUGGGAUACCCGUGGUGACAAUGGGGUAUUCUAUUGAUCCACUUGAUGUAUGUUUUGGUGAUCAACUUGCGGGUUCCGCCCAUGAACCUAUGCAUAGGGGCUGGCAUACGUUUUUGUCUUGACUCUCCGGUAUAAUAUUUGGGGCACUCUUUGAGGUCCUAUGUGUUGGUUGAAUAGAUGAAUCUGAGAUUGUGUGAUGCAUAUCGUAUAAUCAUACCCACGGAUACUUGAGGUGACAUUGGAGUAUCUAGGUGACAUUAGGGUUUUGGUUGAUUUGUGUCUUAAGGUGUUAUUCUAGUACGAACUCUAGUGCUGUUUGUGACACUUAUAGGAAUAGCCCAACAGAUGGAUUGGAAAGAAUAACUUUGAGGUGGUUUCGUACCCUACCAUGAUCUCUUCGUUUGUUCUCUGCUAUUAGUGACUUUGGAGUGACUCUUUGUUGCAUGUUGAGGGAUAGCUAUGUGAUCCAAUUAUGUUAUUAUUGUUGAGAGAACUUGCACUAGUGAAAGUAUGAACCCUGGGCCUUGUUUCAACGCAUUGCAAUACCGUUUGUGCUCACUUUUAUCAUUAGUUACCUUGCUGUUUUUAUAUUUUCAGAUUACAAAAACCUAUAUCUACCAUCCAUAUUGCACUUGUAUCACCAUCUCUUCGCCGAACUAGUGCACCUAUACAAUUUACCAUUGUAUUGGGUGUGUUGGGGACACAAGAGACUCUUUGUUAUUUGGUUGCAGGGUUGCUUGAGAGAGACCAUCUUCAUCCUACGCCUCCUACGGAUUGAUAAACCUUAGGUCAUCCACUUGAGGGAAAUUUGCUACUGUCCUACAAACCUCUGCACUUGGAGGCCCAACAACGUCUACAAGAAGAAGGUUGUGUAGUAGACAUCACUAGCUAUCUUAUGAUCAUGCAAAGCAAUAUGACAAUGAAUGCUCAAGUCAUGUAGAUGAUGAUGAUGGAAGUUGCAUAUGGCAAUAUAUCUCGAAAUGGCUAUGGAAAUGCCAUGAUAGGUAGGUAUGGUGGUUGUUUUGAGGAAUAUAUAAUGAGGCUUAUGUGUGAUAGAGCGUAUCGUAUCAGGGGAUUUGGAUGCACCGGCAAAGUUUGCACCCACUCUCGAGGUGAGAAAGGGCAAUGCACGGUACCGAAGAGGCUAGCAAUGAUAGAAGGGUGAAAGUGUGUAUAAUCCAUGGAUUCAACAUUAGUCAUAAAGAACUCACAUAUUUAUUGCAAAAGUUUAUUAGCCCUCGAAGCAAAGUACUACUACGCAUGCCCCUAGGGGGAUAUAUUGGUAGGAAAAGACCAUCGCUCGUCCCCGACCGCCACUCAUAAGGAAGACAAUCAAUAAAUACCUCAUGCUCCGACUUCGUUACAUAACGGUUCACCAUACGUGCAUGCUACGGGAAUCACAAACCUCAACACAAGUAUUUCUACUAAUCCACAACUACCCACUAGCAUGACACUAAUAUCACCAUAUUUAUAUCGCAAAACUAUUGCAAGGAAUCAAACAUAUCAUAUUCAGUGAUCUACAAGUUUUAUGUAGGAUUUUAUGACUAGCCAUGUGAAUGACCAGUUCCUGUCAUCUCUCUAAAUAGAUAUAAGUGAAGCGAGAGAUUUUAAUUCUUUCUACAAAAUAUAUGCCCAUGCUCUAACAAAUAUAAGUGAAGCAAAAUAGCAUUCUACAAAUGGCGGUUUUCUAUGUAAAGAGAAACAGGCAAUCCAAACUUCAAAUGAUAUAAGUGAAGCACAUGAAGCAUUCUAUAAAGCCAUACUCAAAAGAUAUCAGUGAAGUCCAUAGAGAAUUCUAUAAAUAAACCAAGGACUAUCUCAUACCAGCAUGGUGCAUAAAAGAAAAAUGAAAACUAAAUGCAAAAGAUGCUCCAAGAUUGCACAUAUCGCAUGAACAAAACGAAUCCGAAAACAUACCGAUACUUGUUGAAGAAAGAGGGGAUGCCUUCCGGGGCAUCCACAAGCUUAGAUGCUUGAGUCUCCUUGAAUAUUUACUUGGGGUGCCUUGGGAAUCCCCAAUAUUGAGCUCUUGCCUCUCCUUCUUCUCCUCACAUCGAGACCUUCUCGAUCAUCGAACACUUCAUCCACACAGAACUUCAACAGAAAACUCGGUAAGAUCCGUUAGUAUAAUAAAGCAAAUCACUACUCUAAGUAUUGUUGCAAACCAAUUCAUAUUUUGUUUUUGCAUUAUAUCUAAUGUAAUAUAACUUUUCAUGGCUUAAUCCACUGAUAGAAAUUGAUAGUUUCAUCAAAACAAGCAAACUAUGCAUCAAAAACAGAAUCUGUCUAAAACAGAACAGUCUGUAAUAAUCUGAACAUUCGCCGUACCUCUGGUACUCCAGAAAUUCUACCAAAAUUAGUAAAAAUAAACAAUUUGUAUAUAAAGACAGUGCAAAAUGUUUCAGAACCGUUUGACAUUCUAGUAAAAAAAUGUAAAAUCACGCACUACAGCCAAAGUUUCUGUCCUGCAUCGUACAAACCAACAAACAUCUAAAACAUCCUAAAGGCAAACCUUGGGACAUUAUUUUUAUUUUUAAACCUUAUAAAAGAACACAACAGAAAUAAAUGACUCUCUAAAACUUCCGAGUUGUCUCCCUGGCAGCGCUUUCUUUAAAGCCAUUAAGCAAGGCAUAUAGUGCUCAAGUAAUGGAUCCACCCGGAUCCCAAGGUAUAUCAAAGCCAAUUUUAAUUAACAAUGAUUUGGCAUUUAGUAGUGAGCACAAAGUAACAUAAAUCAUGCAACAACGAAGUCUAACUCUCUUCCUAUGCAUCGGCAUGUCAUAAAAGAACAAUUCAUGCACACAAAGUAAAGGCCAAUGCAUAGUAUAAACAGUUUCUUGCAAUUUUAUCGUAUUGGAAACAUAGAGAGGUGGAGAUAUAGUUCCUCUCUCAUGAUAAUUGCAAGUAGGAGCGGCAAGCACAUGCAUAUUAUAUUCAUCAAAAUCAUCAUGUGCAACGGUAAAAGGCAACCCAUCAAUAUAAUCCUUAAUAAGGGCAAACUUCUCCGAUAUAGUGUAGUCGGGAGAAUUCAAAAAGAUAAUAGGACUAUCAUGCGUGGGUGCAAUAGCAACAAUUUCAUGUUUAACAUAAGGAACUAUAACAAGUUCAUCUCCAUAAGCAUAAUUCAUAUUGGCAUCUUGGCCACAAGCAUAGCAAGCAUCAUCAAAAAGGGAUAUUUCAAGAGAAUCAACAGGAUCAUAACAAUCAUCAUAGCAAUCAUCCUUCGGUAAGCACGAAGGAAAAUUAAACAAUGUAUGAGUUGAAGAGUUACUCUCAUUAGAAGGUGGGCACGGGUAGCUAAUCCGCUCUUCCUCCUUUUUCUUCUUCGCUCUCCUCCUCAUCUUUUUCAUCCAAUGAGCUCACAGUUUCAUCAAUUUCUUCUUACAUAGACUCCUGCAAGAUAUUAGUCUCUUCUUGGACAGUGGAGACUUUGUCAAUAAAUGCAUAAAUAUUGGAAUUGAAUUCAUAACUGGCAUAGCAAUAUUUAAGGACAGCUAAAUUUUCAGGUCUAUAAACAACAUCAUAAAGAUUUUCAAACUCUUUGAACAUAGAUUCAAUUUCAUAAGCACCCAUAAAAGCAAUGAACUCUUCUGUUUGUUCCACAUCAUAGUAAUCAUAUAUACCAUUAGCAUAAGAAUCUAAGGUUUUAUUAUCAUUAAAUUUGCAUGAAAAGGGAAGGUGUGGAGCCUUCAUCCUAGAGCAACAAGUAUAAUCAUAUCUCAAGCACACUUGCUGAGCAUACCAUUUCAACAUAUAAAUUUGAUCCCAUAAUAGUUUCCCUUUUUGAGUCAAGCGAUAAUCCCUAAAGUAUUCACGUUGGUCCAACGUGUCUCCCAUUACAUAAUUGAAUGAGGUUUUCCCAGGAUUAUCAAAGUGGUACAAAAUAUUUUUCACAUAAUGAUCAUCAAGGGUUUUAGGAGGUUCCCCAUCUCCAUGAGCAGCAAUUACACCUAAUUUUUUUGGUAUUUUAUUUUCCAUAUCCAUAACUAAAUAUAGAGAACAACUUAGAACAGCAAAUAAAAAUUACUUAGUGAUAAAGCAAACAAGCACACACGAGAAUAUUCACCCCACGUUAUUGCUCCCCAGCAACGGCGCCAGAAAAAGGUCUUGAUAACCCACAAGUAUAGGGGAUCAAUUGUAGCCUCUUUCGAUAAGUAAGAGUGUAGAAACCAACGAGAAGCUAAAGGUAGAACAAAUAUUCCCUCAAGUUCUAUCGACCACCGGUACAACUCUACGCACGCUUAGCGUUCGCUUUACCUAGAACAAGUAUAAAACUAGAAGUACUUCGUAGGUGUUUUUGGAUAGGUUUGCAAGAUAAUAAAGAGCACGUAAAUAAAAAGUAAGGGCUGUUUAGAUAAAGAAACAAUAAAGUUAGUAUAGCGAGUGUGGAAAAGUGGUGGUAGGAGUUGCGAAAUUGUCCCUAAGCAAUUGACUACUUUACUAGACCGGUAGCAAGUUUUAUGUGGGAGAGGCCACUGCUAGCAUGUCAUCCCUGACUUGGAAUUCUAUGCACUUAUGAUUGGAACUAUUAGCAAGCGUCCGCAACUACUAACGUUCAUUGAGGUAAAACCCAACCAUAGCAUUAAGAUAUAUUGGCCCCCCUUCAAUCCCGUAUGCAUCAAUUUCUAUGCUAGGUUGAAGCUUCUGUCACUCUUCCCCUCCAAUACAUAGUCCUAUAAACAUACAACUAACCCUAUGGUGUGAUCCACGUGCGCGCUCAUAUGAUGGGCACCAAAGGACAGCAAAAUAACCACAAGCAAAUUAAAUCAAUCAUAGCAAUUCAUCAACCACCGACAGGACAACGAAAAUCUACUCAGAUAUCAUAGGAUGGCAACACAUCAUUGGAUAAAAAUAUGAAGCAUAAAGCACCAUGUUCAAGUAGAGGGUACAGCGGGUUGCAGGAGAGUGGACCGCUGUAGAUAGAUGGGGGAAGGUGAUGGAGAUGAUGGUGAAGAUGGCGGAAGUGUUGGUGUAGAUCACGGUGAUGAUGAUGGUGGCCACGGCAGCGUUCCGGCACCACCGGAAGAGAAGGGGAGAGGGGGACCCUUCUUCUUCUUCAUUGACCUCCUCCCUAGAUGGGAGAAGGGUUUCCCCUCUAGUCCUUGGCCUCCAUGGCAUGGGAGGGGCGAGAGCCCCUCCGAGAUUGGAUCUGUCUCUCUGUCUCUCUCUGUUUCUGCGUUCUCAGAUUCUGCCCUUUCACCGUUUCUUUUAUAUACGGAGAUCUGUAACUCCGAUUGGGCUGAAAUUUUAACAUGGUCUCUAUCCGGAAAUUAGCUUUCUUGCGGCGAAAGAAGGGCUCCAACCGCCUUACGGGGAGGCCACAAGGGUCCAGGGCCCGCCCCUGCCUCGUGGCCCCCUGGGGCAUCGUAUCGCGUUGAUUCUUCUUCCCAAAAAUCACAUAUAUUCCAAAAAAAUCUCCGUCAGUUUUUAUCCUGUUUGAACUCCGUUUGAUCUGGAUUUUUUGUGAAACAAAAAACAUGCAACAAACAGGAACUGGCACUGGGCACUGGAUCAAUAUGUUAGUCCCAAAAAUAGUAUAAAAAGUUGCAAAAAUAUAUGAAAGUUGUAGAAUAUUGGCAUGGAACAAUCAAUAAUUGUAGAUACGAUGGAGACGUAUCACCUUCCGUCUCCGAGCUCCAACGCCUAGGUCUCGAUCUUUUCUAUCGCCACCAAACACUCUAGCCAUGUCCGGAUCUGGAGCACAGGGCAAGUGGAUGGCUUCCUCCGUCAUAGAGGAGAACGUCAAGGAACUCCGGGAAGUGGGGUACUUGGCCGUGGAUAUAGCCCACGAGCUCCCUACCCAAAAGAAGAUCAUUCCCACCCCGGAGCCUAAUGAGAGGAUAGUGUUCAUCCCCCAUUUCCUUCGAGGACUAGGGUUUCCCCUUCAUCCUUUCAUCCGCGGCCUCAUGUUUUAUUGCGGGCUUGAUUUCCACGAUCUAGCCCCAAAUUCAUUCCUCAACAUUUCAGCGUUCAUCGUCGUAUGCGAGGCAUUCCUCCACAUCCCCCCCACUUCGGCCUAUGGCUCAAGGUCUUCAAUGUGAAGCCAAAAGUGGUUGAUGGUCAACACGCGGAGUGUGGCGGCGCCAUGGUGAGCAAGCUCCCCAACGUCACCUGGCCCAAGGGGACCUUCGUGGAGACCGUGAAGGGAUGGCAACAAGAGUGGUUCUACCUCACAGAACCCUGCGAUGCCACAUGGGCCGCCACUCCUCAGUUCAAAUUCGGGCCUCCAAUGCAGCUUGCAUCAUGGAUUAACAAGGGCCUGGACUGGGCAUCGUCCGACAAGGUGAUGACGCUGUAGAAGCACGUCAAGGGCAUGAUAGAGAAGAACACCAGUCUUGCCAACGUGAUCCAGGUGAUGCUUUUUCGCCGGAUUCUCCCUUGCCAAUGCUGGACUCUCUACAUGUGGGAGUUCGAUCCGGCCAGUCCUCGGACCCUGCAGCGGUUCUUCGGCACGACGCACGAAGACAUAUGGAAGCUGGUCUUCAAGGCCCAUAAGUCGUGGCCGGAAAUGACCGAAGAUCCCGGCCUCGACUGUGCUCAUUCGUCCACUCCUGUAAGUUUUCUAAGAACUUUAAUAAUUUGUAAAUCCAAGGAACAUACUGAGCUUUCCAUUCUUCCCACAAGGCGGGUAUAAGAAGGCGGAGCGGAUCCAAUGUCUGGCCCCUCUACCAGAAGACCUAGCCAUUCCUCUGUUAAUGAGGAUGCUGGUUCCGGUGCCGUAUCAGGCACCGGAGAAGAAGGCCAAGGAGGCCAGAGAUGGCAUCCGCCAUAAGGGUGCUUCGGACGUUGUGUCCAAAGAUAUUGAAGCUCUCUCCUCCCAUGACAAAGAUGAAGAGAAGGAGGAACAUAGCAAUUCUCCCUUUAAGGGGGGAAAGAAGAAAAGGGUGGCCUUCGUGGACCUAGAGGUGGAGGCGUCCAAGAAGGGGAAAGUCUCCCUGUCGGACGAUUCUAAAUCGGAUGCCGACGCCAUCCCCGAGUGGCAUCCCAAGCCGAAGCCCCUGGCCGAAUCGUACGUAUCCACUAACACUGUACAUAUAUAUAUGGUUUUAUGCCUUGUGGUUCUAACACAUUGAAUUAUGUGUUGUAGUCUGGCCCAUGAUAUCCCCCAACGAUCAUCGUCUUCUGGGGGUUCGCUGGGUCUGAACAAGAUGGAGAGCGAGACGCCUCCACCGGCCUCUCCGCCCACUGCUAGCGACACGUAGGAUGGGGGGCCCGCUGCUACCUCUUGAGCAUGUGUUGUUUUUCCCUUGAAGAGGAAAGGGUGAUGCAGCAAAGCAGCGUAAGUAUUCCCCUCAGUUUUUGAGAACCAAGGUAUCAAUCCAGUAGGAGACCACGCGCGAGUCACCUCGUGCCUACACAAACAAAUAAGAACCUCGCAACCAACGCGAUAAAGGGGUUGUAAAUCCCUUCACGGCCACUUGCAAGAGUGAGAUCUGAUAGAGAUAAUGAUAAUAAGAUAAAUAUUUUUGGUAUUUUUAUGAUAUAGAUUGAAAGUAAAGAUUGCAAAAUAAAAUAGAUUGGAAACUUGUAUGAUGGAAAAUAGACCCAGGGGCCAUAGGUUUCACUAGGGGCUUCUCUCAAGAUCGCAUAAGUAUUUCGGUGGGUGAACAAAUUACUGUCGAGCAAUUGAUAGAAAAGAGAAUAAUUAUGAGAAUAUAUAGGUAUGAUCACGUAUAUAGGCAUCACGUCCAUGACAAGUAGACCGACUCCUGCCUACAUCUACUACUAUUACUCCACGCAUCGACCGCUAUCCAGCAUGCAUCUAGAGUAUUAAGUUCAUAAGAACAGAGUAACGCCUUAAGCAAGAUGACAUGAUGUAGAGGGAUAAACUCAUGCAAUAUGAUAUAAACCCCAUCUUUUUAUCCUCGAUGGUAACAAUACAAUACAUGUCAUUUCCCUUUCUGUCACUGGGAUCGAGCACCACAAGAUUGAACCCAAAGCUAAGCACUUCUCCCAUUGCAAGAAAGAUCAAUCUAGUAGGCCAAACCAAACUGAAAAUUCGAAGAGACUUGCAAAGAUAACCAAUCAUACAUAAAAGAAUUCAGAGAAGAUUCAAAUAUUGUUCAUAGAUAAUCUUGAUCGUAAACUCACAAUUCAUCAGGUCUCGACAAACACACCACAAAAGAAGAUUACAUCGAAUAGAUCUCCAAGAGAAUCGAGGAGAACUUUGUAUUGAGAUCCAAAGAGGGAGAAGAAGCCAUCUAGCUAAUAACUAUGGACCCGAAGGUCUGAGGUAAACUACUCACACAUCAUCGGAGAGGCUAUGGUGUUGAUGUAGAAGCCCUCCGUGAUCAAUGCCCCCUCCGGCGGAGCGCAGGGAAAGGCCCGAAGAUGGGAUCUCACGGGUACAGAAGGUUGCGGUGGUGGAAUUAGGUUUUCGUGGUGCUCCUUGAUGUUUUUAGGGUACGUAGGUAUAUAUAGGAGGAAGAAGUAGGUUGGUGGAGCAACGAGGGGCCCACGAGGGUGGAGGGCGCGCCCCCUGCCUCGUGGCCUCCUUGUUGAUUGCUUGAUGUCCACUCCAAGUCCUCUGGAUCACGUUUGUUCCAAAAAUCACGCUCCCGAAGGUUUCAUUCCGUUUGGACUCCAUUUGAUAUUAUUUUUCUGUGAAACACUGAAAUAGGCAAAAACAACAACAAUUUGGGUUGGGCCUCCGGUUAAUAGGUUAGUCCCAAAAAUAAUAUAAAAGUGUAUAAAUAAGCCCAUUAAACAUCCAAAAUAGAAUAUAUAAUAGCAUGGAACAAUCAAAAAUUAUAGAACGUUGGAGACGUAUCAAGCACCCCCAAGCUUAAUUCCUGCUCGUCCUCGAGUAGUUAAAUGAUAAAAACAGAAUUUUUGAUGUGGAAUGCUUUCUAACAUAUUUCUCAAUGUAAUUUUCUUUACUGAGGCAUGAAUGUUCAGAUCCGAAAGAUUCAAGAUAAAAGUUUAAUAUUGACAUAAAAAUAAUAAUCCUUCAAGCAUACUAAAUAAGCAAUCAUGUCUUCUCAAAAUAACAUGGCCAAAGAAAGUUCAUCCCUACAAAAUCAUAUAGUUUGGUCAUGCUCCAUUUUCGUCACACAAGAAUGCUCUCAUCAUGCACAACCCCGAUGACAAGCCAAGCAAUUGUUUCAUACUUUAGUAAUCUCAAACUUUUUUCAACUUUCACGCAAUACAUGAGCGUGAGCCAUGGAUAUAACACUAUGGGUGGAAUAGAAUAUAAUGAAGGGGGCUAUGUGGAGAAGACAAAAAGGAGAAAGUCUCACAUUGACGCGGCUAAUCAAUGGGCUAGGGAGAUGCCCAUCAAUUGAUGUCAAUGCAAGGAGUAGGGAUUGCCAUGCAACAGAUGCACUAGAUCUAUAAAUGUAUGAAUGCUCAACAAAAGAAACUAAGUGGGUGUGCAUCCAACUUGCUUGCUCACGAAGACCUAGGGCACUUGAGGAGGCCCAUUGUUGGAAUAUACAAUCCAAGUUCUAUAAUGAAAAAUUCCCACUAGUAUAUGAAAAUGACAAAAACAAGAGACUCUCUAUCAUAAAGAUCAUGGUGCUACUUUGAAGCACAAGUGUGGAAAAAAGGAUAGUAGCAUUGCCCCUUUUUAUUUUUUAUUUUUUUGGGCCUCCUUUUUUUAUUUGGCCUUUCUCUUUUUAUUUUUUUGGGACAAUGCUCAAUUAAUGAUGAUCAUCACACUUGUAUUUAUUUACAACUCAAUGAUUACAAAUUGAUACUAGAACAAGAUAUGACUCUAUAUGAAUGCCUCCGGUGGUGUAUCGAGAUGUGCAAUGACUCCUGAGUGACAUGUAUGAAAGAAUUAUGAACGGUGGCUUUGCCACAAAUACGAUGUCAACUACAUGAUCAUGCAACUCAAUAUAACAAUGAUGAUGCGUGUCAUAAUAAACGGAACGGUGGAAAGUUGCAUGGCAAUAUAUCUCGGAAUGGCUAUGGAAAUGCCAUAAUAGGUAGGUAUGGUGGCUAUUUUGAGGAAGAUAUAAGGAGGUUUAUGUGUGAUAGAGAGUAUCAUAUCACAAGGUUUGGAUGCACCGGCGAAGUUUGCACCAACGCUCAAGGUGAGAAAGGGAAAUGCACGGUGUCGAAGAGGCUAGCAAUGAUGGAGGGGGUGAGAGUGCAUAUAAUCCAUGGACUCAACAUUAGUCAUAAAGAACUCACAUACUUACUGCAAAAAUCUACAAGUCAUCAAAAACCAAGUAUUACAUGCAUGCUCCUAGGGGGAUAGAUUGGUAGGAAAAGACCAUCCCUCGUCCCCGACCGCCGCUCAUAAGGAAGACAAUCAAAUAACACCUCAUGUUUCAAAUUUGUUACACAAUGUUUACCAUACGUGAAUCCUACGGGACUUGCAAACUUCAACACAAGUAUUUCUCAAAUUCACAACUACUCAACUAGCACAACUUUAAUAUCACUAUCUCCAUAUCUCAAAACAAUCAUCAAGUAUCAAACUUCUCUUAGUAUUCAAUGCACUUAUAUGAAAGUUUUUAUUAUGCCUAAAAUAAAAUUGCCAUGUUGUUCUAAAGAACUAUCAAAAUAAUAUAAGUGAAGCAUGAGAGAUCAAUUAUUUCUAUAAAAUUAAACCACCACCAUGCUCUAAAAGAUAUAAGUGAAGCACUAGAGCAAAAACUAUUUAGCUCAAAAGAUAUAAGUGAAGCACAUAGAGUAUUCUAAUAAAUUCCGAUUCAUGUGUGUCUCUCUCAAAAGGUGUGUACAUCAAGGAUGAUUGUGGUAAACUAAAAAGCAAAGACUCAAAUCAUACAAAACACUCCAAGCAAAACACAUAUCAUGUGGUGAAUAAAAAUAUAGUUCCAAGUAAAGUUACCGAUGAAUGAAGACAAAAAAGGGGAUGCCUUUCGGGGCAUCCCCAAGCUUAGGCUUUUUGGUGUCCUUGGAUUUUACCUUGGGGUGCCUUGGGCAUCCCCAAUAUUAGGCUCUUGCCACUCCUUGUUCCAUAAUCCAUCAAAUCCUUACCCAAAACUUGAAAACUUCACAACACAAAACUUAACAGAAAAUCUCGUGAGCUCCGUUAGCGAAAGAAAACAAAACACCACUUCAAGGUACUGUAGUGAACUCAUUCUUUAUUUAUAUUGGUGUUAAACCUACUGUAUUCCAACUUCUCUAUGGUUUAUAAACUCCACUACUAGCCAUAGAUUCAUCAAAAUAAGCAAACAACACACGAAAAACAGAAUCUGUCAAAAACAGAACAGUCUGUAGUAAUAAGUAACUAACGCAAACUUCUGGAACCCCAAAAAUUCUAAAAUAAAUUUCUGGAUGUGAGGAAUUUAUCUAUUAAUCAUCUUCAAAAAGAAUUAACUAAAUAGCACUCUCCAAUAAAAAUGGCAGCAAUUCUCGCGAGGGCUAAAGUUUCUGUUUUUUACAGCAAGAUCAAAAAGACUUUCCCCAAGUCUUCCCAACGGUUCUACUUGGCACAAACACUGAUUAAACACAAAAAACACAACCAAAACAAAGGCUAGAUAAAUUAUUUACUACUAAACAGGAGCAAAAAGCAAGGAAUAAAAAUAAAAUUGGGUUGCCUCCCAACAAGCGCUAUCGUUUAACGCCCCUAGCUAGGCAUAAAAGCAAAGAUAGAUCUAGGUAUUGCCAUGAUAAUGAUAAGGUAAAUCACGAAAACUCAUCUCAUACUCCCUACAUUCAGCAGCAAGUUUUCUUUGUGGCAAGAAAAAGUAAUCAAAAGGGCUAAAUUUAAUGGGACAAAAGUCCCCAAGAUCAAGCUCAGGAGGUAUUGGUUCCUCCUUUGACCCCUCAUAUUGCAUAACCAAUUCAUCAAUAUAAGCAUUCUUUUGGCAAAAAGUCAUGAGUCUUUUUUCAAGGGAAAACCAACCCAUUAUUCUGGAUAGCAAAAUUAUCAUUAAAUUCAGAGAUCCUAUCAACAAGGACAUCGGUAGGAACCUUUUUUCUAAGGUUUUCAUUAAAAGCAACAUGAUCUAAGGAUCGUAAACGCAUAAUGUCUUCUUGAUAAAAAAAGGAUUGCUUCUAUGGGAGGACGGACGACAUCCACCCUAUAAUGCGCAAAAAUUUCAUUGGCCUCUUUUAUUAUAAAUCUGAACUCAUGAGCUAAAAAGAUGGUCGCUGCUCGCUUAACAGAAGAAUGCUCACUAUUAGAAAAUUCUAGGAAAAUCCUUUAUAUGGAAGGAUGCAUACGUAAAAAUUGUGUUUCAAGUUCAACUAUGAGCAAAGAUAUAGCAUCCGCGAGACUACUAGUUUUAUGAAGAAUAGACCCGCUCAUGGUGGGCAAAGCACCGGCACAAGUAAAGAAAUCUUGAAUAACUCCCUUUCCCAAUAAUAUUACCGCUGCCAAUCCGAAACCUUUUAGUGUGUAAAAUAGUAGGAUUUUCAAGAGAAUCAUCAAUAGCAUCAAAGUUUUCCAUAUUAUUAUCCUUAUCAAUGAUAACCUCCCCAGUUUCAAACAUGAGGGCAACAAAUUGCAAAAAUAAGGAGCACACGGAAGGCAGGAAGGGAAAAAGAGGGCGAAAGGAAAAGAGGGCGAAUAAAACGGCAAGGGUGAAGUGGGGGGGGGAGGAAAAUGAGAGGCAAAUGGCAAAUAAUGUAAUGCGAAGGAUAAGAGUUGUGAUGGGUACUUGGUAUGUCUUGACUUGGCAUAUAUCUCCCCGGCAACGGCGCCAGAAAUCCUUCUUGCUACCUCUUGAUCAUGCGUUGGUUUUCCCUUGAAGAGGAAAGGGUGAUGCAGCAAAGCAUCGUAAGUAUUUUCCUCGGUUUUUUAGAACCAAGGUAUCAAUCCAGUAGGAGACCAUGUGCGAGUCACCUCGUACCUACACAAACAAAUAAGAACCUCGCAACCAACGCGAUAAAGGGGUUGUCAAUCCCUUCACGGCCACUUGCAAGUGUGAGAUCUGAUAGAGAUAAUGAUAAUAAGAUAAAUAUUUUUGAUAUUUUUAUGAUAUAGAUUGAAAGUAAAGAUUGCAAAAUAAAAUAGAUAGGAAACUUGUAUGAUGGAAAAUAGACACGGGGGCCAUAGGUUUCACUAGUGGCUUCUCUCAAGAUAGCAUAAGUAUUACGGUGGGUGAACAAAUUACUGUCGAGCAAUUGAUAGAAAAGUGAAUAAUUAUGAGAAUAUCCAGGUAUGAUCAUGUAUAUAGGCAUCACAUCUGUGACAAGUAGACCGACUCCUACCUGCAUCUACUACUAUUACUCCACACAUCGACCGCUAUCCAGCAUGCAUCUAGAGUAUUAAGUUCAUAAUAACGGAGUAACGCCAUAAGCAAGAUGACAUGAUGUAGAGGGAUAAACUCAUGCAAUAUGAUAUAAACCCCAUCUUUUUAUCCUCGAUGGCAACAAUACAAUAUGUGUCGUUUCCCUUUCUGUCACUGGGAUUGAGCACCGCAAGAUUGAACCCAAAGCUAAGCACUUCUCCCAUUGCAAGAAAGAUCAAUCUAGUAGGCCAAAUCAAACUGAAAAUUCAAAGAGACUUGCAAACAUAACCAAUCACACAUAAAAUAAUUCGUACAAGAUUCAAAUAUUGUUCAUAGAUAAUCUUGAUCAUGAACCCACAAUUCGUCGGAUCUCGACAAACACACCGCAAAAGAAGAUUACAUCGAAUAGAUCUCCAAAAGAAUCAAGGAGAACUUUGUAUUGAGAUCCAAAGAGAGAGAAUAAGCCAUCUAGCUAAUAACUAUGGACCCGAAGGUCUGAGGUUAACUACUCACACAUCAUUGGAGAGGCUGUGGUGUUGAUGUAGAAGCCCUCUGUGAUCAAUGCCCCCUCCAGCGGAGCGCCGAAAAAGGCCCCAAGAUGGGAUCUCACGGGUACAGAAGGUUGCGGCGGUGGAAUUAGGUUUUCGUGGUGCUCCUCGAUGUUUUUAGGGUACGUAGGUAUAUAUAGGAGGAAGAAGUAGGUCGGUGGAGCCAUGAGGGGGCCACGAGGGUGGAGGGCGCUCCCAGGGGGUAGGCACACCCCCUGCCUCACGGCAUCCUUGUUGAUUGCUUGACGUCCACUCCAAGUCCUCUGGAUCAUGUUUGUUCCAAAAAUCACGCUCCCGAAAAUUUCAUUCCAUUUGGACUCCGUUUGAUAUUCUUUUUCUGCGAAACACUGAAAUAGGCAAAAAUACAACAAUUUGGGUUGGGCCUCCGGUUAAUAGGUUAGUCCUAAAAAUAAUAUAAAAGUGUAUAAAUAAGCCCAUUAAACAUCCAAAACAGAAUAUAUAAUAGCAUGGAACAAUCAAAAAUUAUAGAUACGUUGGAGACGUAUCACCCGCCCACGUGCGUCUUCUUCCUCCUUUUUGUCUUCUCUGGUCCCUCGUCUCCGCCUCUCCUAUCUCUGCCUCCUUCUCAGGCCCCGCUGCCAUGGUCAACUGGCACCGCCCGAAGGCCUCCCAGGACGCCGUCGCCACAGGAAUCGACCGAUCUUGCCGCCCUUGGCCAGAUCCGCUUCUGAUUCACGCCACCGGAGCUCUGCCUCGGAGCUGCAACCAUCCAUGAUGGAGACUACACCCCUCGGCGCAAUUUUGCUGGAACCGACAGACGCCGAGGUUACAACCAUGGUGAUUUUUUGCUACAACCAACGAGCCUCGGUGCUACAACCUCUCGACGCAAAAUUGCUGGAACCAGUGGACGUCGAGGUUGCGACCAUGGAAUUUUUUUGCUACAACCGACGAGCAUCGGUGCAACAACCGGCAUCUCUUUUUUCUACAAACAGUCAUGGCGAGACGACAGACGAUGAUUUUUUGUUACAACCGUUGUUGAUUUUGCUACUACCGGCGAUCAUUUUUGCUACAUCGAUGACGGCGGAUGACACGGUCGCUGGCAUGGCGUGCUACAACUAGGCAAGAGGAGCUGCAACCAUGGCCACAAGAGCUGGAAUCGCAGUCCAGCAGAGUUGCAACGGCGGUCCGAUAGAGCUGCAUCUUUUGCUUCAACCGGUAGCAGGAAAGCUACAACCGGCAUUCAUUUUUGCUACAACCACGACAAUGAAGUGUGGCCGGCGGGGAUGACGCAUGAUUUUUUUUGCUGCAACUAGGCACCGGUGAGGGUCACCGUCGAUGACGGCGAGGGUCGCGGUGACGAUGACGCACAUUUUUUUGGUGCAACAGGCAACCAUGGAAGCUUCCACUAGCGUGGGAUUUUUUGCUGCAAGCAUGGGCGGGCUCCUGGAACUACGGUUUUCAAGAACGAGGAUAGUGAGCGACGGCGAGCUAGCGAGGUCAUCGGCGUUGGGGGUGUUCGGGUGGGGGGAGGCGGUUCUAUAGCAUGCACUGUUCGUGCGGAUCUGGUGCGCUAGCGGGUGGGAAACGAAGGAAGAGAUCGAGCGAGGGAGGAACAAGAUGACUAAGAGCAGACCUGACGGUCUGCUGUAGCUGUAUCAGACGGCUGCGGGCCGACCGGCCAAAAUUUGGGCCGGUGCGCUGGCGCAGAUUAGUCCUAAAUUUCCCUUCCUGGUUUGCUCCCGGUUUGCAGAAAAAAUGAUGCACGGACCGCAGAACAGAUCGAUAUAAAACUUCAUUGGAUCUCAAAAUAUGUCCGAACGCACGACACAAAUGAUUGCGGACAGUUUGAGAGUCGGGCGUUGGAACCCUAGUACUAGUAAUUUUCUUUUCUUAUUACCGAACAAACCCUCAUAAAAAAGAACCUCAUACUAUGUCGUAUGAGUGUAAGACACUAGCAUCUGACCCGACAAAGGACGUGGAAAUAAAAUCCGAGUCGCACGUGGCCCCUCGAACCCGACCUGAUUUGGAAUUGGACGCCGCCUGCCGAUGGAAACCAUCAACAUAUAAAUAGCAAUGACAUGCCAUACAAAAAAUAGCACAAACAAGGGUCGACAGCCAAUCGACUAGACGAGACGCACCAAACCAAUGGCUGAUCAAACGAUCACAACAAUGUCCGGUGAGGUGAAGCAAGCGGAAUUCGAGGUUGGCACAGCGGCGGACCCGGGGAACGGCGAGCUGUGGCUGCGCUUCGUCAACUUCGAGAUGGAGGAGGGCGGCGGAAUCGAGGCCGCCCUCGCGGUCUACGAGCGACUUCUUGCCGCACUUCCCGAUGGAGAGACAUACAUGUGGGACUGGUUCUGGACGGAGCGCGAGUUCGGCGAUGUCGACAGCCAGCGGCGCGUGCUCUAGCGGUGGGCGCGUGGGCACAACCGUCGGGGAGGCGCUCCUCGCGACCUUUCCCAUGAAUCCGCAUGCGUACGCGAUGUACAUCAGGCUCUGUCCGCUCUGUUCCGACAUGUUGAAGCCAACGCCCUGGCAUGCCGUGGCAUCAAGGAGUUGUCCUCCUUCUGUCGCGAGCAUGAUGAGUUCAUUUGGAGGUUUAUGGUCGUGUAUCUGAAGAGACUUAGGGAGAGGCGGAGCACCGUGUGGGACGAAAAUAUGUUCAACGAUUAGCUGUUUUUUAUUGAGAUAUGUUGAAUGAUUAGUCUUUUUAGGAAACUCUUGAAUGAUUAGCUGUUAUGAAUAUAUAUAUAUAGGACAAAUGUUUCCUACAAGCAGUGGUAGUUACCACCACUUGCGUUUUGUAUGUUGUAUGUAGUAUCCGUCGAAACCGAAAGUAUGUAUGUGUAGUAUGUAGUAUAUAACAAUGAUUAUGUAGUAUAUAUACUAAUUUUUAGGUAAUAUGUAUCAUUUUUUGAGUAUGCUCUUUUUUACAUACAAAUAUGUACGUAUUUCACAAAUAUAACAAAAACUAUGGGCUCAUAUGCAAUUUUUUCAUGUAACUUGCUUUGAAAUAGCUUAGAUAUAGUAUAUGAACAUAUUUAAAAUAAUAAAAUAAUAUAUAUAGUAUCAUAUGGUAGUAUAUGAGACAUGUGGGGUAACUACCACCGGGUGGUAGGAUGGAUUUUCCCUAUAUAUAUAUAUAUAUAUAUAUAUAUAUAUAUAUAUAUAUAUAUAUAUAUAUAUAUAUAUAUAUAUAUNNNNNNNNNNNNNNNNNNNNNNNNNNNNNNNNNNNNNNNNNNNNNNNNNNNNNNNNNNNNNNNNNNNNNNNNNNNNNNNNNNNNNNNNNNNNNNNNNNNNNNNNNNNNNNNNNNNNNNNNNNNNNNNNNNNNNNNNNNNNNNNNNNNNNNNNNNNNNNNNNNNNNNNNNNNNNNNNNNNNNNNNNNNNNNNNNNNNNNNNNNNNNNNNNNNNNNNNNNNNNNNNNNNNNNNNNNNNNNNNNNNNNNNNNNNNNNNNNNNNNNNNNNNNNNNNNNNNNNNNNNNNNNNNNNNNNNNNNNNNNNNNNNNNNNNNNNNNNNNNNNNNNNNNNNNNNNNNNNNNNNNNNNNNNNNNNNNNNNNNNNNNNNNNNNNNNNNNNNNNNNNNNNNNNNNNNNNNNNNNNNNNNNNNNNNNNNNNNNNNNNNNNNNNNNNNNNNNNNNNNNNNNNNNNNNNNNNNNNNNNNNNNNNNNNNNNNNNNNNNNNNNAAGAGGUCAUAUGCUAGUGAUAUUUUUAGAGAAUAUCGAAAAAAUGGUACCAAUGCAUAUGUGCAACUGAUGUAACAUUUUUUCACCACACAUAUACAAGUUAGGAAAACAGUAAUAGUGCAUAUGUGCAGUUGGUGUACACAACAAGAGUUAUUUACAUGUAUAGAGUAUAUCGCAAUGCGGCCAACAACUCUCCCGCGACAUGUCAUAUGAUAUCUGUCACUACAAUCUACAGCUAUGACUUCUCGUAGAUGAUAUCAUAAUGCCUGGUCUAUAUAGUAGUGUCACAGUAGGAACCGAGGAAUCCGGUGACUCGUAGAUGAUGUGGAUGUUAGGCUCCUCAAUCGAUGAAACGUCAAUGUUAACAACUCGGAGUGGCACUUUGAUAACCGACAAGUAUAGGGGAUCGCAACAGUUUUUGAGGGUAAAGUAUUCAACCCAAAUUUAUUGAUUCGACACAAGGGGAGUCAAAGAAUACUCUCAAGUAUUAGCAGCUGAGUUGUCAAUUCAACCACACCUGGAAACUUAAUAUCUGCAGCAAAGUAUUUAGUAGCAAAGUAAUAUAAUAGUAGUGGUAACGGUAAUAAAUGGUAACGGUAGUAAAAUUAAUGUUUUUGGUAUUUUGUAGUGAUGAUAGCAAUAGCAACGGGAAAGUAAAUAAGCGAAGAACAAUAUAUGGAAAGCUCGUAGGCAAUAGAUCAGUGAUGGAGAAUUAUGCCGGGUGCGGUUCAUCAUGUAACACUCAUAACCUAGGGUGACACAGAACUAGCUUCAGUUCAUCAAUGUAAUGUAGGCAUGUAUUCUAAAUAUAGUCAUACGUGCUUAUGGAAAAGAACUUGCAUGGCAUCUUUUGUCCUACCCUCCUGUGGCAGCGGGGUCCUUACAGAAACUAAGGGAUAUUAAGGCCUCCUUUUAAUAGAGAACUGGAACAAAGCAUUAACACAUAGUGAAUACAUGAACUCCUCAAACUAUGGUCAUCACCGGUAAGUAUCCCGAUUAUUGUCACUUCGGGGUUAACGGAUCAUAACACAUAAUAGGUGACUAUAGACUUGCAAGAUAGGAUCAAGAACACUCAUAUAUUGAUGAAAACAUAAUAGUUUCAGAUCUGAAAUCAUGGCACUCGGGCCCUAGUGACAAGCAUUAAGCAUAGCAAAGUCAUAGCAACAUCAAUCUCAGAACAUAGUGGACACUAGGGAUCAAACCCUAACAAAACUAACUCGAUUACAUGAUAGAUCUCAUCCAACCCAUCACCAUCCAGUGAGCCUACGAUGGAAUUACUCACGCACGGUGGUGAGCAUCAUGAAAUUGGUGAUGGAGGAUGGUUGAUGAUGACGAUGGCGACGGAUUCCCCUCUCCGGAGCCCCGAACGGACUCCAGAUCAGCCCUCCCGAGAGGUUUUAGGGUUUGGCGGCAUCUUCGUAUCAUAAAACGCGAUGAUUUCUUCUCUUUGAUUUUUUCUCCCUGAAACUCAAUAUAUGGAGGUGGAGUUGGAGUCGGAGAGGCAACAGGGGCCCAUGAGGUAGGGGGGCGCGCCCCCACCCUUGUGGAGAGACGGUGGGCCCCCCUGGCCUUCAUCUUUGGCAGAUAUUUUCUUAUUUUCUGAAAAGUGGCUCCGUGAAGUUUCAGGUCAUUCUGAGAACGUUUGCUCCUGCACAUAAAUAACACCAUGGUAAUUCUGCUGAAAACAACAUCAGUCCGGGUUAGUUCCAUUCAAAUCAUGCAAGUUAGAGUCCAAAACAAGGGCAAAAGUGUUUGGAAAAGUAGAUACUUUGGAGACGUAUCAACUCCCCCAAGUUUAAACCUUUGCUUGUCCUCAAGCAAUUCAGUUGACAAACUGAAAGUCUUAAAGAAAAACUUUUACAAACUCUGUUUGCUCUUGUUGUUGUAAAUAUGUAAAGCUAGCAUUCAAGUUUUCAGCAAAUAUUAUAACUAACCACAUUUGCAAUAACGCAUAGGUCUCAAGUUUACUCAUAACAAUAGCAUAAUCAACUAGCGAGCCAUAAUAAUAAAUCUCGGAUGACAACACUUCCUCAAAACAAUCAUAAUAUGAUAUAACAAGAUGGUAUCUCGCUAGCCCUUUCUGAGACCGCAAAACAUAAAUGCAGAGCACCUUUAAAGACCAAGGACUGACUAGACAUUGUAAUUCAUGGUAAAAGAGAUCCAGUCAAGUCAUACUCAAUGUAAGUUAACAGUAAUGAAUGCAAAUGACAGCGGUGCUCUCCAACUGGUGCUUUUUAAUAAGAAGAUGAUGACUCAGCAUAAAAGUAAAUAGAUAGGCCCUUCACAGAGGGAAGCGGGGAUUUGUAGAGGUGCUAGUGCUCGGUUUUGAAACAGAGGUGAAUAAUAUUUUGAGCGGUAUACUUUCAUUGUCAACAUAACAACCAAGAGAUGGCGAUAUCUUCCAUGCUACACACAUUAUAGGCGGUUCCCAACAGAAUGGUAAAGUUUAUACUCCCCCUUCCACCAAUAAGCAUCAAUCCAUGGCUUGCUCGAAACAACGAGUGCCUCCAACUAACAGGAGUCCCAGGGGGAGUUUUGUUUGCAAUUAUUUUGAUUUAGUUUGCAUAAAACAUGGGACUGGGCAUCCCGGUGACCAGCCAUUUAUCUCGUGAGUGAGGAGCGGAGUCCACUCCUCUUGAGAAUAACCCACCUAACAUGGAAGAUACAGACAUCCCUAGUUGAUACAUGAGCUAUUCGAGCAUACAAAACAGGAUAUUUAUUUGAAGGUUUAGAGUUGGCACAUAAAAAUUUACUUGGAACGGCAGGUAGAUACCGUAUAUAGGUAGGUAUAGUGGACUCAUGUGUAAUAACUUUGGGGUUUAAGGGAUUGGAUGCACAAGCAGUAUUCCCGCUUAGUACAGGUGAAGGAUAGCAAAAGACUGGGAAGCGACCAGCUAGAGAGCGACAACAGUCAUGAACAUGCAUGAAAAUUAAUCAACACCAAAUGCAAGCAUGAGUAGGACACGACCCUAUCAUGCGUGAACAUGCACCUAGUCAAGUCACUUAAAUCAUUCAGAGGAGGAUACGACCCUAUCAUACCACAUCAUAACCAUUUUAAUAGCAUGUUGGCACGCAAGGUAAACCAUUAUAACUCACAGCUAAUCAAGCAUGGCAUAAGAAACUAUGAUAUCUAAUUGUCAUUGCAAACAUGUUUAUUCAUAAUAGGCUGAAUCAGGAACGAUGAACUAAUCAUAUUUACAAAAACAAAAGAGGUCGAGUUCAUACCAGCUUUUCUCAUCUCAGUCAGUCCAUUAUAAUUGCCUUUCACUUGCACGACCGAACGAUGUGAAUAAUAAUAAUAGUACACGUGCAUUGGACUAAGCUGGAAUCUGCAGGCAUUCAAUAAACAAGAGAAGACAAGGCAAUAUGGGCUCUUUUGUCAGAUGAACAAUAGUGCAUAUAAGAGCCACUUCAACAAUUUAAUUAUGGUCUUCUCCUAUCGACCCCCAAAGAAAAGAAAUAAAACUAUUUACACGGGAAAGCUCCCAACAAGCAAAAAGAAGAACAUGAAAUCUUUUUGGGUUUCUUUUUAAUUACUACUACAAGCAUGGAAAUUAAACUGAUUAAAAGCUACAACUAAUAUUUUUAUUAAACACACAAGAAGAAAGCAUAGAAAGGAAAGUAAACUAGCAUGGAUGAUACAAUGAAAAAGUAUGAGCACUGACAUCUAGCAAUGAGUGUGUGAACAUAAAUGUAAUGUCGGUGGGAAAUAUGUACUCCCCCAAGCUUAGGCUUUUGGCCUAAGUUGGUCUAUGGCCAUGGCUGGCCUGGCGGAUAUCCAUAAUAAUAGUUGGGGUCGUACUGCGAUGAAGAAGAGGAAGACUCCGCUUGCCACUGGCUGACAAUCAUCUCCGGAUCCCACUGAUAAUUAGACUGUUGUGAAGGAUCAAUUUGUGGUUCCGGCUCUGGCCCCUAAGCUAGUGCAGGGUUCCGGUAGGCGUGCAUAGCCUUCAACGGAACAAGGUACGUGCCUACAGAUAAAUCAAACAAAGAAGGAGCAGGCAGGGUAAUAGUCUCAUGAUGAUGUUUAUUAAAGAACAAUUGAUAUUUAAGCUCUCCUUCCCUAUUCUUAACAAUAAAAUCAUGUGCCACCAUACUUUUAUAAUCUAGAUAAACAUGAGGCAGCACCUUUUCUUCCUUCUCAGCAUGCCUAAUAGGUAUGUUAAAAUAUGCAGCUAGGCAUGAAGCAUAGAUGCCUCCAAAGAUGGGGCCCUUUGUAUGGUUCAGACUUAGCCGUUUAGCAAUAAUGACGCCCAUACUAAAAGUGUUAUCACUGCAUAAACCUUGGAGCAAAAUAAUAAUAUCAGGGAUACUAAGGUUUCCACAGUUUCCGCGACCAAUUAAGCAACGACUAGAAAAUAAUGCAAAGUAACGUAAAACAGGAAAAUGUAUGCCAGUGAUUCAUGCAUCAGAAACCUUCCUUGUUUCCCUACAGUGAUAGUAUCAAUAAAUCCCUCCACAUCAUCACGAUGUGGUUCUUCUGUCUUGCCCUUAAAAGGGACUAAACAAAUCCGACAAAAAUCAUAAAGUGACAUCUCCUUAUGCUCAUCAUAUAAAUGAAACUCCACCGUAGGUGGUGAGUUCUUAGAAUGAAAAUGAAAGUUUUGCACAAAAGUAUUUGUGAGUAAGAGAUACUGAUCACAUUGGUCAUGGAGGAAAGUGGUGAGGCCUGCAUUUUUAGCCAAUUCAUGAAAAUCUUCAUAAAUCUCGGCUGCUCUCAAGAAAUCACCGGAAGGCCAUUCACACGCCCGAAUCUCCGCGGUGCGAGGCAGAUUAUACUUAGGCUUCAGUGCCUUUUCCUUCGAGCUUUGGCUCGAUGAGCCCCUCAAAAGUCUCCUCAUCAUUUUCUGAAAAAUUCUGAAAUUUUUAGUAACUUCAAAAUAAAAGUAAACCGAACUCAAUAAUAUUGAUAGCAACUACUCCUACAAGUGCCUAGAGCCUAUAUCAUGCAUCAAAACUACUUGGAACCAUAUAAAUUUGACAUGCAAGCUCAAGAACAGGGUCACCUAAGCAGCAAAAAUUUGCAAUGAAUAAAGCACUAGAACAAAAACUAAUUGGACAAAUGGAGGAGUCACAUACCAAGGAACAAUCUCCCCAAGCAGUUUUGUGAGAGGUGCUUUGAGCAAGGAGAUCGAAAAUGCCAGCAAAACGAGCUUGGACUCGGGUUUGAGCUGGUUAUUCGUGUUUGGGGGAGGAAGAAGGAGUGUAUGGGUGAAAGGAUAAGUGGAGGGGGGCCAUCGUGGGCCCACGAGGCAGGGGGCGCGCCUAGGGGGGUAGGGCGCGCCCUCCACCCUCGUGGGCAGGUGGUUGACCCCCCUGCUGUGUUCUUUGUGCCAAAUAUUCUCAAAUAUUCUGGAAAAAUCAUAUUUAAAUUUUAGGUCAUUUGGAGAACUUUUAUUUUCGAGGUAUUUUUAUAUUGCACGGAUAAUCAGAUAACAGACAGAAAAAUAUUUAUUUUAUUUUAUUUAAUAUAAAUAAUAGAAAGUAAAAGUGGGGUACAGAAGUUUGUGCCUUCUAGUUUCAUCCAUCUCAUGAUCAUCAAAAGGAAUCCACUAACAAGGCUGAUCAAGUCUUGUUAACGAACUCAUUCCGGAUAACAUGGAACCGGAGAAAUUUCGAAUAAUACUAUGUUACCUCAAUGGGGAUAUGCACAUCCCCAAUAAUAAGAAUAUCAUAUUUCUUCUUGACAGUAGGAAGAGAAAAUUCAAAACCUCCAAAUAUAAUUGAUGAAAUUUUUCCAAUAGAAUUGAUACUGUGAACUUGAGGUUGUUUCCUCGGAAAGUGUACUGUAUGCUCAUUACCAUUAACAUGAAAAGUGACAUUGCCUUUAGUGCAAUCAAUAACAGCCCCUGCAGUAUUCAAAAAGGGUCUUCCAAGAAUAAUAGACAUACUAUCGUCCUCGGGAAUAUCAAGAAUAACAAAGUCUGUUAAAAUAGUAACGUUUGCAACUACAACAGGCACAUCCUCACAAAUACCGACAGGUAUAGCAGUUUAUUUAUCAGCCAUUUGCAAAGAUAUUUCAGUAGGUGUCAACUUAUUCAAAUCAAGUCUAUGAUAUAAAGAGGCAUAACACUAACACCGGCUCCAAGAUCACAUAAAGCAGUUUUAACAUAGUUUCUUUUAAUGGAGCAUGGUACAGUUUGUUGGAAAUAUGCCCUAGAGGCAAUAAUAAAAGUAUUAUUAUAUUUCAUUGUUCAUGAUAAUUGUCUUGUAUUCAUGCUAUAACUGUAUUAUCCGGAAAUCGUAAUACACGUGUGAAUACUUAGACCACACUAUGUCCCUGGUAAGCCUCUAGUUGACCAGCCCGUUGUGAUCAACAGAUAGUCAUGGUUUCCUGACUAUGGACAUUGGAUGUCAUUGAUAACGGGAUCACAUCAUUAGGAGAAUGAUGUGAUGGACAAGACCCAAUCCUAAGCAUAGCAUAAAAGAUCGUGUAGUUCGUUUUGCUAGAGCUUUGCAAGUGUCAAGUAUCUCUUCCUUCGACCAUGAGAUCGUGUAACUCCCGGAUACCGUAAGAAUGCCUUGGGUGUGCCAAACGUCACAACGUAACUGGGUGACUAUAAAGGUGCAUUACAGGUAUCUCCGAAAGUAGCUGUUGGGUUGAUACGGAUCGAGACUGGGAUUUGUCACUCCGUAUGACGGAGAGGUAUCUCUGGGCCCACUCGGUAAUGCAUCAUCAUAAUGAGCUCAAAGUGACCAAGGUGUUGGACACGGGAUCAUGCAUUACGGUACGAGUAAAGUGACUUGCCGGUAACGAGACUGAACAAGGUAUUGGGAUACCGACGAUCAAGUCUCGGGCAAGUAACGUACCGAUUGGCAAAGGGAAUUGUAUACAGGGUUUGAUCGAAUCCUCGACAUAGUGGUUCAUCCGAUGACAACAUCGAGGAGCAUGUGGGAGCCAUCAUGGGUAUCCAGAUCCCGCUGAUGGUUAUUGACUAAGAGAGUCUCGAUCAUGUCUACAUGUCUCCCGAACCCGUAGGGUCUACACACUUAAGGUUCAGUCACGCUAGGGUUGUAGGGAUAUGUAUAUGCAGUAACCCGUAUGUUGUUCGGAGUCCCGGAUGAGAUCCCGGACGUCACGAGGAGUUCCGGAAUGGUCCGGAGGUAAAGAUUUAUAUAUGGGAAGUCCUGUUUCGGGCAUCGGGACAAGUUUCGGGGUUAUCGGUAUUGUACCGGGACCACCGGGUGGGGCCACCCAUCCCCGGGGGCCACAUGGGCUGUAGGGGGUGCGCCUUGGCCUACAUGGGCCAAGGGCACCAGCCCCACAAGGCCCAUGCGCCUAGGGUUUCCAAGGGGGAGGAGUCCUACUAGUGGAAGGCACCUCCUAGGUGCCUUGGGGGGGAGGGAAUCCCCCCUUGGCCGCCGCACCCCCUAGGAGAUUUGAUCUCCUAGGGCCGGCCACCCCCCCUUGGCACCCCUAUAUAUAGUGGGGGGAGAGGAGGGACUUCAUACCUUGUGCCCUGGCCUUUGGUUGCCUCCUUCUCCCUCCCCAACACCUCCUCCAACUCCAUAGCGCUUAGCGAAGCUCUGCCGGAGUACUGCAGCUCCACCAACACCACGCCGUCGUGCUGCUGCUGGUGCCAUCUCCCUCAACCUCUCCUCCCUUCCUUGCUGGAUCAAGAAGGAGGAGACGUGGCUGUUUCCGUACGUGUGUUGAACGCGGAGGUGCCGUCCGUUCGGCGCAGGUCAUCGGUGAUUUGGAUCACGUCGAGUACGACUACAUCAUCACCUUGCAAGCUUCCACACGCGAUCUACAAGUGGUAUGUAGAUGCAAACUCUCUCCCUAGACUCGUUUCUUAGAUGAACUCAUAGAUGGAUCUUGGUGAAACCGUAGGAAAAAUUUUAAUUUUCUGCAACGUUCCCCAACAGUGGUAUCAGAGCUAGGUCUAUGCGUAGUUCUCUUUGCACGAGUAGAACACAACUUUGUUGUGGGCGUGGAUUUUGUCAUCUUACUUGCCUCUACUAGUCUUUUCUUGCUUCGACGGUAUUGUGGGAUGAAGCGGCCCGGACCAACCUUACACGUACGCUUACGUGAGACCGGUUCCACCGACUGACAUGCACUAGUUGCAUAAGGUGGCUGGCGGGUGUCUGUCUCUCCCACUUUAGUUGGAGCGGAAUCGAUGAACAGGGCCCUUAUGAAGGGUAAAUAGAAGUUGACAAAAUCACGUUGUGGUGAUUCGUAGGUAAGAAAACGUUCUUGCUAGAACCCAAUUGCAGCCACGUAAAAGAUGCAAACAACAAUUAGAGGACGUCUAACUUGUUUUUGCAGCGAUUGAUCAUGUGAUGUGAUAUGGCCAGAAGUUGUGAUGAAUGAUGAAUUGUGAUGUAUGAGAUCAUGUUCUUUGUAAUAGGAUUCACGACUUGCAUGUCGAUGAGUAUGACAACCGGCAGGAGCCAUAGGAGUUGUCAUUAUUUUUUGUAUGACCUGCGUGUCAUUGAAUAACGUCAUGUAAACUACUUUACUUUAUUGCUAAACGUUAGUCAUAGAAGUAGAAGUAGUCGUUGGCGUGACAACUUCAUGAAGACACGAUGAUGGAGAUCAUGAUGAUGGAGAUCAUGGUGUCAAGCCGGUGACAAGAUGAUCAUGGAGCCCCGAAGAUGAAGAUCAAUGGAGCUAUAUGAUAUUGGCCAUAUCAUGUCACAACUAUAUAAUUGCAUGUGAUGUUUAUUAUGUAUUAUGCAUCUUGUUUACUUAGAACGACGGUAGUAAAUAAGAUGAUCCCUUAUAAAAUUUCAAGAAGUGUUCUCCCCUAACUGUGCACCGUUGCUACAGUUCGUCGUUUCUAAGCACCACAUGAUGAUCGGGUGUGAUGGAUUCUUACGUUCACAUACAACGGGUGUAAGACAGUUUUACACAGCGAAAACACUUAGGGUUAACUUGACGAGCCUAGCAUGUACAGACAUGGCCUCGGAACACGGAGACCGAAAGGUCGAACACGAGUCGUAUGGAAGAUACGAUCAACAUGAAAAUGUUCACCGACGAUGACUAGUCCGUCUCACGUGAUGAUCGGACACGGGCUAGUCGACUCGGAUCGUGUAACACUUAGAUGACUAAAGGGAUGUCUAAUCUAAGUGGGAGUUCAUAAUUUGAUUAGAACUUUAUUAUCAUGAACAUAGUCUAAAACCUUUGCAAAUAUGUCUUGUAGAUCAAUGGCUAACGCUAAUGUCAACAUGAACUUCAACGCGUUCCUAGAGAAAACCAAGCUGAAAGAUGAUGGCAGCAACUAUACGGACUGGGUCCGGAACCUGAGGAUCAUCCUCAUAGCUGCCAGGAAACAAUAUGUCCUAGAAGGACCGCUAGGUGACGCUCCCGUCCCAGAGAACCAAGACAUUAUGAAUGCUUGGCAAACUCGCGCUGAUGAUUACUCCCUCGUUCAGUGCGGCAUGCUUUACAGCUUAGAACCGGGGCUCCAAAAGCGUUUUGAGCAUCACGGAGCAUAUGAGAUGUUCGAAGAGCUGAAACUAGUUUUUCAAGCUCAUGCCCGGGUCGAGAGAUAUGAUGUCUCCGACAAGUUCUACAGUUGUAAGAUGGAGGAAAACAGUUCUGUCAGUGAGCACAUCCUGAAGAUGUCUGGGUUGCACAACCGUAUGACCCAGCUAAACAUUAACCUCCCAGAUGAGGCGGUCAUUGACAGAAUCCUCCAGUCGCUUCCACCAAGCUACAAGAGCUUUGUGAUGAACUACAACAUGCAAGGAAUGGAAAAGACCAUUCCUGAAUUGUUCUCGAUGCUGAAGUCAGCAGAGGCUGAAAUCAAGAAAGAACAUCAAGUGUUGAUGGUCAAUAAAACCACUAAGUUCAAGAAGGGCAAGGGUAAGAAGAACUUCAAGAAGGACGGCAAAGAUGUUGCCGCGCCUGGUAAGCCAGUUACCGGGAAGAAGUCAAAGAAUGGACCCAAGCCUGAGACUGAGUGCUUUUAUUGCAAGGGGAAGGGUCACUGGAAGCGGAACUGCCCCAAAUACUUAGCGGAUAAGAAGGCCGGCAACACCAAAGGUAUAUUUGAUAUACAUGUGAUUGAUGUGUACCUUACCAGUAAUCGUAGUAACUCCUGGGUAUUUGAUACCGGUGCCGUUGCUCAUAUUUGUAACUCACAGCAGGAGCUGCAGAAUAAACGGAGACUGGCAAAGGACGAGGUGACGAUGCGCGUCGGGAAUGGUUCCAAAGUCGAUGUGAUCGCCGUCGGCACGCUGCCUCUACAUUUACCUACGGGAUUAGUUUUGAACCUCAAUAAUUGUUAUUUAGUGCCAAGUUUGAGCAUGAACAUUGUAUCUGGAUCUCGUUUAAUACGAGAUGGCUACUCAUUUAAGUCUGAGAAUAAUGGUUGUUCGAUUUAUAUGAGAGAUAUGUUUUAUGGUCAUGCUCCGAUGGUCAAUGGUUUAUUCUUAAUGAAUCUCGAGCGUAAUAUUACACAUGUUCAUAGUGUAGAUGCCAAAAGAUUUAAAGUUGAUAACGAUAGUCCCACAUACUUGUGGCACUGCCGCCUUGGUCACAUUGGUGUCAAGCGCAUGAAGAAGCUCCAUGCUGAUGGACUUUUAGAGUCUCUUGAUUAUGAAUCGUUUGACACGUGCGAACCAUGCCUCUUAGGUAAAAUGACCAAGACUCCGUUCUCCGAAACAAUGGAGCGAGCAGCCAACUUGUUGGAAAUCAUACAUACCGAUGUGUGCGGUCCAAUGAGCGUUGAGGCUCGCGGAGGAUAUCGUUAUGUUCUCACUCUCACAGACGACUUGAGUAGAUAUGGGUAUGUCUACUUAAUGAAACACAAGUCUGAGACCUUUGAAAAGUUCAAGGAAUUUCAGAAUGAGGUGGAGAAUCAACGUGACCGAAAGAUAAAAUUCUUACGAUCAGAUCGUGGAGGAGAAUACUUAAGUCACGAAUUUGGUACACACUUAAAGAAAUGUGGAAUCGUUUCACAGCUCACGCCGCCUGGAACACCUCAGCGAAACGGUGUGUCCGAACGUCGUAAUCGCACUCUAUUGGAUAUGGUGCGGUCUAUGAUGUCUCUUACCGAUUUACCGCUAUCAUUUUGGGGAUACGCUCUAGAGACAGCUACAUUCACUUUAAAUAGGGCACCGUCUAAAUCCAUUGAGACGACACCGUAUGAAUUAUGGUUUGGAAAGAAACCUAAGCUGUCGUUUCUAAAAGUUUGGGGAUGCGAAGCUUAUGUCAAGAAACUUCAACCUGAAAAGCUCGAACCAAAGUCGGAAAAAUGCGUAUUCAUAGGAUACCCUAAGGAAACUAUAGGGUAUACCUUCUACUUAAGAUCCGAAGGCAAGAUCUUUGUUGCCAAGAACGGAUGCUUUCUGGAGAAAGAGUUUCUCUCGAAAGAAGUAAGUGGGAGGAAAGUAGAACUCGAUGAAGUACUACCUCUUGAGCGGGAUAGUGACGCAGCACAGGAAACCAUUCCUGUGAUGCCCACACCAACUGAAGAGGAAAACCAUGAUGAUGAUCAAGGUACUUCGGAUCAAGUUACUGCUGAACUUCGUAGGUCCACAAGGACACGUUCCGCACCAGAGUGGUACGGCAACCCUGUCCUGGAAAUCAUGUUGUUAGACAACAAUGAACCUUCGAACUAUGAAGAAGCAAUGACGGGCCCGGAUUCCAACAAAUGGCUUGAAGCCAUGAAAUCCGAGAUAGAAUCCAUGUAUGAAAACAAAGUAUGGACUUUGACAGACUUGCCCGAUGAUCGGCGAGCGAUAAAAAACAAAUGGAUCUUUAAGAAGAAGACGGACGCGGAUGGUAAUGUUACCAUCUAUAAAGCUCGACUUGUCGCUAAGGGUUAUCGACAGGUUCAAGGGAUUGACUACGACGAGACAUUCUCUUCCGUAGCGAAGCUAAAGUCCGUCCGAAUCAUGUUAGCAAUUGCCGCAUACUAUGAUUAUGAGAUAUGGCAGAUGGACGUCAAAACAGCAUUCCUUAACGGGCAUCUUAAGGAAGAACUGUAUAUGAUGCAGCCGGAAGGUUUUGUCGAUCCUUAGAACACUAACAAAGUAUGCAAGCUCCAGCGAUCCAUUUAUGGACUGGUGCAAGCAUCUCGGAGUUGGAACAUUCGCUUUGAUGAGAUGAUCAAAGCGUUUGGGUUUAUGCAGACUUAUGGAGAAGCCUGCGUUUACAAGAAAGUGAGUGGGAGCUCUGUAGCAUUUCUCAUAUUAUAUGUAGAUGACAUACUCCUGAUGGGAAAUAAUAUAGAAUUUCUGGACAGCAUUAAGGCCUACUUGAAUAAGUGUUUUUCAAUGAAGGACCUUGGAGAAGCUGCUUAUAUAUUAGGCAUCAAGAUCUAUAGAGAUAGAUCGAGACGCCUCAUAGGUCUUUCACAAAGUACAUACCUUGAUAAGAUUUUGAAGAGAUUCAGAAUGGAUCAGUCCAAGAAGGGGUUCUUGCCUAUGUUACAAGGUAUGAGACUAAGCUCAGCUCAGUCACCGACCACGGCAAAAGAUAAAGAAGAGAUGAGUGUCAUCCCCUAUGCUUCAGCCAUAGGAUCUAUUAUGUAUGCCAUGCUGUGUACCAUACCCGAUGUAAACCUUGCCGUAAGUUUGGUAGCAAGAUACCAAAGUAAUCCCGGCAAGGAACACUGGACAGCGGUCAAGAAUAUCCUGAAGUACCUGAAAAGGACAAAGGACAUGUUUCUCGUUUAUGGAGGAGACGAAGAGCUCGUCGUAAAGGGUUACGUCGACGCUAGCUUCGACUCAGAUCUGGAUGACUCUAAGUCACAAACCGGAUACGUGUAUAUGUUGAAUGGUGGAGCAGUAAGCUGGUGCAGCUGCAAGCAGAGCGUCGUGGCGGGAUCUACGUGUGAAGCGGAGUACAUGGCAGCCUCGGAGGCAGCACAUGAAGCGAUUUGGGUGAAGGAGUUCAUCACCGACCUAGGAGUCAUACCCAAUGCGUCGGGGCCAAUCAAACUCUUCUGUGACAACACUGGAGCUAUUGCCCUCGCAAAGGAGCCCAGGUUUCACAAGAAGACCAGGCACAUCAAGCGUCGUUUCAACUCCAUCCGUGAAAAUGUUCAAGAUGGAGACAUAGAGAUUUGCAAAGUGCACACGGAUCUGAAUGUCGCAGAUCCGCUGACUAAACCUCUCUCGCGUGCAAAACAUGAUCAACACCAGAACUCUAUGGGUGUUCGAUUCAUCACAAUGUAACUAGAUUAGUGACUCUAGUGCAAGUGGGAGACUGUUGGAAAUAUGCCCUAGAGGCAAUAAUAAAAGUAUUAUUAUAUUUCAUUGUUCAUGAUAAUUGUCUUGUAUUCAUGCUAUAACUGUAUUAUCCGGAAAUCGUAAUACACGUGUGAAUACUUAGACCACACAAUGUCCCUGGUAAGCCUCUAGUUGACCAGCCCGUUGUGAUCAACAGAUAGUCAUGGUUUCCUGACUAUGGACAUUGGAUGUCAUUGAUAACGGGAUCACAUCAUUAGGAGAAUGAUGUGAUGGACAAGACCCAAUCCUAAGCAUAGCAUAAAAGAUCGUGUAGUUCGUUUUGCUAGAGCUUUGCAAGUGUCAAGUAUCUCUUCCUUCGACCAUGAGAUCGUGUAACUCCCGGAUACCGUAAGAAUGCCUUGGGUGUGCCAAACGUCACAACGUAACUGGGUGACUAUAAAGGUGCAUUACAGGUAUCUCCGAAAGUAGCUGUUGGGUUGAUACGGAUCGAGACUGGGAUUUGUCACUCCGUAUGACGGAGAGGUAUCUCUGGGCCCACUCGGUAAUGCAUCAUCAUAAUGAGCUCAAAGUGACCAAGGUGUUGGACACGGGAUCAUGCAUUACGGUACGAGUAAAGUGACUUGCCGGUAACGAGACUGAACAAGGUAUUGGGAUACCGACGAUCAAGUCUCGGGCAAGUAACGUACCGAUUGGCAAAGGGAAUUGUAUACAGGGUUUGAUCGAAUCCUCGACAUAGUGGUUCAUCCGAUGACAACAUCGAGGAGCAUGUGGGAGCCAUCAUGGGUAUCCAGAUCCCGCUGAUGGUUAUUGACUAAGAGAGUCUCGGUCAUGUCUACAUGUCUCCCGAACCCGUAGGGUCUACACACUUAAGGUUCAGUCACGCUAGGGUUGUAGGGAUAUGUAUAUGCAGUAACCCGAAUGUUGUUCGGAGUCCCGGAUGAGAUCCCGGACGUCACGAGGAGUUCCGGAAUGGUCCGGAGGUAAAGAUUUAUAUAUGGGAAGUCCUGUUUCGGGCAUCGGGACAAGUUUCGGGGUUAUCGGUAUUGUACCGGGACCACCGGGUGGGGCCACCCAUCCCCGGGGGCCACAUGGGCUGUAGGGGGUGCGCCUUGGCCUACAUGGGCCAAGGGCACCAGCCCCACAAGGCCCAUGCGCCUAGGGUUUCCAAGGGGGAGGAGUCCUACUAGUGGAAGGCACCUCCUAGGUGCCUUGGGGGGGGAGGGAAUCCCCCCUUGGCCGCCGCACCCCCUAGGAGAUUUGAUCUCCUAGGGCCGGCCACCCCCCCUUGGCACCCCUAUAUAUAGUGGGGGGAGAGGAGGGACUUCAUACCUUGUGCCCUGGCCUUUGGUUGCCUCCUUCUCCCUCCCCAACACCUCCUCCAACUCCAUAGCGCUUAGCGAAGCUCUGCCGGAGUACUGCAGCUCCACCAACACCACGCCGUCGUGCUGCUGCUGGUGCCAUCUCCCUCAACCUCUCCUCCCUUCCUUGCUGGAUCAAGAAGGAGGAGACGUGGCUGUUUCCGUACAUGUGUUGAACGCGGAGGUGUCGUCCGUUCGGCGCAGGUCAUCGGUGAUUUGGAUCACGUCGAGUACGACUACAUCAUCACCUUGCAAGCUUCCGCACGCGAUCUACAAGUGGUAUGUAGAUGCAAACUCUCUCCCUAGACUCGUUGCUUAGAUGAACUCAUAGAUGGAUCUUGGUGAAACCGUAGGAAAAAUUUUAAUUUUCUGCAACGUUCCCCAACACAGUUGGUACACCGGGAUCUCCAAGUUUCUUUGGUAUUCCACUCUUAAAAGUAUAAUUAGCAAGCAUGAUGGAAAUUUUAGCUUCCAGUAUCUUUCUUUUAUUUGUAAUUAUAUCUUUCAUGUACUUAGCAUAAGGAUUGGUUUUGAGCAUAUCAGUUAAACACAUACGCAAAAAGAUAGGUCUAAUCAUUUCAGCAAAGCGCUCAAAAUCCUCAUCAUCCUUUUUCCUGGAUGGUUUGGGAGGAAAAGGCAUGGGUUUCUGAACCCAUGGUUCUCUUUCUUUACCAUGUUUCCUAGCAAUAAAGUAUUUCUUAUCAUAACAUUAAUUCUUUGAUUGUGGGUUAUCAAGAUAAAACAGCAGGUCCAAUUUCUAUGUCAUUAUCAUUACUACGUUGAGCAUCAUUAUGAACAUUAUCACUGGUUUCAGGUUCAUUACUAGAUUGAGUUUCAGCAUCAGAAAUAGAAAUAUCAUUUGGAUUCUCAGGUGUUUCAACAAUAGGAUCACUGGAAGCAUGCAAAGUCUUAUCAUUUUUCUUUUUCUUCUUUUUAGAAGAACUAGGUGCAUCUAUAUUAUUUCUCUGAGAAUCUUGCUCAAUUCUCUUAGGAUGGCCUUCAGGAUACAAAGGUUCCUGAGUCAUCUUACCACCUCUAGUCAUAACUCUAACAGCAUUAUCAUUAUCUUUACUAUUCAAUUCAUUGAACAAAUCAUUUUGAGCUUUAAGUACUUGUUCUGCUUGAGUGGUAACCAUAGAAGCAUGUUUACUAAUAAGUUUAAGUUCACCUUUCACAUUAGCCAUAUAAUCACCCAAGUGUUCAAGCAUAUUUGAAUUUUAUUUCAAUUGUCGACCAAAAUAAGCAUUAAAAUCUUCUUGCUUAGCCAUAAAUUUAUCAAACUCAUCUAAGCAUGGGCUAGCAAAUUUAGUAAAUGGGAUUACAGCUUUAUCAUAUCUAUAGAGAGAAUUUACCUUUACUACUUGUGUCGGGUUAUCAAGACCAUGAGUUUCUUCAAUAGAUAAUGAAUUAAGAUUAUAUGUUUCUUCAAUAGGCGGUAAAUUAAGACCAUGUAUUUCUUCAAUAGGAGGUAAAUUCUUAACAUCUUCAGCUUUACUACCUUUUUCUUUCAUAGAUUUCUUUACCUCUUGCAUAUCUUCAGGACUGAGAAAUAGAAUACCUCUCUUCUUCGGAGUUGGUUUAGGAAUAGGCUCAGGAAUUGGCUCUGGAGGUGUCCAAUUAUUUUCAUUUGUCAACAUAUUAUUCAAUAGAAUUUCAGCUUCAUCCGGUGUUCUUUCCCUGAAAACAGAACCAGCACAACUAUCCACGUAAUCUCUGGAGGCAUUGGUUAGUCCAUUAUAAAAGAUAUCAAGUAUUUAAUUUUUCUUAAGAGGAUGAUCAGACAAAGCAUUAAGUAAUUGGAGAAGCCUCCCCCAAGCUUGUCCCCCAAGCUUGUGGGAGACUCUCUUCUUCAAUUUGCACAAAAUUAUAUAUAUCCCUUAAAGCAGCUUGUUUCUUAUGAGCAGAGAAAUAUUUAGCAGAGAAGUAAUAAAUCAUAUCCUGGGGACUACGCACACAACCAGGAUCAAGAGAAUUAAACCAUAUCUUAGCAUCACCCUUUAAUGAGAACGGAAAUAUUUUAAGGAUGUAAAAGUAACGAGUUCUCUCAUCUUUAGUAAACAGGGUAACUAUAUCAUUCAAUUUAGUAAGAUGUGCCACAACAGUUUCAGACUCAUAACCAUGAAAAGGAUCGGAUUCAACCAAAGUAAUUAUAUCAGGAUCAACAGAGAAUUCAUAAUCCUUAUCAGUAACAAAGAUAGGUGAAGUAGCAAAAGCAGGGUCAGGUUUCAUUCUAACAUUUAGAGAUUGCUUACUCCAUUUAGCUAAUAACCUUUUGAGUUCAUUUAUAUUUUGGCAAGCUAAAAUAGCUAAAGAAGCUUCUUGAUCAAAAACAUAACCGUUAGGAAUAACAAGUGAUUCUUCAUCAUCACUUUCAUCAGUAUCAUCAGAUUCAAUAUUUUCAAUUUCUCUAGCCCUAGCAAGUUGUUCAUCAAGAAAAUCACUAAGUGGCAUAGUAGUAUCAGACAUAGAGGUAGUUUCAUCAUAAGUAUCAUGUAUAGCAGAAGUGGCAUCAUCAAUAACAUGUGACAUAUCAGAACGAAUAGCAAAAGCAGGUGUAGAUGUCGCAAACUUACUCAUAACAGAAGGUGAAUCAAGUGCAGAGCUAGAUGGCAGUAUCUUACCUCCCCUCGUAGUUAAGGCAUAGAUCUUGGUUUUUGGAUCUCUCAAGUUCUUCAUAAUGGUAAGCAGAUAUAAAUCCCAAGUGACUCAAAGAAUAGAGCUAUGCUCCCUCGCAACGGUGCCAGAAAAUAUUCUUGAUAACCCACAAGUAUAGGGGAUCGCAACAAUUUUCGAGGGUAGAGUAUUCAACCCAAAUUUAUUGAUUCGACACAAGGGGAGCCAAAGAAUACUCUCAAGUAUAAGUAGCUGAGUUGUCAAUUCAACCACACCUGGAAACUUAAUAUCUGCAGCAAAGUAUUUAGUAGCAAAGUAAUAUGAUAGUAGUGGUAACGGUAAUAAAUGGUAACGGUAGUAAAAUUAAUGUUUUUGGUAUUUUGUAGUGAUGAUAGCAAUAGCAACGGGGAAGUAAAUAAGCGAAGAACAAUAUAUGAAAAGCUCGUAGGCAAUGGAUCGGUGAUGGAGAAUUAUGCCGGGUGCGGUUCAUCAUGUAACACUCAUAACCUAGGGUGACACAGAACUAGCUUCAGUUCAUCAAUGUAAUGUAGACAUGUAUUCUGAAUAUAGUCAUACGUGCUUAUGGAAAAAAAACUUGCAUGACAUCUUUUGUCCUACCCUCCCAUGGCAGCGGAGUCCUUACGGAAACUAUGGGAUAUUAAGGCCUCCUUUUAAUAGAAAACUGAAACAAAGCAUUAACACAUAGUGAAUACAUGAACUCCUCAAACUACGGUCAUCACCGGUAAGUAUCCCGAUUAUUGUCACUUCGGGGUUAACGGAUCAUAACACAUAAUAGGUGACUAUAGACUUGCAAGAUCACUACAACAAAAUAGACAUGUAAAGACGUUUUUGAUUUGACGCUUUUAUCUACGUCUCAUUAUUGAAAAUCACUUGGCGUAUAGAGACGUCUUGUGAGGCGCAAUAGACAUCGUCGCUUGAUUCCCAUAAAAAAAAUCUAGACGCGUCAAAAUAUCUUGUUCAACCACCAUCAACCUUUAUCCCCCAUCGUGCAAUAUGGGCUAAGAAUUUUUUUUUCGAGGGUACGCAAAUUGCGUACCAUAGCUUUAUAGAAGGAGAGAAAAAUAGUACAUGACAUCUACCCCUCGCUGCAAACAACGAGCGUAGCACAACAACACAUCCGGCUAUCCUCAGGACAGCCACACACGACAUCACAACUACAACACGGAAAGACCUGCCCAAAACCGAAACACCUCGCCAGCCUCCAGCAGUAGCCUCGGGGUCUCAGGGACGCCAGCUUCCAGGCGGCGCCCAGCCCCACUCCGGCCGCCUCUACCGACAGCUCCGGCACACGGUGCGCUGCAGCUGGAAGGGAAGAUGACGGAUGGCGGGGUCGGCACAGAACUGCACAUCCCCAACUCCUCCUACUGAGUACUGACUCACCCCCGCCCCCAAGUUUUGCACUCCUGGUCGACCACCACCAUUAACGAGACAUGGUACUGAUCAGCUAGGCGCUCGUUUGUUUGUAUGUACACUGUCGGUGUCUAUCAGACUUUGAUUGAGAUUCAUCUUUCUGCACUACAACAAUGUUAUCACAGACAUCUUAAUUAGUUUAUGUGAUCCCCGGCACAGGGGGAGCUCUCGGUAGGGCGAGGACGGGCGCCCGCCCUACCUUGAUUUGCCGGGGAAGAAAAUUACGUAGGUACUCGCUCUGAUUCGUCGAUAGUUCCUGAAAAAAUCGUUGUCUUGUUGGAUCCUGAGUCAGUGAGCAGCGAUUCUGUCAUCUCCAAUGUUCCAGCCGUCCAACAUAGCAGGAAGCCAGCCGGAGCUUACCUAGCAGCACGGAGCGGCGCGCGGAGCCGGCGGACGGCUGCGGUCUGUGUGCGGGCCGGUGGACAGCGAGAGCAGCGAGGGCGGCGGUCAGCGUCCACACCCUGCCUGCAGCCCCCUCAUCGACUCUGUUCUUUUUCCAUCCAUGUUCUGUUUUCUCUUUUUCUAGUCGUGUGUGCACUAGUGGCUGGAGAUUCAUAACAUAUUGACGAAUUUUUCUAAUUAAAAACAGUGAGAAUGUGUGAUAUGUGAUAGUAAUUACUCAGUGCUUUACAUUCAUUUUUGUAUGUGCUUUAUGCUCUGUGAUAGAAAAUUUUCUUAAUAUUGAUGACAAAUUGACAAUUGCUGAUUAAAAACAGUGAGUGUGGGUGGUGCAGCGGCGUUGCCAACUUUGUGGGCGAAGGGGAAACAUGGAUAUGAAGGGGAAGGCCUAGCAAAGGCAAAGGGGAGGUGUGUAUUUUUUUUAUUUUAGUGGCAUUUUCAGCUAAAAGUAUUUGUGUGCACUACCAUUGUCUUUUGAUUUUUAUUUUUGUGCUUUAGAGUUCGCCCCACCUCAGAAAAAAUUCGUCCUCCACCACUGAUCCUCAGGGAAAAAAUGUCCGCCCCGGUGAACUGCCACCCUCUCUGUCUCUGAGAACCCUUCGUCUUGCAACCAAAAUUCAUCCAUGCGUCGUCUGCCAUGUGAAGCUUGUUGCCAUCAGGUAGACUGACCUCGUGCCCGCCACUAUCGACCAGCGGGAAGCUAGCGAGUGAUUUGGAGAACAUAAGUGACUUGCGCGAGCGCACAAGGCAGCCAAUUCAUCUAUAGGUGAGUUGAUCUACUUUUUUUAGUUUUAGUUGUUGUUCUAUGAAUUCAUUCCAAGUAAAAAAUUAGAGCCCCUGCCUUGAUGCGUACUUAAUUGUGGAGGAGAAUCUUGACAUCACAUUUACUUUAGGUUAUCUCUAUUACAAUAUGGGACAACAAUACUUUGUCUUUUUUUCUGAACUCUCAUAUUUUUACUGACUAAACUACUAGUUCAACUUAAAGUCGAUCUUACACUUGUUUGCUCCCAAAUUAUUGGUACACACGAAUGUUGGUGCUUGAUAAAAAGCCUGUGAGAAUAUCCUGAUAGAAUAAGAUGAUCAGUGUUAUUAACGAAAUUUUCAUUUUCAUGCAAUUAAUAAUUCUCGUGUAUCAACUAUCAAAUCACCUUCAUUUUCCCCCAUAACUGAUUAUAAGAACUUUGUGCCCACGUUCUAAUAAUUUUUUGAAUAAACAUGCCUUGUACUAUAAGAGGGAGAGAUCAACUCAUACAUGUGGUUUCUCAUCUGCAGAAACUUUUCUGAUGUUGUCUGAUAAAGAGCACCGUGGAUGGAUAUAUUAUCAUUUUUGGUAAAAUCUAAUCAUAUGUGAUUAUGUGAAACAUCUGGAUUAGAUGCGUUGCACUAUGUCUGAAGCAGCAAAAUGGCAUCAUGCUCGCUUUUGUGUUCGACUGAAGAGUAUUAAUGUGAACUAGCAUGAGAAUUCAGUUUUUUAUGGUAAAUGUCGUCUUAUAGUCUUAUGUGGAGAUUAUUAGUGUCGCAACCAUGAAAGUUCAGUCCCCGUAUGUUAACCUGAUGUUAUUUCUUUACAUAUUUUUUGUAAGGUAUAUCCAUCAACAACAACAUGAUGUUUCCUCCUUUUACAGUAUACGUAUCUAUACUUCGUAUGGUAACAUGACAUCAACCAGACUAGACUAAACUUCUGGAGGGCAUGUUUACUCGGUGUGGUACAUAAAUACCAUUCUCUAUUCUUAUGGUUGUAUGUUCAGCAAAGGAGAACUCGCUGGUAGAAGUUCCAAUGAUUUUUUUUUCAAAUCUCAUUUUGCUUUCUUUGCAGAAAACUUGUACGUGCGAAUUCUAAAGGUAGCCACCACAAGGAUAAACUACAGAAGUAGAGAAAGCAAGGAGCUAUUAUUCCACUAUCAGCAUGUACAAACUAGAAAUCAUAUACUCCCUCUGUUCCUAAAUAUAAGUCCUUUUAGAGAUUUCGAUGUGAACUAUACACGAAGCAAAAUCAGUGAAUCUAUGCUCUAAAGUACAUCUAUAUACAUUAGUAUGUAGUCCCAAUUAAAAUCUGUAAAAAAGACUUAUCUUCAGAAACGGAGGGAGUAGAUAUAUUUCAGCUAGUUUGUGAAAUACGUAAUUUUUUUAUUGAUGAUGUGUACAAUUGAGUUUGUAAAAUACUACUGCUCUAAUUAAUACAAUGCUAUUAUUUUGCGUGAUACCAUACAUUUUUUGAAUAUUUUCUGAUAUGUAAAUGGGAGUCAAACUGUUUAAUAUAAGAAAGUAAUUUUAUUAAGUGCAACUUAAUUAAGAAAUUAUACAACGAAAGAGAAUAUAUGCAGUUGCAUCUAGCAUAAAUUUAGCAAUGCGUCUCUAAGGGCAGGAGGACGCUCUUAAAACGUCUCAUCCAUGUAGACACGCUUUGUAAGGACGGUCUUAAAACGUCUCAUUUUCCUGUAGACACGCUCCCUAUGCGUCUCAGUGGUAUUUGAGACGGUGCGUGGGGAGACUGCCGGGGUUCUGAUCCACGAGCACCUAUGGGACCGGCGGACCGAGUCCCUUUCGGUUCGGCAGGGGCGGAGGUCGCACGAAGAGUGGAUCGAGGCGAAGCACACGAGCAGUUUACCCAGGUUUGGGCCGCACGGAUGCGUAAAACCCUACUCCUGCUUUGUGGUUUGUAUUGAGUUCUUGCUCGGGAGCGCGGAGUGCUACAGUACACUCCAGCAGCUAACGAGACCGAGCGUGAGUGUUCUCUUUCUUCUAACCAGCCAACUCACCCCCCUCUACGUUGCGCAUGGGCCUCCUUUUAUAUGCUCAAGGGGUCACCGACAGGUGGCAACGUAGACAAGGGUAAAAAUGGAAAGGUGCUGCGGUAGGUACAGCCACCUACUACAGUGUAUCAUACCUAACCCUGACGGCCGGGGACAAGGGCAUUAAAUGCCCGUCUGCGUCGUCUAAAUAGUGCAAAAGGGACUGUCAGGGACACCACCACUUGCCACGAUGGCAAUCUUGUCAGCGCCGCUUGCCACUGCGCACCCCUGGCUGCACAGCCUCCCGCCACGUACGCCUGGAAGGGUCCCAGAGCGACACGUUGAUGGAUGUGCUGGAGCGCGGGCACAGAGUGGUAGCUUGCCGCGGCAAGCGCCUUGCCGCGGUCGUUGUCUUGUCGUGUCCGGGAGCUUGUCGCUCAUCGGGCCUUGCCGGGACGCAUGGCGCGUCGCGGCAAGUUCCUUGAGGUGCCUUGGUUGGACUUCCCGGCAAGCUCCUCUUACCGGGGUCUUGAGAUGCCUUUGUUGGCCUUCCCGGCAAGCUCCUCUUGCCGGGGUCUUGUCUCCUUGGCUUGGAUACUUUGUUCUUGAAUGGCUCCAAAGGAACCACGGAGGACCUUGGCGGUCACCUGGCAAGCCUUGCCGCGGGAUGCUGCGACUGCCCGUGCACAAGUUCGGGAUACUAGGGUACCCCUAUUCUAGUACACCGACAGGAGCCCCCGGGCCUGGGCCAUACACGGUACCGAGCGCUGUUGGGCCAGGCCCACAACAGGGCACGGGCAUGCGCGGCCUAGGUUACGCCGUAUCUCUCCCCGUAUCCACCAUGCCCUCCCCGAACGGCACGUGUUGAAUGCGGCGUCGUGGGAGAGAUCGUGGGUGGUUUCUUUAUUUGGAAAUGCGGAACGUCCGUCCCCUCCCUCUUUAUAAGCAGAUGAAACAGGGGCAGUUCGCCCAUUCGCCGGUUGCAGCUUCAAUCCCGGAAAUCUCCGCCGCUCCCUCAUCUUCCCAAAGCCGAAAGAGAGCAGCGCCCCGCCCCCAUCGCCACCAGUGCCACCAACGCCGUCGGCCUCCUCCACCACUUCCGCCAUGGCUCCGAAAGCCGACAAGGGGAAGGUCGUGAAGUCGACCGAGGCGCAGCGGCUUGCGGCGCUGCGAAAGGAGCGGGCAGUCUUCCCCCCCAAGCUCGCCGCGAGGGAGCUGAGGGAGAACUACUACCUCUUCUGGUCGACGGAGACGCGAGCGCACCCGUGCACGAAGGUACUUCCAGCCGCCGCUUGGAAAACGGCUCCAAAUGGAUAUCCAUUCUUCGCCUUGUUCUUCUACUGCGGGCUCUGCCCGCCUUUCUCUGAAUUCUUCUGCGAUAUCAUGAACACCUACGGGUUCCACCUCCUUGAUUUCACCCCAACGCCGUUCUGACCAUGGCAGUUUUCGCACAUCUCUGCGAAAACUUUGUCGGAGUCCAUCCCAAUGUAGCCCUUUUCCGCCACUUCUUUAUACCCUGAGUAGAGAGGGGAGAGCCUUUAUCCGGCGGAAUCGCCUGGAUCUCGAGGGCCGGCAAGAAGGAAACUUAUUUGGAGGGAGAAUUCCGCGGCAAGUGGGAGGAGUGGAGAGCAGACUGGUGCCGGAUUGACGAGGAGAACCCGCAGCCAUUCACCACCCGGCGCCAAGCCCCAGUAGCACGCGGCAGCGGCUGGAGUGACGUGGCCCCGGAAGACGACAGGCUGAAGAUUGCUGUCACCCGGAUCCUGCGCCUCAAGCUUGCCGGGCUCACUGUGGGUGCUGUUGGCGCAGAUUUUCUUCGCCGCCGCAUCGCCCCCCUGCAGGAACGAGGGAGACCCGCCUGGGAGUUCAAGAAUGCGGCGGAUAUCAUGAGGUUGCGGCCGGGCCUCAACUUCAACUUCACUGUUCUGGAGCUCAACGCGAUGCUGCAGGAGCUGUUCAAGUAUGACCCCCAACAUCCCGAAGUGUUCAGGUUGCCGGGGGGCGUCGUUCCGCUGUGCAACAACUCCUCGCUUGACCGCAUCCGUGCAAUGAUGCCACUGUGCGACUCGCAUGGAAUUGUGCCAACUUGGCAAGGGCCUGCAGACGAUGCCGUGCAGCAGUUCUUCGAUGGCUUGGUAGAAGUGCCGAUCCGCCCCGACGAGAAGGACAGCCUCACCCACGACACCACCGAUGCGGAGAUGACACGCAUCGCCACUAGGCUGGAAGAGGCGGCGGCAGCCGCAGCCGCGGGCGAAUUAGGAUUCACCGUGGAGGAGGCAGAUGCAGCAGAGGCGGCAAGCCAUGCCGAGCGAGGGGAGCCCGCCGGGGAGAAAGAGCUUGCCGGGCGGAAAGGGCUUGCCAGGCAUGGCGUCGAGUCGAGCGAGCCCGCCGAGGAUGCGAGCGGCUCGCUGGAGAUUAACUCCUCUUCAUCUUCAUCUUCGGGCAGCUCGCCGCAAGCAGAGCCUCCAUCCCCACCAAGAAGGCGUCUCCGCAAGGCCGACGAAGUAGCGGAGCGGCAGGCGGGCCAACAGUCGCCGUGUCGCGUGACGCGCUCCACCGCGGCAAACACCGUUGCCGCGGGAGCGCCUCAUGCUGCGACGGCAACUGGAGCGGGGUCUAGCCGGACCACCGCUUCUGCUCCUACCGUUUCUCACGCCGCGACGGCAGCCGGAGCAGGGUCGCCUCAGACCACCGCCACCGUUCCCGCCAAGCGGCCAAGGGAAACUACUCCUCCGUCUUCCCGCGCCGGGCGUGACCCGGACUUCAACUUCUCCGCGUUCAGCUCCGACGAGGAAGAAGAAGAAGAGUAAGAUUCUCUUGUUGUACUUGUAGUUCUUCAAUCCUUGCUGUCUUGUCUUGUAUCUCAUUUGCUUUACUCUGAACUUAUUCCUUUUUAGGACUCUGGCCCAGAGAGCAGCGAAGAGAGCCAAGGUCCCGGUGAUCGUCAUCGAGGACGAGCCCACUGCGACAGCAGGGGGUGUGCCCGAGACAACCUUGCCGGACUCGGCAACUUUCCUCCAGAGCAGCCCCCAGCGUAAGUAUAUGAUUUGCUUUCCGCUGUGAGGUGCGCAUGGAUACUCUGUCUUUGCCGAUAUCUGUUUGUUGGUUUGUGUAGGAGCAGAGCAGCCCCACCAGGAGCCAAGGGAGAGUCCCCCGGCAAGGGAGAAGUCUCCGGCAAGGGAGAGUUCUCCGGCAAGGGACAGCACCAGCGGCCCCCCGACGGCGGAGACCACGACUGCAGAACCCGGGACAGGUAAUCCUUUCGCUGCAAGAUUUCCCUUGGGUUCUUCUUCUUGGGUUUUUAUUGGAUUUUGCUUGACUCUUCUCCCUUUUCCGGCUGUCAGACCCAUCUGCUACGGAGCCGAUGGAGACCGAGGUUGCCACCGACGAAGCAGCCGGUGUUGACGAUCCCGCCGGCGCAGAGGCCGCCAAGGCUGCCACCGCGGCAACUGGCGAGGGGUCCGGCGAUCGCACUGACGACCCUGAGGCCACAGGAGCGCCAGGCGCUGCGCCGACCGCCGACCCGUCUGCCGCUGCCGCAGCGCCAGGCUCCGAAGAGCCCCAGCCCGGCGUCUACUUGAAGGCCGGCGAUGACGUCUUCAUCAACCUCCCCUGGGCGUCAAGCUCCAGGGCGCCGGUCGAGGGAUAGAUCUUCGACGGGGAGGUGCUCGCCUCCGCUGGGCUGACGCUGGUUGACGCGCCAAGCAGCAGCAGCAACGAGCCUGAGGAGGAGCGGCUGUUGCGGAAGUUGUUGUCGCUCUACCGCGCGCGGCAAGCCAAGCUGGAAUCCCGCGAGGCACUUGUCGCGAAGGCGGGAGCGGACAUCGAGAAGCGCGCGGAGGAGCUCCGGGGUCUCCACCAGGAAGCUCUCCGGUCCUUGGCAGAGGAGCGGGAGCAACUUGCCGAAGCGCAGAAGGCCUUCCUCCUCGAGAAGGCUAAAAUCAGAAAGCAACAGCGGCUUGCCGCUGAGAAGCUGUCUGCACAGGAAGGCGAGCUGGCGCAGCGGAAGGUCAAUCUUGACGCCCACGAGGAGGAGCUUGCCGCGCGCGAGGAAAAAUUUGGCGGAGCCCUCAAGCAAGCGGAAGAUGCUGCCGCAGCCGCCGAGGCCGCCAAGAAGGAGCUGGAGAUGAAGGUGGCGCAGCUGGAGGCCGAUCUCGCCGAGAAGGGCAAAGAGCUCAGUGCCGCCAAGGUCUCCAACAUGGAUCUUGAGUUGAAGCUGACCACUUUGACCAAGACGCUGGACGGCGCCAAGGAGCAAGAAGCGGCCUUGAAACAGGAGAUCAGGGCCGACAAGGCGCUGCUGGAGAGUGCUGCCGCCACCCAGAAUGCUUUCAGGGAGACUGUGGAGCACUGGACGAAGAGUCUUGUGAGUGCUACCGUAGAUAUCGACAGGGAGCUGGCGCAGCUGGGGGUGGAGGAUCUCGGGUAUCCCUCCGACGAGAACCUCCAACCCAGCGCCAAGCUUGUCUUGUUCUUCAAAGGCGUGGCGACGGCCCUCCAGCGACUCCGGGAGAGGAUCCCAAAGCAGCUGGCCGACGAGUCGCGCAAGAUCUGCGCGGGAGCUCUUCAGAAAGUGUUGGUGAAGGUGGCCUUCCGCAAUCCGGGCCUCAACCUCACCAACGUCCUCAAGACCCUGCCGCUGGAUGCUGAUCUGGAGGCGCUCAAGACCCUUGUCGCACCCACUGUGGACAAGGUGAGCGGGAUCAAGAGGAUCGAGGGCGAUCGCGUAGACUAGGCCGCCCGCUUCUUCUUUUCUUGUCGCUGUUUGUCAUGUUAUGAAAACAAUCUGUUAGAGCCGCCAUAAGCUAUCUUUGUAAUAUGACUCUAUUUCGGGCAAUGAUUGCAAUGUUAUUCCCUUUACUUGAUUCCUCCCUUUGUAUGUUUUUGCCCUACGCUUUUAGGGAACUUGCCGGUGCAGGCACCUGAGCUGCGAGCACUGAGUGCGGGACGUCAGCAGCCUGCUAGCGGUGCCGCUACCGACAAGAAACCUUGUCGCAACUAGUUGCAGCUCACUUAAGUUGUUGAGCGGACUCGAAACAAAGUAAGGGCGCAACUAGCUACGAGUUGGUUCCUCCGCGCAUAGGUUUUCCAUACAAAGUGCAGUCGUUCAAGGGAGAUAACUUAAAAAAUUUUAAAAUCUGAUUGCUCAAACUUUGGCAACUUAGCUUUUCUGUUGUUUGCUUCCCGGUAAGGCGAAACUUUCUUGAAUGACGCCUGGUCCAUACCAUUAUCUUCUCCUCCCCCCCCGGCAAACUUUUGGGCAAGGGAACCUUCCUUUCCUUGAGAAAAAAGAAAGAAGAGAAAAUAAAGAUAUGGAGCCUUAAGGCUCGUUAUUGCUUACUGGGGAGUAGGUGCUGCACAAAGUGUCAGAUCACAUAUGCAAAAAAUAGAAAGCAUGAAAUCGACAAGAUGUGCGGAGCACAUGAGCUUUACUUAUGCACGGGGUCUGCGCCCAGCUUUGUACAAAGGAUUACAUGCAACAGCGGCAAGACUUGUACAAAAGGUGGUUGCUGGAACAGGUUCCGGCAACCGCGCCUUACGGGUAAAACUUACGAAGAUGCUCAAUGUUCCAGGAAUUGCUCACCGGAAUGCAAUCUUCGGUCUCAAGGCGGACAACACCAGGCCUAGUGACUCGUUUCACCCGGUAAGGGCGUUCCCACUUCGGCGUCAACUUGUUGGAAUUCUUGGCGGACUGAACGCGCCGAAGAACAAGGUCACCUUCCUCGAGAUUUCUGGCGUUAACUUUGCGGCUGUGGUAGCGGCGCAAAGCUUGCUGGUAGCGAGCAACUCGUACAGCAGCCUGAAGACGGUAUUCCUCAAGGAGCAGCGCAUCAUCUUGUCGCAGCUGCUCUUGCUCAAGCUCAUCAUAAGCGAGCACUCGAGGUGACCCGUAUACGAGUUCCUGCCUUUGCUCCAUAGAAUAGAGCGAAAGGUGUCUGGCCAGUGGCUCGAUUUGGCGUCGUCCUGAUCGACCAAAGAACCACCGGCAGCUCCUCGAUCCAGUUUCUUCCGCACUUGUGCAGCCUAUCGAAAGUUCUGGUCUUGAGCCCGUGCAGCACUUCAGCAUUUGCUCUCUCCGCUUGACCGUUGCUUCUUGGGUGAGCAACAGAAGCGAAGCAGACCUUGGCGCCAAGAUCUUGGACAUACUGCAUGAAGGUGCGGCUCGUAAAUUGCGUACCGUUGUCGGUGAUUAUCCUGUUAGGGAUCCCGAAGCGGCAAACAAUCGACCUGAAGAACUUGACUGCUGACUGUGCUGUCACCUUCCUCACUGGUUCCACUUCCGGCCACUUUGUGAACUUGUCGAUUGCAACGUACAAGUACUCAAAGCCCCCGACUGCUCGGGGAAAGGGGCCGAGGAUGUCGAGCCCCCAGACCGAAAAUGGCCAGGAUAAAGGGAUCGUCUGGAGAGCUUGAGCUGGUUGGUGUAUCUGCUUGGAAUGGAACUGGCACGCUUCACACUUGGUUACUUGUGCAGUUGCAUCCUGGAGGGCUGUCGGCCAAAAGAAACCUUGCCGGAAUGCUUUGUCGGCAAGUGCCCUUGUGCCAAUGUGGUGACCACAUAUGCCUCCAUGUAUCUCUGCCAACAGCUUUUGUCCGUCUUCCCGGUGAAUACACUUCAAUUUCACACCGUUGAGUCUUCUUCUGUACAGUGUCUUGUCGACAAACUGGUACAUACUUGACUGCCGGGCUACUCUUUCCGCUUCUUCUUGUUCUUCGGGAAGUUCUCCUGUCUGAAGGAAAUAGACAAUCCGUUGUGCCCAUGCUGGAGCUUGUGGCUCGACAACAAGGACUAAAGGCAAAUCUGCGGCUGCGGGAACAUCCGCUUCUAUGGCGAGAAUCUGUGGCUCUGCCGGAGCUUGAUGUUUCCCGGCAAGCUUGCCGGAGCAAAACUUUCCGGGAGCUUCUGCUUCAAUGGAACAAACCCUGGGGCUUGCCGGAGCAGACUGCUCCUCAGCGCUCUCGGCGUUGAUCUUGGGGACCUUCUUGGCGGCGGCUUCGGGAAGCUCUGCCAGCAAAUAGUCACCAGAAAUCAACUUCCUCUUGUUGCUCUAUCCAGUUGAUGUCGUUACAGACGGUUGAGUCAGCUUAAGCACAAAGAUCCCUGGUUCCACAAGUAAGUUAAGUGCGGCGCACUUUGACAGGCCAUCGGCAAUGGUGUUCUGAGCUCUUCGAACAUGCUCCAUCUGUAGGCCGUCAAAGUGCUCUUCUAGCUUUCUCACUUCGUCGACGUAGGCUUCCAUCAACGGACUCUGAUAGCUCUUGUUCACUUGGCGGACGACAAGCUGCGAGUCACCCCUGACAAUGAGCUUCUUGAUCCCAAGGUCUGCCGCUAUCCUGAGACCGGCAAGCAAGCUUUCAUACUCUGUAGUAUUGUUUGUCGCUUGCUCCUUGGGGAAGUGCAUCUGGACUACGUACUUGAGGUGCUCUCCGGUGGGUGCGAUAAGCAGCACGCCAGCGCCGGCGCCUUGCAGCGAAAAGGCACCAUCAAAGUACAUCAGCCACUCUUUGCUUGCUUCCUCGACGGGGAUGCUCGUUUCUGGAAUUUCUUCGUCUAGUGUUGGCGUCCAUUCUGCUAUGAAUUCUGCCAAUGCUCUGCUUUGGAUAGUUGAAGUACUCUCAAACUUGAGGCUAAAGCUUGACAGUUCCAGUGCCCACUCAACAAUCCUGCCUGUCGCUUCUGGAUUCUGUAGUAUCCUCUUCAGCGGAAAGCGAGUGACAACUGUGAUUUCAUGUGCUUGGAAGUAAUGGCGCAGCUUUCUCGAGGCCAUGAGAAGGCCGAAAAGCAAUUUCUGCACACCAGAGUACCUUGACCUAGCCCCCUGCAGAAGGGAACUGACAAAGUAAACUGGGCGCUGCACCAUUCUCUUCUGUAUCUCCUCGCGCGUCUGCGCAGAUCCAUCCUUGUCGGGACCAAGGCUUGCCGGGGAAGCCCCCUGCUUGUCGCUGGAUGCGUCUGCCGUGGUUGCUGGCUCGUCAUCUGCCCCCCUCUCCGCUACCAACGCAGCACUAACCACUUGAUUGGUUGCCGCUAUAUACAGCAGCAACUUCUCUUGUGGCUUAGGUGCGACAAGUAUUGGAGUGGAGGACAGGUAUCUCUUCAAGUCUUGCAGCGCAGCCUCCGCUUUCGGAGUCCAUUUCAUUGGACCUGCCUUUUUCAAUAUUUUGAAAAACGGUAGGGCGCGCUCUGCAGACCUAGAAAUAAACCUGCUGGGAGCAGCCAAGCAACCGGCAAGUCUUCGUACAUCCUUGACGCGCUUGGGUGCUUCAAUCUGCUCAAUGGCCUUGAUCUUGUCGGGAUUGGCUUCAAUUCCCCGCUGAGACACGAAGAACCCGAGAAGCUUGCUGGAGGGGACUCCAAACACACACUUCUCGGGGUUGAGUUUAAGGUUGAUCUUGCGCAGAUUUGCAAAGGUCUCGCCUAAAUCUUGAAUCAGAGUUGCCUUGUCCUUGCUCUUGACCACUAUGUCAUCCAUGUAGGCUUCCACAUUUCUGUGUACUUGUGGCUCAAGAGUGACAUGGACUACUCUUGCAAAUGUUGAACCAGCAUUUUUCAAACCAAAAGGCAUCCGUAUGAAACAGUACGUGCCACAUGGAGUGAUGAAUGCGGUCUUCUCCUCAUCCUCUUCUGCCAUGAAGAUCUGAUGGUAUCCUGAGUAUGCGUCAAGAAACGAAAGCAAAUCACAUCCGGCCGUGGAGUCAACAAUCUGGUCAAUGCGCGGCAAAGGAAAUGGGUCUUUGGGACAAGCUUUGUCAACAUCGGUAAAGUCGAUACAAAGUCUCCAUUUCCCGUUCGCCUUGCGCACGACUACAGGAUUGGCCAACCACGUAGGAUGGAGCACUCCUCUAACAAGGCCUGCUGCUUCCAACUUCUUGAUUUCUUCUGCGAUGAAUUCUUGGCGCUCCACUGCUUGCUUCCUGACCUUCUGCUUGACGGGCCGCGCAUGAGGACAAACGGCAAGAUGGUGCUCAAUUACUUUCCUGGGAACACCAGGGAUGUUAGACGGUUGCCACGCAAACACGUCGACGUUCGCCCGCAGGAAAGCAAUGAGCGCGCUUUCCUAUUUAGGGUUGAGAGUGGCACCGAUGGUGAAGGUACCACCAGUGCCGUCCUCCUUGGCGGACACCUUCUUGGUUUCUGGCGGAGCUGCCAUUGUCUUCUUACACUUGCCGGUGGAGCUCGAUGGUGCAUCCUCGACGGCAGCACAACACUCCGAAGAGGUACGUUUGCCGGAGUGGGCAUCAGAGCUUUUGCCGGACUUGGUCUUCUUCUUCCCCCCAGGAGCUUCAACGACAAGUGAUUUGUGAUCUGUUGCGGCUGCCGCUUCCCGGUAGAUCUUGUCGGUGCAGAUAAGAGCAUCUUUCUUGUCGCCAGGGACAGAGAUGACGCUUAUCGGGCCUGGCAUCUUUAGCAUAUUGUAUGCAUAGUGAGAGGCUGCCAUGAACUUGGCGAGUGCUGGACGGCCAAGUAUCCCAUUGUAAGGCAAUGGAAAAUCGGCAACGUCAAAAGUGACCCUCUCAGUCCUAAAGUUCAACUCGCUGCCAAAUGUCACUGGCAACGUGACCUUCCCCUUCGGCUUGCUCCUUCCCGGGUUGAUUCCUUGGAAUGUGCCGGUCUCUUCAAGCUCGCUGUCAGGGAUCUGGAGUUUCUGGAGUACAGCGGAGGAGAUCAAGUUCAAGCCGGCCCCACCGUCAACUAGCAUCUUAGUGACUUUGAGGUUGCGGAUAGUUGGUGAAACCAACAUCGGCAAGCACCCGAUCGCAGUUGUGCGAUCAGGGUGGUCCUCAAUAUCAAAGAUGAUAGGCGUGCUGGACCAUUUCAGAAGCUUGCGCGACUCGACAGGUGGUUCCGCCGCAUUGACUUCCCGCACCCACUGCUUUAGUUGGCGGUGUGAAGUAUGCAGAGAAGCACCGCCGUCAACGCACAAGACCUCUGUGGCUUUCUGGAACUCCUGCUCACUGGUCUCGACAUCAUCCAUGUCUUCGUCGUCGUCGUCAUCUUCAUCCUUGUCGCGACCACGGGGAGGUCUGUCUCCUUGCCGCUGCUUGGCCUUGCCGCGGCGUCCUCCCCGGCUAGCGCGCUUCUUGCCGGAUUCUCCAGCGCCUCCUUGGGCCCUCUCCUUGUCGCGUCGCUCGUACUCAGCCUUUUGUUGCUGGACAAGCUGCUCGACCUUCUUGCAGUUCUGGAGGUCAUGGCCCUUGGUGCGGUGGAUCUUGCAGUACUGCUUGUCGGUGCUGUCCUGCUUGUCGGUAAUCACCACAGACUGGCAGUUGGUGCAUGCGGCAAUCUCCUUGCCGGAGCUACCAGCUUUGGCUUUCUUGGCGCCACCUUCGUUGCCGGACUGGUCAACGACUAGCACAUCUUUGCCUUUCUUCUUACUGUUGUUCCGCCGUCGGUUUUUCUUUGCCGGGGCAGCAUCCUCGCUGUCAGAUCCUUCUGCUCCUGUAUUCUCUCCGGGGAGUUUCCUCCCUUCCUCAGCACGUGCACACUUGUCGGCCAGGGCAUACAGCUCACUGACAUCUCUGAUCUUGCACAUCGCCAUCUCCUCCCGCAUCCUGCAGUUAUGCACGUUCUGAUGGAACGCGCUGAUGACCGCGGCAGGGUGGACAUCUGGGAUGUUGUGCUGUACACGGCUGAACCUCUGAAUGUACUUGCGCAGGGGCUCUCCUUCCUUCUGGGCGAGCAGAUGAAGGUCACUCUCUUGGCCAUGAGGUUUGUGGCCGCCUGUAAAGGCGCCGACAAACUGAUGGCAUAAGUCUGCCCAGCAGGAUAUGGAGUUGUCCGGCAAGUGCAUGAGCCAGGACCUGACGUUGGGCUUGAGCACCAGCGGGAAGUAGUUGGCAAGGAUCUUGUCGUCCCGCCCCCCGGCAGCCUGUACCGCGAUGGUGUAGAUGCUGAGGAACUCCGACGGAUGCGACUUGCCGUCGUACUUCUCUAGUACGUCUGGCUUGAAAUUCUUCAUGCUAGGCCACUGGACUUGCCGCAGCUCACGAGUAAACACAGGACAACCUACCGCGUACGGCAAGCCGCCUGGUUCCCCUGGCGCAUGCAUGUCGACAGAGGGCCCAGCGCGCUGGUCCGACUGACGUCGCGCUUCUCUUCGGCGCUCGAUGCGAGUACGAGCGUCUUCUUGCUGUCGUUCGUGAAGAACUUGGCGCUGAUCGCGACGAGCUCGUGGAUCCGAUGACGCGGUGGAGUCGCUGUCGAGGUGGAUCCGGCGAGUCGGCGAUCUUGGCCUUCGGGGCGGAGAGUGCACAGUGGUUGCACCCCCACCGGUCUUGUCGCCACCGGCUCGUGCCUGGCUGACUUGCCGCGGCUGCGACGUGCUCGGCUGCCAUUGAGUGUCGCCGUUGGCGAAGCCGAUGAGACUCUGAAUGGUGGCCCUCCAGUCGUCGAUCUUGUCUGCCGUAGGAGGGUAGUCUAGGAGCAGUUGAGCUCGCGCCAAAGCUUCUGUUGGAGUGGCGGGUGGCGAUGGCGAACGGUGCGAGGAGCGGGAUAUGCUCGGACUCCUAACUAUGUUAGAAGGAGCAGUGUCCCGUCCAGGCGACCGUGCCUCGCUCGUGCCAGCAUGUUGGCGUGCAUGCUGGUCUUGAGCGCUCCGAGACCCACCAGCUCGAUCUUGGUCCAGCAGACGCAUGGUACUGAGAGCACCAUGACGUUGCCGGUCCCGCGCCUCCUGAGAUGGGCGCGGUGCAUGCACGGACGCCGAGGUCUUGGAGUGCGCCCGGUCAUUGUGGGAGCCGUUCUACGCCGCCGAUGGGCAGCGCAGCCUUGUCCUUGGACCUGGCAGCACCGUGAGCUCCCUCGUCGACGCCCGUUCUUCCGCCGGCGUCUGCCCCAUCAGCCGUUUGCUCCGGCGGCGGUGGGUUCGGCGCGGACGGAGCAGCCGCCUCCGAAGCCUUCUUCUUUGGCGGCAUGUCGAUGAAGAUGAUGAAGAUCUAGCGCGCGUGAACGCCGGAUCUAGUUCACACAACCUCGACGCCCCCUACCUGGCGCGCCAAAGAUGCCGGGGUUCUGAUCCACGAGCACCUAUGGGACCCGCGGACCGAGUCCCUUUCGGUUCGGCAGGGGCGGAGGUCGCACGAAGAGCGGAUCGAGGCAAAGCACACGAGCAGUUUACCCAGGUUCGAGCCGCAUGGAUGUGUAAAACCCUACUCCUGCUUUGUGGUUUGUAUUGAGUUCUUGCUCGGGAGCGCGGAGUGCUACAGUACACUCCAGCAGCUAACGAGACCGAGCGUGAGUGUUCUAUUUCUUCUAACCAGCCAACUCACCCCCCUCUACGUUGCGCACGGGCCUCCUUUUAUAUGCUCAAGGGGUCACCGACAGGUGGCAACGUAGACAAGGGUAAAAAUGGAAAGGUGCUGCGAUAGGUACAGCCACCUACUAUAGUGUAUCAUACCUAACCCUGACGGCCGGGGACAAGGGCAUUAAAUGCCCGUCUGCGUCGUCUAAAUAGUGCAAAAGGGACCGUCAGGGACGCCACCGCUUGCCAUGAUGGCAAUCUUGUCAGCGCCGCUUGCCACCGCGCACCCCUGGCUGCACAGCCUCCCUCCACGUACGCCUGGAAGGGUCCCAGAGCGACACGUUGAUGGAUGUGCUGGAGCGCGGGCACAGAGUGGUAGCUUGCCGCGGCAAGCGCCUUGCCGCGGUUGUUGUCUUGACGCGUCCGGGAGCUUGUCGCUCAUCGGGCCUUGCCGGGACGCGUGGCACGUCGCGGCAAGUUCCUUAAGGUGCCUUGGUUGGCCUUCCCGGCAAGCUCCUCUUGCCGGGGUCUUGAGAUGCCUUUGUUGGCCUUCCCGGCAAGCUCCUCUUGCCGGGGUCUUGUCUCCUUGGCUUGGAUACUUUGUUCUUGAAUGGCUCCAAAGGAACCACGGAGGACCUUGGUGGUCACCUGGCAAGCCUUGCCACGGGAUGCUGCGACUGCCAGUGCACAAGUUCAGGAUACUAGGGUACCCCUAUUCUAGUACACCGACAGAGAUGCUCCAAGGACGCUUUAAUGAGCGACUCUAAAAUCCGCUAGAGAUGAUUUAUUGCGCCUCUAGCACCUACAUUGAGCGCCUCUACAUGCCUAUUUUGUUGUAGUGGAUAGGAUCAAGAACACUCAUAUAUUGAUGAAAACAUAAUAGUUUCAGAUCUGAAAUCAUGGCACUCGGACCCUAGUGACAAGCAUUAAGCAUAGCAAAGUCAUAGCAACAUCAAUCUCAGAAUAUAGUGGACACUGGGGAUCAAAACCUAACAAAACUAACUCGAUUACAUGAUAGAUCCCACCCAACCCAUCACCGUCCAACGAGCCUACGAUGGAAUUACUCACUCACGGCGGUGAGCAUCAUGAAAUUGGUGAUGGAGGAUGGUUGAUGAUGACGAUGGCGACGGAUUCCCCUCUCCGGAGCCCCGAACGGACUCCAGAUCAGCCCUCCCGAGAGGUUUUAGGGCUUGGCGGCAUCUACGUAUCGUAAAACGCGAUGAUUUCUUCUCUCUGAUUUUGUUCUCCCCGAAACUCAAUAUAUGGAGGUGGAGUUGGAGUUGGAGAGGCAACAGGGGGCCCACGAGGUAGGGGGCGCGCCCUAGGGGGGCAGGCGCGCCCUCCACCCUCAUGGAAAGACGGUGGGCCCCCUGGCCUUCAUCUUUGGCAGGUAUUUUUCUUAUCUUCUGAAAAGUGGCUCUGUGAAGUUUCGGGUCAUUCCGAGAACAUUUGCUCCUGCACAUAAAUAACACCAUGGUAAUUUUGCUGAAAACAACGUCAGUCCGGGUUAGUUCCAUUCAAAUCAUGCAAGUUAGAGUCCAAAACAAGGGCAAAAGUGUUUGGAAAAGUAGAUACGUUGGAGAUGUAUCACACUUGUAGGACAUUGGUGAGCGUAGUGAGAUUCACUUGUUAUGCAUCUUUCUUCACUGGGAGAACCUCCUCCAGGCAGUACUGCAAUUCAAAAACACAUAAGGCAUCUGACAGUGAGGACUUCACAUCAUUUUUUUGACAUACAAUUCUAGUUGCUGGUACAAGUAUUAUGAUGAAAUUUUGCUCCUGCUAUGCAGUUCCAUCACACACACAAAGCGUAACUAGAAGACAAAAAAAUUUGGGGCUAUUUUUGUGGGGAAUUUUUGAAUUAGGGAAAAUCAACAAAAACAAGGCUAGAAACACAACGGGGAGGCUCCGAAAUCGUGAUCAACGUGGCUCUGAUACCAAGAUGAUGUAGGGUGGAACCCUAGAUGGUUGAUCUUUCAUGAAAGGAGAGGAUCCCUUGAUGGACACGAAGAACACGAGGGGAAUCAUGAGGGUAAACACGAGAGAAACACUAAAACCAACAAGAUUGAUCACACAUGUGAUAGAUCCUCGAAACACGAGAGGAGGUACAAGAUCCACGAUCAACAAAGGACGAUACACGGUAACCGGUUCUUCUCCAAAGGAGGUCUUGAUGGUCUUCUCCGCGAGGAGGUCUUGAAUCCAAAGGGAUCUUCUCCGAAGAGGGGCCGCGGUCUCUCUCAAGGAGUAGAUCCGAUGUGGAUGAGCAAAUCUCUAUCUCUAGAUGAGCUACUACUUUGCUAACCCUAAAUAGGAGGAAUAGAAGGUCUAAUUAUAGUCUUAGUGCAAAUGGGGCGAAGUGAGGGGGUAUAUGGGCCUCGGGGUGAAUCCUGUGCGCAGACAGGUACCGGACGUCCGUUGGGGACUAGUCGUCCGAUGGCUCAUCGGCGUCCGGACUUCCGCUGGUUCCAUUCUGUGAUGGAGGUGUCGGGCUUUCGCUAAUUUUGGCUCGGGCACGGUGGCGCUGGACGUCCGCUCGCUGGAGGGUGUGGCCAGUCGUCCGGUCUUGGCCGGACGUCCGCUCGCUGUAGCUCUUGGCUGGGGCUUCAGGCCCGGACGUCCGGUCCCGACCGGUCGUCCGGUGGCUGGGGCUUCUUCCGCAGCUCUUCUUCUUGUCCUUCACGGUUGGUGUUCUCGCUGUCUUGUCCAUUGGGUGUAGUUGCUCCGUGGCUCUCCUCCAAGUGCCUGAUCACGCAUAGUGUUUCCGCUUGAGGUAGUAGCCAUGUCUUAUGUAUAGAAAGUGGUAGUUCGGAGAGGAGCGAGUUCACCUUAUCUUUGAUAGCCUUUGCUCGUGCCCUUGUCAUUGGUCCAAGUGGUGUCGUGGGAGACGUAGGUAGGUCCAUGGGGAUGAUCUUCGGAUGCUCCGCAUCAGCUCCACUCCCUUGGUAAAGAUCCGACCUCUGAUCGAAUUCUUCAUCACCAUGGUAGGACGAUAGAUCCUUGACAUUGAAGAUGUCGCCCACGUUGUACUUGUCGUGAGGGAGGUCGAUCAUAUAAGCGUUGUUGUUGUAGAGUGCAAGCACCUUGAAGGGUCCAUCCGCUCGUGGUAGAAGUUUGGACUUGCGUUCGGUGUGGAAGUGGUCCUUGCCAAGGUGUAGCCACACAAGAUCACCAAUGUUGAAUACCAAGGGUUGCUUGUUGAUGUUGAGCUUGGUCGCAAGUCGUUGUACUUGGCGCUCGAUGGUGUGCCUUGUAUCUUCAUGCACCUUCUUGAGAUGGUUCACACAUGCACUUGUGUCCAUAUUGAUGCGCUCUUGGAGUGGUAGAGGAAUAAUGUCCAAUGGUGACAAUGGGUUGAAUCCGUAGACGCCCUCGAAGGGGGACUUGCCGGUAGUUGAGUGUCUUGCGCGGUUGUAGGCGAACUCGGCGAUAGGUAGACACUCCUCCCACUCCUUGAUGUUCUUCUUGAUGAGCACGUGAAGUAGAGCGGAGAGUGUGCGGUUGGUCACCUCUGUUUGGCCGUCGGUUUGUGGAUGGUACGCCGUGGAGAAGAGUAGCUUGAUUCCGAGCUUGGCGCAUAGGGUCUUCCAAAAGUAGCUUAGGAACUUGACGUCGCGGUCCGAGACUAUUGUCUUUGGUACUCCAUGUAGAUGCAAUAUUUCCCUACAAAAGAGAUUGGCAACAUGUGAAGCAUCGUCUAUCUUGUUGCAUGGUAUGAAAUGUGCCAUCUUAGAGAAUCGGUCCACAACAACAAAUACCGAAUCCUUUCCAUUUCUAGUCCUAGGCAAUCCAAGUACAAAAUCCAUGCUAAUAUCUUCCCAUGGUUGAUAUGGAAUUGGGAGAGGCAUGUAAAGGCCAUGGGAUUGAGCUUUAGACUUAGCUUUGCGACAUGUAGAUCAUCGGUUGGUGAAGAGGUUGACGUCACGAAACAUCUUGGGCCAAUAAUAGUUCUUGGAGAGCAUAGCGAAAGUCUUGUCUCAUCCGAAAUGUCCCAUUAGUCCGCCUCCAUGAGAUUCCUGCAAAAGCAACAAACAGAGAGAAGACUCGGGGAUGCAAAGCUUGUUAGCUCUCAUAAGAUAUCCAUUUUUGAUGUAAUAGCGUUCCCAAGAGGCAUGCGUCAAACAUUUGGCAUAAGGAAUAGCAAAGGUAGGAUCAUGCUCAUACAAGUUUUUUAUGUGCUCAAAGCCAAUGACAUCCAAUUCAAGUUGAGUAACAAGCAUGCAUAUGUGGGAAGAGCGUCCACCACAACAUUUUCCUUACCUUUUAUGUACUUGAUGACAUAAGGUAAAGACUCAAUGAAUUCGCUCCACUUAGCAUGACGCUUGUUCAACUUGGUUUAACCCUUAAGGUAUUUAAGCAUUUCAUGAUCGGUAUGAAUGAUUAAUUCAUGAGGGUGAAGAUAGUGUUCCCAUUCAUGCAAAACUCGCACUAAAGCAUAUAACUCUUUGUCAUAGAUGGGUUAAUUGAGUUGCGCUCCGGAAAGUUUUUCACUAAAGUAAGCUAUGGGGCGCUUCUCUUGCGUUAACACACCUCCUAUGCCAUUACCACUAGCAUCAAUGAAUCUCAAAGGGUUUGUCGAAGUUGGGUAAAGCAAGGACGGGAGCAUGAGUAAGCAAAUUCUUAAGCUCAUUGAAAGAGGUAUCUUGGGAUGGUCCCCAAACAAAAGGCGCAUUUUUCUUGCUCAAAGUAUGCAAAGGUGAAGCAAUGGUGCUAAAGUCCUUCACAAAUCUAUGGUAGAAACCGGCUAAACCAAGGAAGCUACGCACUUGAUGCAAGUUGGUUGGUUGUGGCCAAGUUUUAAUAGCAUUGAUCUUAGAGUCUUCAACAUGAACACCCUUAGAGGAAACAACAUCAAUGCCAAAAAGGCAUUUUUCCAUGUUAGCAUAUAGACGCUCUUUUUGAAGUGUUUGCAAGACAGUUCGAACAUGGGUGACAUGAUCUUGGAGAGAUUUGCUAUAAACAAGGAUAUCAUCGAAGUAUACCACAACAAAAUCACCAAUGUAAGGGCGAAACACAUAAUUCGUAAUACGCAUGAAAGUACCCAGUGCUUCUCAUAAACCCAUAGGCAUGACUAACCACUCAUACAAGCCAAACUUUGUUUUGAAAGCGGUUUUCCAUUCAUCACCCUCUUGUAUGCGGAUUUGAUAGUAACCACUUUUAAGAUCAAUUUUGGAAAAUAUAGUGGCACCACUAAGUUCAUCAAGCAUACCGUCAAGGCGUGGAAUGGGAUACCUAUAGCGAACGGUGAUAGCAUUGAUAGGUCUACAAUCGGAACACAUGUGAAAGCUACCGUCUCUUUUUGGCACAAGAAUGACCGGAACAGCACAAGGACUCAAACUUUCGUGCACAUGUCCAUGGUCUAUGAGAUGCUUUACUUGCCUUUGUAUUUCUUUGGUUUCUUUAGGGUUCACUACAAAAAAAUACACUUCCAUGAUGAUACUGUAGCGACCCGACCUCAGAUGGUCAAGUCUCUGUGCUUCAGUGUCAUCCCUGCAUCGGUAAUGCUGACACACACACACAGUACUCGAAGGAUUUAUAACAGAGUGGCAAUCACACACUUAUUACAUCGAAUGUCUCAAAAGAGAACUUAUUACAAUAAUAUGGCUUAAGUCCAUCUAAUACGAUAACAACGGAAUGCUUGGAAGAUAAAGUGAGUCCAUCAACUCCAACGGCAUAGCUGAGCUGCACGGCAACGACCUAACGAACCUUACUCCUCGUCUGAAAAGUCUGCAACAUAAUACGUUGCAGCCCGAAAACGGGUCAGCACAUGGAAUAUGCUAGCAACAUAACACAGUAGAGCAAGAACAAAAUAAUGCUAUCACUAUAUGCAUAUAUGGCUGGUGGAAAGCUCUAUGGUUUAUAGUUUUUGUGAAAAGCCAUUUUUUCCCUACAACAAAGGAAUAGAUUUUAAUUUUACUAUCAUGGUAGUUGAAACAUCAUUGAGAAGGUUCCUCCAACUCAAUCCCAAUUAAAGUGAUUAACAACCCAACAAUAUUAAUUAAACAUGAUGAGAUACAUGUGAUAACCCAUGUACUAGAUACUCAAGAAUUGUCCAUAACCGGGGACACGGCUAACCAUGAUUAGAUUGUACACUCUGCAGAGGUUUGCGCACUUUUCCCUGCAAGAAUCGAUCUCCUCCGUUGGAUUUCUCGCACUACAGGGUGUUUGAGAAACGGAUGACUGAGACACAGUCUUUCAGAAACAUUAACUCUCUACUCCGGAUAGACCAUACCAAACCUAUAUCCCACUACCUGCUGAUCUGCCUCUUCAAGAGCUUCACGUAACUUACUCAACUAUGCUAGAGCCCAUAAUAGCUUGUGGCUGCACACGAAAGUUUCUAGCAUGAAUCAUCUCAGUUCCCUUUGAGCUUGGGUGGCGGUCCAUAGGAAGAUCACACGGGUACUCCGGGAUUUCCAAAAAAUAUAGGCAACACUAGGUACUCCAGGUGCCUCGAUCCACCCAGUUGUUUGAUUAAGUUGCCACCUUAAGUUGAACCAUUAAUUUAACAAUCUCACAUCUGUCAUGGAUUUCACUCAAACCCAAACCAUGUCUACGAGCAUAGCAUAGCAUAGUAAUAUAAGCAACACGUAGAGUAACUCCCAAGGGUUUGAAUGUAACAGGGCAAUAGGUUCUACCUCAUCAACUACUUCCCAACCCACAAGUUAAUGACAUCCUAAUCAUGCAAUGUUUGAGGAUUGGAACUAAUGCAUAAAAACUGGGUGAUAAAGGGGUAUGAUCAAAGUGUUACUUGCCUUGCUGACGAUCUGCGAAACCUAGGGACUCGUAGUAGCACGCUUCGCACUCCGGGUGUUCUAUCGCAAGCAAACAAUAGCAUACAUAAGUAAUAAGCAACGAUGCACAAGCAAAACUCAAAUAAAAGAGGUUGACCAGAAAGUUCAAUUUAAGAACUCCGGUUCGCAAAAAGAAUCAAAUCAAACGGAGCAACGAAACUCAAAUUGCGAAAGAAAGAAACUUCGUUUACUAAUCUGAAACUAGGUCAAAUUUUAAAGUAGAGAAAACUUGUUUGAGUUGGUUAAACGGAAAGAGGGUUUCGAGAUGAAACUCUAGGCGCUUGAAUCGCCUGAUUCCGACUAACGAGCGAAAAGAUAAACAGAAACUAAGAUCAGAUCAGAAAUCACGAUCAGAGAAAAAUCGCGGAAUAAAUCCGAUAAAAGAAAACUGACGAACAGACUAACGAACGAGCGUUCAUUAGCUGUAUCUAACGGGCAAAGAACCGUUCAUUAAAACGAACGUUCGAACGAACCUCUGCUAACUAGAAGAACCGAGAAAAACCGGCGAAUCCAAAAAAAUGGAUCUAGGGUUUCUAAAAAAACCGAACAGUUUAAAACAAUAAUAAAAAAACCGGCGGAGGAGUCCGGCGACUACCUCCAGCGAGAGGUCCGGCGAGGCGAGGUGCGGCGGUGGAGCGGCGGCUCGCGGGGGCGGCGGCGGCGUUCGGCGGCGGCGGCUAGGCGCGGCGCGGCGGUGGCUGUGGGGGUGGGGNNNNNNNNNNNNNNNNNNNNNNNNNNNNNNNNNNNNNNNNNNNNNNNNNNNNNNNNNNNNNNNNNNNNNNNNNNNNNNNNNNNNNNNNNNNNNNNNNNNNNNNNNNNNNNNNNNNNNNNNNNNNNNNNNNNNNNNNNNNNNNNNNNNNNNNNNNNNNNNNNNNNNNNNNNNNNNNNNNNNNNNNNNNNNNNNNNNNNNNNNNNNNNNNNNNNNNNNNNNNNNNNNNNNNNNNNNNNNNNNNNNNNNNNNNNNNNNNNNNNNNNNNNNNNNNNNNNNNNNNNNNNNNNNNNNNNNNNNNNNNNNNNNNNNNNNNNNNNNNNNNNNNNNNNNNNNNNNNNNNNNNNNNNUAUAUAAAGGGGCAGGGCGGGGCAGCUUGGAGGAGGGGCCAAGGCGGCGGCGGCGCGCGCGCGGGGAAGGCGGCAGCCGCCUGGCUCGGCUGGGCCUUAGGCCUAGUCGGGCGCGGGAACUUUUUUAAAAAUAAAAUAAAAUAAUUUUGCCGACUGAAAUAAAAUCCUAGAAAAAUAAAUAAAAAUCUAAAAAUGCCAAAAUAAAUUUUCAUCGUCCAAAUAAAAUAUUUAGAACAAGAUGAACAUUUUCUUGGCCCUAAAAUGCAAUUUUGAAAACGUGCAAUUUUUCUAAUGCAAACAAAAUUGCAAUAAAAUCCAAAUAGAACAAAUAUUUGAUUUUAAUAUAUUUCCUCAAAUAUUUCUUUUAUUUUGGAGAAUUCAUAUUAUCUCCUCUCUUGUAUUUUAAUAUGAAAUAUUUUCGGAGAGAAAAAUAAUUAAAACCAAAAUCCUCGUUUCAAAAUUUGAUAAAAGAAUCAAAUAUGAAAACCGGGAAAUCCCCAACUCUCUCCGAGGGUCCUUGAGUUGCUUAGGAUUUCGAGUAUUACGGAACGGAAAAAGCAAUAGAACAUGAUAUGCAAUGAUGAUCUAAUGUAUAACAUUCCAAAUUAAAAAUUUGGGAUGUUACAAACCUACCCCCCCUUAAGAUGAAUCUCGCCCUCGAGAUUCGGGCUGGCUAGAAAAUAGGUGCGGGUGGUCUUUGCGGAGAUCAUCCUCUCGUUCCCAGGUGGCUUCAUCCUCGGUAUGGUGGCUCCACUAAACUUUACAAAACUUGAUAACCUUACUACGGGUGACUCUGCUGGCAAACUCAAGAAUCUUAACUGGUUUCUCCUCAUAAGUCAAAUCACUGUCCAACUGAAUCGCCUCUAGGGGUAUUGUAUCUCUUAGCGGUAUAUCUGCCAUCUCAGCAUGACACUUCUUCAGCUGUGAAACGUGAAACACGUCAUGAACUCCCGACAAUCCCUCGGGUAACUCCAACUUGUAGGCAACUUCUCCCAUCCGUUCCAAAAUACGAUAUGGUCCUACAAAUCUCGGGGCUAACUAUCCCUUAACUCCAAAAUGUUUCACUCCUCGCAAGGGUGAUACUCGCAUAUAUGCUCGGUCUCCAAUUUCAUAGGUUACCUCCUUGCAUUUUGAGUCAGCAUAACUCUUCUGCCUGGACUGAGAAAUCUUCAGUCUGUCAUGAAUCAAUUUAACCUUCUCCUCAGACUCCUUGAUCAAGUCUGGUCCAAACAACUGUCGGUCUCCUACCUCGUCCCACAUUAACGGUGUUCUGCAUCUUCGUCCAUACAUGGCUUCAAACGGUGCCAUCUUCAAACUGGCUUGAUAGCUAUUGUUGUAGGAAAACUCUGUGUAUGGCAAAUUGUCAUCCCAACUAGAUCCAUAAUCUAGCACACAGGCUCUCAACAUGUCCUCCAGAGUUUGGUUGACUCUCUCUGUUUGUCCAUUUGUCUGCGGGUGAAAUGUUGUACUAAACUCCAAUCUCAUUCCCAAGGUCUGGUGCAACUGGUGCCAAAACUUUGAGGUAAACUGUGUUCCUCGAUCUGAUACGAUGGUCCUCGGAACUCCAUGCAGACAUACGAUUCUGGACAUAUAUAUCUUAGCCAACUUUGCACUUGUAUAGGUGGUUUUCACUGGGAUGAAGUGAGCUACUUUGGUCAAGCGAUCAAGUACUACCCAUAUGGAAUCAUAUCCUGCUUUGGUCCUGGGCAAUCCGGUGAUAAAGUCCAUGCCCAGUUUAUCCCACUUCCAUUCGGGUAUCGGCAUAGGCUGUAACAGUCCUGCUGGCUUCUGAUGCUCUGCCUUCACGCGUUGACAUACAUCACAUACUGCUACAUACUCGGCAAUAUCCUUCUUCAUACCGGUCCACCAGAAAUGUUCCUUCAAAUCCAAAUACAUCUUGGUGUUUCCGGGGUGUAUCGAGUAUGGUGAGUCAUGGGCCUCUUGAAGUAUUAACUUCCUGAUCUCCUGGUUAUUGGGCACAUAGAUUUGGUCCUCAAACCAUAAGGCAUCAUGCUCAUCCUCAUGAAAACCUUUGGCCUUUCCUUUGCCCAUCUUCUCCUUUAUCUUGGCAAUCUCCUUAUCCUCCUUCUGAGCUUCCCGAAUCUUGUCCAGCAAUGUCGACUGGACCUCCAUUGUUGCAACGGAUCCUCUAGGAACAAUCUCCAAUCGAAGUUCCAUGAUAUUCUCUGCUAAUUCCUUUGGCAGUCCCUUACUUUCAAGGAUAUUAGCAUAACUCUUCCAGCUCAAAGCGUCUGCUACGACAUUGGCCUUUCCUGGAUGAUAGUGUAGCUUCAUGUCAUAAUCCUUUAUAAGUUCCAACCAUCUCCUCUGUCUAAGGUUCAGUUCCUUCUUGGUGAAAAUGUACUUCAAACUCUUAUGGUCCGUGUACACAUCACAACGGUUUCCAAUAAGGUAAUGUCUCCAGGUCUUCAAUGCAUGUACUACGGCUGCUAACUCUAAAUCAUGCGUGGCAUAGUUCAACUCAUGAGGUUUUAGUUAUCGUGAGGCAUACGAAACAACUCUCCCGUCCUGCAUAAGCACACAUCCGAGUCCUAAGCGUGAGGCAUCACAGUACACUUGGAACUCCUUAUGUAUAUCUAGCAGUGUUAGCACUGGUGCUGUAGUCAAACGUUUCUUCAAUUAUUGGAAACUUGCCUCGCAAUCUUCUGUCCAUUUAAACUUAGUAUCCUUCUUCAACAGUUCAGUCAUUGGCUUUGCAAUCUUGGAAAAAUUCUCAAUGAAUCUCCGGUAGUAUCCUCCGAGUCCAAGAAAACUGCGGAUCUCGCUAACUGAAGUGGGUGCCAACCAUUCAAUGACUUACUGAAUUUUGCUGGGGUCUACUACUAUACCUUCUCCCGAUAUAACAUGUCCAAGGAACCCGACUUCCUUCAACCAAAAUUCGCAUUUGCUAAACAUAGCAUACAACUGGUGUUCCCUGAGUUUCUCGAGAACUAAGCGCAAAUGCUCCUUGUGCUCCUCCUCGUUCUUUGAGUAUACCAUAAUAUCAUCUAUAAACACUACAACAAACUUGUCCAAAUACUCCAUGAACACCUUAUUCAUCAUGCUCAUGAAAUAGGCAGGGGUGUUAGUCAGUCCAAAUGACAUGACCGUGUACUCGUAUAAUCCAUAUCGUGUUGUGAACACUAUCUUCGGUACGUCCUUCUCUCGUAUCUUCAACUGAUGAUACCCCGAUCGCAAAUCGAUCUUCGAAAACACUUUAGCUCCUUGCAACUGAUCAAAUAGAUCGUUGAUCAUCGGCAGUGGGUACUUGUUCUUAAUCGUCACUUCAUUUAAUGCUCGAUAAUCAACAACCAUCCUCAGGGAUUUAUCCUUCUUCUCAACCAAAAGUACUGGGGCUCCCCAAGGUGAUGAACUUCUUCGGAUGUAUCCUUUCUCCAAUAACUCCUUGAUCUGCUUCUUAAUUUCUUCCAGAUCAUUUGCGGGCAUCUGAUAGGAUCUCUUGGAUAUUGGUCCUGUACCUGGCAACAACUCUAUCAAAAACUCAAUGUCUCUAUCCGGUGGCAUGCCUGGUAACUCCUGUGGAAAAACAUCCGGGUAAUCCUUCACUACAGGCACUUCCUCCUGAACAACUCCCGUAAGGGCAUUCACUUGACUCCUCCUAGGCACAUGCCUAGAUACAUACUUAAUCCUUUUUCCUUCCGGGAUGGUGAGAUAAAUCGACUUACUAGCAUAGUCAAUGCUUCCUCCAAACUUUGACAUCCAGUCCAUACCCAAUAUCACAUCCAGUCCUUGUGACUCCCAAGAUAAUUAGGUCGGACGGAAAAACAUGUGUACCAAUGGUUAAGGGUAUAUGGUCACACCAUCGGCUGGCCAUAUACUCUGCUCCGGGUGAACUUACUAAAAGAGGGGUCCUAAGGGUUUGCGUUGGUAGUUUAACCUUAUCCACGAAUCCCCUUGAUAUGUAUGAAUGUGAUGCACUAGUAUCGAAAAGAACAAGAGCGGUAAAUGACUUAACCAAAAACUUACCUAUUACCGCGUCCGGCUGCUCUUCAACCUCCUCCACGUUAACGUGGUUCACUUGUCCUUUGUUGAAUGGAUUUGGCUUCUUCCCAGUGCUCCCAUUUCUAUUUCCAUUCUUUCCUUCAGGGCACUUCGUGACGUAGUGUCCAGUCUUCCCGCACUUGAAACAAGUAACAUGACUUCAGUCUCUUUUGGCGGGUGUGGCUGGGCUGGGGCGGUUAUGAUUAUUGUUGGUUCCAUUUCCAUUCCCAUUCUUAGAACCAUUGUGGUUAUGCAAUCCUCCUCCAGUGUGGUUGUGACCUCCAUGGUUAUGAACAAGUCCUCCCGAGUUCGGGGUUAGGCGAGGUUUCUGCUGAGCUCCUGAGUUAUACUUCCCCUGUCCAUACUUCCUCUUGCGGCUCUCAAUCUGCUGCUGCUUCCCUUCAAUCAUAAGAGCCUUAUCUACCAACUCCUGGUAGUUGUUGAAGGUUGCUACCAUCAACUGCAUACUCAUCUCAUCAUUCAGCCCUUCCAUAAACUUCUCCUGCUUCGCGGCAUCUGUGGCCACAUCAUCAGGGGCGUAGCGAGAUAACUUGCUAAACUCAUCCACGUACUGAGCCACAGUACGGUUCCCCUGGCGUAGGUUGCAGAACUCCCGCUUCUUCAUUUGCAUAGCUCUAGUGGAGACAUGGGCUGUGCGGAAAGCUUGCUGAAACUGGUCCCAAGUGACAUUGGCUAUAGGAAAAGUGGCUGUGUAAUUCUCCCACCAUGAGGCUGCUGGUCCAUCCAAUUGAUGUGUGGCAAAGCGCACUCUCUCAGCAUCUGUGCAACCUGCGGUGGUCAACUCCCUUCCAAUAUGGCGUAGCCAAUCGUCCGCAACUAUGGGCUCGGUGCUACUGGAAAACACCGACGGCUGUAACCUUAGAAAACGGGCUAGGUUGUCCACGGGCGGCGGGUUGUUGUUGUUGCCCUGAUUCUGAACUAGCAAUUGCAUCAAUGUAUUCUGCUGUUGGAUCAAUUGGGUGAGCUCCGGUGGGAAGGCAAAACCGGUGUCACGUCUCGGAGGCAUCUGAGGGGUUUAGAUGGAAGAGAUUAGAAUAGAAAAGAGGUCUAAUGAGAAAUCACUACCCAUAUGCACAUGAGACAAACACAAUCAUUUCACUCAAUCAAUCAAGCAAGGGAAUACAACGAUCUAGAACUAUCGCAAGUGCUCAACUACUAGUAAAUACAUGGGGGAAUACUAGUGAUAUAUGGCAGUCAUCUAGAAAUUUUGAUCGGUGGAAGACUCCAUGAUGUCUGCUCCAGCUUCGUCUUCAUAGUCAUCAUCACUAGGAUCGGAAUCGGUGUCGUCGAUGAUGAUGUAGUUGUCCGGGCAAGUGGGAUCUUCGUCUUCGUCUCCCGGUGCUGGUCCUCCCAUGAAUACUCCGAUCUUCUUGACUAGGUCGUCAUUCUUCUCCAGUAGUGUCUUGAUUUCCUCCUCAUAUCCAUCGCGUGCAAACUUGAGUUCUUCCUCCAGUUUGAUGAUCCUAGUCUUUGCCUUCUUCAAGUCCAUCAUGUCCGCGCACAUCUGGUUUUCCUGACGUCGGAUGUGCUGGUUUAACUCCUGGAUGAAAGCUGCAAUGGAUCUUUCCUUCCUGGUGCUGAUUACUUCCCAUUGCUCGUCUCGGUGCCCACAUAUUUGGUAAAUAAUGUCCUUAAGCUCCCUGUUGUAAACUUCUCCAAUGCGUCCAAUGGUAAUGUGGGCUGCCAUGCUCUUUCCUAGACUCCAGGUGGGUGCUUCAAACCAAAACUCUAUGGGUUUAGAAGUUGGCGAGAACGUCCUUCCUGGAACUUGUACUUCAAUCAUCCAGCGCUCCUCUUCAGGUAAAGUGGCGUUGUACGUCCCGGUGAAGCUUGGUAUUCCAAUGUUCAAGUACCUAGAGACUUCCUUCAAGUGACGUCCAAAAGGUGUGUCUUCAUCCGGUUGUGCAAACUUGUUCUUCAUCUCCGUCAUCCUAAAGAGUAGAAAAUGGAGAGGAGUCAGAAAUGAGAAGAGAGGUGUGACCUAGGGUUUAUCUUAGUGGUCGUGUCCUACACUCAGCGUGUGCUCUGAUACCAUCUUGUAGCGACCCGACCUUAGAUGGUCAAGUCUCUGUGCUUCAGUGUCAUCCCUGGAUCGGUAAUGCUGACACACACAGUACUGGAAGGAUUUAUAACAGAGUGGAAAUCACACACUUAUUACAUCGAAUGUCUCAAAAGAAGACUUAUUACAAUAAUAUGGCUUAAGGCCAUCUAAUACGAUAAUAGCGGAAGGCUUGGAAGAUAAAGUGAGUCCAUCAACUCCAACGGCAUUGUCGAAUUUCGAGUUCCGGCAGACCCUUGAGGUUCGAACACUGGGGUGCGUGCGGAGAUUUCGCCUUCUACCUACCUGCACCCCUCCGCCUCGCUAAGAUCUAAGCUAUGGAAAGAACAGCACAAGAGACACAGGGUUUAUACUGGUUCGCGCCACCGUUGUGGUGUAAUACCCUACUCCAGUGUGUGGUGUGGUGGAUUGCCUCUUGGGCUGAUGAUGAUGAGCAAUACAAGGAAGAACAGCCUCGCGAGGGUCUGUUCUUGGCUAGGGGGAUGAACUACUAGGAGGAGUUCAGUCACCCUUCUCUCUCUCUCUCUCUUCUCGAUUCUCUCUCUGAUUUUCCUCUCAAUCUCUCUCUGAUCGAUCUCCAACUGAUCGAUCUCGAACUCCCUUACCCUGGGGGUGGCUAGUCCUAUUUAUAGGCAAAGGCCCUGGGCCUCUUCCCAAAUAUUGAGCGGGAAGGGCGCCGACAAUUGGCCAUUUUGAAGGGGAACAUCUGGUACACUUAUCCUGACUAAAGUUGGUCCUCGCCUGCCAAAGGCUCUGGUGGUGACGCUGGCUUGGGCUCCACAAUGACUUCCUCCCUGCCGUUGGACUGGUCUUGGUCUCGUUGCACCGAAACGGGUGCCUUUGCUUGAUGCUCUCGCCUGCUCUUGCUCCCUUUGCACCAAAGAGGAAAGGAGGACACUGCGCGGCUGGCGCCUGCCUGGCGCCUUUGGUCGUCAUGGCUUGCCUCACGGGCACCUCGUGAGGUACCCCGCCUUGAUCUCUCCGCCUCCUCGCGAGCCAGCCUGAUGAGGCCGUGCCUGAGGAAGCUCCGUGUCAUCCGCCCCGCGAGGCUUGGCCCCUCGCGAGGGUCGUGGGUCUGUGUUGAUGAAGAUGGGCCAUGCUGGGCCCACCUUUGAGCCACGCCGCAGGCCGCAGGCAGGCAAGUCUAGGGACCCCCGUUCCCAGAAUGCCGACAGUAGCCCCCGGGCCCAAGGCGCGCCCGGACUUGGCCGUGCAGGGAGGCGAAAGGGCAAGAGCGAAGCGCCGCGGGCCCUAACAGCCUACGGCCUUGGGCACCGCGUGGCGGUUGAUUGGACGUGGGUGUCUCUGCUUCCCCACGGUGCCUCGGCAACUGCACGGAUUGGACAAGUCCCUGUAUGCCAAGCGGGUCAUGAUUACCUGCGAUUGUGGGGGCCGACGGUUGGCCCUCGCCGGCUAUAAGUAUGGAUCGUCGCGCGCCCUUCCAGUUCAUCCCCCCUUGCUUCUCCUUCUUCUUCAUGGCCCCGUCGAGGAGGUUCUUGGCCGCAGAGAAGGGGAAGGCUCGCCAGGUUGAGCCUGCCUCUCCCCCGCCCAAGCGCGGCCGAGGGCACCCUCGCAAACAUCCUGUGGCCACCACGGCAGCUCCACGCGGCCGUGGAGACGAUUUCCAGCACGGUGACGGGCGGACUGCUGCGGCCGAGGGGCGCGCUUCGGUCGCACGUCCCCCUAGGCCGCGCUUUCGCGCUGUAGAGGUGCUGCCGGAGUUCGUUGUGUGGUCGGCGGAGCCGACUAGCACCCGGCUUCAACUUCCUCGCUUCCUCCUCGGCAAGCUCCCGGUCGGCGCUCCGGGCGGCCUCUGGCUUCAGGCAGACGGAUGCUGCAGUCGGGACUCAUGGGCUUCACUGGAGGUCUCCGCAGCCGGGAGCCUGACCUUGACCCGCGGUUGGCAGACGUUUGCCCGCGCGCGUGGCCUGAGCCGUCAGUGCACCCUGCACUUCAAGUUUGACGGCGAUGCCACCCUCUACGUGAGGGUGUUUGGGGAAGAUGGUCGCCACACAGGGAGCUGCCUUGAGGACGACAACCGUGGCUGGGAACCCAGCCCCGACGAUGAUGGAGAGGACAGCGCUCGCGUGAUUGGCGGCGCUCAGGGUUCCCCAAGCUUCACCGGUUCUUCUUCAGGCGACGACUCUUCUAGCGGUGGCCGCGGUCAGCCUCCACGCUGUCGCACCUGCUUGGGAGGUGGUAGCAUGUCUGCCCGCUGUCGCGCCUUGGUGAAGCGCGAGAGGGAGUCUGCUUGAGCCCCGGAGGCAGCUCGAGUCUUCCCUGCAGGCCGGUGUGAGGUGAGCUGCGCCUGAUUUGUUCUUUCUUUUCCUUUUUCCUGCGUACAAAGACAGUAGCGUGGAGCCCCGCGGGGGCGUGUUUGGGUUAUUGCUGUUAAUCAUCGCUUUGCUUCCGUUAUCGUGCCUUCCGGCUAUGUGCCCGCACGUGGAUAGUUCCCGGCCCCAGCCGUGGGGGGGGGGGACCGACCCAGGCCCUGUGUUCGUGUCGCGGUGCCUGUGGGGCAUGGACUGGAGGGGUGCUCCUGUAAUGGACCCAGGUCGCGAAACCUUUGAACGACUAGGACAGGAACACUCGCAAGGGCACUCGGCUGCCCCCCUCGUGAGGCCUUGCAUAAGAGAAAUCGAGGCAGGAGAGUGAAAAGUCGAAGAACCACAGGCCAAAGGUGGCAACAACUUCAAUAAAACUUCGAAUGAGAAUGAACAAGCCAACUGCGGAAAGCAAAUGAAAAAGCCGCGUCCGGCACCUAAUCUAGUCUUCGACGUCUUCUCACCAGCGCGGAGCUAAGUGCUGCCACUGGGCGUGGGAGGGAGCCCCAGGGCCUGAGGCCAGCGCUCCUGAGACUCCGGGGCGUGUAUAGCCCCAACUCAUUAUUACGUGAGAGUGUCAUGGGCGGCAAGCUUCACAGGCGUUGGCCUUCUUCACAGGCUCCGGGCCUUUUCCAAAAUGCGACAGCUUCACAGGCAUUCGCCUUCUUCACAAGCUCUGGGCCUUUUCCAAAACGUGACAGCUUCACAGGCAUUCCCCUUCUUCACAGGCUCUGGGCCUUUUCCAAAACGCGACAGCUUCACAGGCAUCCGCCUUAUUCACAGGCUCUGGGCCUUUUCGAAAAAGGAUAGUCUUCAUAGGCAUUCGCCUUCUUCACAAGCUCUGGGCCUUUUUAGGGGUAGAACCUCCAGAGGUGCUGGAUGUUCCAUGCGUUUUGGACCGGCACCCCCUCCUGAGUCUCCAAGCGUGCGGAGCCGGGCCUGGAAACAUGAACAACCUUGAACGGGCCCUCCCACAUGGGAAAGAGCUUGUGCAGUCCUUCCCUGGAGAGAACCCGCCUGAGCACGAGGUCUCCUACCUCGAGAGUUCUGGGGCGGAUGUUGCGGCAGUGAUAUCGUCGCAGUGCUUGUUGGUACCUCGCCACUCGUAGUGCAGCUUCUCGGUGACGUUCCUCCCCCAGCACGAGGUCCAUCCCCCGCAUGGUGUCCUGUUGCGCCUCAUCAAAUGCCAGGACCCGCGCGGAGCGAUGUUUGACCUCGUGAGGGAGGACCGCUUCGGCUCCGUAGACCAGGAAGAACGGGGUCCCUCCAGUCGGCUUGGUCGCGGUUGUGCGGAUGGACCACAACAUGGACUGAAGCUCGUCGUACCAACCUGUGCCGCAGGCCUCCAGCUUCUUCUUGAACGUCCUGGUCUUGAGGCCCCUCAGGACCUCUACGUUGGCUCGCUCGGCCUGGCCGUUGCUUCGGGGGUGCGCCACCGAAGCGUAGCAUAUCUGCGUUCCAAGGUUAGCACAGUAUGUUUUGAAGAGGUUACUGGUGAACUGUGAACCGUUGUCUGUGAUGAUGCGGUUUGGCACCCCGAACCGGCUCACGAUGCCCCUGAUGAACUUGACCGCAGAACACGCGGGGAUGGUGCGGAUGGCCUCUACUUCAGCCCACUUGGUGAACUUGUCCACGACGACGUAGAGGUAGCAGUAGCCCCCUGGCGCCCGAGGAAACGGGCCCAGGAUGUCCAGCCCCCAGACUGCGAAUGGCCACGAAAGGGGUAUAGUCUGCAGGCCUCCCGCCGGCUGAUGGAUCUGCUUGACGUGGAACUGGCAGGCCUUACAAGCUUUCACCAGUUCAACGGUGUCAUUGAGUGCGGUGGGCCAACAAAACCCACUACGGAACGCCUUGCCGACGAGGGUCCGUGACGAUGAAUGACGUCCACAGUCUCCGCCGUGUAUAUCUUCCAGCAGUUCCUUUCCUUGCUCCCUAGAGAUGCAGUGCAGGGAUAUAUUGUUUGGUCGCUUCCGAUAGAGCUCUCCAUCCUUGAUGCAGUAUGCCGUGGCCUGCCGUGCCACACGCUCCGCUUCCUCCUCCUUCUCCGGCAGGGUCCCUUGUGUUAAGUAACUCCGGAGCUCCGUGAUCUAGCACCCCUCCUGAGGUUCCAUCAUCAGGAGCAGGCGUGCUCCUGAGGCCGGGCCACAGACCGGGGCUCCUGAGGCAGGUGGCUAGGGGAGCUCCUCCUGAGGCUGAGCUGUGUUUGACAAUGACGGCAGGGAUGAGGGCUUGAAGAGCCGCUCCUCGAAGACGCCAGGCUCCUGAGGUAACCGCCUGGACGCCCGUUUGGCGAUGUCGUCGGCCUCCUGAUUGGUGCCACGGGGCACAUGCUGUAACUCCAACCCCCAGAACUGCUUCUCCAUCCUGUGGACCUCCGCAAGGUAGGCUUCCAUGUGCUCAUCUUUCGGCUCGUACAACUUGUUGGAGAAAUUGACAAGGAGCUGUGAAUCGCCCUUGAUGGUGAGGCGUUUCACCCCUAGGGCAGCUGCGGCCUUCAAGCCCACUAUUAAACCUUCAUACUCCGCUAUGUUGUUGGAGACCUUUUCACCUUGCUGGAAACAGAGCUGUACAGCGUAGUAGAGCUUGUCCCGAGUGGGUGAUAUAAGCACCGCCCCAGCCCCAGCGCCAUGCCCGGAGAAUGCCCCAUCGAAGUACAUGACCCAACCUUCUGGCGCCUCGCUUCCCGGGGAGAGGGACCGAUCCUCGUCGGCCUUGAGGCCUGGUGCAUCCGUCCAUUCUGCCACAAAAUCCGCUAAUGCUACUCCCUUGAUGACUCUGGUCAUGCUGAAUUCGAGCUGAAACGCUUGCAGUUCUAUGUUCCACUCGGCGACCCUUCCAGCUGAGUUAGGGCUCCUGAGCACUCUCUCCAGGGGGUAUGCCGAGACGACCUUGAUGGGGUGACCCUAAAAAUAGUGCCGUAGCUUGCGCGAGGCCACCAGUAGCGCGAGGAGGAGCUUCUGAGGCAUGGGCUACCGUGCCCUCGCGUCCCGCAACACCGUGCUGACGAACUACACUGGGUGCUCAACGAGGUUGGGUGCACCAGUGCUGGUGGCGCCCUCCGGAGACCAUGGCGCCUCCUGAGGCGAUGAGGCCUCCUGAGGAUGGCCAUCUGGGAGAGGGGCCUCUUCCGCCUCCGGUGCACUCCUCUGUGGCGGCUGAUCCUCCUCAGCCGCGGUGGCGGUUUCUGUGGGCCUUCCUUGUUCCUGUUUUGCCUUGUCUCGGGCUGCUGCUGUGGUUUUGAUUCGACGCUCCUCCCUAACCGCCACCAGGGCUGCGCUGGCGGAGUAGGGAGUUGCGGCGAGGUAAAGCACCAGGGGCUCUUGAGGGCGCGGAGCCACCAUGACCGGAGGGCUGGUCAGGUAUCUCUUCAGUCCAUUCAAAGGGCCCUUUUUUCUUCAUUACUUGGAAGAAAGGCAGCGCUCGCUCCCCCAACUUGGAGAUGAAGCGCCCUAGCGCGGUCACGCGCCCAGUGAGCUUCUGCAUUUCUCUGAGGGUAUUUGGCGGGCUCAUGUCCUCAACCUCCUUGACCUUUUCCGGAUUAGCCUUGAUGCCUCGGUGGGACACGAGGAAACCCAAGAGCUUGCCCGAGGGGACUCCGAACACACACUUCUCUAGGUUGAGCCGCAGGUUCACUGCGUUGAGGCUCGCGAAGGUUUCCUCCAGGUCUUGUAUCAGGGUCCUGGCCUCCCGAGACUUCACCACAAUGUCAUCGACGUAAGCCUCAACAUUCUUCCCGAGCUGCGGGCCCAAGGUGAUGUGCAUCAGCCGCUGAAAGGUUGCCCCUGCGUUACGCAGCCCGAAUGGCAUGCAUGUGUAGCAGUACACCCCACACGGGGUUAGGAAGGAUGUCUUUUUGACGUCUUCUACCGCCAUCUUGAUCUGGUGAUACCCAGAGAAGGCAUCCAAGAAGCAUAGCAGGUCGCAUUCUGCGGUGGAAUUGACGAUCUGGUCGAUGCGGGGGAGCGGGAACGGAUCUUGCGGGCAUGCCUUGUUGAGGUUGGUGAAGUCGACACACAUGCGCUCCUUCCCUCCCUUCUUUGGCACAACGACAGGGUUGGCCAACCAAUCCAGGUAUCGGACCUCGCGAAUGACCCCAGCGGCUUCUAGUUUGCGGGUCUCUUUGACGAUGAAGGCCUGCUUUUCUGUGGACUGCCACCUUGCCUUCUGCUUCACAGAGCGCACGUUGGGGCACACGUUGAGGUGAUGCUCGAUUAGGCUCCUAGGGAUCCCCGCCAAUUGGUCAGGCUCCCAAGUGAAUACCUUCUUGUUUGCAUGCAGGAACCUGACCAGGGCCUCCUCCUGCUCGGGUUCGAGGUUGGCGCCUAUGGUGAAAGUGGCGUUGGUGGACCCGUCCUCAUCGAUGGGUAUCUGCUUGGUUUCUGCCUUGUCUUGGGUGAACAACUGUUUCUUCUUGGCGGGUGCAGCCCCCUUGGGCUCGGGGGUCUCCGAGUCGGCGGGCUGUGCCGACGCCGCCGUCUUGAAGGCGGGCUUCAGCACUCGCAGCGCGUCUCCGGUGUCCCCGUACAUGGUGAGGACACCGAUGCUCCCGGGCAUCUUCAUGAGGUUGUACGCCGGGUGCGUCGCGGCCAUGAACUGGGCCAGCGCUGGGUAGCCGAGGAUGGUGUUGUAGGGGAGGCCGAUGGGGGCGAUGUCGAAGUCAACCAGCUCCGUGCGGAAGUUGUUGUAGGUGCCGAAGGUUACAGGGAGCCGAAUCUGUCCCAAGGGGCUGGAUGAUCCACCCCAACGCCUGAGAAGGGCCGGCUGGGUUGCAGCCGUUCCAGGGGUAUGCAGAGGAGGUUGAAGGCCUCAACCGAGAGCACACUCAGGCCCGCACCGCCAUCGAUUAGAGUUCUGGUGACGACCACCUGGCAGAUGGUGGGGGUGCACAACAUGGGGAGCGCACCCGAGCAGGCCGAGUUGGAGGGGUGGUCCUCCGAGCUGAAGGUCAGGCCGGCCUUGGGCGCCGCCCGGUCCGAGGGAGCCCCCUGCCGCGUGGAAGCGGCGCUGACCCGGCGGAUGAACGGCUUGACGUGGUGACUCGUAGGCGGCGCCUGCGAGCCGCCCAGGAGGGCCGCGACGACCGGGGGUGUUGGUGUAGCGUGGUGGGAGGGGAAGAGGCAACGGAGCUCUUCCCAAGAGGCCACGGAGGCUGCUGGCAGGUGGAGCAGACAUGCGCGCGGAGCGCCGGUGAGGGCCAUGGGGAGCCAGUUGGCCAUGACCCUAUUGUCACUUCCAGCUUCGAGGAUGGCCUCCUCGUACGCCAGCAAGAAGGCCAGUGGAUCAGUCGCACCGCCGUAGCACGGCGGCGUCAUUGGCUUGAACUUGUCCGGCCACCGUACCCAUUGCAGGGCUAGGGCCAGGGCUCGGAGCCCCCUGGCCCCCGUGCUAGCGCUGGCGGCCGGAGCGGGCGACGCGCUACUCAUCGCGAGGCAGGUCGUGGCGGUGGCGGAAGGGAAAACUCCGGUGCACCCCUACCUGGCGCGCCAAAUGUCGGAUUUCGGGUUCCGGCAGACCCUUGAGGUUCGAACACUGGGGUGCGCGCGGAGAUUUUGCCUUCUACCUACCUGCACCCCUCCGCCUCGCUAAGAUCUAAGCUAUGGAAAGAACAGCACAAGAGACACAGGGUUUAUACUGGUUCGGGCCACCGUUGUGGUGUAAUACCCUACUCCAGUGUGUGGUGUGGUGGAUUGCCUCUUGGGCUGAUGAUGAUGAGCAAUACAAGGAAGAACAUCCUCGCGAGGGUCUGUUCUUGGCUGGGGGGAUGAACUGCUAGGAGGAGUUCAGUCACCCUUCUCUCUCUCUCUCUCUCUUCUCGAUUCUCUCUCUGAUUUUCCUCUCGAUCUCUCUCUGAUCGAUCUCCAACUGAUCGAUCUUGAACUCCCCUACCCUGGGGGUGGCUAGUCCUAUUUAUAGGCAAAGGCCCCGGGCCUCUUCCCAAAUAUUGAGCGGGAAGGGCGCCAACAAUUGGCCAUUUUGAAGGGGAACAUCUGGUACACUUAUCCUGACUAAAGUUGGUCCUCGCCUGCCAAAGGCUCUGGUGGUGACGCUGGCUUGGGCUCCACAAUGACUUCCUCCCUGCCGUUGGACUGGUCUUAGUCUCGUUGCACCGAAAUGGGUGCCUUUGCUUCAUGCUCUCGCCUGUGCUUGCUCCCCUUGCACCAAAGAGGAAAGGAGGACACUACACGGCUGGCGCCCGCCUGGCGCCUUUGAUCGUCAUGGCUUGCGUCACGGGCACCUCGUGAGGUACCCCGCCUUGAUCUCUCUGCCUCCUCAUGAGCCAGCCUGAUGAUGCCGUGCCUGAGGAAGCUCCGUGUCGUCCGCCCGGCGAGGCUUGGCCCCUCGCGAGGGUCUUGGGUCUGUGUUGAUGAAGAUGGGCCGUGCUGGGCCCCCCUUUGAGCCACGCCGCAGACCGCAGGCAGGCAAGUCUGGGGCCCCCCGUUCCCAGAAUGCCGACAGGCAUAGCUGAGCUGCACGACAACGACCUAACGAACCUUACUCCUCGUCUGAAAAGUCUGCAACAUAAUACGUUGCAGCCCGAAAACGGGUCAGCACAUGGAAUAUGCUCGCAACAUAACACAGUAGAGCAAGAACAAAAUAAUGCUACAACUAUAUGCAUAUAUGGCUGGUGGAAAGCUCUAUGGUUUAUAGUUUCUGCGAAAAGCCAAUUUUUCCCUAUAACAAAGGAAUAUAUUUUAAUUUUACUAUCAUGGUAGUUGAAACAUCAUUGAGAAGGUUCCUCCAACUCAAUCCCAAUUAAAGUGAUUAACAACCCAACAAUAUUAAUUAAACAUGAUGAGAUACAUGUGAUAACCCAAGUACUAGAUACUCAAGAAUUGUCCAUAACCGGGGACACGGCUAACCAUGAUUAGAUUGUACACUCUGCAGAGGUUUGCGCACUUUUCCCCACAAGACUCGAUCUCCUCCGUUGGAUUUCUCGCACUACAGGGUGUUUGAGAAACGGAUGACCGAGACACAGUCUUUCAGAAACAUUAACUCUCUACUCCGGAUGGACCAUAGAAAACCUACAUCCCACUACUUGUUGAUCUGCCUCUUCAAGAGCUUCACGUAACUUACUCAAGUAUGCUAGAGCCCAUAAUAGCCUGUGGAUGCACACGAAAGUUUCUAGCAUGAAUCAUCUCAGUUCCCUUUGAGCCUGGGUGGCGGUCCAUAGGAAGGUCACACGGGUACUCCGGGAUUUCCAAAAAAUACAGGCAAUACUGGGUACUCCAGGUGCCUCAAUCCACCCAGUUGUUUGAUUAAGUUGCCACCUUAAGUUGAACCAUUAAUUUAACAAUCUCACAUUUCUCAUGGAUUUCACUCAAACCCAAACCACGUCUACGAGCAUAGCAUAUCAUAGUAAUAUAAGCAACACGUAGAGUAACUCCCAAGGGUUUGAAUGUAACAAGGCAAUAGGUUCUACCUCAUCAACUACUUCCCAACCCACAAGUUAAUGACAUCCUAAUCAUCCAUAAUAGGUUCUAUCUCACGUUUGAUUUUAAUAUUUUUCCUCCAAUAUUUCAUUUAUUUUGGAGAAUUCAUAUUAUCUCCUCUCUUGUAUUUUAAUAUGUAAUAUUUUCGGAGAGAAAAAUAAUUAAAACCAAAAUCCUCGUUCCAAAAUUUGAUAAAAGGAUCAAAUAUGAAAACCGGGAAAUCCCCAACUCUCUCCGAGGGUCCUUGAGUUGCUUAGGAUUUCGAGGAUUACGGAACGGAAAAGCAAUAAAACAUGAUAUGCAAUGAUGAUCUAAUGUAUAACAUUCCAAAUUGAAAAUUUGGGAUGUUACAGAUACAUGUUUGUCACAGUAGGUCGCUUUUUUUGUCAUGCAUGUACAUCCAUGAUAAAUUUAUGACAGAAUCAAGAUAGUCAUACAUGUGCUGUCGUAGAAGUGUUCCAUGACAUUACCAAAAUUAUUGUCACGAAAGUGUCCACUUCCAUGACAAUAAAUCGCGCGUCACAGAAGUGCUUUCGUCAAGGGUGACCGACAUGUGGCAUCCACCGUAACGGAACGCCGUUAAGCUAUCGGGUCAGGUUUUGGAUCCGAUAACCCGUUAACAGCCCCGACCAAUGGGGAUUUUCCACGUGUAAAAUCAUCAUUGGCUAGAGGAAACACAUGUUGGCUCAUUGUUGGGACAGAUGUCAUCCACUCACUGGACAGAAGGCGCCUAUGAUACGUCGACACGUGGCACGGCCCAACAGUGGGCCAUUCCUGUGAAAAGGCCGGCCCAUUUGACUUGGUCAAAAUCUGGCGGGCCGGCCCAUGGAAAGCCUGUUAACGGCGUGUUCGCAUAUAGCCCAUUUACAGCCUGCUAACCCAAGACCCGUUACACCCUAUCCGAAUUAGGCCCAGUAGCGUCAUCUGGGCCGUCCAAUAGAUUCCAGCCCGUUUUCACUUCUGGCCCAUGUAUAGCCCAUGAAGUCUUUCGGCCCAUAUGAGGGCCUUUGUAACUCUUGGCCCAUUAGCGGCCCAUGCAGAAAUUGGCCCAUAAUGAACAGUGUAUCACUUUAUACCCAUUAACGGCCCGUGGUGAAACUGGCCCGUAAUGAACAGUGUAUCACUUUAUACCCAUUAACAGCCCGUUAUUCCGUUGGGCCGUCUCCACCCCCUCUUAUCUUUCGGCCUUCUCAGAGCCCAUUUAUUCUUGGGCUCAUUUCCAGCAUUCGUUUACUUACGGCCCGUUACUGUCAUUUUCUGCUUGUGGGCCAAAUUCAACCCGUGGUUACAGUCCGCCCGUUUGUGGUUUGUUAAUAUGUUGAGCCGUUUCCAUAGCGUCAUGAAAUAUAGCCUAUUAACGAUGGCCCGUUAUGGUUGGCCCAUGAACGGACGAUUCCAACUCUAGCCCAUUUACGGCCAGAAUGCGGUCUGUUUGGCCCAUGUUUGGCCAAUCGAUCAUACGGCCCGUAUAAGACCCAUUGACGAUACGGCCCGUAGAAGGCCCAUUGAUGAUAUGGCCCAUAGAAGGCCCAUUGUUUCUAUGGCUCGUAGAAUGCCCACUGUUUCUAUGGCCCGUAGAAGGCCCACUGUUUCUACGGCCCGUAGCAGGCCCAGUGUCACUACAGUAAAUAUUAGCCCAUGGUUAUUGUGGCCUCGUUUUAAAAAAUAGGUUAUUGCAGCCACUAGCAAACCGUAGAAAAAGAACUGCACUGACUACAAGCAAACAAAUAAACAAGACAACAAGGAAAUAAAUAAGCAAGCAACUUACACUAGGCUAUCACGGCUAUUACACAUAUUACAUCCACUGGGCAUCAAAGUUCGCCACCAGUGCAAAUAUAAGGAACACAGCAGCAUAUAAACGCCACAGCAAAACAAGUCCAGAACUGAAACUACUUCAGAAGAGCUCAAGAAACAAUAUCCUGGGUACCCAUAAUGCUGUCAUGAUGCUUAGCAAGCUUAUUAAGUUUCUCUUGUUUGGCGCUUAAGUCCUCCAGCGCUUGCCGUUGCACCAGAAAGUAUGCAUCUGAAUUCUGUAGGGACUUCCUCAGUCCUUCGGCUUCCUGUCGCAUAACAUCUGAUCGAUGUCUUUCAACUUGAAGUUGAGACUCAAGAAGACGAACUAAUUCAGGCAAUGAGUUCGAAGAGCUGGUGCCAGCAGUGGUAGCCAGUAACUCGAACACUACAUCAAGAAAGGACUUUGGGGUUGUCUCAGUGUCUUCUAUAUAGUUUUUAUCAGCUUUCUUGGAGACCAACAUGGAUGUCUCACUAUCUUGAACCUUAUCUGCAUUACUUCCUUUACCAUUGCAUAACAGGGUACUCUUCUCCAAUAUUUUAUCCGCGUUCUAAAAGAGAAACAAACAAACACAUCUCAGGUUUACAAUGUAGUAUAUGAAACUCAUUUUGGUAAACCAGUUCAGUAGUAAGGGGGACAGGAUAACAGCAUGAAACAAACAUAUAUCUAUGUAGUAUGGUCACUGUAUGGUCUAUAUCAUUCUAGUUUAUGUUGCCAAAUCAAGAUAGAUACAGUUUGAAUCAUAUCUAUUUAAGACAAAGCAGCAUAGGUAGAAUAUAAUUGUGGGAAACUACACAGCAAUAACAACACUUGUAAUGUGCAUGGCAUGAGAACAUAACUGUUUAUUCAAUUGAAACUGGAAUCAACAUAGAGCAAGUUACAACAGCAAACAGCCAAACACGUUGAAGAAACAUGUUUAAAACAUACCUGUUGCGCCAUUGGAGUUUCAAUUGCAUCCUUCAAAUUUGAAAUUAGUUGGUAUCAGUAAAUACAGUGAUGCAAGAGCAAAGUAGUAUGAACCAUAGCUACGGAACCUGACCUGAGAAUAGUUCUUCUUCUGGUUUAAGUGUUGACUUCGGGUUCGGAGUGGUGGUCCUCGUGAUUUGGGCACUGCAGUUGCCUUACUAACUGCUCGUGUUUGGGUGCUCUGUGGUGGAGACGGUGCUGUGUCAACGGGAACUGGGUGUCUAUCUGCUGGGGUUGGGGUUAGAAGGGGUGUAGCUGGUUCUCUGUCCAACUGGGUAGGGGUACAAUCUGCAUGAGUGUGGGUUAUGUUUGGUGGGGCUGGUUCUUGGGCAAGUACAACCGUGGUUCUAUCUACAUCAACAAGUAGCACGAUCUUUUCUAAAGACCGUGUUUUUACUCCCACAGAUACUGCCAUCACUACCUCCAAUUGAAAUGGCUGAUAAACAAGAAAAGUAAUUGAAUGUAAUUACAUUGUAAGAUAGACAGGUGCAAUGGAUAGUAGGGAAGAAAACAGGGCAUGAAAUAAUUCACAUUUAUGUUGUCUAAGCAAACAUAAUAGCAGGACAUAAUUUCACAUACAUGAUGGCUAAUUAAACAGGAUAGCAUGACACAAUUUCACAUGUAUGAUGGCUAACUAAACAGGAUAGAAUGACAUACUUCAAAAUACGAUGACUAUGUAAACAGGAUGACAUGAUAUAACUAUACUAUGUGUCUAUUAAAGUGGUUGGCAUGCCAUAAAUCACAAACAUGUCGUCGAUGGAAACAUGAUGGCAUGAUAUAAUUCACGGAUAGAAUGACAUAAUUUAAAUAUGAUGACUAUGUAAACAGGAUGAGAUGAUAUAACUAUAUUAUGUCUUUAGAAAAUGGGUUGGCAUGCCAUAAUUCAGAUACAUGCUGUCUAUGUAAACAUCAUGGCAUGACAUAAUUCAAAUAUAUGAUUUAUAUACUAAGUAAGUGAGCAGAGGGCAAUCGCAUAUAUGAUGUGUCAACUAAGGAGAUGGCAUUCAAUAUUGUGUAUAUGAUGUAAAAACUAAGCAUUGCAAUACAACAUAUGCAUUAUAUGAGUAAUAUACCCUGCCAAGUUUGAGCAUACACCUCAGGGGGAUAAUAGGACUAGUCAUCUGCUUCUGAAUCCUCCUCUGAAGAGCUAUCUGUAACCAACAAGAUAUCUGCUUCAGCAGGUAGCAUUGUCUGCUCUGAAGACCUUGUUUUCACUCCAGAUUUCUCCAUCACCAAUUCAAAUGGCUGAUGCACAGGAAGAGCAGUUGAAUAUACAAACAUUGUCGACAAAAGCAAUGAGAAAUACAAAAAAGGACGGCAUGAUAUAAUUCACAUAUAUGAUGCUUGCCUAAACAGCAUGGCAUUGCAUAAUUCACAUACAUAAUGCCUUGCAACAAGAUAACAUUGCAUAAUUCACAUAUAUAAUGUCUUGCAACAAGAUGGCAUUGCAUAAUUCACAUAUCUGGUAAUUAGACACUAAAUAGGUGGCAUUCACACAAAGCAUGUCUAAACUAAGCAAAUGACAUAGCAAUGCAAGAUACCAUACGCACGAUAUGAGCAACAUAACCCUGCCAAGUUAGGGCAUGCACCUCGGGGGGGGGGGGGAUAUGACUGGUCAUCUGUCUCUGAAUCCUCNNNNNNNNNNNNNNNNNNNNNNNNNNNNNNNNNNNNNNNNNNNNNNNNNNNNNNNNNNNNNNNNNNNNNNNNNNNNNNNNNNNNNNNNNNNNNNNNNNNNNNNNNNNNNNNNNNNNNNNNNNNNNNNNNNNNNNNNNNNNNNNNNNNNNNNNNNNNNNNNNNNNNNNNNNNNNNNNNNNNNNNNNNNNNNNNNNNNNNNNNNNNNNNNNNNNNNNNNNNNNNNNNNNNNNNNNNNNNNNCUCUAAGGAGCUAUCGGUAACCAGCAAGACAUGCGCUUCGUCAGAUAGCAUUGUCUGCUCUGAAGACCUUGUUUCCACUCCAGAUUUUUCCAUGACCGUGCCAAAUGGCUGAUGCACAGGAAGAGUAAUUGAAUGUACUAAAAUUCUUGACAAAUUUAACACGUAAUAAAAAAAUGAUAGCAUGAUAUAAUUCACAUAUAAGAUGACUGGCUAACCAGGGUGGCAUUGCAAAAUUCACAUAUAUGAUGCCUGGCUAGACAAGAUGGCAUUGCAUGAUUCACAUAUAUGAUAAAGAAACCAAAUAGAUGGCAUUGACACAAAGCAUGUCUAAACUAAGCAGAUGACAUCUUUAAUGUAUACAGUAAGCAAUGCAAGGCACCAUAUGCAUGAUAUUACCAACAUUAGCAUGCCAAGUUAGAGCGAAGACCUCAUGGGGUAAAUAGGAGUGGUCUUCUCCUUCUGAAUCCCCCUCAUAACAAUUAUCUUCCUCUUGAUUACGAUCCAAAAUGGGUGGAGGGGGGCUGCCUUUGCGCCCACCAUGGAACAACGUCUGCAUGAAAUUUUAUUGCCACGCAAGGCUUGUCUCUUUUGCUCUACAUGAUCAGUUCCAUUGUGUACAAUAACUGGCAUGCAUAGGAAUAAAACAUAGUGAGAUUAUGUAAGGAGUGCAUGCACAAAUCCAGAGUGAUGGUAGCAAACUGUGGAUAGACCCAAAACCAAUGAUAGCAGGCAGAUAAUAGCUUUAGUUAAAAAAUACAGAUAAUGGCUCCUUUAAUGUUUAUUUGCACCCAACAUGAAACUCAUAGUAGACACCAGAGAUUAACCAGAUAGUAGACAGAUAGUACUGAUUGCUGCCCCAAUAUGUACCCCACAACCAUUUAAAAACUCAAGUUUCAGCAUUAGUUUGGACCUGACUCAGAGUCUAAUAGGUGAACACGACGAUAAUGUAGCAUGUAAUCAUAUUAAGCGACGCAUAACGUAAGUAGACACGGAAGAGUGCAACUUCUCUUGCGUACCCGUGUAGUCCUCAAGGUCAUCUGCUCAGUUGAUGAUGGUAAUGCAGUUGCCGUGGCUACCGGCGGCGGGGAAGAAGAUCUGAGGCGGCGAAAGACAGUCUAGAGAGCGGAUCCCUGCUGUGGUGAACCCUUCUGUCGUUGGAGCAGCUGAGCUGGGGUGGAACACUGCGCCGCAGGAGCAGGACAAACCACACAAGGUUUUCUUUGACACAUAUCUGUAACAGAAGUAAUUGAGUAAGGGCUUGUUUGAAUUUGAGGAUUCUAACAAUGCAGAGAUAGGAAAUAGACGGGAAUAGGAUAGGAAUGCACGUGCAAAACAGAGAAUUUAAAAACAUAGGAUUUCUGCCAAUCUGGGUGUUUGAUUCACAACAAUUGGAAGAUCACAGGAUGCAAAAAAGCAUGGUGAGAUUAAGUCAAACCACAAGAAAAUGUACGGUUAUAAUGCUAUUAUGCUACUAUCUCUUAGUCUUGUGCUUGAUGAAUAGGAAUAUGAAAAGGAGGAGAAGUGGAAAUUAGAAUUCCUACGGUUUUUCUUUCAAGGAGACACUAAAGGAACAAAUCCUACAGUUUUCCUUUGCUCCAUUCCUUUGCACCAAAUUCAUGAAAAGUAGUACCAUAGGAAACUUUCCAAUUCCGAUGUUUUUCAUUCACUUUUCCUUUCAAGAACUGGCGAUUCUAGUAGGCAGGCUUGAGCAAGGAAAAUACUACACUAAAAAAAUGUUUUUGUGCUACUUCUAUUACUUUGGACCCAGGCCACUACCAUACUAGCUCAACUCCCAGGCCCAUCGACAAAUGCACAGCUCAAACGCGCAGUGAUAAAUAAUGAUGGCAUUCAAGAGAGUCCAUCACGGAUAGCUAAGUUGCCCGGUACCUCACUGCUUGUCAUAUAGUAGGAUAAAAUAAUCGUAUUUCCCGUUACUACGAGUGCUCAGUGGACAAUAUAUAUAACAUAUAGAGUAAAAAAAGAGAUGCAACAAGUGUACAACCUCUUUGGCGAAGCCAUGUCGAUUUCAGCGUGAUUGGGUUGGCCGGUGAGGAUGCUCCGGCUGACUUGGCUGUCGGAGGAGGGGAAUAAGAUCUUAGGCGUCUGGAGAUGGAGCCCGAGGUACUGCUCCGCUGUGAUGGAGGGUUUCAUCAUUGGAGCAACUCUGGUGAGUUGUACGACGCCGAGGCUGAAACAGGACAAGAGAGACAAUGAACAACGUUAACCGGAGUGGAAUUCUAAUAGCAUCUCCAAUACAUGACGUAAAAUACAUAAACACAAAGUGCUAGAUGUAAAAUACAUCAGCCGCUCAUCUCUGAACUUAACUGUCGGAACUGAAUUUAACUGUCGAAACUGAACUUAACUAUCGAAACUGAACUUAACUAUCGAAACUGAAUUUUGCUGUCGAAACUGAAUUUUGCUGUCGAAACUGAACGCACUAGAGGUGAGGCUACACGUCGGCCGACUGACUUUUUCAUCUCUGGUCAGUCGAUUUUGCAGCCGUUGGAUACGAAAUCAAGGGCCUGCGGUUCAUCUUCAACCUCCACCCCCCUGAGCCGGCCAAAGAGCAGCCCCCCGCCGCCCGCGGCCGGCGAUGCGCCGCCCCGCCCGCCCUGAAAACACUCCCCACCGUCGGUCCGCCGCCGCCCCAGCCAUCCCUCUAGCCCUCCCCCCCCCUCCCGUGCUGAGCUUUUUCUCCGACGAUCCCCACGCCACCGCCCCGCCACCGCCCCGCCACCGCCGGCGACCACCGCCCCCAUCCUGAACCCUAAGAUAGAUAGUGGGGUACCUCUCCGGCAAGCCCCCCUCCCCGUUGUGGCUGGUUCUUCCUUCACCCCGGCGGCAUCGGAGUGAAGUGCAGCUAAAUCGGAGCAGCAUCGCAAGCAAGAGAAAGAGCGAGAGCAGCAGCGCGAGCAAGAGCAAUAGCAAGAGCAGACCAAGCAGGGGACCGAGAGCAAGAGCGGAGGAGCAGCGCGAGCGACAGCUAAAGCAGCAAUAGGUCCUACUGAUGUGGACAUCGCCAUCGAGGGAGCGACGCCGUGGAGGAAGUGGCCGGCGAUGCCGCCGUGGAUGGAGCCGCGCCGUGUCGGCUCGGGACCGAGCGCCGGCAGCACCGUGAGAUCGAAUCAAGAAGAAAAUGCGGCGAUUAGUGUACAAACUCUUUGGUGGCGCCGAUUAGGCCGCAACUUCAUCCGAGGAAAUGGUGAUGAUGAUGCUCUUCUAGUGGUGCGGGUGAAGACGGUGGUGUGGGAAUGGAGGUGGCGUGAAUGACGAGGGGAACGUCGGGGCAGCUCCUUGGAGGUGGAGGACGGUGUGGCUGAACCGGCGGGACAAUGAGAUCGACGAUGGAUCCUCAUCUGGUACGGUGGAUGAGGGACGUCGAGGUGUUGCUGUGGACGAUGUCGUUGGGGAAGAGGCUCCGGCUGGGUGGCGGACGGAGCAAGGUGUGGGGUUUCAUCGCGGGUUUUCGCGUCCUCGGUGUACGAAUGGGUGGGCGGAUGGGAUGGCAGUGGGGAACCAUGGCUUAGAGACGCGCUUGUCUGAAAUGUGGGGUAAGUUACGAAAGUACCCCCACCGAUUUGAGGCGGUUCUUUCAGUUCAGGGGUACCACGGGCAUUUCACGUGUCGGGAUUUCACAGGAGGUGGGAGUUUUCGCGCGCGUUGUAAUUUCGGAAUAGCAAGGCGCGGGUAGAGAUGGAGGGAGUUGUCGGAGCACAAUGAGACAAAGAUAUAUCUUAAAUAUUUCGGGCUAACAAGGCGCGGGUUGAAGAGGCGGGAGUUUCCCAGCACGAUAGAAAGAGACGCUAGCUUGAAUUUUCGGCAUAACAAGGCGCAGCUUGAAAUUUCAGAAGAACAACCUUAACGUGUACCCAAAAAAGACAAUUUGCACCUAAACACGCACAACACACACACAAACACCAUUUAGACUAGAGUAAGGUACAUGUGCAUUGCACACAUGAGAUUUGGCAACCAAAUUAUGAAUAAAUACCACAUUAUAGCAUGCAAGAUUUGAGUCAUAUAUGCAUGAUGUAGAUGUUCGUUUAAUUCUUAUAGUUCAUUUCAAUCAAAAUCAUCUUGUUUUUAUAAGAAAGCUAAUCUAUUUUAAGAUUCAUGGAAUUGUGCGUCGUAAGACAUAAAGUAAAAACAAAUAAUGGCAAAUCAUGUAGAAAAACAUUUGGGCAACUCUGAUACAGAAGAUUCUAGAACAAAUAAGAAGUGCUUGUGUUUUGAUGUUUGUGCAUUAUGCUUAAGUUCAACCAUGGAGUCUUCUAGAUUAUACAUGUGGCGAAAUCUGGUGGAAUCUAGAUGAUAUCCAGCGGCCAGUAGUGCUCAAAUUUGCCAUCUUUGGACCAUCAGAUUCGCCUCAUCCAACGACCAUCUUUCAAAGUUAAAGUUACCCGCACACAAUAUAAAAAAUAUAUAUAAUAUAAUAUAUAUAGGGGUAUAGAUAUAGAUAUGUGAUGCAAAAGCCGCCCAUCAUCUCCAAUUAGAAUAGUGUGUCCAUGCACGGAUGCGACAUGGCCAAAUGAUGUCUGCCAUCGGUAUCUCAAAUUCAAAUCAGUCUGACCUUGUUCAAUGUGUAUACAUUACAACAUGCUCGUUUCCAAACCACACCGCGUGGAUCUCCGUUAUAUUCAUGCAUGCAUGGGUUUCAAACAUCAGGAUCUCUUAUUCAAAUAUUUGAAUUCAACUUUACAUUGAUUGUGACCUCACCUAUUCAGCUAUUCUUUUACACCCACACAGUAGUCUUCUCUUUAUAAUUGUACCACUAACCUUCUCUCAUGCAUGCAUGCACACACACUACCAGUCGGCAUUAUCCAUCGCACGCAUGCAAUCUUUUUCUUCAGGUCGGUCUCCCAUGAAGGCACACACCAACACACAUCCCCCUCUCCAUCAUAUCGGGCAUUCUUUAUCUCUCACGCGUGCAUGCGCAAUGAUCGAUGUUCCUCUAUGUAUGUGUGUAUAUAGCUAGGUCUUUCAUAGUUUUCCACACAAACCGAUCAAUCGAUAUAUCCAGUGAGGUCUCACCCUCUUUCCCACGUCCACAUCAAUCAAUCUAUACCUCUCUAUAUAGGAUUAACAUAUAUAGCUAAUACAUCCACAUUAAUUAUGUAUCCAACGUCCCCCUCUCAUCAUCCAUGCCUUCCGCUUCAUCUCUCAGAUGCGUGCACAAUGGCGAAGACAGGGGGCAGUAAGGGCCCUGCCCCCUCCCCCCUAACAUCACUAUAUAUCAAGGCUAAUAUGAAUGUGAUCAUUAGACAAUUACUGCUAAAAAUGGUUUAAGUUCAUGAAUUGACCCUCCUCGUAAAGGAUUAGCAAUGCUUGGCCCCUAGCUCAUUUAUUUUUCAUGGCUCCGCCACUGCGCGCAUCAGCGCACGUGUUCGCCCUCUCUCUCUCUCUAAAUAUCGAUCUCGCACUUGUGCAUCCCUUCAUAGUCUCCCUCCACUCGGUCCCUUGCACGAUCUUCUAGCCCCCCACCGGAUUUUACCACAUGUACAAUCUAGCAGACUCCAUGCUUGAACUUAAGCAUAAUGCACAAACCUGAAAACAACAGUGGUUCUCUUUUGUUCUAGAAUCUUCCGUAUCAUAACUGUCCAAACUUUUUUCUAGUUGAAUUGCCAUUAUUUUUUUUACUUCAUGCUUUACAACGCACAAUUCCAUGAAUCAUAAAAUAGAUUAAGGGCUUCUUUGAUUCAAAGGAUUCUCAAAGGAAUUUUGGAGGAUUCUAAUCAUUAGGAAUUUUUCCUAUCUUGGUUGUUUGAUUCGUAGGAUUGUAAACCAUAGAAAUUUUUCCAUAUGAUUCAUUUGCACUAGAUUUCAUAGGAAACAUCCCAUCCACUCAAACCUCUUUGAAAGAAUUCUGCAUUUUUUCUAUGCACAAUCAAACACUCGUACAAUCCUGUAGGAUUCAAGACGACAUUCCACUAUAAUCCCAUGUUUUUCCUAUUCCAGCGUUCUUAGCUUUUUUAUAAAAACUAAUUGAUUUUGAAUGAGAUGAACUAUAAGAAUUAAACGAAGGGCUACAUCAGGCAUAUAUGACUCAGAGCUUACAUGCUAUAGUUUGGUAUUUAUUCAUAAUUUGGUUGCAAAAUCUGAUGCAUGCAAUGCACGUGUACCUUACUAGUACUUCGAGUAUGUGCAAAACACGUAAAUUAGAAUACAAAUGGCACGCUACACAGUGUCUCUCUUACAGUUCAUGAAGCCACAUGCCACAUGUGUAGGCGUUGUCGCUACCUCCUUGCAUGGAUUGAUCACAGUGACGUGCUGCUGGUUCCAGAAGAAUGUACUCGUCCUCCCUGAGCCAUACUGGCGGUACAUGCACGAAGCGAAUAUGUGCAUGCACGCCAUGCACGCACUCAUUCCUCGCACGCACACAUGGGUACAUGGGCGGACACAGUUUUGUACCAAGAUCCACCCCAUGUGAUAAUUUGACGCGUGUAAAGUUGUUCACUUCAUUGAUGGUCAAUUAAUACAGCGCAUGCAAAUUGAGUGGAUGUGAGGGUGGAAGAAAGACAUUAUUACUCCACUGCGCACAUGCGAGUAGUUAAAUCGUGGGUUGCUAGUAGUACUUCCAUCGGUCUCCUUUGUAUUUUGUGCCAAUUUUUGACAUUAAAAUAAUAUUUACGCAUUUGAGCAGUGUAGUAGUACUUGAAAUUUAUGUUCCGCUAAACUCAUCGGGAGCCGUUUCGGGCCUCGAAACCAAAGCCAUCAAUUAAUCUUUACCUUGUUCCCAUCACAUUCGAAAGCCUGCUCACACCUACUACUAGUACGUACCAAACCUGAACGUGUUCCCACUAUGCAGGUAUUAGUACUAGUGCUAGUACUUAGGUUAUAAAAAUGGGAACUACCUAACCGAAAAUCACUCUACCUUUCCUCCUCAUAAGUGCUUCUUCUUCAUCCGUCGUUGCCAUGGCCGGUGAGCAGAGCUCUAGGUCGAGAACUACUCGUAACAAGGGAGCGGCAACAAAGGCUACAGAAAAAAAGAGAGGGCUUGCCGCCACGCAGAGACCUUGAAAGAUCCCUCACGGGCAGGCGACGACUCCCAGGAGCGCCCUAGCCGCGGAGGCGAACAUGCCGAACCGGCGGAGCUGGAGUCGUUAUCCCUCGACGGCAUGCCCGAUCAGCUCAAUAAGCAGAAGGAGUUCAUCCAAGGCUUGAUGGAGUUGUUGAAGGAGAGCCUCGACGACAUGCCCGCUGAGCUCAAUUAGCAGGGGGAGUUGACCGCCGGCUUGGUGAUGCUGCCGAAUAAGAGCAUUGCCUCGGAGAAGAAGGCGACCGGCGAAAUCCUGCGACUUCGGGAGGAUAAUGCGAAGCUCUGCCACGAGAUCGACCUAUUGAAGGAGAAGAACGCCGGCUGGUAGAAGCUGCAUGAGAAUAGUAGUUCCUCGAUGAAGAUUCCGCAGGCCCUCGCCAUGGAACAGAAGGAAUAGUUGGCGAAGCUCCGCAUCGAGCACCCGGCUGCUGUCAAGGUACAUAAUAUGGCCGUGGAACAGAUGAUGAAGGCUCGCGUCGAGAAAUGCCGCAUCAUGGACACAUUGAUGAAGAUGGCGGAGGAGACGCGCAAGGAGAUGGAUGUCGUGGAGGCGAUGAAGAAGCAGUUACGACUCCGUGGUGAAUUAGAUCAUUUGGAGUGAUAAUCUUCCUUCUUCUUUUGCUCCUUUGUUUCAUCUUUUGCUUCGGGUGUUUCGCCGCACGUGUCACGUUCUCUGCGAGGCAUGAAUAGAACAAUGUUUUUUAGGGAAUGAAUGGAACAAUGCUAACAAUGAGAUGACUAGCAAAUUAGAUCAUUUUUUAUCGCCAUAUGGCACUGGGCUGCCGUGUUUCGUGCUCCUCCGUCGCAGUACUACUCCAGUGGAAAACUUGAGUAUAGCGCACGGUUCUUUGCUCCUCCUUGAUCAGGUCGUCCGCGCAUUUAUGCGAGCAGUCAAAUCACAAGGCCCCGCCUUCCAGCAGUAAUGAGCCGUCAAAUCACAAAGGCCCUCGCCUCUCGUGAAACCGACCAAGCUAGACUGCCCCGCCCUCUAGCCUUUCAAAAAAUGUAUACUUUUGUACAGUAGUAGUAUCGAUGGAUUGCGCCAUGGAGAAAGACUUGAAAUUAAAAAAAGGUGGUACAUAUAGAGAGCGCUCGUCGCCAAAUUUGCAUAUAGUACUAUUAAAAAGGCUAGUCACAAUAAUGGUGUCCAGCACAACCCACCCCUCAAAUAAAACUAAGAGGGUGCUUGGAUACGUUUUAGUCCCAUGACUAAAAGUAGUGGGACUAAAACAUGCUAGCCUCACCCAUGCUUGAAUCCAAAUACUAAAAAGGCUAAAAUCAAGUUAAUGAGCAUUUAUUAUCCUCCAAACCCCCCAAUCUAGAACUCGCCUGUGUUAAAGGAGAGGAGUUAGAUGAGUAGAGAGAGGACUAAUCCACAUUUUUGUAGGGGUACCCCUGACUAAAAAAUUUUAGUCUCAAGACUAGUUUUAGCCCCUCUUUAGUCAGGGGUGCUUGGAACUUUAGCCUCUUAAAGAGACUAUUUUUAGUCAGACUAAAAUAAGUCCCUUGGAUCCAAGCACCCUCUAAGCAUCCUGGAAUUCUUUGACAAAACUAAGCACCCUGAAAUUCUUUGACAACUAAACUGCUGGCUAUAUGAUGUUGGCCAUAUAUAUUAUACGUAUAUAAUGUGAAGAAACGAGUGGUAGUACUAUACCAACUAAAAGAUGACAUGUAAGAAAUACUAGUAUGUACGUACUGAAGAGUUAAAGUAACAAGAAGAAACAUAACAUAGUUCUGCCUGGGGCUCAGCGCAACACACCCCUCAAAUUAAAUUAAGCACACCUGAAAUUAAACUUUGCAACUAUUCUGGUAGACACUGCAUUAGAACCACCAUGAGAAAUGACACUGCCACCUUACUCGGAGUCCUCGUCCACGUCCUCGACUUCGUCCUUGUCCCUCUUCCUCUUGGCCGAUACUUCUUUGCUUGAACCGCACACUUGGCUGUUGCUCUUCAUCCAACCCUUGUAGAUAUUGAAGCAAAGGUAGCCAUCCAUUACAGCAUAGUGGAUGUGGUCUAUAUCUAGUACAUUCCGCUGCCAUGCAUGAUGAUGAAACGUGUAUGGAGGUUUCUCCAGUUUACCUACGAAGGACGAACCAUGGCUCCUGCCAGGGUCAGCAUUGAAGGCUGACGAGCGGACACCAGCCGAUUCUUCUGGAGGUCGAAGGUGUUGCCUACAACGAGGCCUAUCUAAUGUAGGACGUCUUUGUCGUUACCAAAGUCUACAGUAACGAAUUUGACUAGGUUGCUCUCGAGGAAGUCCUUAAAAUCCUGGCACUCAACGUCGACAUGGCAUAUGUGGUAGACCAAGCAUAAGUCAUGCACGCAAACCUGGAUCACGACGGGCUUCUUCCUCUCUUCGUCCUUUAGAUCCUUCUCUCGUCCCAGGACUGUGGUGUACUCAACAUCUAGCCCAGCGACCCACUCAUCAUCUGAGUCUUCGAACAUGCGUCUGAAGCGAGAAAGGCAUCCUUUCACCGUCGCAGAAGAAUGGGUGUAGAUGACAUCGAACUCAUCGCCGGUGAUGGUUCUAACCUUGUACUCACCGCCGAUCGUGGAGAUUUGGGAUGCCAUGGAUUUGGGAGGAGGGUUAGGAUUAGUGGAACUGUCAUAAUGUGAAUGGACGAGACGACUAGGAGCGAACCGUCGUAGUAUUGAAGGAUGUGCGGGGACGAGUAGGAGCGAACUGCCAGCGUGCGAACGGCAGGGUAGUGGCUUUCCAUUCUCCCAUGAUACGGGCUCCCGAGAGCCCUUGGAUCUGAGAUCGAACGGUUGCAUGGCGUGAUUCUAGACCUAUGGGUGAAUAUCCUAUCCUGGAGGGUUAUUCUGCAAAUUUUCAGCAACUUAGCAUGCGACCGUUUGAUCUCAGAUCCAAGGGAUGCCAGCAGCCCGUAUCAUGGUCGCGCCUACCAUGACCAUCGUGUCGCUCGCGAGGUCGCGCCCUUGGAGAUUUAACACGGUGCGUUAGGCUAUCUGAUGUUGGCAUGUCAUACAUAGUCAUCACUUAGUCACUCAUACUACAACAAGGUUGGCUAUAAGUGUAUUUUUUUACUCCUCUCUAUCUCUUUCUUCGUACUCAAGGAAGAAGCGGUGCUAAGCGCGUGUAUUUAUUGCAUUUGCCAAGGAGUGACCUCUUCCAAUGAAAUGGUCUUGCUAAGUUUGCUUCAUUUAAUUAGCUGUAGACUCAAAAUUGUCUUUUCACCUAGGUACACGCACUUAGCACCGUUUCUUCCUUGGGUCACCAAACUAGUCUCUCUCUUCUUGAUUAACUUGCCAGAUCAGACUUUAUGCUUAUGUGGCAAGCUUAAGCACCUGUAGGAGCAAGUAAAAGUAAGUACAAUAGUGCGCUUUACAUGGCAUUUUUGCAUAUGUGGAGGAAAGAGAGGCAAGGAAAAAGUGGAGAAGUGGGCUCUCAUGCAAGAGCCAGCCUCUACUACAUGGUGGAGCAUUGGGAGAGGUACCUGUAUGGAGGUGGUCAGGAAUCUGGGAGACUCAUGCCGGUCGUAGCGCCACAAUUAAAAUGAUAAUGGCAAGUCAAAUCACGAGGCCCCACCGGUCCAGCAGUAACUCGCUGUCAAAUCACACAGCCCUACGUUUGCAGCAGUCUACUCCCUCGUCUUCUUGCGUCUCUGUCGAACCGACUAGGCGGAACUGCCCCGCCGCCUACCGCGCAGGAAAAGCCCCGCCCUCGACUUUUAAAUAGUAUACAGUAUACUAAUUUUGUAUCCAUGGAUUGCGCCCGCGCCAUGGAGCAAAGCGUCUAGAAAACGGAGGAGAGACAGUGGUAUUGCAAUAGAGAAGAGGGAGAGGCGAGACGGUGGUUUUGGAAUGGAGAUGAUGGAGAGGAGAGGAGGUGGUUUUGCAAUGGAGAAGAGGGAGAGGAGCGUGCGACAGCGAUUUAGGAUUGGACGAGAGGGUCGGUGCGCUCUGACUGGAUCAAAAUCAAAAUCAAUUUGGUGACAUGCAUUCACAUUUUGCUUGUCAAAUACAGUACGUGGUCAAACUUUGACCCAAAAUACGCGAAACAACAAAAAAUACUUCCAAGACCAGCGCCGCUCUUCCGCUCUUCUCCUCUUAAACCAUCGACACUCCUCUCCUGUUCCAAUCUAAAUGCAGCACCGCUCCUCUCCUCUUCCAUUUCAAAACCACCGCCCCUCCUCUCCCGUUCCAGUCCAAAACUAGCGUCGCUCCUCUCCCGUUCUAAUCCAAAACCAGCGCUGCUCCUCUCCUCUUCCAUUCAAAAACCACCGCCGGCGAGUGAAGGUGCUGUGGAGAAGUAGAUCGAUGGAGGAGUACAACCGAUAUGUGAGGAUCGCAGACGGCGACCCUAUGAAGCUAGCUCGGAUGUUGGAGAUACAGUCUUGGUUUGACAACAAGGACCAACUAGCAGCGACAGCGACAUCCAUGGCCAAAGAUCUGCAACAGAGCGAAAAGGCGGCGAUACUCCCGGAGAGAGUCGCGCCGGAGUACAUAGAGCUGCUCCUCUGGGCCAUGGAGCAAACAGAUUCACUGAAUCCAAUUGUGAGGGAGCGGUGGUGGGAGUAUCGAUCCCAGAUGGAGCAUCCACCAGAGAUUGAAGGAUCGAGCAUCUACAGGGUGCCGUUUGUGAGGGUGUCCUGCCAGAGCGAGCCGGUGGAGUCUUCGUCGACCGAACCCAACUGCAAGAGGAGAAAAGCAAUUGGCCCGACGACACUUCCCCGCCAUCGUCUCCCUCGCCAUUCACAUCGUCUCACGGGGCGGCUGUCUGCUGCCGAGGAAUAGGAGGGGGCUGCCCCCACAGCCCAAUAGUCGGCUAGGUUGUGAAUUGUCAGGAGGAGCUUAGGAUUGUUAGUAUUUGCAGGUUGUGAAUUGUGUUUUGUGUUGUGUAUUUUGAGAGUACUUUCAGAUAUGAAUGUCCUUUGAAUUUCAGAUUUGUAGUAUUGAGCAUAUGAAGUAUUUAUGAAUUCUAGAUAUCUAUUUUUAGCACUUAAAAAAAUGUAGUUUCAUAGGAGUAUAAAAGUGCAGACAAUGUGAUUCUCAGAGAAGAAACUGCAAGUUUCAGUUUCAGAUAAGAAACCGCAAGUUCAGUUUCAGAUAAGAAACUGCAACUUUUAGAGGCAGAGCAUUUAUAUUAACACGGCCUUUUCAAACAAGGUUAACAUCAUGUUGGAAGUUUUAUUCAUGGUCGAAAAUGGAACUACCAGCUAGUUAACAUCAUGCUGAUCAACAUUCAUGCAUAGCACAUCUUCAUAUGAUGCACAGUCAAAAUGCCCACACAAUGUCGAGUGUGCGAAACACAGAGAAAAUGAGGGACGAAGUUUUGGCAAGUGUUGGACGUGGUUUUGGGCUGCCCCGUCUAGGCUUUCAUUUUUAACAUGCGCAGCCCACGUUCUCGGAUGGGAGGUCCAUAGGCCUGUUUGUAUUUUCUUAGGGCCGUCAUGUAUCGACCGGCCUAUGGACCUCCCAUCCGAGGUUUUAUUUUUGAAGAAAACGCAGAGGUUUGUUCUAUUUUUAUAUAAGAAUAGGAACGCUAGGUCCAACUUAUGUCUCCCUUCUAACUAUAUUGUAUAUAUUUAAAUUAUUUUAUAUGUUGACUAUUUAGUUCACAUAAUUGGCAAAUAGAUGACCGCUCUCGCGAUCCCCUUCACCCCCGCCACCACCUCCACCCUCGCCGCCGCCCCUGCCACCACCUCCACCCUCGCCGCCGCCAUAGAUCUCGCCGCCACCCCCCGCCUCCUGACUCCGGGCGCGCUUGCCCCCCCUCAGCAAGUCCGCUCGCGCGCCCCAUGGAGUCGCCGGCCAUAUCCACGAGAGAAUGGCUGGAAGACGGGCAUAUGUACAAGAUGCAUCUCCCACAUGUCUACAAAGCCUUCCCGCGGAUGCUCCAGCCGCUCAACUCCGUCGCGCCGGCGGUGCUGUGGGAGACUCGAGGGAGGAGAUGGAGGGAGCGGGCGAUGCGGAUCCGCGACGACGCUCUCUCCUGGACCCAGUGCACGCGCAAAUGGAGGGAAGCAGAGGAGCAUGCUGCGAGGGAGGAAGCCAAGGAGGGACCGCAUCCGUUCUCUCACUCGCGCAGGUAUGCUCGGAUGUGCAAGGAUCAUGUGGAUUGGGAGUUGCUGAAUCUAGCCCUGCGGAUCUACUUCGAAGGAGAUUUCUUGGAGAAGCACAGGAUGCCCCACCCCGGUGAGCCGCCGAUUGCAUUCGUUCGAUGGGAGAAAGGAGAAGUGAAUUCAGGAGAUCCACGUUGUGCUGCGAGAUGGUAAUGCUUGACUAGACUCCUGCCCACCAGCACACCACCGGAGCCAGAGCAGGUGGAUCCCCUACCUUACCUCUCCCCCAAACCUGCAGAAGAUUGAAAUUAGGCUUGCAAUCUGCUUCAAUUCAGCUGUCUGGUGGUUAUUUCUGCUUCCUGAGAGACAACAUCUGGCUGGAGGAUGAGAAGGAACCAGGAACUCCGAUGGAUUUCCCCUAUCACAAUGGGGGGAGCGCCGGUUGGGCAGUGGUACGGCCCACCUCCGCCCCAAAUGAGGGCACAAUCUGGGCAGGCUCCUGUAAUUGCCCAAGAUCAAUGUGCUGGUGGUUCUGACUCUUAGAUCAGUGGGAAAUCUCAAGGCAAGAAUCAGCAAAAGAAGAGACAUGACAUCCAGAAAACUGCUCCUGCCCCUGCUUCGGGCCUUAUGGCAUACUCUGAGGUGAUUUACUACAACUGUGGGGAACUAGGGCAUCAUUUGGAUAAAUGUGUCAAGCCCAAGAGUUGUUUUAUCUGCAAAAUGGUUACCCAUAAAGUUGAGAAUUGCCAUGUCAGAAGGAAAACCCACAGUUCUGCUAGAUAUGUUGGAAGUGCUGCUCCAGGAUUAUGUCCACCAUUGACAGAUUUUCUGUGACAUAGAAUUAGAUAGUUUUUUCCCUUUCUAGUUGUAGAGCUCUGCCCAGAUGUGGUAGUGACCACACUCCUUUGCUCUGGGACUCUGGUCUUAACCAAACUCCAAAGAGCAAUAGUUUUAAAUUUGAAAAGUGGUGGUUGCUUAGAGAAGAUUUCACUGAGCUAGUCAGGAAAAUCUGGAAUGAGCCUACUGGGAGCAGCUGCCCCCUAGAAAAUUGGCAGAUCAAAAUCAGGAGAUUAGAAGAACUACCAAAGGGUGGAACUCCAAUGAGGAAGUUAAUCUUAGAAGAUACAAAAGGCUUAUCCUCCUUGAGUUUGAUUCUCUAGAUAUUAAGGCAGAAACCACUAACCUCUCUGAGGCUGAGACUAAUAGAUUAAACUUUGUCCAUGGAGAGCUCAAGAAAAUUUGGCUUCAAGAAGAAAUCAAAGACAAACAAAGGCCUAGAGAUAGGAACAUUAAGGAGGGUGAUAGAAAUACUACUUACUUCCAUGCAGUAGCUAACCAGAGGAGGAGGAAAACCCUCAUUCACUCCCUUGAUGGCCCUAAUGGCCCUGUUGCUGAGGUAGAUGAGAUGCUAAAAGUGGCUAGUGACUUCUACAAAGACCUGAUUAAGUAAGAAAACCCUUCUGGGUUCUCUCUACAAAACAUUUUUUUCUCUGCUUCUGAAAAAGUCUCUCCUGCUGAAAAUGAGCUGCUAGAAGCCCCCUUUUCAGAGACAGAGGUGAAGGAAGCCAUUUUUAGCUCUUAUCCUGAUGGGGCUCUUCGUCCUGAUGGGAUUCCCUUCUUGUUUUACCAGCAUUUUUGGGACUUGGUGAAAAAUGAUCUCUUAGAUCUUUUCCAAGCCUUUCAUAGAGGAGAGUUGGAUCCAGCAACUUACUAAUGGUGGGUCUGUUGGGGUCAAGUUAAAUAACUGUGAAAGUGAUUUUUUUCCUUGCUAGUAAAGGCCUUAGGCAAGGUGACCCCAUCUCCCCGCUUUUGUUUAAUUUAGUAGUGGAUGUUCUUACUAAAAUGCUGAGCAAAGCUGCUGAUCAUAGUCUGAUUGCAGGGCUCUGUCCUGAGGUCUGCCCUGGUGGCAUCAUCUGCCUUCAAUAUGCAGAUGAUACCAUCCUUUUCUUAGACAAUGACUCCACACAUGCUAGCAAUCUGAAAACUGUUCUAACUUGGUUUGAACAAGUCUCAGGCAUGAGAAUCAACUACUCUAAAAGUGAACUCAUCCCUAUCAACAUAGAUGAUCAAGAGUUAGCUUACUUCCUCUCUAUUCUAGUCUGUAAUAAAGGUAACUUCCCCAUUAAGUACCUAGGUAUCCCUCUCCACUAUGAUAAACUGAGGAGAGAGGAUAUCCAACCCCUUCUGGAUAAAAUCAUUAAAAGGAUUGUUGGGUGGAGGGGCAAACUUCUCUCUUACAGAGGUAGAUUGAUCCUCAUACAAGCUUGUUUGACUAGCAUUCCAGUGUAUCUCCUCUCCUUCUUCAAGUUCCCUAAAUGGGCAGUGAACCUCAUCAAUUCUCAGAUGUCUCAUUGCUUGUGGAAUGAUUUUGAGGGAAAUAGGAAGCUACACCUUACUAAUUGGGCCCUAGUCUCUAUGAAAAAAGAUUUUGGAGGCCUAGGCAUACCUAACCUCCAAGAAAUUAACAUCUGUCUUCUAGGGUCUUGGAUUAAAAGAUUCUAUGAGGAAGACCUGAAACCCUGGAAGCUUCUUAUUGCCCAUAAAUACCUAGGAAAUAAACCUAAUAUUUUUGUCCCUUCCUCCAACCCUAAGACCUCUAGAUUCUGGAAAGGAUUAAAAUCUAUUAUGCAUGCUGUGAAAUUUGGCUAUAGAUGGAACAUAGGGGAUGGGAGCAGAACCAGGUUCUGGGAAGAUACUUGGUUUGGCACAUCCCCCUAGCAGUCCAAUUUUGGCCUAUUUACUCUGUCCGUAAUGAGCUUAACAAAAGUGUCAAUAAAGUUUGGGAUGGUCAAUGCCUAAAACUCUCUUUUAGAAGGAAUUUUAGUGAUAGUCUCAUGGAAUAAUGGUUCCAGUUGGAGGAAAUUGCCAAAAGCAUUACCUUUACUGAUGAGCCGAAUGGCCUGAUUUGGCAGCUGGACAAUAAGGGGAAGUAUUCCUCCAGCUCCCUCUAUCAUGUUAUCAACUUUAGAGGGGUUCAACCCGUGUUUAUCCCUGCUGUCUGGAAAUUGAGAGUUCCCCCUAAAAUUCAUGUAUUUCUCUGGCUUCUCUCCAAAAACAAAUUGAUGACUAGGGAUAACCUUAGGAAGAGACACAUCAUCAAACCCCUUGAUUGUGUUUACUGCUUGGAACAAGAGUCUUGUUCUCACCUAUUUUUGAAUGUAUAGUUGCUAAACAUAUCUAGGACCACAUUGAGGAAUAUUUCUCUAGUCAGAUUGGCUCAUCCUUUGAAUCUAUCGCCAGAUUCUGGAUUGCUACCAAAAAGUGCUCAGUUUUAAACAUUGUUAGCUCAGCUGUCCUUUGGUGCCUCUAGAAAUAUAGAAAUGCUAUGAUUUUUAGUAACACCUCCUAGAUUUCCAUUCCGCGGGUCUUGAGGUUCAUCAGGAACAUGGUGAGGAACUGGGUGAUUCUCUCCUCCGGAUCGGACAAGGACAAGUUGAUGAGCUUCGUGGAAACCCUAACAUGAUCCCUCCAGAAAUCGUUGGCGAUCACUUGUGGCUGAACAAGGCUCGACCUGCUCUGGGGCUGGACCCGUGGGCUCGUCUCAAGAUCUCUGAUGAAGAUGAUGGGCACCUGGCGUCGAAAAAGAGGGACAUCCACCAUGCUACGCCUUCCAGCCCGGUGUCUCCGCUUUCUUACUGGUCGCCGCAGGCUGACACGGCCCCUCGGCUGAAGACCAUGAAGGUUUCGCUGGACCCUCAUUGUAUCAUUUGAGUGCUUUAUCCGCUCUGCCUUUGGCACCGCUCGGGUGAUUUGUGUUAUUCAGAGAACUUGUUCAUCCACCCCCUAGUUUGUAGCUUUUCUAUCUUUGCUUUCGAACUGCUCUUUGAGCUGCUGUAUCAAAAUAUGUUGUGGUUUCGUUCUCAGCAAUGGAACCGGGGAGAUGCUCCCUGUUUUUCUAAAAAAAUUUAUUUUAUAUGUUAUUAUAUAAAGCUUGGUAAGACUGUAAAUUUAAGGACGAAUGUAAUAAUAUCACUUAUUAUUUAAAUAUAUUUAUAACAAAAUCCUCAGCCCCUUUUUAUUUUUUGAUAACAUUGCUGGCCCAACCCAACAUUAUAAUUAGAAUCAGCCCAGCAAAAUCAUGUAUUUCGAGAAAGUGCAAAUGGGCUGUAAUUUUUUAGGAAAUAAAAUAAACAGGCCGCAUGGACACUACAUUAUUUGUUCACCCAGCCCAGCUAAUGGCUGUAAUUCAAAAAAAAGAUCAAAUUGACUGUAAAUUCUACCGCGCAAAAAAAAGACUGUAAAUUCUGAAAAAAUGGGUUGAAUAUGUGCCACAUUUUUGGAGGCUGAAAUGUGGGCCAAUAGGUCGAAGCCAAUGCAAGUCGUUGUCAAUUUAGUCAACAAAUGAUUCUGACAUGUUAGCCGUUGGAUUUACAUCCAACGACCGGCAUCCAUCUUCAAUCUCUCGUCUACUCCUCCAGCGCCGCCGGGAUCACCUCCAGCCUCCUGCUGCUAGCAGCUCUGCUUAGCACGCUUUGCUAUGAAGCGCUACUCCACCGUUGGCCAGGCCAUCCCUCCAUCCCUCCACACCUCCUGUUCUUCUCCACCGACUGCCGAACCACACCGCACUAGAACCAGUUAACCCUCGUACACCUCUCUGUCUGCGACUCUACUCCCGCGUCUUCCCAUCUCCGGUUUGUUGCUGUCCGGGGCCUCGCCGUCGUCCACCACCUUGGAUGCGCUCGGCGUGGCGUGGUCAACGUGGUCAACGAACGACACCAUCGGAAGUAGACUGUGCGUGGAGAGGCUGACAGCUGGGUCCACAGCCGCAGACAAGGAAAUGCCUCCUUAUUACGCGCAAAAUAAUGAUUCCUCCACCUGAAUCUGGGACCAACCGGAAGGGCCUCUGUAUUUCGCAAAAUAAAGUGCCCCCCGUUGACAUGUCAGACCCACCAGCUAUCUUCACACGCAAGGAAGUGCCUCCUUAUUACGCACGAAAAAAAUGAAUAUUCCCCCUGCCAUCUGGAACCCAGCAUAGUGGGAGGCUGAAUUGUGGGCCAACCAAGUUGACGGGGACGGAGGGCUCCGUCAACUUAGUCAAUACAAACGAUUCUAGCUCCUGUUACCAUACGAUAUUCAUCCAACGGACGUAGUGCUUCUUCAACCUCUGGUCUUCUUGCUCCAGCCGCCCAAACUAGCGCCGGUCGUGCCGCGUGUUCCUGCCUCCCGUGGUCGGCUGUGAUGCCGCGGAGGCCUCACCGCCCCCUACUAUUCCCACCGCUGGCCAGGCCAUCCCUCUACUCACCCACACCCCCUUUUAUUCUACGGCGACAGCAGCCUCACACCGCAGCCGAACCAGUGAACCCUCGUACUCCUCUUCGCGUGGGCAUCCACUGCUGCGUCUUCCCCAGCUCUGAGUCGUCCCCUUCCUAGUCCUCGUCGUCGUCCACCGCCCUAGUGCUCUCGGCGCGGCGUGGUCAACAUGGUCAACGACCGACUUCCAUCGGAAGAGUACUGUACGUGGAGAGGUUGACAGCUGGGUCCACGGCAGCCGCAAGGAAGUGCCUCCUUAUUACGCGGAAAAUAAUUUUUCCUCCACCUAAAAGCGGGGACCCACCGGACGGGCCACCAGUAUUUUGCGAAAAAAAGNNNNNNNNNNNNNNNNNNNNNNNNNNNNNNNNNNNNNNNNNNNNNNNNNNNNNNNNNNNNNNNNNNNNNNNNNNNNNNNNNNNNNNNNNNNNNNNNNNNNNNNNNNNNNNNNNNNNNNNNNNNNNNNNNNNNNNNNNNNNNNNNNNNNNNNNNNNNNNNNNNNNNNNNNNNNNNNNNNNNNNNNNNNNNNNNNNNNNNNNNNNNNNNNNNNNNNNNNNNNNNNNNNNNNNNNNNNNNNNNNNNNNNNNNNNNNNNNNNNNNNNNNNNNNNNNNNNNNNNNNNNNNNNNNNNNNNNNNNNNNNNNNNNNNNNNNNNNNNNGAAGUGCCUCCUUAUUAUGCACAAAAAAUGAAUACUCUCCCGGCUAGCUGGGAUCCACCUUGCUGGGGGACUGACUUGUGGGCCUACUAAGUUGACGAGGACGAAGGGCUUUGUCAACUUAGUCAAUAUGAACGAUUCUAGCUCCAGUGACCGUACGAUGUCCAUCUAACGGCCGUAGUGCUUCUUCAACCUCUAGUCUUCUUGCUCCAGCCGCCCAAAGCAGCGCCGGUCGUGUUGCAUGCUCCUGCCUCCCGUGGCCAGCUGUUCUACCGCAGAGGCCUCACCGCCCCCUACUAUUCCCACCGCUAGCCAGGCCCUGCGGCGACGGUAGCCUCACACCAUAGCUGAACCAGUGAACCCUCGUAGUCCUCUCCGCGCGGGCUUCCACUAUCGCGUCGUCCCCUUCCUAGGCCUCGUCGUCGUCCACCGCCGUGGUGCUCUCCGCGUGGCGUGAUCAAUGUGGUCAAGGAAUGACUUCCAUCGGAAGAGUACUGUACGUGGAGAGGCUGACAGCUGGGUCCACGGCCACAACCCAGUUUUUUUGUGAUUUGCUAAGUAAGUCUCUUUGUCAGGCCUAUUGGGCUGCAAAUCUUUCAAGACGAGGAGAGCUUUCAUUCGGCUGGCCAAGAAAAUGGCCCAUCAGUAAUGAGCAAUGAGUUGUACAUUUUUAAAACACAUCAAACCGGAAAUUGGUUUCAAAUAUCAUUUUUUUCGUUUCAAUAUUUUAAAUUACAUUAAUUUUUAUGCGUGGAGAAUUUGUUGGAUUUUAUAUUGAUAUACAUUUAUUUUUAAAAUCAGUUUGAAUGUGGGUCAAAAUUUCAGGAUUAAAAACAGUUCAGACCCACAGAAAUAUGCAAAAUUUCGUAUAAUUUUUUAACCGUUGCCACAAUAUGGGUUGUAAUGCUAACAAAAAGAAUAUGGGCUCCAAAAAACCUUAAGAAUUAGCAAAUGGGCUGUAAAUUAUUAGAAAUAAUGGCAGAUGGGUUGUAUGCUAUUUUCCACAGAUUUGAGGCUUUCCUAAAAAAGGUUGACACACAAGCACUGACUGUUGGAUGUCCAUCCAACGGUCGUCGUGCUUCUUCAAUCUCUGCUCUUCCUGCUCCAGCCGCUCAAACAAGCGUCGGCGGGACUGCCUGCUCCCUCCUCCUUGCGGCCAGCUAUGCUACCGCGCAGGCCUCACCGCACGACCGUACUCCCAUCGCUGGCCUAGCCAUCCCUCUACUCACCCACACCUGCUGUUUUUCUCCGGCGAUGGCAGACGAACCAGUAAACCCUCGUACAAUCGUACUCCCCUCCGCGUGGGAAACAACUGCCGAGUCUUCCCUGCCUCCAUGUCGUCCCCUUCCUAGGCCUCGCCGUCAUCCACCGCCCUGGUGCUCUCGGCGUGGCGUGAUCAACAUGGUCAAGGAACGACUUCCAUCAGACAUGGAUUGUACAUGGAGAGGCUGACAGCUGGGUCCACGGCCGCAGCAAGGAAGUGCCUCCUUAUUACGCGGAAAAUAAUGAUUCCUCCACCUGAUAGCUGGGACCCACCAGACGGGCCACUGUAUUUCGCGAAAAAAACGUUUCCCCCUGAUUGCUGGGACCCACCAGCUACAUCUUCGCACGCAAGGAAGUGCGUCCGGGCAAAAAGAACGAUUCGCCCCCUGACUGCUGGGACCCACCAGCUACAUCUUCGCAGGCAAGGAAGUGCCUGACAGUCGGGACCCACCUGGUCGAAGCGUACGUAUCGUUGUCAUUCUGGUCGCGAACGUGUACGUACAUACUGGUCGAUGUAGAGGCGCGCACGUUUCGUAGUAGAGGCGCGCACGUAGCAUUUACACGUACGUAUAGCGGCCAAGGUGCAAGAAAGAAAAUACGGCCACGUAUGUGUACAUAUGGGCGGGGUCUCGAACGCCUACUCGCGCAUACGUACGGCCAGGGCUCGUGUACAUGGCUGGGUCAGAACGGAGAAACAGUGUCGUCGUCGUGUUCAUGGGGAGGCAAUGGAAUGCGUCGUGUUCAUGGGGAGGCAACGAAAUGUGUCGUGUUCAUCGGGAGGGCCUGGACGGAACAGGCGAUGGAAACGAGGCUUGGCGUACCGCAGAACGAAGGAAACGGCCUUGUGUUCGACCGGCCACGUUCGAAACGGGAUCCUGUUCAUCGGGAGGGGUCUGGCGUAUCGCAAAACGGAGGAAACGGACCUCCUAUGGUCGAAACGGGGGUCCUGUUGAUCGGGAGGGGUGUGGCGUACCGCAAAACGGACGAAGCGGACUUGUGUUGGAGCGCUACGGUCGAAACGGGGGUCCUGUUCAUCGGGAGGGGUGUGGCGUACCGCAAAACGGGACUCCACGGGAUACUUUUCAUCUCCACCGUCGACCCCCUCCAGCCUCCACAAGCUACUGUUCAUCCACCAUCGACCUCCUCCAGCCUCCACCUGCGACUGUUCAUCCACGGGCUCCUGUUCAUCCAGCCUCCACCGCGCGCUACUCCACUGGCUACUGUUCANNNNNNNNNNNNNNNNNNNNNNNNNNNNNNNNNNNNNNNNNNNNNNNNNNNNNNNNNNNNNNNNNNNNNNNNNNNNNNNNNNNNNNNNNNNNNNNNNNNNNNNNNNNNNNNNNNNNNNNNNNNNNNNNNNNNNNNNNNNNNNNNNNNNNNNNNNNNNNNNNNNNNNNNNNNNNNNNNNNNNNNNNNNNNNNNNNNNNNNNNNNNNNNNNNNNNNNNNNNNNNNNNNNNNNNNNNNNNNNNNNNNNNNNNNNNNNNNNNNNNNNNNNNNNNNNNNNNNNNNNNNNNNNNNNNNNNNNNNNNNNNNNNNNNNNNNNNNNNNNNNNNNNNNNNNNNNNNNNNNNNNNNNNNNNNNNNNNNNNNNNNNNNNNNNNNNNNNNNNNNNNNNNNNNNNNNNNNNNNNNNNNNNNNNNNNNNNNNNNNNNNNNNNNNNNNNNNGAGGCAGCAUCGAUCGGCUUCAGUUAGCAGAAGUAGCGAAGGAAUCGCUCGAUCGGGUUCAGUUAACAGCCAUCGAUCAAUCGCUCAGGUUCAGUAACGUGUAGCCUGCAGUGCAAUCGCUCAGGUUCAAUUAGAGCCCAAUGCCUCGCUCGAGUUCAGUUAGAGCCAAUGCCUCGCACACAUGCGCGUACGUGUACAAGAGAAACACGCAUCGCUCGGCCCCCGACCUCCCACCAUAACCGGGAACUCUCCGAGAUUUUCCUCCCCCUUGCUUUUACCAUGGUUUUUCCGUCAUGGACGGCCCAAAGAAUGUCAUGCAGCUGCGUCUCCGGCGCGCCCAGGAUAAAAAGCCCAUUUUCUGUCAUGAUUUUUUGUCAUAGAAGUAGGAGCCCACCACAUCUAUGAUGAUACCGGGUUUUGUCACAAUUAUCGUCAUAGAAGUGUCAUAUGUAUGACAGAAAAAAUUCGUUUGGCCCAAAAUGUCACGGAUGUGUCUUUUUUGUAUUGGUUGAUGCGGUAGGGAGCUUUGUUCAGAAGUGGUGCUCCGGGGAUGAGGUCGAUGCGGUGCUCGGUACCUCGUAGUGGAGGUAGUCCCGGAGGUAGCUCGUCGGGGAAAACAUCUUGGAGUUCCUGCAAAUGAGAAGAUAACACUAAAGGUAGAGUGAGAGAGGUGUUAGCUUUUGGUGCCUCGUCCUUGCACAAAAGGAUGUAGUGUAUCACACUAGAUGGGUUCUCACACACUUCUCUUAUCUCAUGUUUGGUGGAAAAUAGAACGAAGUUCUUCUUUUCUCUCAUCGUGGAGGCACUCAAUUUGGGCUUGUGGCGCUCACUCUCUUUUUGGUGGUUCGCUCUCUCACCAUUCUCUCCAUGAUGGGUGGCUUGCUUGUCGGCGAUCACUUGGCUUGGAGACAUGGGGCGAAGUACGUACUCCUUUCCUUUCAUAUUGAAGAUGUAGUGAUUCGUUCGGCCGUUGUGGAUGACACCUCUACCAAAUUGCCAUGGUCGACCAAGAAGAAGGUGGCAAACGGUCAUUGGAACGACAUCACACUCCAAAGUGUCUUCGUAAGCUCCGAUUUUGAAGGAGACUUGCACUCUAUGCUCGACUUGAAUAGUGCCGGAGUCGCUUAGCCAUUGAACUUUGUAGCGAUGUGGGUGCUUCGUCUUGGGCAAUUGGAUCUUGGAGCAAAGUUCUUCACUUGCUAGGUUAUGACAACUCCCUCCAUCGAUGAUGACCUUGACAGACCUUCCAUUGAUGCCGGCCUUGGUAUGGAAUAUGUGGCAUCUUUGGUCUUCUUUUUGGUGAUGUUGAAGGGUCAGGACCUUGGAGACAACUAGAGCGGGACUUGAAUCUUCAUCACAAAAUACUUGUUCCUCUUCAUCGUUCACUUGCUGAUGCAUGGCAACUUGCUCAAGUGCUUCCGUUUCUCCUUCACUCAUGGAGUCAUAUGUACCAUCGUCGUUGAGGAUCAUGGUCCGCUUGUUGGUACACUCAAAGGACUUGUGGCCUCAGCCUCCGCAUGUGAAGCAUUUGAAGGAACUUGCCUUGAUGGUCUCAUCGGUUGGGGUAGAUGAUGAUGAAGCUCUCGGCUUGAAGUUGCUCAUUGUAGGAGGAUGACUUGGGGUUGUCGAAGCUUUCUUGUAACUCGACUUGUCGACAUUGCUUGUAGAAGGCUUUGUUGAUGUAGAUGGUGUUGGAGUGGUUGAAGCUUGGGUGUUGGAGAAGCCAUAGGACUUAGAUGAGAACUUGGCAUACUUGAAGUCAUCUUGAACUUGACGUUCCGCUUUGGUAGCUUGAUGCACUAGCUCGAUGGGGUUCGAGUAUGGUUGGAAGUCGGCGAUCUCCUUGAUAGGGUGAUUGAGUCCAUUCAAGAAACGUGCCAUAGUUUGCUCAUCAUCUUCCGUGACAUUGGCUCGUAUCAUUGCAAUCUCCAUUUCCUUGUAGUACUCUUCAACGCUCUUGGUUCCUUGCUUGAGUAGUUGGAGUUUCUUGAAGAGAUCGCGGUUGUAGUAGGUAGGCACAAAGCAUGCUCUCAUGACAUCCUUCAUUUGCGCCCAAGUAGUGAUGGGUGGUUCACCUUUUGCCUCUCGGCGCUCAAUUACUUGUUCCCACCAAAUGAGGACAUAGUCUUGGAACUCAAGGGGUGCCAUCGCGAUCUUCUUCUCUUCUUCAUAGUUGUGCAAGUGGAAGAUUUUGUCGGCCUUCAAUGCCCAUGAAAGGUACUCUUCGGGAUCGUUGCUUCCAUUGAACUUGGGCAUGGUGAACUUUUGCUUGCCGUAGCGUUGCUCUUCAUUGUGCUCGGGCCGGGGAUGAUGACGUCCUUGACAAGGAGGAUCGUCUCUCACAACUUGCUCUUGCGAUGGAGGAUUUCCAUUGUCUUCUUGCUCUUGUUGAACUUGAUGUUCUUGGCAAGCUUGUGGAGGAACUUGUCGAUCUUGACGUUGCAUGCGAGCUUGAUAUAUUCAUUCAUGAACUUCUUCACGAAGUGAUUCUUCAUGUUCACGAACUUGUUGGCCUCGGUUGGCUACGACUCGACUUGAUUCUCGGAGGGCACGUUGCGCCUCAAGUGCUUGAGCAUCUUGCAAUUGUUCCUCUUGAUGUUGUGCCUCGACAUCUUGUGCUCCUUGGUGAAGACGCGGUUUCUCUUCCUCUUCGUGUUGGAGUUGUUGUUGCUGUUCUCGUGCUUGUGUGAAGGUAGCUUGGUUUUGACGAUGUCGUUGUUCUUGAGAGUUGUAGUCGUGUAGAGGGUUGUUGUUGGCUUGACGAUCUUGGCGCGCAGCACGACGAAGAGUAUUUGAUGUCGGUGUACUUGAGCCGGAGAUGGUGUAGUCCGAGUGUCGACUUGAGCGGCUCCGUCUUGAUGAGGAUGAAGUGGAAGAAGAGUGGAUGAGCAACAAAGCACGAAUCCCAUCCAUUCUUGAAUCGUUCUCUUGCUUGUGGUCGUCAAGCUUGUGGUUGAAGUAAUCUCUUGUACGUUGCUCAGAGAGUCGCAAGUCGGUGGUGAGGUUGUCGAUGCGUUCACUCAUUGCUUGUUGCUCUUGAUGCAAAGCACAUUGUGCACCAAAGAGGUGGCUCUUUGUGACGUAGGAGUUCAUGUCGUCGUCUUGCCCGAUGAAGAGUGGGUUCGUAGAAGUACUUGGCAUAUCCAUCAUUCCAAGAGAAAUAUGUGAGUGGGAGAAAGAUAAGAACGUAUACCAAAUGUACCUUGACCGAUGUUGAAGGUGGAUCAAAGAUCACUCCAAUGUGGAACAAGGAAAUAGCACAAUUGGUACCAAUUCUUGUCGGUUUCUCACACCUACACAAGUAAAAGCUUAUGGUGGAUCUCGGUUAGGAUGGUGGCACAAAAUUUGAUGCAAUUGUUAGUGAGCUUCAAUAAUGUCGGAAAAGAUUCGCAAGUUUGCAAUGCAACAAAUAGACCAAGCAAAAUAAGGUACACAGAAACACGCACGCAAAGAGAUAAGUGGGGUCGUGCAACCAAGGAUGAGCCAAAAUGUGGAAUCCACGAAAAUGCUCUUGUUGCACAACACUAGAGAGACGCUAGCACGAUUGCACAAUAGGUGGAUACGAAGACUUGUGCACAACCUACUAAGCAAAAAUGUGACGACUUCUAUCCCAAGUAUGCUCUAUGUAUGGUGUUCCGAUGAUAUGAUCCAGGAUGAUCUAGUAUGACAAUCUUAAUGUUGUAUGAUGCUAUGGUUCUUGCUUAAAAGCUCUUUGCUUAUCUUUCCCUUUUUCUUAAAAGCUUGUUUGGCUCUUUGUUGUUGGAGCUCUUUUCUCAUGCAAUGCUUCACGAACCAAGAUAGCAAUUGAGUAUGCGAUGACACUUUGUGACACAAGAGAUGAUAUGCACCAAUGCUAUAUAUGGACGCUAUGGGAAGUAUGAUCACUAAUGUGCACAAGUCACGUUGCUGGCAAUACUCAAAGGCUCGUCCCGAUGGGUAAGCAACACAAAAGAGUAAGGCUAUGAUGGCUAUCAAUGUAAUGGCAAGAAUGAUGUAGCACGAUACCAAGAUGAGUUUACCGCUCUUGCUUAUGGUAUGGUGUCAAAAUGGUGUAGUGGUUGUUGUCGAUGACACGUCCGUGGCGAAGAUGAGCGGCGGUGAUGUUGAUGUCGAACUGUACCUAAAUAGCCGAAACACAAUAGGACACGGAACCACAACUCAAAUUCUCAAAGAACAAAAUGGCAAAACAUAUCGGAGUGCGAAGCAAGUAAGCAAUGGUGGUUGUGGAAAGUGGUGGAGGUAUAGAGGUAUGGGGGUGCGUAUGCGGAGGUGGAGGUGGAGCAGUGGUGGUGACCGAACUGAAGUUUUUUAGUUUCGUCAGGGAACGCCGAACGUCCGGUGGAGGAGCAGUCGUCCGUUCAUUGGACGUUCGGUGGUGGGCGGACGUCCGGUGCCUGGGCAACUUCGGGCACGGGAUGAAUGGCAAGGAUUCAUGAUGGGGAGGACGAAAUUCGUCGAAUCCGGGCAAUUUCGUGGAUGGAAAAGGUGGAGACGAAGCGGAAAAGCUAGAUCCGCUCAAGGCAAAGCAAAUUCACAGAUCAAAUCCAACAAAAUUUCAUCACACCAACAAAUCAAAAAAAAUUGGGGCUAUUUUGUGGGGAAUUUUUGAAUUAGGGACAAAAUCAACAAAAACAAGGCUAGAAACACAAUGGGGAGGCUCCGAAAUUGUGAUCAACGUGGUUCUGAUACCAAGAUGAUGUAGGGUGGAACCCUAGAUGGCUGAUCUUUCACGAAAGGAGCGGAUCCCACAAGAUGGACACGAAGAACACGAGGGGAAUCAUGAGGGUAAACACGAGGAGAAACACGAGAAAAACACUAAAACCAACAAGAUUGAUCACACAUAUGAUAGAUCCUCGAAACACGAGAGGAGGUACAAGAUCCACGAUCAACAAAGGACAAUACACGGUAAUCGGUUCUUCUCCAAAGGAGGUCUUGAUGGUCUUCUCCGCGAGGAGGUCUUGAAUCCAAAGGGAUCUUCUCCGAAGAGGGGCCACAGUCUCUCUCAAGGAGUAGAUCCGAUGUGGAUGAGCAAAGCUCUAUCUCUAAAUGAGCUACUACUUUGCUAACCCUAGAUAGGAGGAAUAUGAGGUCUAUUUAUAGUCUUAGCACAAAUGGGGGCAAAGUGAGGGGGUACAUGAGCCUCGGGGCCAAAUCCUGUGCGCGGACAGGUAGCAGACGUCUGCUGGGGACUGGUCGUCUGGUGGCUCAUGGGCAUCCGAACGUCCGGUGGCUUCCGGAAUUUCGCUGGUUCCGUUCUGUGAUGGAGGUGUCGGACGUCCGGUCACUUCGGACUUCCGCUAAUUUUGGCUCGGGUGCGCUGGCGCCGGAUGUCCGCUCGCUGGAGGGUGGGGCCCGUCAUCCGGUCCUGGCCGGACGUUCGCUCGUUGUAGCUCUCGGUUGGGGCUUCAGGCUGCAGACGUCCGGUCCCGACCGGUCCUCCGGUGGUUGGGGCUUCUUCCGCAGCUCUUCUUCUUGUCCUUCACGGUUGGUGUUCUCGCCAUCUUGUCCAUUAGGUGUAGUUGCUCCGUGGCUCUCCUCCAAGUGCCUGAUCACGCAUAGUGUUUUCGCUUGAGGUAGUAGCCAUGUCUCAUGUAUAGAAAGUGGUAGUUCGGAGAGGAGCGAGUUCACCUUAUCUUCGAUAGCCUUUGCUCGUGCCCUUGUCAUUGGUCCAAGUGGUGUCGUGGGAGACGUAGGUAGGUCCAUGGGGAUGAUCUUGGUAUGCUCCGCAUCAUAGUUGGAGUCGGAAAAUUAGACUGAGUUGGCAAGAUAACUAAGAAAAUUGGUUAUAUUCUCACUGUUCGCAAACUUCUGCUCAGUUUGACUCUCCUGGAAAAGCCACUCCUGAUAGUCAUUGCAACAAAAUUUAUAACAUAAGUACGCAACACAGUUUAUUGUUGAGAAGUUAAUGCAAACCCACCUUACUGACAGUUUUUGUUUUUGCUCCAUACAUUCCAGUAUAAAGCCCACAAAAGCCUGGACAAAUUACAAUAUUAUUAAUUAUUAUAUAUAACUUAAGUGCACUUGGCGUUCAAAACUAAAAAUUUGGAGGAUGAAACAAUGCAGGAAGCCUUACAUCACGAAGAUUUGAAUAUGAAUCGGGCAAAUGAAGCCUUUGGAACUUCUCCCACAUAGGUUCAAGUGCACCAACUAAACGUACCUCCUCCUCGUGAGAUACUUUCACAAGCGGCUCCUAUAGACCCAAGGGACAAAAUAUAAGCAUCACCAAGCCCCAAGAACUUUAAGGUGCAGAACUGGAAGAAAUUUGGCAACAAGAUAUUGUGUACCAGGUAUGAGUAUAUGAACAAUUUGUAAAAGCAACUCCCAUCCACACCUAACCCUAGCCGUGACCCCUUCCCCACCUAGCCCCUCCCGCGACCCCCAUGUCGCCUCCCCCGGGGGCGGCGAGGGAACACUAGCUGCGCCGCCGCGGCCCCCUCCCCACCUCACCCCACCUCCUCGCCGCUGCCUGAGGCAGCCGCCGGGCAAGCCCGGGGUGCCAAGGAUGGUGGUGGUGGGGCCUCGGCUGCCCUGACUCUGCGUGGGGAGUCCCAGAUCUGGAGCGGUGGCUCCUUUGGCGAGGCACGACAGGUUCUGGCGAGCAGCCGUGCGGGCGGUGGAUCUGGCGUCCUGGCCGUGCGGGCGGCGGGAUCCUGGUGGUCGUUGGCGGCUGGCUGCGGCUUCUGCGGUGGUUGGUGCAUGCGAUCUGGAGCCUCCCUUGUUCGGCAUGCGGGCCAGCCUGGUCGGGUCGUGCUUCCCUUGGUCGCCGGUUAUGUACAGGAGGCGCUGCUAGUGGCGGGGAUCUAGUUCGGGCGAAAUCCCUGGUCGGACAUGAUCGGUCGCGCCGACGACGAUGCCUGAGGGUGAUGUUCCCCUCCUUGGAGGCAUCUGUAUGGACUGAUAUCCUCACUUCCCCUUCCCCUAGGUCUCCCGGGCGAAAGCCCUAACUUUGUUGGGUGGCGGCGGCGCUCAUGGCGUCAUUCCCUUCUUGAAGGCGCCGCUUUGGGAACCGUGGGGUUGGGUGGCGCUUGUCGGUGGUGGGCGACGGCGGUGGUGCGGACCUAUCCUAGCAUGGAUCUAUGUCUGUUGCUUGGAGAUGGACUCGCGGAGGUGGAGGUCGUCGUUUGGCAUCAUGGUGGCAUCCAUGGCGGAGGACCUUCCAAGGCUCGCGUAGCUGGAGGUCGUCGUUUGGCGUCGUGGUGGCGUCGAUGGCAGAGGACCUGCCAAGGUUGACACCUCAAUCUGCUCUGAAGAUGGACCGGUGGAAGAUGGCGGCGACGACACAUGUUAGUGCAUCGGACCGGUUUGUGCCCCAGACCCAGUAGAUGGCUCGGUCGGGGCCUCCGGCUUUAGAUGUCAGGCUUAAAUGAGAGGUCUGGGUAUGUGGCCCAGCUUGCACCCCUUCAUCAUAUGGAUAGGAGUAGCGGCAUAUGUUGCCAAGAUGGUGGAUUCAGGCAUAUUGUUGUUCUAAUGUGUAGAGUCCUCGAGAAUAAUCAAUAAAAUGGCAGCAUGCAUCUCCCAGAUGCAGAGGCCAGGGGUCAGCCUCCUUUUCUGAAAAAAGCAACUCCCGUCUCCAGGUACUUUCCGAUAUUCAGAGUAAUUAGCCGAAAGCUUAUGCAGAAACGCACGCAAUAGAUGAGAAUAUGUAGCAAACAAGUGAGGACUCAAAUCAAGUAGAAAUAUAACAGCUCACAAGUCAUAUUACUUUUGCCUUGCCUUUCAUAAUUUUGUUUUCAAACUCAUGCGGUAGAGAUGGUAAAGGUUCCUGCACCGAAACAAGAUUUCAAUUAGUAAAACCAAUGUUAUUUCCCCAAAUUGACAUCUCUAGCCUCAAUGAUAAAAUUAGAGAAUAUCCUAUUAAAGUUAACCUUUUGAAGAAUUUUUUUGCAGCCAUUUUGUGAUGUCUGCAAAACCAUAGAAAAUUGAAGGUGCAGACAGGUUAUGAAAGGAAUGUUGAAUAGUUAAUUAAACUAAGCAAUUGAAAAGCAACCCUUACAUAAUCACAAGCCUCGUACUCGUCUCUCCAAGAAGCCCUCACAACAUCACAUGACUCGUGACUCUAAAAAGGACCUUCCAGAAUCUGAAAACAUAACAAACGCAAAAUUUUAGUUUAUUUAAGGAAGAGUUGUGAACAGCUUGCAAGAUGUCUUUUCAAUCCGAGUUAGGAUUGUAGUCACUGUUUACAUUUGCAGCCCGGCAUGCGGGCGGUUUCGCGUGGAAAAUAAAGGAUGUGGGCCCCAACACUAGACGUCGCACCCGUUCUGCCUCCUGCCGCCACCUCUGUCGGGGAAAAAGUCCAAAAUAAACCCAGAACUCAUAGACCCUAGCUAAAUCGAACCCUCAACUCCUAAUCCUGGUAAUCAGCACUCUCAACUCUCUAAUCCCGGUCCAAAAUGAACCCUGCAGUCGAUUUGGGCAGGAAAACACUGACGUGGCAUAGUCAACCGGGAUUCUUCUGUCAGGUGGGCCAGCUGAUCAGUGCGCGUGUGGGUGGGAUAUAUCCCGAUCCAAAUCGAUUGGGGAAUUCCUCAGCACAACUAGGGUUAGCUCGGCGGUGGCCAGGGAGAGAGGAGUGGGCGAUUUGUGCGGCGGCGCCGGCGGCGCCGGCGGACACUGCGAUGUCGUGGUCAUCAGGCGGUUCUUCUGCUCCUGGAUUCCGGCGAGCGUCGGGAAGGAGGGACACAGAUGCGAGGUCAUCGGUGCGCUACCGUGAGCAGCCUAUGGCGUACGAGCCGGUGAAGUUAUGCCACUGCAAUCCACGGCGGAAAGCACCGAGAUGGAUUUCUUGGAGCCAUCAGAACCCGGGGAGGAGGUAUUACGCGUGCGUCAAUGCAAUGGUUAGCCCCAAUUUUUCUGCUCAUUCUUCUGUUCUUCCUCAUCCCCUCAAUCUGAUUUAUUUCUUUUGUUCAAUUGCGUAGCAUGGUGGUUGUGGGUAUGCUGAAUGGCAUGAUGAUCCGUUGCCAAAGUUUUUUAGUGACUUAAUUGGAGAUUUGAGAGAUGAGGUGUGGAGGUUGAAGGGUGGAGGUACUGUUGCUCGAACUGAAGAUGCAUUCAGAGUUGUGGCUAUGAGUGAAUAUGAAGCAAGAGGUGAAAUGCUGGUUGUGUCUCUGCAAGAGCAGUUGAGGUUAAAGAAUGCAGAAAUGGAUGCAAUGAAGAGCAAGUAUAUGAAUGUGAUAUUUGUCCUGAUUGUCUUUGUGCUUGGUUUAGUGCUAAGGAAAUUUGUAGUGAACUGAAUGUCAAGUUCAUGUGAUCUCACAAGUGUAUGCAUGUGCGAAUUGUAUGGAUCUUGUAUGCAACGCAAUUAUCUGUCAUUCCAAUUAUCUGUAUGGAUCAUUCCAAUUAUCUGUCAAGUUGUGGAACUCUGUUUGAAAUGCAAUGUAUGGAAUGAAAUUUGUGAUCUGGCAGUCAAUUGCAACCAAGUUAUAUAUUACUUCUCUGAUCAUUGAAAUGUACACAAUAUAAGAUAGCAUUUGCAUUUGCUGCCAAUUGUAAUAAGAAAAUUAUAGCAAAUAUCAUUUACCCUGAGCAUUUGCAAACAACAUCAUAAGAAAAUUAUAGCAAAUAUCUCUGACAUUAUAAGUAGAUAGAAUCUGCAACAUCAAAUCCAUAUUUGCAAAUAGAUUACAAAAGCUAGGACCAUAGCCUGAAUAUGUCUGGCAUUGCAAAAUAUUUAUGUUGCAACACAACCUUAAUGUUUGCAACAAAUGAAACUAGACAAGAUUACACAUUGCCACUAGCAGUAAAGUACUUGAAGCUGGGAAUAGAUGAUGCAGGAGCUCUCUUUCUCUUAUAACCAGUAGAUGGCCCAGGUUGUGCACUUGUUUGGCCAGCUCUUGCUCUUGGGGGCUUAAAUGCAGAUGCUCUUGCUUGGUCAGUGGCUGGUGCAGAUGCUCUUGCUGGGGCAGUGGCUGCUGCAGAUGCUCUUGCUUGGCCAGUGGCUGGUGUAGAGGCUCUUGCUUGGGAAGUAGCUAUUGCAAAAGUUCUUGCUAGGGCAGUAGCUGGUGCAAAUGUUGUUCCUGGGCCAGUAGCAAGUGCAGAUGCUCUUCUUAGGGCAGUAGCUGGUGCAGAUGAUGUAGGUGCACUAGCUCCAGUUUGCUACAUGUCAAAAUAUUUGAAGUGAUUUUAACUUAGAUAAUUUAAAUUACAGAGAACCGACUUAAAUCAUUUAAAUUUCAGGAAAUCAUCUAAAACUAAUAAAUGACAUCUAAAAUCCCUACAAAACAUGUUAAAUGCAGAGAAAUGCAUGAAAAAAAAUAAAACUCACCUUUAACGUGUCCCUUUUUUGAUAGUCUUCUUAAGGUGUGCAUUCUUCUUCUUGCCUCUCUCUGGGUUUUGCUUGCAACCUGUUUUGUUGUGUCCAGCAGUGCCACACAUUGAGCAAAUAAUUACAGUGCCAUGCUUGGUCAUUUUUUUGCUAGGCUUAGGUUUCUCACUUUCUUCUCUCCUUCUAUCAUUAUUCUUAGGCCUGCCUGGCAUGCUAUCUGGUAUGGUUGCAUAUGCUGGAGCUUGAGGCCUAGGUUUCUCAAAAACUGGCCACAUUUCCUCACCUUCCACAGGUAUCAAACAAUGUUCAUAAAUUUUGUUGAAAACAUCAACAAAAUAGCAAGGGGCAAUGAAAUCUUCCACUUUUUUCCACACUUGUAGAUAGUCGUUAUUGCAUGAGAACAAGGUAGACCUGGUAGCUAGAAGUAGCCACAUGAACAUGCCUAGUUGUCAAGACUCACUGUGUACUGGCUUUUUCCCCAGUGACAAGUUUCACUUCAAAUUCAUCUUUGCCAUUCCAAAGUAUUUCCAUGAAUUGGGUCCUUGCUAUGCUGCUCUUCAAUUUCUUGAAUGCACUUAGACAUAUUUUUCCAUGGAAGUUCUGACAUUUUUCCCUUUGUUCCUGAAUUCUAACCAUAACCUUUUUCCUUAUUUUUUCUUGUAUUGAAAUUAUUGGAUAAAACCUUGCUUCAACAAUUGCAUGAUUGAAGGAUUCACACAAAUUAUUAUCAACUGACUCACAAUUGGAUCCCACUGGAAAAAAGCCCUUACCCAGUGCACUAGCUCUGUUCUCAUGAUGUCUUUUGCACCUUCUGUAGUUUCUUGGGCAAGCUUUGCUUUAUAGUAGUUGAAGUCCUGCUUGUUUGCUGCUUUGGCAACUGCCCAAAACUUCUUCUGCCACUGAUGUUCCCUAUGCUUCUUCCUCCAGUUGGCAUAGAUAUGCCUAGCACACAUUAUGUGCUCUGCAUUUGGCAAAUAAUCCUUCAUUGCAUUUAUCAGUCCCUUCUGCUGAUCUGAAAUGAACACCCAGCCAGCUCCAUUGUCAUUAAUCUCAAGAUCUUUAAUAAGUAGGGCAAUGAACCACUUCCAUGUAUCAUUAGUUUCCCUCUCAACAACUGCCCAUGCCACUAGAUACAUUUGAUUGUUUGCAUCUCUUGCAACAUCACACAAUAGCUCUCCUUUGACAGCACCUUUAAGAAAACAACCAUCUAAACCAAUCACUUUCCUGCAACCAGCCUUAAACCCAACUUCAGUGCAUUAAAGCAGACAUAGAAACUCUGAAAUAUGUUCUGUUCCAUGUUUGUUGGAUCCAAACAGACUGCAACAGUGCUUCCAGGAUUACUUCUAAGUAGCUCCAGCUGAUAAUCAAAAACCCUGGUGUAUUCAUUCUUCAUUCCAGCCCUUAACUUGUCCAUGACAAGCUUGUUUGCAUGCUUGCACUUAGAAGUUGAUACAUCAGCAAACAUGUCCUAAAGAACUGUUGCUUUCAUGCUCUCAAUUUUCCACAUUGGAUUAGCUAAAAUGAAGUGCUCAUAUCUUUCAGCAAUAACCUUAGCUGUCACAAGUCUGUUCUCCCUGUUUUGUGCACAGUGGUGCUCAUCAUUAAAUGUUAUGAUUUGAAACAUGCUUGUUCUUCAGGUUUUGGCUCCAUAAAUAAGCCAAGGGUAGCCAGGCCAUCCACACUUAGCCCUAAGUCUGUUACUCUCUGACUUCAAGAACACAAUGCUUUUUUUUGGUCACAAUUCCCUAUUUCUUCGAUGCUUUCACAAGCUGAUUCUUGCUCCUGAAUACCAUUGUCAAUGCAAAGUGUGGAAUUUCUGAGUCAUUAUUGUAUCUUGGAUACUGGCUCUUCCUCCUCACCAUGUGCCCAUCAGAAUCUUCAUCGUAAGAAUAAUCCUCAUCAAAUGAGUCAUAGCCCCACUGUUUCUCCUCUCCCUAUAAUUGAUCUUCCAUAUUUGCAAUUAAGUCAAUAGAAAUAGGAGCUGUUGAAUCACCUGCAAGCCAACUCUUUGUAUCUCUCAUCCUCUUCUUAAAUUUUCUAGCAUGCCUUCUGAGCUCAACAACCUCUGAAUUUUCUCCACUAUCCUCACUGUGUGGUAUGUACUCUGUAUCUUCUUCAGAAUCACUAGCUGAAACUGCAUUGUUGCUCUCAACAUUCACUUGAUCUGGUGGAUUGUUGCUCUGAACCUUCACUUUCUCUGUCCUCACAUUCCUCUGAAAGUUCACUUCAUCUGUCCUCAAAUUGCUCUGAAAAUGCACUGCAUCUGGCACUUCAUCUAGACUGCAUAUUUGAGAAAAUACCAACUGAGUUCCUGCCACUUCAUCAACCUCAGUUGCCACUGUGGUUUUGCUUGCCCUAGGCUGCUCAAAUUGGAUGUUGUUCAUUUGAGUGAGCACACCAUUAUCAUCUAGUUCUGCAGUAAUGACCAUGUCAGGUUCUUCAGCUUCAUCAUCAUCCAUAUCAACAUCAACAAUCUCAUUCUCAUAGUCACUAGCACUGCUUCUACUCUCACUGUCCUGCUCCCCAUGGUAUUCCACAUAAAUAUCAGCUACAUUUCCAACACAAAUGUAGUCUGACAUGCUAGCACAACCACUGUCAUCAAACAAAAACCUCAAACCAUCAGCUAGUUCUUUCCCAGGCACAUGAAAAUACAACUUCAUCGAUUCCUUGAACUCCAGAUGGUCUUUCAAAUGCCCUUGAACUUCAAACAAUGACAACUUGUCCCUCUCAAUCGAUGAAAUUGCUUCAUCUCCCCCCACAUAAUCCAAAACAGGACCAAUGUGGAUGAACUGGCCCCCAAAAUGAAAUCUGACAUUCAAAAUCUCACUAGGGUCCAUGAUUGAGCAGCAACAAACAAGAGUAUAUCACUACAUUGUGCUAAUCCGAGCAAUUGGACUGACAAAAACGAACAGAAAAUUGCUGAAAACCCUAACUCUGUAAUCACAGAAAAGCCCCAAUUUUUCUCUUUGAAACCCUAACAGUAACAAUGCAGUCAGAGCUUCAAUUGCAGCCAUAGGAGGAGGAGAAGGUCGGAGACCGUACCUUUGACGCCGCUCGUCGUCAAGCCGUCACGAUCGCUGUCGUCGGAGCCGAUCACCCGCCCGUCACCAUUGCAGCCGCUCGAGCAGGGGAAUUUCAAGGGACGCCAUGAGUGGGGAUGGACUUCCCCUUGCGUGGGCUAGCUCUGAUUAAGAGCAGGGAUGCGCUCUGGGCCUUAUGGGCCGGCCCAACUUCUCUCCGCAACGCGCCCAACACCCACCGAUCCCAGCUUUGGUCUGCCACCUCAUCAAUCCCUGUUUGGAAGUGGGCUCAGGGUUCAUUUUGGACCGAGAUUAGAGAGUUGAGAGUGCUGAUUACCGGGAUUAGGAGUUGAGGGUUCGAUUUAGCUAGGGUCUACGAGUUCAGGGUUUAUUUUGGACUUUUUCCUCUGUCGGGACGCUGCGGCCUGAUUGGUUCCACCCGCGCGAGAUCCACCGGAUCGCACGGCUGAGUCGCGUGCGCUUGCGAUCGCAAAAUCGUGCAGCUACACGAUUGAGCAUUCGGGUUUUUUAUUUUAUUUUUUGUUCAUGGCAUUUUUAUCCCAAGGAUGACAUAUUUUAAAGUAGCUCCGAAAAAAACCCGACUAGAAUACUGCUCCACGAGAUACAUGCGUACCUACCAAUCACAACCAGCGCUCCCACCCACCCCAUCGACAACAACUAGCCUGCGCGUAUGUGUGCAUGGCAAAGUUGCUGGUGCGUUGAUGUCUAGCACUUGCAUGUGCUAGCUUGCUGUUUUUUGCUUUGCUAUGCCUUCUUGAAUCGUGUGUGAUUGCUCGUGAUUCCGUACCUGUCGCCAAUACCUCGUCGACCUAAUCGUCCUCAUAAAGUAUCGAGCGCUAUCUCGUCGUCCAAUCUGCCCGCAUGCCACCUAGCAUACUGCUCAUUGGCACCAUUGGCCUGGAGCCGGAACGACCGAUCUGACGGCCCUGACGCAGGACUAUGUCUAUCAUGUCCGUUUUUUUCCGGACGUGUAUUGAAUCACGUUCAUCGCGACCUCCUCUACAAUGAACACUACCUAAGCCUUGCAUCCCUCUCACACAUGUGUCCCUUCUCCCAGCGUCGAGCACACCGAUUUAAAGCAACUAUCAUGUGUGCUAUAAGCAAGCAACUUUGUCUAUGCAAAAAUAUAAGAAGCUUGUUCAAUGCAAAAUAUGAACAAACUUUGUCCACACAAACUUAUGAACCGUUUUUUGUUUUACAAAAAAAAUGUAAAGAAAAUGAUUAUGUCCUACCACUUUAAAAUAAGCAACUUCCUUCUAGUUUCGUUGGGUGCACGUGAUCCCGAUGAUAUGAUUAGCGGGCAACUCUAUGGAGUUUUCUAAAGGACUCUAAUGUUUUCCUCGGACGACUAGGUAGUGGUAUAGAAGAAAACACACACGGUAAAUGCAGCCAAGCCCCCCUCCCCAGUUUUGCUUAUGCCUGUGAUCCCGAUGAUGUGAUUUAGCGGGCAACUCUAUGGAGUAUUCCGAACAACUCCAUUGUUUUUCUUGGGCAACUACCACAUAUCUCCAGCUAUGACACCUGGAAAAGGAAUAAAGAAUAUGCACAUGUACAUUUUUGGAGGGGUUCAGAGAAAAAAUUAACCCACUAAAUCAUUCGCCCAUAGAUUUAGCUGCGCCCUCUUCCCCUUCUACGAUCAUUUGCCAAGUAUUUAUGAUCACAACAAGGGAUCCCACCCGAGGAGAAUAAAUUAUUGACGCGUCCCUAUGACACAAACCCUGAUCGAAAGGUAUCUAAAACCUUUAGGUAUUGACCGAAAUAUGGUAUUGGUAAUGUUUCUGCUCAUGUUUUAGACAACCGGAUACAUGGUUUUAGGCAACUAUGUGGUUGAUUGUGAGCAACUAUGACACCUAAAAUGGGAUAAAGAACAUAUACAUGUUCAUUUCUGGAGGGGUUGAAAAAAAUUAAUCCCCUAAAAACACUUUGUGGUUUUGGUUAUAUCCCCAUGUCUAGCUCCACCCCCUCCCCCUCUACGAUCAUUCACCAAGUAUUUACGAUCGCACCAAGGAUCCCAUCACGAGGAAAAUAAAUUCUUGGCACAUCUCUAUGACACAAACCUAAUUGAAAGAUAUCUAAACCUUUAUAUAUUUGCCAAAAGAUGGUCAUGGCAAUGUUUCUGCUCAUGAGGAUCGGGCAACAUGAUACAUGGUUUUAGGCAAAUGCAUGGUUGAUUGCGGGCAACUAUGACACCUGAAAAAAGGGAUAAAGAACAUACACAUGUUCGUUUUUUGAGGGGUUCAAAAAAAAACUUAAUCCCCUAAAACCACUUUGUGGCUUUUGUUAUGCCCCAUGUCUAGCUCCACCCCUCCCCACUACGAUCAUUCGUCAAGUAUUUACGAUCGCACCAAGGAUCCCACGCCUAGGAAAAUAAAUUCUUGGCACAUCUCUAUGACACAAACCUAAUUGAACUAAAACCUUUAGAUAUUUGCAAAAUAUGGUCUUGUAAUGUUUCUGCUCAUGAGGAUCGGGCAACUGGAUACAUGGUUUUAGGCACCUGUAUGGUUGAUUGUGGGCAACUAUGACACCUGAAAAAAGGGAUAAAGAACAUACACAUGUUCAUUUUUGGAGAGAUUCAUAGAAAAACUUAAUCCCCUAAAAUACUUCCUGAUUUUAGUUAUGUCCCCAUGACCAACUCCACCCCUCCCCCCUUUACAAUCAUUCACCAAGUAUUUACGACCGCACCAAGGGAUCAUAACCCAUGGAGAAGAAAUUCCGUACACACCUUACUUGAUUGAAAGGUAUCCCAAGGAGAAGAAAUUCCGUACGCAUCUCUACUAUUAUGUAAAUCCUCAUAAACAGAAACAUUACAAGGCCAAAAUAUGGUCUUGUAAUGUUUCUGUUCAUGAGGAUUAGGAAACUGGAUACAUGGUUCUAGGCAACUGUAUAGCUGAUUAUGGUCAACUGGAUACAUGGUUUUAGACAACGGUAUAGUUGAUUGUGGGCAACUGGAUGCAUGAUUUUAGGCAACAUUAUGGUUGAUUGUAGGCAACUAUGACACCUAAAAAGGAUAAAGAACAUACACAUAUUCAUUGUUGGAGGGGGUCAAAAAUAAACUUAAUCCCCUAAACACAAUUCAUGGUUUUAGUUAUGUCCCCAUGAACAGCUCCACACCACUCUCCCUCUAUGAUCAUUCACCUAGUAUUUACGACCAUUCCAAGGGAUCCAACUCCAAGGAAAUGAAAUUCUUGAUGCAUCUCUAUGACACAAUAUUAAUUGAAAGGUAUCUAAAACCUUUACAUAUAAUUCAAAUUACGGUCUUGGUAAUGUUUCUGUUCAUGAGGGUUGGGCAACUAGAUACAUGGUUCUAGGCAAAUGUAUAGCUAAUUAUGGGCAACUGAUGCAUGGUUUUAGACAACAGUAGGUUGAUUGUGGGCAACUGGAUACAUGGUUUUAGGCAACAUUAUGGUUGAUUGUAGGCAACUAUGACACCUAAAGGAAUAAAGAACAUACACAUGUUUGCUCUUUAGGGUUUCAUAGAUAAACUUAACCUCACAAUAAACUUCAUGCUUUUAGUUAUGUCCCCAUGACGAGCUCUACCCCGCCACCCUCUAUGAUCAGUCACCAAGUGUUUACUAAUAUACCAAGGGAUCCCACCCAAAGAGAAGAAAUUCUUGACACACCACUAUGGCACAAACUUAAUUGGAAGGGUAUUUAAAAACUUUAGAUGUUGGCCAAAUCAUGGUCUUGGUAAUGUUUUUGUUCAUGAGGAUUGGGCAAAAUGAGAUACAUGGUUUUAGGCAACUGUAUGGUUAAUUAUGGACAACUAUGUUAUCUUUCAUGUAUUGUGCAUAAAAAAGAUGCAAACUAUGUAGGGCAAUUAUGGUAUCUUUUUCUGUGUGUUUUUGUUGGCUGAUAGUUUUGCCGAAAUCACACAAUGUUCUACGUAUUCCAUCAAAAUAUCGAAAUCAGCAUGCAAUUCCAUCAAAAACAGUUUCUGUGCGUGUGUGUGUUGAGAAGAUCUAAAUUACAAAUUCAAAUGAUAAUCUACUGAACUUGCGUUUCAGCAAUGUUAGCUGACCAAAGGAAGCAACUAUUACACCAAGUAAUCCACUAGAUGACGAAUUUCUGCAAGAAAUAUGAAAGAGUGAACUCUUAGCUUCAGCCAGCACUAACACUUAUGACACUAAUUAGCGUAGACUAAUUAGCUGACCAAAGGAAGCAUCUUACAUCAACCAACCCACUGGAAGGAACUGAACUCGUAGCUUCAGCCACCACUGCCAGGGGCAAAUUUUCGUGUUUUGACCCUUUUCUGAAAUCUGUUCGAGAUUUGACCCUAGUUUGAAUUUUUUUUGAAAUCUGACCCUUUUGCUACCGCCCCUACCGUCAGGGACUUUGGCGGUAGGAAACAUCGCUACCGCCAACCGGGCUGGCGGUAACCUGCACAACCCUACCGCCAACGUGCUUGGCGGUAGGCAUGAGCACGCACUGUGUUCAAUACUUAGGAGGUUUUUGGCGGUAGGACAUGCAACCAUAUCGCCAGGGACCUUGGCGGUAGGCUGUUAUACCCUACCGCCAUGGUCCUGGCGGUAGCAAAAAGAUCAAAUAUCGAAAAAAAAUUAAGCUAGGGUCAAAUCUUGAAUAGGUUUCAGAAAAGAGUCAAAACAUGAAAAUUAGCCACUACCAGGUACUCUGGCACAAAAUCGUCUGGGAGUCGUAACUCAGCAGCAGUUCUGCUACUCUAUCUCGCCGGCUCCUGAGGAAAAGGGAUCGGGAUAUUCGGGAGAGACAUAAUGAAGCGUUGGUUAGGGAUCUGAGUUUUCCUGUCGUGUCGUUUAGCGCAUGCGCUCGGCACGAUCAAAUUGUGUAGCUGCACGAUGUAGAAUUCGGGUUUAAAGUAGCUCAAAAAAAAGUUGAAUAGGCCUCUGGACCAAACCCAGGGUCGCUAGGCAGGUUUAGGCGUGUUGUUGCAACAUUUAUUUUAGCAAACAAGUCUAAACCUUUUGUUUUUACCUAAUUGGACGUCGCACGUAGGAUAUUUUGGAUAUGGUAUAUGGUCUGAUACACUAAGGAUCCGACCCGACUAAGGACGCGGAAAUUAGCUCCGAGUCGCACGUAGCCCCCCGAAUCCGAUCUGAAGUGGAAUUGGACGCACCUGCCUAGCGAUGGAAAGGAAACACCAUCAACAUAUAAAUAGCAACGACGUGCCAUACAAAAAAAGUCGCACAAACAAGGCUCGACGACUGAUCGACCAGACGAGACACGUUGAUGGCAGGUGAAGCGAUCACAGCGAUGUCCGCUGAGGCGAAGCGAGCGGAAUUCGAGUCUGGCACGGCGGCCGACCCGGGGAACGGCGAGCUGUGGCGCCGCUUCGUCAGGUUCGAGCUGGAGGAGGGCGGCGGAAUCGAGGCCGCUCGUGCCGUCUACGAGCGACUUCUCGCCGCAAUUCCCGAUGGAGAGACUUACAUGUGGGACUGGUUCUGGAGGGAGCGAUGGGCGCGGUGGGCGCAGGCCCAAGGAGGCGGCUUCCUCAGGUCCAAGUCAGGCUGGAGUACUUACUUGAAGUUCGAGAUCAACAACGGCGGCGGGGUGGAGCGCGUCCGGGGCGUCGGCGAGGCGCUCCUCGCGACCUUUUCCAUGGAUCCACAUGCGUACGCGAUCUACAUCAGCCAUCAGGGCUCUAGCCGCUCUGUCCCGGCACGUUGAAGCCCAAGCCCUGGCAAGCCGUGGCGUCAAGGAGCUGUCCGCGUUCUGUCGCGGGCAUGUUGAAUUCAUUUGGAGGUUUAUGGCUGUGUAUCUGAAGAGGCUCAGGGAGAGGCGGAGCACCGCGUGGGA
rnacentral:lncRNA from 1 species